UACGCUGCUUAAAGAAACAAACAUGAAGGCCCAGGCCCACCAAAGCGUGAUCAAGUCUCCGCCUCGCCCGACCCAGGCGUCAGGAUCGGGAGCGCCCGACCUCCCUCCGCAAGGCUUCCGCCUCGCCCGACCAUAACCCCAGGGUCGGGAGCGCCCGACCCUGUACCACGAAAGUUCCGCCUCGCCCGACCCCGAGCGAAGGAGUCGGGCACGCUGAGGACCACGGGGUCAGAAUCCCCCUCGGAUACGAUCCGCAUAAACAAGACAAAUCCUGUGGGUCCCCCCCGUCGGCCUCACCAUCAAUGCGCCGCAGAGUUGGAAGAGCGCAGGGUGACCGCGCCCCCCACGCAACCCGGCGCAAGUACCCGCGCACGACCGUCCUGUGCGAGCUACAGUACCGGUGGCCGGCCCCUGUUCGUCGCAGGGUACUCAUGACCUGCGGCGACCGGAGCAAAGGAGGGAGCGGCCCCGUCCUCGGGUCCCGCACGCCCUCGGGCCCCGCGCAAACGGCAGCACAGGUGUGAAGCUCCCCCUCUCCACAAGCCAUCGCCAGAGCGUCGGUAUCCACCGUCCUCCCUAACGGACGGCGGGGUGGCGACAAAACCGCCUCAUCAUGAUCUAACCUGGUACCUACGAACAUCGAAGAAGCUACCUACGGGGAGCAGCGACACUUGGCGUCUGGCGACCACCCAUCCCGGCAUGCACGGCGGCACGCGUUUAGGGUCGGCAGGACGUCGGGCGCCUUAGCUCUCCCUCCUCCUCCUCGCCUGACUUUUUACCAUCUUACUCUUUACCUUUCACCCGGUCCCAAUUGUAACUCCGGCCGGCCCCUUGCGAUAUAAAAGGAGGAACCUAGAGCUGGAGAAAGGGAUCGAGAUCCCCAGAUCAACAAGCCCGCCUCUUCUCUAGUACACCAUUGUACACGACCGCUGGGGAAGAGGGGACCGAAACAAAAGAGACUUGGGACCUGUCCCUCUCUCGCCAAUCUGUAACCCCCUACUACAGAACCCCCGCGUGGGCAACACGAGCACCCUCGACACUGGACGUAGGGCUUCUCUUGCCCGAACCAGUCUAAAUCCGUGUCUCCCGCGCAACCAUAUGAGGCUCACGCGCAUAAAAGAAAUUUACUAGUCUAAAGUCUAGAUCCGCUGAUCUUGACAACGACAGUUGGCGCGCCAGGUAGGGGACCUUUGCGCGUGCAUCUACAAGUCACAGAUGGCCAAUCGCGAUAGCAGCUUUGCUCCGGGCUCCCUGAUCCGCUUCGGGAGCCUGGACUUCCUGGCCACCAGGAAAGGGAUCGAGCUGAUCCCUGUCCACGUCCUGCCUGCUCGUCCCGCUGCCCUCGGCACUACCACCAGGACAGCGACGAGCGGCCGGACGCUAGCCGGAAGGGCCUCACCAGAAGGAUGGCUCUUCGGGCUACGCAACGCCACGGAGGCUCACGGCUGCCUCCUAGCGCGGUCCUUUGCCACGUCACCCGCGAGCAACAGGCUCGCGGGCAUGGCAAGGACGGUCUCCGACACCUGCUCCAGUAACGAGGAUCCCCGCCCCUCGCGCGAGUGCUUCAUGGCUGACGCGCACUCCGAGGGGUCCAAUGGCGAUGGUGCCGAGGGGAGGCAACGGGCUCCCCCCUCGCGUGCCGCAGCUACCACUGGGGCCUUACCCAGGGCCCCAGAGUGCUCUCAGCAACCGGAAGCGCACGUGGGCGCUCGCCAAGAAGUUGAGCACCCCUACCACGAGGGGGGAGCGCGACAACAAGCGCGCGACGUCCAGGAACGCAUCUGUGCGGAUGGAGAACGUCCGCCGCUCUUUGCCCACGCUAGCCAGAACGUCGCCGCAGCGGCGGUGUUGCUCCGACAGCUCCCCGAGCCAGCGACCCCCGAGGAGCGACGGGCACGCCAAGAGAUGCGCAACCUGCUCGAGUGCGCCGCCGUCCAGCAGGCGGAAAGUUCAGCGUCUCGACGACGCGGCCAGAACGCCAGCCGGGCAAUGCAUGGCGCGCCCCCGGAACCACGGGGGGAAUCUGUCCAUCAACCCCCUCCGGUGGCGAAUCCGGUUGCAACCGCCCGACGAACACCGCCACCCGCGGCAGACGAGGCCCGAUCCGUCCACCAACGCAUCGGUCUCGUCCGAGACGCCCGCGACACCCUGAACGCGCGGAGACGCUCCCGCGCAGACAGGGGGGACGGGGCAGAUCGAGGCUACCAUGUCCACCGUGGCGGGCGCUACGACAGCGGGGAAGACCGCAGUCCGAGCCCCGGAGCGGCCGGACCACGGGCCUUCUCCACGCGCAUACUGAAUGCGCCCUUUCCGCCGCGCUUUAGGCAACCCACUAGCGUGCCCAAAUACUCGGGGGAGACCAACCCUGGAGUAUGGCUCAGCGACUACCGGCUUGCAUGUCAGGCCGGCGGGGCGGACGAUGACCUGUUCAUCAUCCGCAACUUACCCCUGUUUCUGGCAGACUCCACGAGAGCCUGGGUAGAACACAUCCCUUCAGGGCGCAUUCGCAACUGGAACGACCUGAAGGAGGUUUUCGUAGGAAACUUCCAAGGGACGUACACAUGCCCUGGCAACUCCUGGGAUCUCCGUAGCUGUCGCCAGGGGGCGGACGAGUCCCUCCGGGAUUACAUCCGGCGCUUCUCUAGAAAGCGCACCGAGCUCUCCAACGUCGCCGACGCCGAUGUCAUAGGAGCCUUCCUAGCAGGGACCUCUUGCCGGCCCCUCGUCCACGAGCUAGGGCGCCGAGGUCCACGAACCACGGAGCAGCUCCUCAACAUCGCCACCAGCUACGCUUCUGGUGAAGAGGCAUUUGGAGCGAUCUUCGAUCGUUCCAAAGGCAAGGCGAAACGGGAGGAGGACACCGACGAAGGCACCUCCAACCGCCAGCAGCAGAAGAAGAAGGGCAAGCAGCGACGUGAGGCACCGCUCGUAGGCGCAGUCGAACGCAAGCAGGGGCAGCCACCCCCCGACGGCGCUCCUGGCUUCUUCGACAAGCUGCUCGAGGGGCCGUGCCCGAACCACGAGUUCCCCGUCAAGCACGCCUACAAAGAUUGUAACCUCAUGAAGAGGUUCUUUGUGGGCAAUCCGGUGAAAGGUGACCGGAAGCGGAAACCCGACGAGGAAAAGAAGGGAGACGAGGAGAAGGAAGACGGCUUUCCUAAAGUGGACGGCUGCUUCAUGAUCUUCGGGGGCUCCGCAGCGUACGACACCAGGCGCCAGCAAAAGCUAGAGCAUCGGGAGGUCUACGCGGCCGAGCCUGCAACUCCGGCUUUCCUCGAUUGGUCCGGACCGGCCAUCACCUUCGAUAGGUCCGACCACCCAGGACGCGUCCGACAUCCGGGGCGCUACCAUCUCGUCGUCGACCCCAUCGUCGGUACGACACGCCUCACCAAGGUACUCAUGGAUGGGGGCAGCGGCCUCAACCUCCUCUACGCCGAAACCCUCGACGCCAUGGGGAUCGACCGCUCCCGCCUCCGUUCUAGCAAGGCACCCUUCCAUGGCGUCGUGCCAGGGAAGCAGGCAACGCCACUCGGGCAGAUCGACCUGCCCGUCACGUUCGGGACCCCUUCCAACUAUAGGAAGGAGGUCCUCACCUUCGAGGUAGUGGGGUUUCGUGGCACCUACCACGCCAUCUUGGGACGGCCAUGCUACGCGAAGUUCAUGGCGAUCCCCAACUACACCUACCUCAAGCUCAAGCUGCCAAGGCCUAGUGGGGUCAUCACCGUCGGCACAACCUUCCAGAAGGCAUACGAGUGCGAUGUCGAGUGCUGCGAGUACGCCGCGGCCAUCACCGUCUCGGGCGACAUGGCGGCCCAGCCUGAAGAAACGAUCGAGGACCGGCCCGACGCCAAGCAGUCAGGUACCUCCUUCAAGCCCACCAAAGGCAUCAAAGAAGUCCCCCUCGAUCCCAGUUGUUCCGAUGGAGGGGUCGUGCGCAUCAGCGCGGCUCUAUCCUCCAAAUAGGAAAGCGCGCUCGUCGACUUCCUCCGCGCGACCAGCGACGUCUUCGCGUGGAAGCCCUCGGACAUGCCAGGCAUCCUGAGAGAAGUCGCCGAGCAUUCCUUGAACAUCAGGGCCGGCUCUAAGCCAGUAAAGCAAGGCUUGCGCCGUUUCGACGAAGAAAGGUGCAAAGCCAUCGGCGAAGAGCUCCAGAAGCUCCUGACGGCCGGGUUCAUCAAGGAAGUACACCACCCCGAGUGGUUGGCCAAUCCUGUUCUUGUAUCGAAAAAGAACGGGAAAUGGAGGAUGUGUGUUGACUAUACCGGACUCAACAAAGCGUGCCCGAAGGAUCCGUUUCCUUUGCCACGCAUAGAUCAAAUAGUUGACUCGACCGCCGGGUGCGAAACUCUCAGUUUCCUCGACGCAUACUCCGGCUAUCACCAGAUUGCGAUGAAAGAGGCCGACCAGCUCGCCACCUCCUUCAUCACUCCCUUUGGCCCCUACUGCUAUGUUAAGAUGCCGUUCGGCCUCAAAAACGCGGGAGCUACCUUCCAACGAUGUAUGCUUAAGUGCUUCGGAGACCUCAUCGGGCAGACCGUUGAGGCCUACGUCGACGACAUCGUUGUCAAAUCCAGGAAGGGCGAUCAGCUCGUUCCCGACCUGGAGCUAGCCUUCGAAAGGCUAAGGGAUAAGCGCAUGAAGCUUAACCCCGAAAAGUGCGUGUUCGGGGUCCCAAGGGGCAUGCUGCUAGGCUUCAUCGUCUCCGUGCGUGGCAUCGAGGCGAGCCCGGAGAAGAUAGCGGCCAUCAACGACAUAGGGCCGAUUCGGAACGUGAAGGGAGUGCAGCGCGUCAUGGGAUGCUUAGCAUCCCUCAGCCGCUUCAUCUCGCGCCUCGGCGAGCGAGGACUUCCUCUCUAUCGGCUCCUGAAAAAAUCCGACCGCUUUGAGUGGACCACCGAGGCACAGGAGGCACUUGACAGGCUCAAGGAUCUCUUGACGAAGGCCCCAAUCCUAGUUCCGCCGGCCGACGGCGAGACCCUUCUACUCUACGUCGCGGCGACCACCCAGGUGGUCAGCGCGGCCCUAGUGGUGGAACGGGAGGAGGAGGGGCACGCUCUUAAGGUGCAACGACCGGUGUACUUCAUCAGCGAAGUAUUGUCCGAGUCCAAGUCACGAUACCCGCAGAUCCAGAAGCUCGUCUACGCCAUCCUCAUCACAAAGAGGAAGCUGCGCCACUACUUCACCUCCCAUCCGGUAACGGUCGUCUCUUCAUUCCCGCUUGGUGAAGUAAUCCGGAACCCAAAUGCAAUAGGAAGGAUCGCGAAGUGGGCGCUUGAGCUUAUGGAUCAGGGUAUCACCUACGUCCCCCGCACCGCCAUUAAGUCCCAGGUACUUGCCGAUUUCGUGGCCGAGUGGACAGAGGUACAAGCACCAACGGCAACAGAGGAGCAGGAGUACUGGACGAUGUAUUUCGACGGGUCGCUGAUGAGGGCAUGCGCCGGAGCAGGCCUCGUCUUCGUCUCUCCGCUGGGCGUACGCAUCAUGUACAUGAUCCGCCUCCAUUUUCCUGCAUCCAACAAUGUCGCUGAGUAUGAAGCCCUGCUCAACGGGCUCCGCAUCGCCAUCGAGCUGGGCAUUCGUCGACUAGACGUCCGAGGCGAUUCCGAGUUGGUCGUCGAACAAGUCAUGAAAGAAUGGAGCUGCCAUGACCCUAAAAUGGCCGCCUACUGCAACGAGGUACGAAAGCUCGAGGACAAGCUCGACGGGUUGGAGCUCAACCACGUCGCAAGGCGCUUCAAUGAAGCCGCCGACGAGCUCGCAAAGGCGGCGUCUGGCCGGAUGCCCGUCCCCGACAGCGUCUUCGUUAGCGACCAGCUGAAGCCCUCGGUCCGUUACCCGGAGCUAGCAGGGGUCGGCGGGGCAUGCCCAGUCUUGGGGGCAGGAUCCGAGCCAGGGGAGGUCGGCAGCAAGCCACCUGUCCUGGACCUGAGCACCGAUCCCAAGGGAACCAACGCUGCCCCACCCGACCUGGCCCCGGAAGUCAAGCCUCCCGACCCCGUGGUUAUGGAAAUCGAGGCGGGCCCCGCGGCGGGGGCCGACCCCUCGGCCGAUUGGAGAGCCCCGUACCUCGACUACCUUCUCCACGACGCGCUCCCGACCGACAAGACUGAAGCCCGCAGGAUCACGCGUCGUGCGAAAUCCUUCACCAUCAUCGACCAGGAGCUUUACAAGCGAAGUCACACUGGGAUCCUCCAGCGUUGCAUCCCGAUCGAACAGGGAAAGGCGCUGAUCUAGGACAUCCACGCUGGGGCUUGUGGUCACCAUGCUGCGCCAAGGACGCUUGUGGGCAAUGCCUUCCGACAAGGUUUCUACUGGCCAACCGCGGUCGCGGAUGCUACCCAGGUAGUCCGCACUUGCGAAGGAUGCCAGUUCUUUGCCCGCCAAACCCACCUGCCCGCGCAGGCGUUACAAACCAUCCCCAUCACGUGGCCGUUCGCGGUCUGGGGGCUGGAUCUCGUCGGACCCUUCAAAAGGGCGCCCGGGGGCUUCACCCAUCUACUCGUCGCCGUCGACAAGUUUUCCAAAUGGAUCGAAGCAAGGCCUGUGGCGCAAAUCAGGUCCGAGCAGGCGGUGCAGUUCUUCACCGACAUCAUCCACCGAUUCGGGAUCCCGAACUCCAUCAUAACCGACAACGGUACGCAGUUCACCGGGAAAAGAUUCCUCCAGUUCCGCGACGACCACCACAUUCAAGUGGAUUGGGCGGCAGUCGCGCACCCCCGCACGAACGGGCAAGUCGAGCGAGCCAAUGGCAUGAUACUUCAGGGUCUCAAGCCACGGAUCUUCGACCGCCUCAAAAAAUUCAGCGGACGAUGGGUCGCGGAGCUCCCAGCCAUCCUCUGGAGCCUGAGGACGACCCCCAGCCGGGCGACAGGGUUCACCCCAUUCUUCAUGGUCUAUGGGUCAGAAGCCAUCUUGCCCACCGACUUGGAGUAUGGGUCGCCGAGGGUCAAAGCAUACAACGAACAAGGAAACCAGGCGUCACUCGAGGACGCACAAGACCAACUCGACGAGGCGCGAGAUGUAGCCCUACUACACUCAGCCAAGUACCAGCAGGCCCUACGGCGUUACCACAGCCGCAGGAUACAAGGCCGCGCCUUCAACGUCGGAGAUCUAGUGCUCCGCCUCGUUCAAGACAACAGGGGUCGGCACAAGUUGACUCCCCCAUGGGAAGGCCCGUUCAUCGUCGCACAAGUGCUGCGGCCAGGCACUUACAAGCUGGCAACUCCCGACGGGCAAAUCUUCAGCAACGCCUGGAACAUAGAACAGCUAAGGCGCUUCUACCCAUAGCUCUCAUUUAUAAGUUAUGCAUGGCCUUGCCGUCGUUUUCGUUUAAGCUCAGGGGUAUCCGACCCUGGCCUCGUUCCAAGGUCGCACACCCCUCGGGGGCUACCAGUUUUUUUCUUCUGCUAAAAAAGAAACCCUGAGCCACCUUGGCUCAGGUCCUUUCGUUUAAGCUCAGGGGUAUCCGACCCUGGCCUCGUUCCAAGGUCGCAUACCCCUCGGGGGCUACCAGUUUUGAUCUUCCUCGAAAAAAAAAGAAGGCCUUUUCUUUUUCAGGGGUACCCGACCCUGGCCUGGCUCCAGGAUCGCACACCCCUCGGGGGCUAUCAGGGGUCCCUACCCCAGCCGCUGGGCACCGCUAAAAAGAAAACAUUUUUUCUUCUUUCAAAAAACCGAACACUCCCUUUCGAAAACCUUUGGACGCAAAAAGAUAAGGAUGCGUGAACGGUACUCAGCCAAGUUGCGAUCGGACUGCGAAAAAGCCUACGCCCCAGCGGCUACGGUACCUUCGCUCAUCAAAAACUUACUGACGCGCCCGGCAACGCAUCCAAAAGCUUUCGAAACCAAAGGAAUAACAAAGGGAAACAGUUUCCUUAGCGCAAAAUAAAAAAGUCAUAAGAACAGGCCCGUAUGGCCACACAAACGAGUUCAAAGCGACUGACUUAAGUACAAACUUUUUCGGGCACAAGCCCGGUACAGCUAAUUAACAGGAGGGUCGACUGGAGCAGUGGUUCCGGGGUCGGCUGAAGCAGCGGCUUCGGGGUCGGCAGGAGCGGCGGCUUCGGGGUCAGCGGCGGCUUCGGGGCCAGCGGCGGCUUCAGGGUCGGCGGCGGCGGCGGCCUCGGGACCAGCAGGAGCGGCUUCAGGAUCGGCAGGGGGGACGGCUUCAUCGUCCAGGAGCUUCGCGAGGGCCUCCGCUGGCGCGGUCACCACGGAGUCGAUCUCGUCCAGCUCGGCAUCGGUGUAGCCGGCGCAGUACCCCUCACUCAUCUCGACAAAAUUAAUGUCGGCAUAGUGAGAGCCAAAGACCCCGAAGGCGCGCCGCACACCAAGGUGAAGCGCGUCCACGACAAUCUCGCGGCGGCGACGGCGCACUUCGAGGACACGAGCCGGCAGCGAGCUCGACCCCUCCUCCGGAGCAACGCCGAAGUCCUCGCAAAUGACGCGGACCGCAUCCCGCAGGGCGCUAUGCUCGCCGCGCUCCUCGUCGAGCAGAACCCGCAACCUGGCGAGGUCAUCUGCAGGAGCCGCUCGAGAAAUCCCACCAAGUCAAAGGAAGCGAAACACCAACAACACAGAAAUGCGUGAGCAGAAAGAGCCUCACCGUCGGCCUGGGCCUUCAACUCGCGCUCCCGGUCGACGCUGCGGGACAAGGCGGACCGGAGCCCAUGCACCUGCAAACGGAAUUGGUCACGUUCCGUGCGGAGGGCUCCAUUCUCCCCCCUCAGCCGCGCCAGUUCCUCGGCGUCUCGGCGGGCCCGAUUGGUAGCAGUGGCUCUUAGCCCCUCGGCAUCGUGGCGCGCCCUGUCCAUGGCAGCCUGGAACUCCUCAAGGUCGAGGCGGGCCUUCUCCGCGACGGCCUGGAGCUUGGCCUCGGCACGCCGCGCCCCCUCCAGCGCCACCUGCUCACGACCCUCCAGGUCGCGAACGGCCCCCUAGGCGGCGCCAAGCUGCAGGGUCAGAUUCCUGGAGCGCUCCCUCUCGGUGUUAUAGUGCUCCCAGAGGUUCCGCUGCCGCCGGAGGAAGUCAGACUUCUCCCGGCUGCCCUCUUGGAGAGCCUGCAAAACAGCAUGCCGUUAAAACAAAAAAGUAAAGAAAAGGGACUCACCAUCGAGCGGCAGAAACAACAUACCUGGCUGCCAGGGACCACGGUGUUGGCCAAAACUCCCAACGCCGAGGUCGAUGCCGCCUGAACCUGGGUGACGCCGCCGUGCACCGCCUGCCACUGAUGCCACUCGGCGGCAUCAUCCAGUGCGUAGAGGCGCCUCGGCGGGUCGUCGCGGGAUGUCCAGCGGAGGACGGGCCCUCUCCACGCCCCAGGGAUGGAGGAAACCGAGGGCGGAACAAAGGCCGACUCUGACGUCGCCGUCGAUGACGACAUCACGACGCCGGAGACCCCUGGAUCUGCCGACGUCUCCGGCGCCUGCGCACCCGUCGCCACCACAGCCGCUACCGGCACCCCUUUGGGCACCUCCGUCCCGGCCGCCAGAGUCACCCCCGCAGGAGCGACCGGAAUGGAGAACCCGGUCUUCGGCACCGCUGCCUCUGUCGCCGCCGCGCCCUCGGGAGCAAGCGCCCCCUCCGCCUCCAACCCCGCCAUGGCAACGGGGGCAUCCGCCUUGCCCUCCGUCGUCUCCGCCUCCUCCGCCUCGUCGGCAUAGAGGUCGAUCACCUCCCCGGCCUGCGGGCCCGGGGGGAUCACGGCCCGGACCGGAGGGGCGACCGGUGGAGCCACAGGCGGAGUGGAGUCCGCUCCCCCUCCUGCGGCCGACUCCGCCGCCGUCCCGACAACCGGCUCCGCAGCGGUCACCUCCGCCGGGGGACCCGUGGCCACACCAGGAACCCCGCCAAUCGCCGUUGGUGGGGUCGCGUCCCGCCUCCCGAAGGAGGACGACGUCCGCAGCAUCUUCUUGGGCGCCAGCCGCAGGGUGACGCCGCGGGGAGAAGUGCUGCACGUCGACGAUCAGGCGUCAACGGAAACAAAAGGAAAGGGAAAGGAAGGAGGACACAUGGGAAGAGUCAACUUACGCCCUCGAAGUGCAGGGGCGGCGCGCGCGCUUCGACUCGGAGCCGGACGCCGACCCCGGGGUAUCUGGCAAGGGCCGCUUGUCGCCACCCCGUUGCCCUCCGCCAACAGGCACGGCGGCGGGGGCAGCCCCCACGGAUCCCCGAGGAGCCCCCCGAGCAGACUCCUGGGGAGCGCCCCGCGCCGGACCCAAGGCAGCGGCAGGGGCGGACUCUGAGGGCCCCUGAGGGGCGCCCGGCUCGACGCCGGGGCGGCAUCCCUUGCCGACCCCGAGGGAGCAUCCCGCGCCCGCUCCUGGGGGGUGCCCUGGGACGACCCCGAGGGGGCGCCCCGCGCUCCUCCUUGGAGGAGGUCCUGCGCCGACCCCCGGGGAACGUCCUGCGCCGCCCCCUGGGGAGCAAUCCGCACCGGCUCCUGAGGCGCGCGCUGCGCCGACCCCUGAGGAGCGGUCCGCGCCGGCUCCUGGAGCACGCGCUGCGCAGACCCCUGGGGCGCAGCCCCAGGACCCGGGGGAGCCGGAUCCCGGGCGGACGCUCCCGCCGCCGCACCCCCUGCAGCCGUCUGCGAGGGUGCGUCACGAAUCACCAAAGCCCCCGAACGGGGGGCAAAUAGCUCUUCCUCUUCCUCCUCGUCCUCUUCCUCUUCCUCUUCUUCUUCGUCUUCUUCGUCGUCGUCGUCGUCGUCGUCGGACACGACCGCCCCUCUCCGCCGCCGUUGGAACUCCUUGGCGGCCUUCUUCCGCCGCUUCUCCGUCUCCUUGUCCUUGCGGCGUUUAUCCUUCUCCGCCUGGAGACGGUUGCGAGCCCUCCGCGCGGCAUCCUCCGGCACCGGUGGGAGGGAGUCCGCGACCCGGGUCAGCAUGCCCUGCGAAGCAUGAAAGAGGAUCCGCAUAAGAACAACAAAACAACGCGACGGCAGGAAGGAGAGGUGGUGACCCAAACCCCUUACCAGGUCUAUGGAUCCCGGCUCCGGGCGCAUCGGCGGAUGACCGGGGAUCGGGUAGUCGACAUCCUUGUCCUCCAGCGCCUCCCGGAGUCGCUGCCGGAUCUCGGAGGCAGCAAGCGCGCCUGUCGCCAGGACGGUGCCCUCGGUCGGCGUGUCGGGGGACAUGACGCCAAGCGGCCGCGCCCGGAGCAUCAGCGGCGCCACCCGCCGGGCGUGGUACGCACCGAUGACCCCGGCGCCGGUGAGCCCCUCCCGCUUCAGCUGCCCAAUGGCCUGCAGCAGGUCGGAGAUUUUCCUCUUCUCCUUCUCCACCGGCCCGUACGCCCACACGUCGGGCGCCGCGUCGAUGGUGCGGCCGGAGAACGCCGGCAGGGGGGAGAUCGGGUAGUUCUUCACGUAGAACCACUGAUUGUGCCACCCCUUGUGGGACACCGAGGUCUUCACCGUCAUGUACUCCUUGGAGCGAGUAUGACGGAGAUGGAUCCCGGCGCACCCAAUCAGCACCGGAGGCGACCGCUGCUGGCCCCCGGCCUUCCCCGCCUUCUGGUACAGGCUCACCGUGAAGAAGUACUUCCACAGCUCGAAGUGGGGCUCAAUCCCCAGGAAACCCUCGCACAGCGCAACGAACGCCGCGAUGUGCUGGAUCCCAUUGGGGUUGAGGUGCUGGAGCUCGAGCCCGUAGUAGUGGAGGAGCCCGCAGAAGAAGCGGCUUGGGGGGGAGGCGAACCCCCGCUCAUGGAAGUGGGCGAAGGAGACGACGUAGCCAGCGGGCGGCGACGGAACCUGUUCCGGCCCCGGCAGCCUCCACUCGUCCGCCGCCGUCUUCUCGCAGAGGAGCCCCUUUCGCACCAGGCCCUCGGCGCGGUUGGCGGUGAAGUGGGAGACCCCCCAGGAGGCCAUCGCCGAAGGAGGAAGGGGACCGACGGAGGCGAAGACGAAAGCACGCGGCGUGAAGCGGCGGGAACGAGGCGAGCGAGGCGAGCGCAGGUGAGCUAGGAAGGCAAUAAGGCUUGAGCGCGAAAGGAGAGGAACCGGCGCGGCGUGCUUCUGCUUUUAUAGGAAGAGUACCGGGGAAGCCAAAUCGAUGCCCCGGCCACCAUAAAUGCGGCGCCAGGUACGCCCCUGCCACGCUCGUUUCCUUUUCGAGAACCGCGCGCACGAUCGGCCAUGAAAAAACAUCCUAUCUUCCUCGAUGCACGGGACGACGCUUCCAUAACUCCACUCCCCGGGUAUCGCGCCCACGACGCUCCCCACGAUCGGCCCUGGCACAUCAACCGCUCCGCUCUGGUCCAAGGCCCACAGGAAGGUAAGAAAGGGAUACGGGGCUAAAAACGCCCCUACGGCCCAAUACGGUCCGGGGGUUCGAAAGCUGGCCCAACACGGGUUCGACAGCUGCCCCAGGACAUCCCCGAGCAAGGGGUGAAAAGGGACGGGCCCGCUAGCGGCCAACACCCAAGCGAGCGAACGCCAAGGGCACCCCAACCUCACGUUCGAGUCCCGCUCAGUGUAAAGUUUAUGGUUUUUCCACGGGGAAAGGCAACGAGCCCUCAGAUCCGGUCGAAUGGAUCCGAGAACUAUAUGAACUAACUGACGGGAAAUUGGAGUACGCCACCAGCUUGGCCCGAGCCGGACCCCCCCGAACGGGGACCGGGACUCCACUCGAACUUACCCGUUUGCAGCUCAAACGAGCACCACGGUUCGUCCUACGCGGAUAACGUGGCCCGGCUCAACCCCUCCGUCCUAGCGAACGGACGCUUGAGGGGCAACGAUCAAAAAGUCGACCUGGCCUCCCGAUCGGUUUCCUGCAACGAGCAGGAGCUCGGGGGCUAGCCUCGCAAAAAACUGCCACACGUGUGGUCACAAACCGACAGGUUCUCUCGAGCAUGGCGAAGAUGAAACAAGAGCGCCAUAACACAGGAACCGAUGGCAAACAGCGAAAGGAGCCUCCGGAGGAGCACUCCUGCUCCACCACAGGCUCGGGGGCUACUGUUGGGGGGAAAUAUUAACGACCCCCUGAUACGCUGCUUAAAGAAACAAACAUGAAUGCCCAGGCCCACCAAAGCGUGAUCAAGUCUCCGCCUCGCCCGACCCAGGCGUCAGGAUCGGGAGCGCCCGACCUCCCUCCGCAAGGCUUCCGCCUCGCCCGACCAUAACCCCAGGGUCGGGAGCGCCCGACCCUGUACCACGAAAGUUCCGCCUCGCCCGACCCCGAGCGAAGGAGUCGGGCACGCUGAGGACCACGGGGUCAGAAUCCCCCUCGGAUACGAUCCGCAUAAACAAGACAAAUCCUGUGGGUCCCCCCCGUCGGCCUCACCAUCAAUGCGCCGCAGAGUUGGAAGAGCGCAGGGCGACCGCGCCCCCCACGCAACCCGGCGCAAGUACCCGCGCACGACCGUCCUGUGCGAGCUACAGUACCGGCGGCCGGCCCCUGUUCGUCGUAGGGUACUCAUGACCUGCGGCGACAGGAGCAAAGGAGGGAGCGGCCCCGUCCUCGGGUCCCGCACGCCCUCGGGCCCCGCGCAAACGGCAGCACAGGUGUGAAGCUCCCCCUCUCCACAAGCCAUCGCCAGAGCGUCGGUAUCCACCGUCCUCCCUAACGGACGGCGGGGUGGUGACAAAACCACCUCAUCAUGAUCUAACCUGGUACCUACGAACAUCGAAGAAGCUACCUACGGGGAGCAGCGACACUUGGCGUCUGGCGACCACCCAUCCCGGCAUGCACGGCGGCACGCGUUUAGGGUCGGCAGGACGUCGGGCGCCUUGGCUCUCCCUCCUCCUCCUCGCCUGACUUUUUACCAUCUUACUCUUUACCUUUCACCCGGUCCCAAUUGUAACUCCGGCCGGCCCCUUGCGAUAUAAAAGGAGGAACCUAGAGCUGGAGAAAGGGAUCGAGAUCCCCAGAUCAACAAGCCCGCCUCUUCUCUAGUACACCAUUGUACACGACCGCUGGGGAAGAGGGGACCGAAACAAAAGAGACUUGGGACCUGUCCCUCUCUCGCCAAUCUGUAACCCCCUACUACAGAACCCCCGCGUGGGCAACACGAGCACCCUCGACACUGGACGUAGGGCUUCUCUUGCCCGAACCAGUCUAAAUCCGUGUCUCCCGCGCAACCAUCUGAGGCUCACGCGCAUAAAAGAAAUUUACUAGUCUAAAGUCUAGAUCCGCUGAUCUUGACAACGACAAUAUGACAUUUGUGAGUUGGAUAGAUGCCUGAAACUGAUUGGAACUCGGAGAACACUUGGGUGCUCUGUAUGUUGUUUACCGUAGAAGUUGAAAAAGGAAAUUGGCCAAACACACACUUGAAUGCACUUGGUUAUGCUGAGGUUAAGAAAGGUUCAAAGAUAGGACUGGAAUUGUGGCUACCAAAGGUUAGAUCAAGAACAAAUGGGACAAGUUGAAGGAAGAUUUCAAGGCAUGGAAGAAACUAACGCUGAGGCAAAUAGGGACUGAUUGGGACCCUAUAAAGAAGAUUAUUGCUAUGGAUGAUGAAUGGUGGAAAAAAGCUAGAGCUGUAAGUUGGUUCAAAAAUUUUGAUAUAUUUGUUUUGCAUAUGUCAAUUCUAUUGGUAAUACUUAUAAUAAUAUGUAUUAUUUUGUUUAUUUCAGAACAUUCCGGGUGGUGGUAAGUUUAAAAAGAAGGACAAUAAAGAUGAAUUAGCUAAGUGUUUUGCUGAAUUGAGAAUUGAGAAUUGAGCUGUAAAUUGCAAUUAAUUGGCCUCACAUAAGCUCCACUUGUAUUUUUUUCUCACAUAUGUGCGGGUCGCCGUUAGCUGUUGAAAGGAAUUGUGAAAAAUGACAUCGAGAUAAGCACAAUACAAGGAACCGAGACAAAGAAUGAAAGCCUUGCCUUACGCAGACACUCAAGACCAAUCAGACAUGACAAAUACACUCAAGACCAAUCAGACAAGACAAAUGCAGCAAGAAAACGUAGGUCAGAGGCACAUCUGAAACAGAGAUCUGCACACCUUACGCAGCCCACUUUAUUGUGAAACAGCUACUACAGAAUAUCACGUCAAGCAGCAUUUUAUUCAAUCAAGACAGAUCUGAGCUCCACGUCAAGCAGCAUUUUAUUCAAUCAAGACAGAUCUGAGCUCCAACAAAGAAUUGCUGGGGAUAUAUCUUAGAGAUUUGGCCCCUGAUCGCAGCCUCUGAAGCAGCAGGGCUACUCUACACCGGUAGAAAACUAGCUUUAGUAAAAAGCCGCAUAACAGUUGAUAGUGAAGCUAAUUAACUUGUUCAAGGCAAAUGAGGUUCUAGAUGCCAAAAUCCGAAUCAACAGGCACGAGCACAGCUUUGUGCAAGCUGUCACCACGACUAGCAGCAGUGCCUCACAGGCACCAGCACCACAUGUUUAAGGGAUCCUGCCAUGCGGAUCGGAUGUUAUGUCCGGAGAGAAAAUCCGCUAGUAACUCAUGCCAUUUCUGCCAAUGUCGAGGUAGUCGAGAUGAGGGUGAGUAACCGUGGUCGAGGAUGCCGUGUGUAGUAUAGCCACAGUCGAGGUAGCUGAAGACGAGGGAGCUGCACAUGAAGCCACGCAUGAGUCCUAUGGUUUUAACCAGAUACAUCGAGUUUUAACCAUUUUAAAUAUACAUUCUUUCUUACUAUUACUCGAUGUUCACUUAGGUCCCGUUUGGGUCCCUUCAUUUUGAAGUAAUUGGAAUCUAUUUAAUGGAGUAGGCUAAUUUAUGUUGGAAUGUGGCAUUCCACAACUUUCCAAAGUUUAGAUAUAAGCCUAUCUUAAAUUCAUGGGGUGGGAGAUGGAAAUUGAUUCUAUAGAUUAUGGUUAUUAGAAUGGAAUUCAAUUCUUAUAGCACGCUCUUGGACUCGCUUCUCUAUAGUAGAAGUGCAGCAUAUAAGUAUCUCUCCCAUAUCACCAACUAUAAUAUACAACUAUAUUCCACAUACAAUUAUAUUAACUUAAUUAAUUUGUGUCUAAAUUAUGAUUAUUAGGAUGGAAUUCAAUUCCAAUGAUCCAAACGGGGCCUUAAGGCUUUUAACCUCUUUCUUACUAUUACUAAUUGGAGGUUCCUUUUGAAGCCUCCACAUGAAGCCACCUAGGAUCCUAGGUAGACAGUUUAGAAAAAGAGAGAAAUCUUAGAAAUUCUCCUAAAAAAGCAAAACAUCUGGCCAUCAAUUCAUUAGACUCAAAUCAUCAUAGCCAUUGGAUGUAUUAUGUUUUCUAAAAAAUUACCCGCCUCUGCCAUUAUGAAAAUAGCUUAAAUUAACCCUCUAAAUCUAUACAUAAAUUAUUCACCUCUGCCAUCAUACAACAAUUGAAUCUAUAUUAUAUUUUCUAAAAAGUUAUCCACCUAUACUAUUAUGAAAAUUGUGUAAAGUAACCCCUAUAUUUAUAUAUAAAUAUCUCACUUCUGCCAUUGUGAAAGAAACUGAAGUAGCCCAUAAUCUUUUUAUUUUAGCCUCAUGUUAAUCUCCAUGUAAGAUGCAUUAGGAAAUAAAAAGAUAAAUCUAAGAACUUCUCACGAGAACACAAACACAUCCACCCCUCGAUCGAAUUUAAAGGUGAUCUUUGAGAGACAUCUGACCCUUCAUGGCGAUUAAUAAAUACAUGCGGGUGUGGACAUUCAACAAGCCAACAACUAUACGUACAAAAUGCAUGGGCGGCUUAUGAAGGCCAUCUUGGGUUACAGGCCUACUGUGGUAUGAAGAGGACGCACGACAGGUACUCUUAUAUUUUGUUGUGGUGCAUGCAAGCUUCACUGUCUUCAUACUAAUUUUCUCAAAUCUUAAUAUUUUUUAAUAAAACAAGCAUUUAUACGUACUGCUUAUAGCUGUUAUUGCCACAUUACAUAUAUUGUUUUCAUUCUUGCUUUGAGAGCCUUCAACUUUAGUAUUGAUGUAUGCAUGCGUGGACAUGCAGCAUUUACCAAUUAUUAAAUAAGAGGAUUAACAAAGAUGAUACAAAAAUAUAUUAAUUUGUAUAACAAAAAACACAAAAUAAAAAUAUGUAAUGAUAAUUUGCACACUCUUAUGUAAAUGCUGUACAACUUUACAUUUAUAGUGUCCUGUUUUUUAUUUGAGUUCCAAUAUGCAGUGGACAAAUUCAAAAACUCAAGGUUGUUGAUAUUAUGGUUUCGAAUCUCUAGGUUCAUGAUGAACAUUGUUAGGGUAAAAUUUUUGGUCAAACGUGCACUCCUUUAAUUGCCUUCAAGACCGAUGCUUUUUAGGGAGAAUUAUGAUAGAAUGUUUUUCGAAUUCUAGGUUGAAAAUGAAUUGAGGCUACAGUUUACCAUGAAAACUAAAUUUCUUUUCAACUUUCCUUAAGGGUUGGUGCUUAGCAAGCUGUUGUGUUCUAUUCCUCCUCAUUUUUAAGAAAAAUCGAUCUUAGAAAGGAAAGGAAAUGCUCCUAGAGACAUCCUUAAAAGGGUUAUUAGUGCAUAAAAAGCAUAUUUUAAAACGGUAAUGCUGGGAGCCGCACGUCCGAUGCUGGAGAUAAAUAUCAGAUGCGGGGCCUACCAGCAUCUCCCUCCGCUGAUUAUUUCAGCCACUCGUUCUUUUUCUCUAAUCUCCAGCUUCUUAUCCAUUCGUUCAUCUUCUGUGAGUUCUAGUCCUUAUCCACCUCUCCAGUCAUGAACUAAAUCCAGCUUUGCCCCUUCUCUGCAGCAACUCAGAUCCUAUGCCUACUCACAUCCCAGCGCCACCGAGCAUGCCGCUCCACAGGCCCAACACGCCCAGCGAGCUGAUGGUGCUCCCCAGCGCGCGGCUACCAGUCCAGCGACAGCAGCCUCUCCGCUAGAAUCCACGGUGGCUGCUAAAGGAAGAAGAUUCCACCGUGAGAGGCACCAACCAUUCAUGUAGCAUCUAAAUUUUGUGAUGUUGCAACAGAUAUUUUGAGAUAUUUUGCGUAGUGUUCACUAAUGUUGAAGAUUAAUUUUUAGAUGUUCCAUAGUACGUUCGAUUUUUUGAUGUUACAAUAUCUAACCUAAGAUGUUGCAGCAGUAAUAUUUUUAUGUUGCAUGGUUGACGUUGACUUUUUUUACAAAAGUUGAUGAUGAUUUUAUUUCGGGGUUCGGGAUGUUGCAACUGUGAAAUUGAGAUGUUGCAUUAGAUGAUGUAUGAUGUUGCACAAGGUGUUGCGAGAUAUUUUGGAUUAAAAGAAUUUUUCAAACGAAACGUUGAUUGAAACAUUGACAAAUAUUGCGAUGGGCUUCUUUUAUGUGUCAAACUUUGUUCCCAGAAUUUUUAUUUUUUUUGCAUGUUGCAUGCAACAUGUGACCAUGUUGCAGCGAAAUUUUUUCCGCUUCCCAACUAUCCGACGCUAACGGUCCCGGACGUCCGCCGCUAGUAGCACCUAUUUUAAAAUCCAACAACUGCUGUGGCACAGUUUUGAAAAUAACUUGCAAGGAGAAACCACAGCACUUGUGCUGCCAUGGCUGCAAGGCGCUUCAUUCUUUAUUUUUCUUUAAGAACGAAGCAGCUAACAAGUUAUUUGCUUUGCAAUUCGCUCCAGCGGCAAGGUUAUUUAUAGGCGCGAGUCAUAUGAUUUACAACCUUUAGUAUUGUGGACGAGUUAGGUCGAUGGUCUCAAAAGUCAAAACAUGUUUGCGAGGAAACUUCGUUUAUUAAAUCUAGCUAAAUUAAUGAUGUUGCAUUGACAGAGCUCGACACGUCUAGGUUGGUCAAGUACUGAAGUGAUGCUUAGGCUACAUACACGACAACCAUAGCUGUUGUACUGUGGAUGUUUUGGACCAUAGAGAAACAUGCAUUUCUGAAAAGGAAAAGAUUCAUUGCUUGCACUACUUCGAUCUGAAUCACGCAUACGCUAUCAAUUGAUUGAAAAUUGUUAAAGCGACUAAGGUUUCUGCCUUAAUUUUUUUGUUUGAUCCAACUUCUACCAUUGACAACUAGGUCCAACUUAUGUUGGAUGUAUUUCAUGUCCUUCGAGUCUACUUUGUUUCGCCCAAUCUCUUUCCUAAUUCUAUUCUGCGUUUUUUCUGAUAUAUGCAUGGGCAAACCGGGGGGCAACCUUCCGAGCUCGACUCCAUGAGCCUCAGGCCGUCCGCGCCAUAUCCUCGUACAAGGAUGUGUGGGAUAGGUAGAGGCACAAUCACAAGGCAGCUGUGCACAACGAAACACUGCAAGUUGAGCCGACCUCGCGGAAGCAGGCGCGGAACGAAGCUUCAGUGGCAGGCCGACCUUGCGGGUGCAAGGAGGGCUUGCGGCCGAUGAAGCUCAUUGCAGCAGGCCGGACUCGCGAAUCUGGCCAACAGCAGUGUAAAUUGGGAUGGUGCUGGAGGUCGAGCUCAGCAGGAGCUCACGAUGGCGGCCGGCGCUCGCAAGAACCCACGACGGAGGGCAGUGCUCAUGCUCUCAGGCAAGGGAGCCCGCAACCGAAGGCAAUGGGUAGGCCGGCGAUUUUGGAAGAAGCAGAGAGGCCUAGUCGAGCAGGGACAUACGGCGCAAGAAGAGCGGCGUUAACUCUCUGGCGGCACGAGGAGAUGCAGGGCGCUCCUGGUCCGCAGGCCCGUGAGGAUGUAGUCCAGCCACACGAGUGGAACGGGCGCAACGAAGGCGUACUACCGAGACGAAAAAUCUAUCCAUCCAUCGCUCGGUCAUCAGUGCAACUGUGUGCAAGCAAGACAGACAAGCAAGAUGACUACCGCUAUCGACUAGCUUUAAUCGCAGGGCCCGCCUUGACUUGUUGCUUUUGAUCGAGGAGAACGACUUGUGUGAUGCAGUUGCGUGCGAGUCGCUACCGUCAAAAUGUGCCCCUUUUAGAAUUUGCAAGAUUCUAUUCUUGGUUGUACUCUACCUACUGCGCGCUGUACUACAGCACUGUACUCUAGCACAAACUGGUCUCUUCCUUUAAUGUCAAUUAAUGUUAAUUGUUUGUUCCGUCGAGGGAACCUGGAUUCUAAUUCUAGCUUUGGAAACUUGCAAAUGAAAAUAAUCAUAAAAAAGUUAAUGUACAUUUUCACAUAAGUUAUGAUGAUAAUAUCCUCUACCACUCCACAAAAUUGGAACUUAAAACAACACUUGUAUGCGCAGAAACAAAAGGACAAAUCUCCCGUAUGGUAUUGUUGGAAAAUUAAACAACUGCAUAAUUAAUUUUCGAACUAGAUUUAUCAUAAUAAGAAUAAAACCUAGCAUGCAAAUCUCUAACAUACUAAACAACAACAAGCACAACUUCAUUAUCUCAGAAAAUAUGCUGAAAUAACAGAUUAGAUCACAGCGUACAUACUUUACAGGUGCAGCCAUGAUGACAAGCGGUGCUGACGGAACGAUGAUGGUAUUACGGAUGGAGCGCAGCAGAUGAUAUCAAAGACGAUGGUACGCCGCAACGCCGGACUGAGACGGAAGACGAGCCGUGGUGAAGACCUUGAGCAGUUGCGCGGAGUGCUUCCCAAAAACUAUAUUCGCCCUCUCCCAGUGCAGUAUCACAAGAGCGAGAGAUUCCGGAGACCUGCUCUCCCGUUCGCCGGUGCAUGCUGACGCUCGGGAUGGAGUAGACUAUGGUGGCGGUGCAGCAGCGAGAAGACGCAAAAACCCUAACUCGAUUAGAUGUGUUUUCGAUAGAGGCCGAUAGGUCGUAUAUAUAGGAGAGCCCAUGAUCUCACGUCGCGAUCGUGAUCUAAACCGAUUAGACUUCCAUAUAUCUCAUUGACUUAAAGGCCAAGUGUUGACGCAAAAUCCUGGCGGUGGUAGACCCUGCAUCAGCACAUGAGGACCUGGGAGAUCUGCUUAACUCCAGUGCAGAAUCCAAAUCGGCGCGCGUGGUGUGCGCGGGCGUGCCAGUCAGUUUGACCAUUCAACUGACAAGGAGAUGAUAGUCGUUGUGAAGUCCGAGGCAACCGGCCGAUCAGGCCAAUAUAAUCUUGGCACAGUAGCGAUAAUGGUGCAACAAAAUAAAUCAUGACAAAUAUAUCGGCUGUGAAGCCGAUUCCAGUGCCUUGAUGAAUGUGAGUGAUUCAUCGGCCAUCCAGCUGAUAUAAUUUACAAUAAAUAUCGGCCAGACGGCCGAUAGAAAACAGGAUGCUGUUGAGUUGUUGCCCCGCCAUAGCUAGAGCCACAAGCCGAUGAGAUCUAAACUAACGUCACCACCAAUAUCUCUAGGUGAAACCACAGCGAUGCGCCUGGUGGUUAAAGCCUAGAACACCUGGUGACGGAACUUGCAGCUCGCCGGAGAUCGAGGUCGAUGCAGCCCAGCUUGCUAGAAGGAACUCGUCGAGAAGCUACAUUACUCCUACUCCUAAUGCAAUGGCGUGAAGCCGAAAAGGUAAAUAAAAGAUAGAUGUGUUGUACAUUGAUCGUGUGAUUAUCCUUUACAAUGGCCACGUCCCUUUAUAUUUAUAGGGCGGACGUUACAUAAUUGGCAUCUAACCACGCACAAGGCAAGUCACGUACACAAUCUUUUCUAAUAAAAAACUCUAUCUCUAACUAACCCAACUCUAUCUCUAAAAUAUUUUAUUCUAUGAAACAACCUCCCGUACAACCUCCCGUACAUGCACAGAUCGGCAUGCAUAAUUAUUCUGGAAGCCUCCCACGCAUGGCAUGUAAAGUGCACCAGAAUCCAUGUUGUAUAUUCUAAUCAUUUUUAUCCAUACGUGCUGGCCUUUCCUUUAUAUCAUCCUUGCCUCUCCUUGCUGAUCAAUCCAAUGAAGCCGAUUUGGACUCCGUGCCCAUGUGCAUGCAUGCUUGCUUCUUAUUGUUGUACGUGACUCCGAUUAUCUCGUACUCUGAAUUUAUAGGAUUGGUCAAAAUCCGGUGUCAACACAGGCCCCCCAGUUUCGGAGUAUGAAUGCUUCAUGUUCCGAAACUAAUUAUAGAAGUCUGAUACUUGUCUUCAGAGCUAAUGACGUCUGAUUGCAAUAUCCAAAGCCACGUCGACUCCUCUUCAAAUAUAAAGAACAUCAUCGGCAUUGCCGGCAGUAGAAACAACAAAUUAGUCUGUUGACACCAAAACUUGGUGCAGUAACCAGCAAGCUUUUGUUGUCAACACAGGCAACACCAAGUAACAAAAAAUAAAAUGGCAAAAGGAAACUAUGCCCCCGCAAGGCUGGAGGCCAGAUUUCGGUGGACCAUUCACGCAGGUAUCGCACACCCGCGCCCUUCGCCCUGGCCCAGCCCGGCCCGGCAUGGCGAGCGAGCGCGCGUGUGGAGCUUUCCUUCUCUCCCCACACACAUAGUUUGGAGGAGUGGAGACAAUCUCCAUAUUUAUGUUGGCCAACCUUCUCCUCCACUAGCAAUGUGGGACUAAAGGUUUGCACCACUCUAACCACUUGCUCAUGCCCACAUGGGCCUUUGAGAUUUAUUUGGAAUUUCUGAAAUUGCAAUGGGCCAAGCCCAUUAUUUCAUCAAUCCCCCACCAGAUCUCAAAUGUUCAUCAGAGAUUUUGCCUAUUUCUCACUGCUAUUUAUAUAUCAGUGUUUCAGCAAGGACUGUUAAGUUGAACUCUCGCCUAAAGCUUCAAGCUACAUUCAUCCACAACUUGAACAAUGGACUAAACCUUGAAUUGCAAGUUUUGUGCGGACAAGUUUCAUUCAAAGUCGAAACUAGUACCUGGCUGCCAGUAGCCUACCCCGCAGGUGGAGCAUAUUCAGCAUACUCCUUGGUCUCUUCAUGAGAUUACUGGAAAUCACCCAAGUCUCAUAGACUGCGAUGUUUUAUAGUCGGGCUCAUAUAGGUGUGUUCUUUCAAAAAUGCUCUGUUGGACAGCAUCUUCGCUUAUUAAUCAAGCCAAUAGAAGUACAUUAAAGCAUAUUGCUAACCUUCCUUACAACAUUUGAGAGUAUUGCAUCUUCACAUAGAGAGAGUUUAUUAAUUAUUCUCCUCAGUCAACCGAUAGCUUAUUUUUCCCAAAUCCUAAUUCACGGGAUCUCCGAUCACAUAGGUUGGGUUACCACUGCGGCAACUCAAAUGGGUCUCAUACCCAUCUCCCUCGAUGCACAUUCUAUCACAUUCCGUGAUAACCCUUUUGUAAAGGGAUUUGCCAGGUUUUUGUCUGUUUGAAUAUAAGUCACACUUAUUACUUCAGAGUUUCUCAACUUCCUGACAGACUUCAGUCAUUUCUUGACAUGUCUUGAUGACUUUGCGUUAUCCUUAGCACUGUUCACUUUGACUAUCACCGUUUGAUUGUUACAUUUCAUAAGGAUUGCCGGCACUGGUUUAUCAACCACAGGCAAGUCUAUCAAGAGAUCACCCAACCACUCUGCCUCAACAGUGGCUGUUUCCAAAGCAGUAAGUUCUGCUUCCAUGCUUGAUCUCAUCAGAAUGGUCUAUUUGCAAGACCUCCAUGAUAUUGCACCACCUCCAAGGGUAAACACAUAUCCACUCGUGGCAUAUAGGUUAUCAGUGUUCGAAAUCCAGUUUGAAUCACUAUAUCCCUCAAGCACAACAAGGUGCCCGGAAUAGUGAAUCUCAUAACUCAUAGUACCCACCAAGUAGUGCAUAACCCUUUCAAGUUCAUGCCAAUGAUCAGAACCCGGGUUUGACAUGAACCUGCUCAAUUUGUUCACAGCAAAAGCUAUGUUGGGUCUCGUUGUGCUAGCUAAGUACAUGAGUGAACCGAUAAUCUGAUAGUAUCUCAGUUGGUCUUUAGCAGUUUUGUUGUUCUUUCUGAGUAUCACGCUGGGAUCAUAAGGUGUUGGAGAAGGCUUGCUUGUCCAUAGAACCAAAACGGUUCAAAACAUUCUCCACAUAAUGGGAUUGCGAAAGAGUAAUCACAGUCUCAUCCUUAAUGAGCUUGAUGUUCAUAAUAACAUCAGGUUCUCCCAGAUCUUUCAUAUCAAAGGUUUGUGAUAGAAAAAUUUUGACCUCAUUGAUCACAACUAUGUUUGUGCUAAAGAUCAGUAUGACAUCCACAUACAAGCACAAUAUAAUUCCUUCACCCCCACCAUGGCGAUAGAGCACACAUCUAUCAGCCUCGUUAAUGAUAAAGCCGCAGAAGUUAAAGUUCUGUCAAACUUAUCAUGCUAUUGCUUAGGUGCUUGUUUCAUGCCAUACAAAGACUUCAACAACACACCUUGCUUUCUUGACCCUUCACCACAAACCCGUCAGGCUGAUCCAUAUAGAUCUCCUCAUCCAACUCUCCAUUUAGGAAAACUGUCUUUACAUCCAUCUGGUGGAUGAUAAGACUAUACAAGGCAGCCCAGAGAAAGAAUCGAAUCCAUCUCACUUUGGAUAGCUUCUUUCCAAUAGUCUGCAUCUGGAGAUGCAUACUCCUCAGUGAUGGAUGUGGGAGUAUUGUCCACAAGGUACACAGUGAAAUCAUCACCAAAGGAUUUUGCAACCCUCUAUCUCUUGCUCCUUCUAGGAGCUUCACUGUCAUCCUUCUCUAGGAUAUCCUCAUGCUCAUGCUCAUCGGAUUGUUCAGAAAACUCAACAGGUGCAAUAGGUUCAAGAGUUAUUUCAGCAGAAAAUCUAGAGUUUCUAUGCAUAUCUUUAAGAGGAAAUAUAUUCUCAAAAAAUAUUGCAUCACAAGAUUCCAUAAUAGUAUCAACAUGCAUAUCAGGGACCUCAGAUUUAACCACUAAAAAUCUGUAAGCAAUGCUCCUCUGAGCAUAUCCUAGAAAGACACAAUCCACUAUAUUAGGUCUUAACUUGCGCUUCUUUGGAAUGGAUACAUUGACUUUCGCCAAGCACCCCCAAGUACGCAAAUAAGAAAGUGAUAGUUUUCUCCCGAUCCACAUCUUAUAUGGAGUUUGAUUUUUAUUCUUGUUCGGAACUUUAUUCAGGACAUGACAUGAAUUCAAUAGAGCCUCCCCCCACCAUGCCUUAGAUAAACUAGUCGUAUCUAACAUGGAAUUAACCAAGUUAGUCAGUGUGCGGUUUUUCCUCUCAUCAAUCCCGUUGGACUCAGGUGAACAAGGAGGCUUCUUCUCAUGAAUAAUACCAUGUUCCUCAUAGAAUUCAUCAAAAAAAUUUGGAAAGUACUCGACACCACGAUCAGACCUUAGACGUUUGAUAUUUCUCUCAAGUUGAUUCUCAACCUUAGCCUUAUAAAUUUUAAAAGUAGUCUAAUGUUUCAUCCUUAAUUUGCAACAUGUAAACAUAGAAAAAUCUAGUCGCAUUAUCAGUCAAAGUCAUGAAGUAUCUCUUUCCACCUUUUGUCAACACAUCAUUCAUCUCGCACAGAUUAGAAUGUAUGAGUUCUAGAUGUGCCAAGUGUCUCUCCUCAGCCUCCUUGUGAGGCUUCCGAGGUUGCUUCGAUUGCACACAACUAUGGCACUUAGAACCUUUGGCAAUGGUGAGGUUCAGAAUUAAACACAUGCUGAAAAGCCGAGACAUUAAACCAAAAUUAAUAUGACACAAACAUGAAUGCCAAAUACUCGCAUCAUCACUAACGUUGCCACAAAUAUGGUUCAUGGAAUUAUUACAAAAAUCUACAAGGGAAAAGCGGAACAAGCCUCUGCACUCAUAGCCUAAACCAACGAAUUGUCCAUAUUUUGACAUGACUAAUUUAUUGGAUUCUAACACUACCUUAAACCCAUCCUUGCACAGGACCGAGCCGCUCACAAGAUUCUUGUUGAUAGUAGGGACAUGCUGCACGUUCUUCAGCUGCACGUUCUUUCCCGAAGUAAACUUUAGAUCUACCGUAUCAACACCAUGAACAGCAGCAUGUGACCCAUUCCCCAUCAACACAGAGGAAUCCCGGGUGACCUGGUAAAAAGAAAAUAUGGAGAUGUCAGCACACACAUGAACAUUGGCAUCCGUAUCAAACCACCAGCUAGUGGAAUGAAAAACUGAAAGAACAGUAGGUAGAUUACCGUACCCGUCUCAAAUGUUGCCUAUGGUCACCAUGUUGACAUCCUAGGACCCAUUGGCCCUUCUGCCCUUGCAGUCUGCAUGCUCUGGACAAUCCUUAGAGAAGUGUCCAAGCUCACCACAAGUGUAGCAGUUCAUCCCAGCCUUAUUCUUCUUCUUCUUGAAGGUAAUAGUCUUGACGACUUUGUUCUUCCCUUUGUUCUUGCCACGUGGAAAUUUCUAGACCAUGUUGGCGCUAGACUGACCUUGGUCUCCUUUCUCAGUAGUGUCCUUUUUCCGAGCUUUCUCCUCAACAUCAAGAGACGCUACCAGAUUUUCAACCGAUAUCUCCUGUCUGCUAUGUUUCAGAGUAGUGGCAAAAUUCCUCCAUGAGGAAGGCAACUUUGCAAUUAUGCAACCAGCCACAAACUUGCCAGGUCUUUGACACUUAAGGAACUCAAGAUCCUUCACAAUGCACUGCACCUCAUGGGCCUGCUCUACCACAGAACGGUUGUUCACCAUCCUGUAGUCAUGGAAAUUGUCCAUGAGGUAUAGUUCAUUGCCUAAAUCUGCUGCAUCAUAUCUUGCAACCAGAGCAUCCCACGGCACCUUCGCAUCUAUCAUGUCUAUGUAGACAUCAACCAGACGGUCAGAUAUAUUGCUAAUGAUACAUCCCACGAAAAGGUUAUUGGCAUCAUCGAACUUUUUCUGCGCUUCAACAGUAAGUUCGCCUUCAAGUUUGCCAAGCCUCGUGUCCCAGAUGUUCAUAGCAUUAAACCAGAUAUGAACCUUUGAUUUCCACCUCUUAAAGUUCACACCGGUAAAUUUUUCCGGCCUCAUUGACUUAAAGGCCAAAUAACUAAAAACUAAAAUGGCAAAAGGAAAUUGUGCCCCCGCAAGGCUGGAGGCCGGAUUUCGGUGGACCAUUCACGUAGGUGUCGCACGCCCGCACCCUUCACCUGGCCCGGCCUAGCGAGGCGAGGCGAGGCGUGGCGAGCGAGCACGCGCAUGUGGGAGCUUUCCUUCUCUCCCCACACACAUAGCUUGGAGGAGUGAAGACAACCUCCAUAUUUAUGUUGGCCAACCUUCUCCUCCAUUAGCAAUGUGGGACUAAAGGUUUGCACCACUCCAACCACUUGCUCAUGCCCACAUGGGCCUUUGAGAUUUAUUUGGAAUUUCUGAAACUGCAACGGGACAAGCCCAUUAUUUCAUCAGGUAUUGGACCUAUUGCAAUUGUUUGGGGAAUAAAUUAGACCUACAUUUGUUUGGAGAAUUAAGUGGCCAAAGUGGGUUACUGGGUGAAACAAACUUUCUCCAUACAAGGCUUCUUUCAUUGUCCAAUGCAAAAUGGCACUGGCGGAGCUACUCAUUGGCCAAGGUGGGCCAUGGCCCGCCCUUGCCCAGUGACAGUUUCUGAAGAGCUAAGCUAGCAACCCUCUCGUCGUCCAUUGACUCAGAAAUAUGCAACAACAAUCUCAGCCAAUUAGCAGUUCAUCUAGAAAGAAACAGAGGUCCUGCGUGAUCUGAUCAUGCCCUUCCAGCAAGCAAAGCAAGACCUUGGUGCACGCAAUCGCUCGGUGAUAACGAGUCCUUGACUUCCGCACCUCCCAAGCACUCUCAAACCACUGCAAUAACUGCAAGCUGCCUACUUGUUGCUCGUUGUCAGGUGUCGAUAAGUCAGGUCGUAGCUCCUUUUGUCUUGGAACAAUGACAUUUGUGUGAACCUGAACAUUAUUUGGUUUGAAUAAAAAAAAUAGCAACGCCAGUCAGCACCGUGGCAGGCAGUGGGCGUGCACCAGCAACAUGGCGCGGGGUGCCAGGAAGUUCUUCGCGCCACGAAGAAAUAUGGUGGGAGGGAAGCAGGCUGGGAGGACGGAAAAAAAGGAAGGGGUAGCAAUGAUUAGGGAUAAUGUGGUCAUUGUCUAAGUCAUUAAAUAUUGUUUAGUCCCUACAUCUAAACAGGGGGGACUAAGACUAAAAAUAAGCAAGUGGAAACCAAACACAGCCUAAGACUAAGGGCAGUCCCAAUGGGACAUUGAUGAUAGUUUCUAUCCCUCUUAAUUGUCAUGCCAACUAAGCAAUUUGCUGAUGUGGCAGUAGAUUUAUUAUGGAGAGAGAGAGAGAAACCAUUUCUUAGAGAGGAAACCAAGUCCUCACGCGCACCAAUGAGCCAAGAAACCAGCGAAUCUGCAUUGGAGAGACCCAAGUAGUUUCUUCUUACUUAUUGCCGGAUUCUUUGCGCUUGCACCGCUGCUACCCAUCACUCGAGCUCCUUUACAUGAUGCACAGAGGAUCUGGUACUAGAAGGGAGAAUGAUUGGUUGGAUUUUUGUUUAGACUCUAGAUAAAAAAGUUGCAUUGUGAAGGAUGAUUUCUUGAUACAAUAUCCUAGACUAUGGAAACUAGGUUGGUUUCUCCCAUUGGGACUGCCCUAAACAGACUGUAGCAAUCAGCCCCUCCUUACAUUGAUUCCUAGCUCCGCCACUACAAAAUGGGUGUGUUAUUCAUAUAUACCUCUAAUAAUUACUUCACUACUUACGUGCAUGCAUUAAAUGUUUCAUUUUAAUAGAAAUCCAGUCAUACUUAAUAGUUUCUGGGUCUAUGUGCAAGGUGAAACAAACUUUGUAACUGCAAAUGGAGAGAGUUUUUUUUUUCUCCAAUUCAAUUCAUGUGGUAAUUUUUUGACUAAAGGUGAAGAAGACUUCUUUUAUUGACCAAUUGCUAUGACAAUGGAUUAUACCUUCUCUUUCCUCGUGAGUUUGGGUUCCGAUGCUAAUGUAAUUGAAGUGUGCAACGAGAUAUAACCAAGAGAUGUCGAGUAAAACCCAAGUACAGUGAGAUUUACUUGGUUAUCUGAAUAUCCUAGUUACUUGUAAAAACUCUUCGUAACAUACAGAUUGUCAUUCCUUAGUCUUUUCAUCAUGAGUUUGCUAUUUGUUAGCAAUUUUUGUAUACAGCGGAAUAAAGAUAAUACUUUGUCUAUAAAAAGUUGUUUUCCUUUGAAACUCAAUGUUAUACACUAUAUUUAUUUGCAAUAUAUAUUAUGUACAGCUUAUGUUGACUUGGGUAAUUAAGCCAACAGAUAUUCUUCUCAAUGGAAAAAAGUACCACAACUGUUAAUCCAUGACCUAGUGUGAAUCCACGUCCUAGGUAGAGAGAUUAAGGCCCUGUUUGUAUACGUUUUUCCUAGCCACGCUUGGAUUAUAAUCUAAGCGAAGAUUUUCUCGCUUCUCGCUUUUCGCUUCUCGUAGUUCAAAUCGUUGAAGCGGCUUACCACAUAAGCAAGAAUCGGUGGAAAUAAGCAAAGCGUUUGGCGGGAUUCUCGCUUAUUUUCACCGAUAAGCCGCUUAUAAGUAGAUACAAACGGGACAGAUUGCUCUGCUUUUGUUUCUUCCUCAGUCGAAGAAUGAAAUUCCAAGGAAGUAUGUAUCGGUGCACCCGUAUGCUUCGAUGCAUAUCACCGACAGGUGGUAUGGGCAUCGUCAUCGAGACGUCGACCGUACCCAAGUAGUUUAAUCUUUGCUCACGAGUAUUCGCUGCUCACGAGUAUUUGUCAAUUGCCGUCGAUCGGAGGAUGCUGUCUCAUCAGCUUACUGUCAGAUAGCUACCGGCUCCCUUACGAGUCGCAUCGGCAUCGCCCCGAGACGAAACAAUGCUGGAGACAGCGGUUGCCGCCAUAUGGGAUAUUGUUACUAGGGCCGGAGUAAGGAUCGAGAAGCCACAGCACCCGGCCCAAACGUGGGCAUGAAAAUGACCGUGGAGCAUGCAAGUUGUUCAAUUUGCCACUUGUGUUCAAGCUAAAGAUGCUGAUGGAUAUACGUACGACAUGGCCCCACCUACAUAUGUUCCAAACUGGAACGGGUGAACAAUCAAGGCAGAUAUUCUUUAAGACCUUAAAUAAGUCACUUCCGUCUAGUGCCGGGAAAUGGACGCCUUUUGUCUCUUGCAAGGCUAGUUUUGGCAGAUUGUUGGGCCUCAGAUUUCUAAGCUUCAAUGUGUUUUUGGUUCGACCAAAAUUUUCUGAGGUAUGGGCUUGUCUAGCAACUAGAUUGCACACUCCUUUCCACACAGUUUAAGCGUACAUCCAAGAUGGUGAUUUCAGAGGUCCCAAUCAAGUUCAGCAUGAAAAUGACCGUGGCUAGUUACGUACUCUUCACUCAUGGAAUCCUUAACACCUAAUUAGUUAAUAAAGUUGAUGGGAGUCUAAGAAAUGAAGAACUCAUUUACCUGUGCAGUUUAGGGAGGGCAAAACAAGGAAAUUAAAGGAUUUUAUAUGGUACAGAUCGGAGCUAUAUAUGAUCGAGGACAACUAAGACAGCUAUAUACCGCUGCGAGGAGGACGCUGAGGAACGCGUUGAGGAGGCUGGCCAUCUCGUCGAGCUCGAGCAGCAGCUCGACGCCGCUGCAGCAAGGAUGCCGAGGCUGCCGCCCAUCGAUCGCGCUGAGCUUGAUCAGUUCUCGGUAAAGCCAGGUCAACGUCCCACGGUGUUGCUCCGCCUACUGUCGUGCUCGUGGAUACUAUUUGCUUGGUGAGUGGAUAAGGUAGCUGGUAACUACGCUGCUACCCAGCUCCUCCCUCUGAUGUUAAGAUUGUGGAAGGCUGGCAAAGCAUGCGUUGAUGCAAACUAUUUCUUUCUUUUCUUCUCGAUUCUUUUUUUUUUUGACAAGGUUCUAGGAUAAAUUGUACAAGGUUCACGAGAACUAUCUGUUUCAUGAAAUGUUCAUGCUUAUCGGAACAAAAGGUUCAUUUGUCAUUAAAAAAGGAAAAAAGGAGCUACUAAUGGAUUCGUCUGCUGAUUGCUGUUUCAGUAGUGCUGGAGACUUAAUCUCUGAUUUCAGCCUUAGAAUAAGGGUGCAUAAACAAGAUUAGGUGUUACAUUUAGGUUUUAAUUGAGGUUGAAACCUAGCUGUACAAAAAUAAAUGGCACAUGCUUUUGUACAUGGCGAUGUUUAAAGUUUUUGAAGAUCAUUAGAAAAAUAUGAUAGGUGAUGCCUAGAACUAUCUUGAUUUUUUUUGUUUGUACAUAUUUCCCUUCUUCUGUUGCUCUUCAUGACCAUCAGUAUUUAUGGGUUCAUCACAAUCGGUACCAACGUGUACAUAAGUACCUUAUUAGUGAAAGGUAUUAAUUUGUAUUAGUAAUGGAUUUAACAUCUAUUUACGGGUUUAUCAUAAAAUGUACCACGGUGUACCUUGCUGAUUAGUGAUGGAUUUCAUGUGCGGUACCUCGGUGUACCAAAAUGAAUAUGGAACAUAUUUGAGAGAAAUGUGGGGUCAAAUCUGACAUGAAGACAGAUUAAAAAAAUUAAGACCAUGUGUAAUGGUUACUUUUUCAUACGUGUCAUGCUCAUUGUACUUUUAAUAUAUUUUUUAACUUUUUAACGGGAGCAAGUGGCGCUCGUUUGAACAUGUGGUGCAGAAUCAUCCACCUAAUGCAUGCAUCACUGGGGGCACAAUGAAGGCGUACUACCGAGACGGUCGGUCGUGGCACGCCAAGUCUAACUCUCCGUGGCUUGGUCGUCAAUGCAACUGUACAAGGAAGACAACUACCGCGAUUGACUAGCUUCGGUCGUAGGGCCCGCCUUGAUUUGUUACUUUUGGUCGAGGAGAACGACCCAUGUGAUGGAGUUGGCCGCCGUUCUAUGCCAGUUUGCGUGCGGGUUGCUACCAAAUCAAAUUAAGUGUGCCCCUUUCAAGCUUUGCAAGAUUCUAUGCUAGGUGGGGAUUUAGCUACUGUACGCUGCAGUGCUAUACUCUAGCACAAACUGGUCUCUUCCUUUAAUGUUAAUUGCCUGUUCUGUUGACCGACCUGGAGGCUUCUAGCUUUCGAUUCUUGCAAAUGGGGAUAUAGAUAAUUCCACAACUUUAGAGGAAACACAUCGAUAUGGGACCAUUCCCAGUGAAAGUUUCAUUAUUUACAAAUGAGAUUCUACAUAAGCAAAUACUAUAACAUAGUUGGAAUUAUAGAGAGCGGAAAUGAAUUUCAUCCAUAUGAAAUUCGGUUCGCAUGAUUUCCAAUACAAUGAAACUCUUUGAAAUAUCCCUGAAGGACUAGAGUUUAUUUCAUCAUAUCAUGUGCCCAAUCAAACGAUUCCACAUCAUGCAUGAAUUAAAUACUAUAGCCACCUAUGAAAAUACAAAUUGAAACUUGCAUUAUUGAGAGGGAUUGUUUCAUUUAACAAAUCAUCAUGACACUCUCGAUGCACUACAAGAUAUGAUAUCUUUUAGUGUCUAUUAUAUUUUCUUUUAGUGGCCCACAAUUUUCUUGUACAAUUUUCAUAUUUCCUAACAAUUUUAUCAAAUCACCAGCAAUGCAGUUCCCUACAGUAAUGUUGACUAGUUAUCCAAAUAUAUUAAAAACCAUUGACCAUUAGCCACCUGUAAAACAAACUACUCCCUCCGCCCCAUAAAUACUAUUCGUUUAGCUUCCAAAACUUGUUCCACAAUGAGUGUUUAUAUAAUUUUCAGACCAUCCAACAAAAACCCUCAUAAUACCUUCUAGCCUAGUUAACGAAUCAAUCUACUAUAUCAUCGAUGCCUGAGCCAGACUCGCUAAAUAAGAAAGGCUAAUAAGAAAGGCUAAUAGGUCCGACAUUAAUACAAGCAUGCAUGCAUAAUUAAUUCUACUCGGUAAUCCAUCCGAUUAAGAAGAGUUAUUAGGAGUAUUUUGGACUUUUAGAAUUGCUACUAUCUUGUCUAAAAUUUUCUGAAGGGGUAGUCUUUGUGAGAUGGAGGAAGUAUGCAGAAAUGCUAGAAGUUCCGUACUGAUGACAUGGCACCCUAGGAAACAACUAACAAAAUGAAACUUGACAUUAAAAUUGUCCUGAGAGCAUAUAAUUUGCAAAUAUUUUGGAGGUGACAGAAGUAAUUCUUGACAGCUUUAAUUUGGGAUGGCGGAUUAUUGAAUCCAAAACUUAAAUUUGGAUGGAAGCUAUUGCCACUUGUGCUCCCUCUUCAUGUGCUGACAUGUGCAUGUUGUGACAGGCUGACAGCACCUGCUGAACUAACGCGACCCAGAAAUGGAGCGGUCAAGCUAUCUAUUACUCGGGCAGCAUGAGCAGUACGAAACCAUUGCCAAAGGCAAACCACACAUCGGCCUCCUCCAUUAUUGCAAACGUUCGUUUAAUUUCUUUCAGAGUUUUGACAAAAAUUAACGAACCAUGGGACACGUCGGAAGGCCGGAGGUGCUGAUGAUCAAUCGCUACGUGAGGCUUCGGACCGCCACGGGAACAUGGGCAUAUUCGCUUCAGCUUAUUCAGCUGGCUUAUCAGCCAUCAAACAGUGUUUUCCUCUCACAACAAAUCAGCCGUUUCAGCUUUUCAGCCGGCUUAUAAACUGAACCGAACGGGCCCAUUGCAACCGCUCUGGAACUCCUGGCGUUGCUGUGGUCCACCGUCGUGCUCCUCGGAGGCUUCGUCGGCGAUCUCCUGCUCAAGGAGUUCUGGGUCCUCACUGCACUCAGCUUCCUCAUGGCAUGCAGGUAAUACAUUAGCUUUCCUUAUAAGUGAACCUGCCAUCCAAGUUCUUCAUUUUCCUUCUAUGUAUGCCUGCCAUUGCCGUUGCGUCCGUCAAAACUUGUGUCGCCGUUAAUGCCAAAUUUUCACUCUAAUGGCCCCUCGGUUGACUGAUCGACGAGAGACAUAUAGAUCACCAAAACCCCAUAUGCAAGUGAGAGACCAGAUAGGAAGGGAGCGAAGACGGCCUGAGCAGGAUAGCGAGGUGGUGUCAGCGGAACGGCACUAGUGGACCUCAAAAGUCAAAAUCGAGCGCCAAUAAAAAAGAGUAACCAUGCACGAAUUUGGCCGCGGCGGAUCUUGAAAUCGAGAGCCGGCGGGCAAACUUGGCGCCAGCUUACCUGGAAUCAAGUGCCGAUUAUUUUAAAAAAACGGUAAUGCUACGGAACGUAUAUCCGGAAUCUUAAAAAACCGAACGGCUUGACAUAUUUUACAAUAGUUUAGAUGUUGCAACUAUUAUUAUUUCUGUAUGUUUCAUAAUGAAUGUUGCAUGAGACAUAGUGUUCAUGUUGCAGCGGAAAUUUUGUAUCUUAGAGUCGAACAACGUAGUCAUUUUUACAUAUUACUUUUGAAUAUUGCACAUUGUGAUCGAUCAUAUUUCACUAGGUAAUUUUUAUUGUUUUGUCAAAGCAUCCGAAGAGAAAUUUUCCAUCGAACGUGCGCUAGCAACACCAAAACGAGUGCCUGUUUUAGAACUCACACCCACCAGGCCGGUUCUUGAACCCAAUCAUGCCUCUUUUCCUAGGUGUUUCCAUUGUCGGUGUUUUAUACCUGGCAACCUACCGAGGGGUAUCCCGAGGUAGUAGAUUGGUUGGUGGGGGAUCAUUGGAUCUAGAACUUGAUGGUAAAAGCGAGGACACAAGACACAGAUUUAUACAAGUUCGGGCUGCCAAUGUAGCGUAAUACCCUACAUCCUGUUUGGGUUUUGUAUAUUACACCCUGCGCUUGGAUGUUGUUUGGUAUUGAGAAUUUGGUCCUCUGUUGUGGUUCUACCAAUCUAGAUACCCCUACCCUUCUUUAUAUACUCCAUGGGGCAGGAUAACUAGUCGAUUACAAGGAGGAGUUUUAGUAGAAUUACAUGAUAUGAGUUGUAGUAGGAUUACAGAAUCCUAGUUGGAGUCCAUCUUCUUCCUUCCUUGCGAGUACUGGGGAUCUAUCCCCGAUAAGCUCCCAAGCGCUUCAUAGUCGAGUGCAGCAACCCUCAAGUACUUUUCAGAUCCUCACCGAGUAGUUCUAGUGCUCUUCGAGUACUUUGUCUAGCUGAAUCUUCAAAGUGCUUCAAGGAUGCCACAAGGCUAUGGUGUCCUCAAGCCUUUGAUCAUCUAGAUUUGUAAUCUUCAUCAUUGGAAUGUCACAUGGAGGGUGGCGAAAGUCGCACUCCAUAUGAAUUAAGCUGAGGGUCAAUAAAAUCUUGAAUCUUUUUCUUUCACCUUGAAAAAAUCAACUACUGAAUGUAGCUUAUCAGCCCCCGAGCCUUGGAAUGAUUAAAUAAUCAAUUCAAGGGUCUAGCGAGCUUUAGUCUUCACGUCAAUUGUCAUCUGAGUAGUUUUGCGGCGUCCAGCCCCUGAGCUUAUGCGCCAGGUGAGCCGUAGGAGCAACAUUGAGUAGUGAUUUGGCGCUUAGCUCCCAUUGGGAGCUAACUUAGCCAUUGGAAAUAUUCUGAGUAGUAAUAGGUGCUUAGCCCCCAAGCCUGGGGAGCUAGGAGAGGUACGUUGAGCGUCAUAGAAAGUCAUCGCUGAAGCUUGAUCUACAAAAAGAGAUGCAUACAUUAUGUAGCAUAUUUGUAGAAUUUUGAAGAUACUACCAAAAUUUAUUCGGUAAUGAAUGUAAAUGUUGUGUGUGAUGCUCUUGUUUUCGCCAUAUUUCUCUCGAAUAGUUAGCAUGUUACGUUUAGGCUCUUAGUACCUAUUUAGCUAUUGCCACUGUGUGUAAGAUCUUUGUCUCGUGUAUGCAUACUGGCACCGCUGCUAUACGUCUGAGAUCUUUGUCUCAUGUACACGUCCUAGAGUUUAGGCAUGACAGAAGAUCCGAGGCUUCAACGGAUUGAGGCGUGUUCUGUUCGAGGAGAUUAGUGACCGCUAAUAGGAGACAACAAAAAUAAGUAGUCGACAUUGCAACAAAAAGAGAGCGCGAUUGCGCGUAAAGUAGUUGAUGAGACUUUUCUACCUUAUGGCGAGAAGAGCACGUGUUGCCAUGCAUAGGAUUUGUGCCUCCUUAGGGUAUAGCUGCUACGAGCCUCCAGGACUCAGUGCACCAAACCCAUGGCCAUAGCCUCCAUAAUUCGAUGUACCAAUCCCGUGGUGGUCGAUCAAAUAAUUGGCAAAGUGUAGCUCUAGUGGGUAAUUCCUGUUGAGAGGCGUACACAAAUAAGUACUCAGCACUUUGCCCAUCAUGUGAAAAACAAGUUAGAAAAAAUAUGUGAAAUAAUUAAAAAAGUGACUUAGCUUGAUUUCGUAGACGUUUGUCGACGAAGACGUGGCGGUUGUCAUGAAGCUGCGAUGGUUGUUGAUGAAGCAGACUAGUCGGAGUCGAUUCCGACUAGUUGUUGAUCAUGUGGAACCUGCCCUCGACAGUUUGUCGUCAAGACGGGAAGUUUUAGGUAGUCGCUAUUGUGUCACCAAGCGUUCUGGUGAAGCCAGCGCAAAGUCCCAUGUGCAUCUUGAGUACGUGUAGUGAAGAGGAACAGAUCUCCUAGCGGCCUUGCGGGUACGUGUACUGAAACCCCAAAAAUAGCCUUGCAUGGAGAGUACUCAAGCUGAUAGUUUUCUCGAUCCGCGUACAAGCAGUAGAUGGAAUAUUGAUUGGCCUUCAUUGCUUCAGUAUAGGAUUCGGCACCUGGAGGCAAUUAGCUUAAGAUGCAUCGUUGGUGACUUCGACUCAAAGAUGGAAAAAUAAUUCUGCCGGUAUUUUUCCUUCUCACGAGCGUGGAGCAGUAGCAGAUCAUCAGCCUUGAGCGACGCAUGGAGCCAUGGAGGAUGAUCAGCUAUAGCAGUGGAGCAGUAGCAGAUCAUCAGCCUUGAGUGACGCAUGGAUCCAUGGAGGAUGAUCAGCUAUAGCAGCGUGACCAGUCUACAGCUUUUUGCAUGCAGACGAGCUGACAACCGAUUGAUCUCCUGCAAGCUUCUUGUAUCCGCUUCGAAUUGGAACUCGGCAACUUGCUUCUCAUCAAGUAGAUUGAUUUUGAAGAUGAGGUACUUCAAGCUCGCCCAAUGAUCUUGAUGAUCACCCCUACCUAACGCGUUAGAUGUCGGUGUUUUAUACGUGACAACCUACCAGAGGUAUCCCGAGGUAGUAGAUUAGUUGGUGGGGAAUCGCCGGAUCUGGAACUUGAUGGUAAAAGUGAGGAUACAAGACGGAUUUAUUGGACGAGAUUAUGGCGAUGCGGGUGGAGAUAUUGGCAACAGAUCAAAACUGAACGCCGCACUGGACAUCUUCUGUGGCCUAAUUCUGUUCCAGAGUUUAUUCGCCUUCUACUACAUAGUCAUUUUCUGGGUGGAUGUUGUAUUGGAAUCACGAACGGAAAAACAUUGUGGGCUUGAAGAAGGCGUGAAGAAAUCGUUCGCAUCUACUCUUCAGAAACAGCUAGGAAGUUCAAGAAGGACGGGGAGCUGCCUGGCAAUUGGAACUUGAUCUGAUCGCAUACGGUGUAGAGCUGCUCCAGUCUGCAACUCGGGAUGACCAUCUAUGGGGAGCAAGGGUGUUAGACCAGUUGUUCAGUAAGGAUAAGUCUGUAAGACAGGAGCUGUUAUCUUCCAGGAGCUGUAUCCAGAAUCUGAUCGGCAUGAUUGGUCUGAGAGGCACAGCUGAAAACACCAAGAACAGAGAGCGUGCCGCAAGGAUUGUAGCACACCUUGCCAGUGACCUCAAUAUAGCUCACUUUCCGGGUACACUGCAAUGCACCUGUUCCCUACUUGAAAGAUGUAAUAAGCAAUCUUGUGAGCCACAAGCUACCGGUCCGUCGGAGAACCCUGAUAAAAAGGAUCGAAAUGCUGCUGACACAGUACUGCAGAUCAAGGACCAAACUGAACAUGAAUCUGGAGGAGCCAGAGGGAUGGUUUCUCAAGGCCUGCUGAUUCUCGAGGGGCUCACACAGAACGAAGAGAACUGUGCAGAGAUAAGCAAACACCCAAGGCUGCUCUCUAAGAUCACAUCACCACUGCUGAUUUCUCAAGGCCUGCAGAUCCUUGAGAGGCUGACACAAGAUGAAGAAAACUGUACUGAGAUAACCAAACACCCAAGGCUGCUCUCUAAGAUCACAUCACAUAACUUCCUCAGCAAUACGGGGGACAACACAAUGGUUGAAAUGCUAAGCAGGUCACUCACUGUGGUGAACAGGCUACUUUCAGUCCUGGUGAUGGCGCCACAAGGCUGCGCCAGGAGAUGGCAGGUAACAAGGAAGCUGUCAGCAAUCUGGUGGCUAUUUUGGGGACUGACAGUGAAGGUGCCCAAAAACUGCAUGAACAAGCCCUGGAGAUCCUGGCAGAGUUAGCCUUUGAUGGUUCUUUCACAAAACCAGCUUUUGGUGAGUCUGAAUGCAUGCUCGACAAGCUUUUCAAGACCCUGCAACGCAUCUUCCUUGAGGAGAAGGAUGGCAAUGCUGUGGUGGGAGAAGCAGACAGAGAGAAAGACACCAGACUGAGGGGAAAAGCAGGGGAAAGACUCGCCAGAUUGCUUCCCGUUCGCGCUGCAAGAGAUGCUAAUAAUGUUGCUGGUAUUUUUUCCAAGCAAGAUGAGAUCAACCUAUUGACCAAGGUAACGAGUAAUUCGUUAACUCCUUUCGAUAAUUUACAUACAGAUAAAAAUGGUGGCUAGAGAUGAAUUACAUCAAUCUGUAUCAUGUAUGAUACAGUUAUAACUUGCCGAUCCUCUAUAUAUGUUGUUGCAGGUGUUCGAUCAAAUAUUAUCUAGUAAAAUAGGAACAGCUACAGGUGCAACCAUAGGGUCUUGUGCAAGCAAUGAAAGGCAAUCUGAUAAAAGAAAAUUGUUGGCAGCCAUGUUAUCCCUCGUCGUGGUGAUAUGCAACGAACACAUUAUCAGUACAGAAGAUUUUGUUCGUGCCAUCCAUGAAGAUGCAGCACUGGUGAAGAAGCUCGCGGAGGUACUGAAAGUAAACAAGCAAUGCACGGCUGAGUGUUUGAGAGUAGCGAAGCUUACCUGCCAGGUGGUGAUAGCUAUGGUUCAAGCCAAGCCCAGCUUCGUCCAACAUUUCAAUGAACAUAACUUCAAGGAAGAACUGACCGAGGCUUUGGAAAUCAUGUCGGAGGUUGAUGGCUGCAUGCUCUUUGCUUCUCUUGUGAAGGAAGCACAUAAACUCCUAAACAGCGCACAAGAACAUGGUAAAUGAUAUAUCUUCCUUGAACAGACUCAUUUCUUCAAAUUGAGACCACAAAGGGAAGCUCUUGACAAAUGGAACUUUGAUAGAGCUUUGUGUACUGUGUAGGCGGUAGCACGUUGACUUUCUGAUUACUUAUAGUUACUACUAUUGAUUGUUGCUGUCAGGUGUUCGUCCAACAGAAUUUCAUUAAUUAAGCUACCACGGCCUUCAGGUUGUGUUUGUGAUCAACAAUCACACUGAAAAACUGAGUAACCUUCAAGAAAUUGAAAUCCAUGAGUUGACAGGAUCUGAACAUGAAGUUUCUUUUGUGAAGCGACUAUUUGAUCGGGCAACAGCAGUGAACAAGGUGAUAAACUUCAGAGUCAUCAACCACUGAAAGCAAGGCCAGGAAUAUGCAUGGAGAAUGAUGCAUCGUAACCACAAGAAUGUACGUGUUAUAUGCACAUGAAUACUUCUAGUAGUAGAAUAUGAACCAUGGACUCAUAUGUGUAUCAGAAUUUCGUAAUUUCUAUUUUGAUGCCUGCUGCAGUGCAUGACAACAUGAAAAUGCUAGCACGCAGCUCAUUGAAAAAUGUGGAAUCCAUUUACCUUAUGGUUUAUUCUUAUUAAUGUUGUGUUUCUUACGCAUGGAACUUUUAAGUGUUCUUUUGACAAACCUUGAUGUGUAAAAGAUUGUAAUGUUCGGAUACUAAGACUGGAAAUACUGUUUCUUGUUGCCCAUCCAUAAUAAGCAUUUUAUUCAAUUUUUCAAUUGUAAUCAAGAUUUUUCAAAUAGAGCAUGUUGUAUGGAUUGCCUCCGGGAUAGCUCGUGCAAUCAAAUAUUUUUUUAAAGAGAAAUGACAUCGUAUUUCUCAUUUAUGGAUCACUGCGAAUUCAUUUGCCCCUUACCAUAAAUCUUGACAGGUGCCUUCAUGUGAUGCCAUUUUACAAAAUCCUGGUUGUGCAUAUCCAUCUUAUGUGCUAUGUGUCAUAUUACAGAAGUGCUGAUUCAAAUCCAUAUUUUGAACUUCCGAUAAUUCUUAGUGCAAAAGCAUUUUGAUCUUCAAGAAAAUUUCAGAAAUUACCAUUAAAUCCGUGAUUCACUAUCAGGUUGCACACCUUUCACAACUCUCCACUCCGCGCCUAGAAUGUAAUGUGCCAUUCUUAUAUUUUUUAAAAAAGAAAAUAUUUUUCAUGUGGACCAAAAUUCGCCAUAGUUAUGUUAUUAUGGGUCACUUUGUCAAUACCACAGCCCUUCUCCACCAAUAAUGGCAUCUUCGAGAGGCUGGGAUGUGGUCAAGGUUUCCAAUUUCAUACAUCAUGUCAUCAAAUCCACUUAGCAAUCCUUCUUAGGAUGUUAAAUACAAGGAUGAAGGAUUAGACAAGUUAAAGUUCGGUAUUGAUGAUUUCUUAGUUAAGGUGAAAUUUGAUGAUCCAAAGCAAAGUUUAGGGGUGAUUUUGUGACACCCGGUCCAAUUUGGUUGGCCCAAUGUGGCCCAUUAGCGCAUAUGCGCAUGUUUAGUACCACAUUGCUAGUUUAGCAAGGGUGGAGCCAACUUAUAAGUCUUUGUCAACCAGCCAUAGCACCUUCAGAUUAACCCUUUUACACUAAGCGAGGAUGAAAGUGUAAGCAGGGUGCUAUGUGUACGCGUGCUUGCCCCUCGGAAGGGCUGGACGGUGCGGCUUUGGAGGACGGGAUGUGACAAAUGGUAUCAGAGCCGACCCUCGCGGUUGCGCGCACGAGUCAGUGUGCGGGUAUGGCACAUGACGCGUGUGGACCUGCGAUGGGACACACGGCAUGGCAUAUAGCGUCGGCACUGAACGUACGGUCGUGCGCUUGAGGGAACGUUUCUGGACAUUUGCCCAUGCGUGGGUGAGUUGGACCAACGAGGACAUCGGGUUCUUUGAGGGGGGUGAAUGUGACACCCGAUCCAAUUUGAUUGGUCUAGUGUGGCCCAUUAGCGCAGAUGCGCAUAUUUAGUACAAUAUUGCUAGUUUAGCAAGGGUGGAGCCAACUUAUAAGCCUUUGUCAACCAGCCAUAGCACCUUCGGGUUAACCCUUUUACACGUAGCGAAGACGAAAGUGUAAGUAGGGUGUUAUGUGUACGUGUGCCCGCCCCUCGAAAGGGCUGGGUGGUGCGACUUUGGAGGACGGGGUGUGAUAGAUUUGGAGUUUUCCAAAGAAGAAAGGGUUAAAAAGGGAAUACCAAAUUCUACAGCGAAAUGCUAAAAAUUCCAUUCCGUUCCCCACUCUCGAAUCUCGAUGGAGCUGAGCGGCGGAGACAGCGAGGGCGCCCCCAAGCGUGUGAAGCUCUCCUCCGGCGAUGCCGGUGGCGGCGAGGACUGCCUCAGCGUGCUCCCCGACGACGUCCUCGUCCUCAUCCUCCUCCGCCUCGACACCACCGUCGCCGCCCGAACCAGCGUCCUCUCCCGCCGCUGGCGCCGCGUCUGGGCUCUCCUCCCGAAGCUCUGCUUCCCCGUCGCCCCCGAGCCCCACCGCUUCCGCGACACCCUCGACACCCACGAGGUGCCCCUCAGCAACCUCCUCGUCGGGGCCGGGGACGCCACCCCCGAAUCCCUGGCGAUCUGGCUACCCGCCACCGCGCGCCGCGUCUCCGGCGACCUAACCCUUCUCAACUUUGAUCCAGGGAAAGAUGCCAGGGAGGAGGAGGGGGAGGCCGCGCAAAGAGGCGCCUUUGAGCUCCCCUGCUUCGAGAAGGCCACCUCGAUCUCCCUCAUCCUGGGGUUCCACGGCCUCGCCAUCGCCAUGCCACCCACCGGCGUCUUCGCCCAGCUCACAGGGAUCUACCUGAGCUGCGUCCGGUUCCACGGCCCGUGCGCGCUCGGCGACGCCAUGUCCUCGCCACGGUGCCCGUGCCUGCAGAGGCUCACCGUCGACGACUCCCGUGGACUGGGCGAUCUCACCAUCAACUCGGUGUCGCUGCUGCAAAUGGAGCUCAGGAACCUGCGCGGGUUGUGGCAGGUCACUGUUGUGGCGCCGGCGCUCACGGAGCUAACUGUGAUAUACUGCUUUCGCAACGAUGACACUCAACCGGUUGCAAACAUCUCAGCCCCUCAGCUGGUGAGCCUCGAGUGGAAAGAUGCGUAUGAUCCAAGCUCCGUCCAUCUUGGCAAGAUGGCACAUCUCCGAUGGCUGGGCACCUUUUAUCUUGUAUAUGGACAAGAUCGCCUUAGUCAUAACCACUCUUGUUCAACGCUCUUGCAGAGCUUUGAGGCCAUUGAAACCCUUUUUCUCACACUGGCAUAUAUGCGAGUGAGAUUGCUUAUUCUCUUAUCUGAAAUUAUGCCAUCGUACAUAGUAUCAUACUGAUAUGUCAUCGUAACAUCUUUGAUUACCAGCUGGGUACAGUUUGAAAUUGGAUAGCAAGAUCCGUCCAUUUUUCUGUGACAUGCCCAGCAAGAAUGGUCCUAGGACCUAGGCUACCACACUGUAGAAUUCGCUCAGCCAUGCGUAUGAUUCUUUGUUUAGAAAAACUUUACAUUGAAGCAAACUUUACUGUUUUCUGAAUGCGAUAUAUAUGUAGAGUUAUGUAUGUCACUUGUCCUCGUGGUAUUCAUGUUGAAAUAUUCUCACUUGUUUUGCUUUGCGACUUUACUGAUCACACUCAAUUAUCCUUCUUUUCCAAUAUAAACCGGUUGCUUGUACUGGGAAGCUAAUCAAGGAAUUGAUGUAAUCCACUUCAAAUACUGUCAACGCGUCUAACGAGGGCGACACUCUCCGCCUCUUGCUUACCUCUCUUCCAAUUCCAAGCUCAUAUAUCAGUAUAGAUUACUAAGUUGGUCUACGGCCAAGUUGAGACAAACAAUCAUGUCCGCCAACCGGGAUGAACAAUGAAGCUUGCUUAAUUAAUUAGCACAUUAGUCCUAUUCAUAGAUAACAAUAUGCCAAGUGGUUAGAGCACGUACGGAAGCAGCUGGUCCGGAUUCAACUUCCCGCAGGAGCGAAUUACGACUUCACGUGGGAGUGAAUUAUACGAGUCUAAAAUUUAAAAAAUAGGUAGGAGUUUCCCCUGUUGAUUUCAUUAAAAAAACAAUCUGCCACCUGGAUCACUUGUUAUUACUAGUUUGUGUAUCUAUAUUUAUUAUAUUUGAAAAAAAAAUACCGUCUUGCGUAUGUGUACUGUGCUACGGUUGGCAACUUCCAUUAAAUAAUAAGAUUUGUUUGUUCCUCGAGGAUACAUGUGUAUAGCCCACAAAGUCAAAUGCAACGCUAGCUUCCCUCGUCAUUUGCGUCCAUGUACUUUUCGUCGGUGCCUGGACGAAGAGAUGAGGCGAAAGUAUCUGAAACCCUCAAGUACUUUUCAGAUCCUCAUUGAGUAUCUAUCCCAAACAAGCCUCCGAGCGCUUCAUACAGCAACCCUCAAGUACUUUUCAAAUCCUCACUGAGUAGUUCUAGUACUCUUCGAGUAUUUUAUCUGGCUAAAUCUUCAAAGUGCUUCAAAGAUGCCAUAAGGCUUUGGUGUGCUCAAGCCCUUCAUCAUCUUGAUCUGUAAUUUUCAUCUUUGGAAUGUGAUACGAGCCAUGCCAGCCCCCCUCAUGAUCUAUAAGUCAAAUGCAACGCCUCUCUCUCGGAAAACAAUUACAACGCUAGCUUCUCUCUCUCUACGUGAUAAGUUACUAUAAAUCUCUAAUUAACCCGUCGCACCUCUAGAACGUUCUUGUCUAUUAAAAAACAAUCCGCUGGCUGGAGUAUUUGUUUAUUGCAUCCAAAACUUUAUUAAUCCACUUGUGCUCCCUCCAUUAAUUUGGGGACGAAGAGAUGAGGCGAAAGUGGGGAGCAGUUUGACCAGCACCACACGGUAUCAAUAGCGUGUGCUUGGGGGGAAAAUCGCGUUGACCCCCGACAGCUCCCACUCCGAUUCCCCAAUCCCAUGGCGAUGCCCGCCGGAGCCAAGAGGGAGAGGAGGGCAAGGCUUGACGAGGAUGGAAAGGAAGAGCUCGUCGACCGCAUCAGCCGCCUCCCGGACGACGUCCUCGGCAACAUCGUCUCCUUCCUUCCCACCAAGGAUGGCGCCCGCACGCAGGUACUCUCCUCCCGCUGGCGCCCCAUCUGGCGCUCGGCUCCUCUCAACCUCGAAAUCAGCAUCGCCUCCGUCUCGCGCAUCCUCUCCGCGCAUCAGGGCCCCGGCCGCCGCUUCUGCACUCAGUUCCCCUACCUCGACCCCAGCGACCGCUCCGCGACCCUGGACCGGUGGCUCCGGUCCCCCGCCCUCAACAGCCUCCAGGUGCUCGAGUUCCACCUCGGCAGUCCGCUUCAAAAUCCGCCGCUGCCGGCAUCAGUACACCGCUUCUCGUCCACCCUUCGCGCCGCCAGCUUCGGCUGCUGCGCUUUCCCGGAAGGAAACAGCGCCAGCCCGCUUCACUUGCCACUUCUCAAGCAGCUAAGCCUUUUUGAUGUCAGAAUCUCGGAAACUUCUUUCAAUGCCUUGCUCGCGGCCUGCCCUACCCUUCAAAGCUUGCUGCUAACUAACAUCUCGGGCUGCUCUCGCGUCCAAAUUGUGUCCCAGAACCUUAGAAGCAUUGGUUUUCUUCGUACUUUUUAUCGUGAUGGACACACCAGUUUGCAACAACUCAUCAUCAAGGAUGCCCCAUAUCUAGAAAGGUUGCUUUGUUUUGAAAAUGGUUCUGGCAUGGAAGUCACCGUUGUCUCGGCACCACAAUUGCAUGUUUUGGCACUACAUAGUGUUUACAACCUCAGACACUACGUUGGCAGCACAACUUUUCUGUUUGGUAGAACAGCUUUUCAGGUAUCACCUCCCUUGUCACUUUAAUAUUCGUGACGGAUCCAAGACCCUUUUUUCGAACAAACAAUCAAAGUCCCCUUGUCUGAUCAUGAUGUUAAACUUUGUAUUAUGUACGUGCUUUACUCAGAGAUCAUGCAUUCCUAGCUCGACGACGGUGGUUCACAGCAUGAAGGUCUUAGCUUUAACCCAGCCGGAUCUUUGUUUGGAUAUGGUUAUUAACUUGUUGAAAUGCUUCCCCUGCUUAGAGAAGUUGUACAUCGAGGUGAUUAAACUUUUCCUCCAUAAUAGGGAGGUGUCCUCUGCAUUCUUUUUCCUCCAUUCUAAUGCUAGGUCAUUACUAUUGUCAUGUUCAUUUUGCCUUUUCAGACACAGAAAGCAGGGAAGAAAAAUACUUGGUGUCAUAAAUACAAGAAUCUUAUUGGUACCCUUGAAAUUCAUCUGAAGAAAAUUGUGUUGACAAACUAUCGGGGCAACACAUCACAUGUUAACUUUGCCAAGUUCUUUGUUUUGAAUGCGAGAAUGCUACAGUCAAUGAGGUUUGAGUUAUUUGAUCAAAAUCCCAGCACCGCAUGGAUUGAGAAACAGCAUGGACUGCUCCAAAUAAAAAAAGCUUCAAGGGUCAUACAGUUUGAUUUUGUGGCUAAAAACAGCUGCUCUUUGAUGCUUUCCAUUGAGUUUGCGGGGCAAGUACAUGAUUUGUUAACAGCUGACCCCUUUGUAAAGCUUCAUAAUUGGACAUGAUUCCUUACGACGACCAUAAAAACCCUCUUCUCCUGACUUGGAGGUAAUGCUAUCCUUUUCUUUUCUAAGACUUGAGUCAACAUGGAAGUGAUGGAAUGCAAUCUACAUAUGCAUUUCUUGGCACACCAACUCCUGGUCUGCUAGUUGCCCUACCGACCUGAAGUUUAUAGCUUCUCUAUAUGAGCUAUUGAUAGAACCACGCAUAACCAAAAUGGUUUAUGCCUGAAGAUUCAGUUGUAAUUUUAGCCAACGUUCUUUGCGGUAAACCAGAUAGUAAAACAAGAAGUCAUUCUAGCAAUAACAGUCAUAGUUCUGCAAUUUGUUAGAGCAACUCCAGCAAUAGUCUAUACUUGAGAUCCCUACUUUUCUAAGUAGGAGCAGGGGCUCUUCCAACUUUUUGGGGCUGUAAUUUUCACCAUCAACUCCAGCAACAACCCCUACUGCUCAGCCCCUACUAUUGGUCUUAUAGGUAGGGUCCAUCUGUCGGUGUCCUUUCAUCUAUCUUCUUCCUCUGCUCUCUCUCUCUCUCUCUGGCACUCUUCCUCUCUACCUAAAUUGACGAGCUCAGGGUGUUGCUUGCCUCUACGCCGGCCAAAACGGCUCGGUCGGGCCAUGGGCGAGCUUUGCUGGCGGUGGGAGCAGAUGUGCUUGGAGCCGGCGCAGUCGGCCCGCUCGCGAUAGGAGCAUGAGCUCCGCCGCUGCCAAGAGCUCUCCCUCCAUUGCUUCGGCCUCGAGCUCUCCAUUGGCUACCUGAAGCUCGAGUUCUCCCACCAACCCGUCCUCGUGGGAUCUGGGGCACGCACGCUAAAGGACGAACUAGGAGGAGCUCCAUCGCGAGCUUGAGGGAGAGUGGCACGGGCGGCUUGACUGGAUUCGGCUGGGCUGUGCCGGCGACCACAUAGGCCAAGGUCCGUUAAGGAAGAGGCGCGCGUGAUGGUGGCGUUCAUGGGAAGGUAGAUCUAGAGGAGGGGGAGGGGAGAUGACUGCCGAUUGCGAUUUGGAAAGUGGCGGAGCUCUCGAGCGGCGGCGGUGCUCCAGCCGUACGAGCGAAGGCAAGACAGGCGGGAGGAAAACGACUGCAACAGAAAAGUAGGGGCCUCCCUAGCCACCCGUGGGAGGAGGGGAGGGGAAAAGUAGGGUCCUCUCUAGAGUAAGGACCCAAGUAGGGAUCCUUUUGGAGUGGGUUUUUUCGCCCUCGGCCUCUACUUUUGAGCAGGGGUUUGAGUAGGACCCUUGCUGGAAUUGCUCUUAGCUUUUGCCAACAUAUCUGAAAAGUAGAAAUUCAUGAGUUCAAAGGAUCUGACAAUGAUGUUUUAUUUGUUAAUUUUACUAAGAUUUGGUCCUCUUUGCAGGAACUGCAUUCUCAUCAGCUUUCGUAUUUGUGGCCAGUCAUGAAAACCAUGGAACUCAUCUCCUCGAUGAAGAGAAAUCCACGAGGGAUCUGAACAAGAUGUUUCUUUUGUAAUUUGACUCUUCAGUCGGUUGGGACUGCUGCAAAAGUUGGCGGUUAGCAUUGUCAAGGAACUAACCGCUACUAGUACCUUGUGAUCUAAAGCCCCUCUGAGCUUGGUGCGGUAUGCUGUGACUGUGUGCCAACGUACUGAAACCUUGCAAUGAUAUGAUAGCCCAUGUACCUACAACUCUUUAUCCCCUUUGGGGCUUUGCAAAACGAAUUGAGUUGCAUUCUGUAACACUAAUGGCAAUAGUUUUGGGUUUUAACUGAGUGUUUCACUAUUUGGAUUGCAAAUUUGUGUUAUUUUUAAGUUACUGUCAGCCUUUUUGAAAUAUACGUCAGCCUUUCAUUAAAAAUAAUACAUUGCAGCGAUCGAGCAUGAAGUUAACAGCAUUGUUGCAUGUGAGGCUUGAUCUUGAUAACAGAAUUAGGAGUUAGGAAAUAAUAGCAUAUAUGCGUUGGUACAUAAAAAAACACUGGCAAUAAUUUCUCAAAUGCCCCUAACUUGUUGAAGUUUCUGUACUUCCAUCGGAUAACCUAAACCCUAUGGUGGAUUGAAAAUCUUCUUUAAUAUUAUUGACAGCAUAAUCAUACCCCCUAUACCAUUUUCUCUUAGAUAGGGCAAUCGUAUUAUAUUCUGCAAACUGACUGCUUCAAACUGAUGUCCAGGAGGGAUCCUUUUGCAAAUAUUGUUGGCUUUGGUUGCAUAUUUGGGCAACCCGAUAUUGGUCAAAUUUCCUGUCUUUAUAUUCCAAUCCAACAGUAUCAGUUAAUCUCAAAAGGUUAAUACCUUGUUCCAGGCACAAACUACAUGCCCAUCAGGUUGCAUAUGUGGCGAGCAACAAAACUGGAGAGCCGAGCAACUCUUGUUGAAUCGCCUCCAAGAAGUAGAAAUCACUCGGUUGAGAGGAUCUGAACAUGAGGCUACAUUUGUGAAGCAGCUAUUCAAAUGGGCGACCGUAUUGGAAAAGAUGAUGGUAACUUUCGAUUAUUCAGUUACUGAAAGCAUGGCCAAAGAGUUGUGCCAGGUGGCUUCUCUAGUCCAAAAAUGCGCAUGGAAUUUUACAUAUAUCAGGACAUGAUCAAAGUGUUGUAUGCACCCAAAGACCAAGGCGGCCGGAUUAUCACUUUAAGCGCAUUUCCGUAGUUUCCUUCCGGAAGAUUUUAAUCUAUCCAUCUUCCGAUGUUUAAGAUUUGUGCAAACUAUACCCACCGUAGAUGACUAUGCGGAGGACUGGGCGCGCAUGCGAAUGGAGUGACAGCAGCAAGGGGACAUGUGCCGGACUGUGAUAAGAGGAAGGUGGGGAUUGGAUGCUGCACAAGUUUCAACCUUUAAAUGAUGUUUUCCCUUAAACCAUAUAUCCAAUUGGAAAUCCGUUUGAACCAUAUUGAGGAUUAAUACAACACAAUGAGAUCCAAUAUGUUAUUUUAAUUUUUUUUACUGUAAUGUUUCAACAUUUCUAAUAUACUAGUUCAACAUUUUCUAUGUGUCAUUCAACAUUUGCAAUGUACUAGAUCAACAAAUAAAUGUUGCAUUAUGUGAAGGAAAUGUUGGUGCAUCAAGAAGAAUGUUGGUAUAUGUAAAGUAAAUUGUUGGAGAGUGUAUAAAAAUGUUAAAGAGUGUAGAAAAAUGUUGGGCAAAUAUAAGUUGGAUUGUGUAGAAAAAAUGUUGGGCAAAUAUAAGUUGGAUUGUGUAGAAAAAAAUGUUGGAGAGUGUAGAAAAAAGUUGGAGAGCAUAGAAAAUGUUGAGAAAAUACAAGUUGGAGAGUGUAGGAAAAAAUGUUGUAUGUAAAAUAAAUUGUUGGAGAGUGUAGAAAAAAUUGUUAAAGAGUGUAGGAAAAUGUUGGGCAAAUAUAAGUUGGAGUGUGUAGAAAAAAAUGUUGGAGAGUGUAGAAAAAUGUUGAGCAAAUACAAGUUGGAGAGUGUAGGAAAAAAUGUUGGAGAACGUAGAAAAAAUUGUUAGAGAGUGUUGAAUAUAUGAUAUGAGUAAAAAAAUAAAUAAUCACGGGCUCAGUCUCUACUGGUACGGCACCGAACGAGUGAGCACUAGCGAUUUUUUUCCUACGUGCAAGGCGUACUGCUGCUCUCUAGUUAGCGGGCCGUGUGCUGCUGCUAUACUGGGCUUCCGUGGGCUGUGAAAUCACUAGAGUUUCUAUCGCAUGGAAGAUAGAUAGGAGGCCCCCACCCAGGGAUGUUUACCCCUGAACUUCAACUUGCAAUGCAGGUGAAGAAAUGAAUAUGGUUCCUUUCGUUGCGCUGGGGGACUAAACCGCUGCCACUGCCGCCAUCGGUGCUCCGCUUCUCCUCCACCCUCGCCGUCGCCAGCUUCGAAGGAUGCGUCUUCCCGGAUUGUGGAAACAGCAAUAUUGCUAGCAGAGCGCUGCACUGGCCCCAUCUCAAGAAGCUGACCCUUUCCAGUGUCACGGUCUCGGAGAGCUCCAUUGCUCGCCGGCUGCUCUGCCAUUGAGAGCUUGCUGCUACGUCAUAACAGAGGCUUCUCUCGAGUGAAGAUCGUGUCCCCUAGCCUCGGAAGCAUCGGUGUGAUCGUUCUAUGUAUGUGAGGUGUAUAUGGGGACUCGAUGAAGACAACCUCGUGUUACAACAGCUCGUCAUCGAGGACGCUCCAUGCCUGGAAAGAUUACUGUUCUUCGAAGGGCUUCAAAUAGGCUUCACGGUGAUCUCUGCGCUCAGGUUGCAUGUUCUGGGGGAACUGCAGGGCAGAGGCCAAAUGCUUCGAUUUGGCGCCACGGCUCUUCAGGUAUUGGGGCAUCAUUAUUCUCACCUUCAUUCAUGAUGGAUCCAUGUCCUAUAAUUCGCCUGAUCAAGAUGUGUGUAAAUUCUAUGCUUAAUUUCACUCAGGGAUCGUCCGUUGCUAGCUUGACGACUGUGGUGCCAAGCGUGAGGGUUCUAGCUUUAUCUCAUAUGACACCUUGUUUGGAUGUGGUUAUUAACUUGAUGAAGUGUUUUCCCCUCUUGGAGAAGUUGCACACGGAGGUGACUCUCUGAACCAACUAGAGCGUGCAUUUGCGAUCUUAUUAGUAUUAUGUCAAAAGCUAGGCUGACCAAUUCUAUGUUGGGUUUGCUUUUCCAGAUAACACACGGUGGGGAAGAAAAUGCAUCAUCUGAUAAGUACCGGAAACCUAUUGGUACUCUUGACAUCCGUCUGAGAAAGAUCGUGCUAGCAUACUUUCAUGAUAGGAAGCCAGAUAUUGAAUUUGCCAAGUUCUUUGUAAUGAAUGCAAGCGUGCUGGAGUCAAUGACGCUUGAGUUAAAACUUGGAAGUGUUGGCAACGAUGCAUGGAUUAGAAGACAACGUAAGCUGCUCCAUGUCAAAAAGAGGGCUUCGAGGGGUGCACAAUUUGAUUUUGUAUCUCAUAAUGAAUCAUUUACUCUUCCUCGUGCUAAGCAAGUACAUGAAAUGUCAAUACUCAACCCCUUUCAAAGGGUUUGUCAGUAGAUCUGGUAACACCAACGAGAGAUAUUUGGUUUCCAUUGCUUGACAUUUGUUACUCUUUUCAUGGAAUAUUGUAAUUUGUCAUCCGAUUUGGUUGCUAUAUGUUUCGUUUUUUACGGAGAAGUGCUCUUGAGAUGCCCAUUCUUCUUUUCCACUUGGUCGUCAUUGGGAUGAUUGCAGCGACCAAAUGAUAUUAGAGCGAGGUGUUAAGAUUUACUACCUCCAUAUUGAUUUAUCUGACGUUGGCUAGUUCAAAAAUAAACUAAGCAAUGUCGAAUUAAUUAUAUGAGUUGGAGAGAGUAUUUUGUACUAUUCAACUAUCUAUGGAUUGUAGCAAACCGUGGAUUACCAUAGUUUCUCCUUAUAACAGUUUAUUUGAAAUAUUAAAAGCAUCCAUCGUUUCAAACUUAUACAUUAUCUCUAUAUACACAUUUAGAAAAGUAUGACUAGAGCAUGUGCUUAAAGGAAGUACAUAGACUGUACAUGGCUGAUCUUUAUUUAUGACCCUAAGAUCAAGUAUAGCUGACAACUGUUGAAUUGAUCAUCAUCUUCAGGAAUAGCAGGCUACAAUUACUUUUGGCAUGCAAACUUUGCCAAAAAGAAAAUAGAGUGCAUAUAUUGGCAACAAAAUUUGACACCUCUCGUAUGGGUGAUCAUGUGAUUGAGCAAUGUUGUGUUUUGAAUAUUUUAAUUUGACCGAUUAAUUGAUCCAUGAAGAUGGUGAUCGGCCAGUCAAGGGUUUCGGUCAUCGUCUGGCAACACAUUGACGUGGCGGCCGUCGUCAACGUGUGAUUGGGCCAGAAAUUAGAGCUGCGGUGGGCAAAAAAAAACGAUUGGGCCAGAAAAGCAUGUGCAGAAGCCGAACUACACAUCAGUGUACUUCGCGGGAGCGGCCGCAUCUUUCUUCCCCACCUGCCAAGCCGCGCCGCCAGCGCCAUGGGGGUGAUCACGAGAGCCAAGAAGAGGAGGCUGGAGGAAGAACAAGAGCUCGUCCACCGCAUCAGCCGCCUCCCGGACGGCGUCCUUGGCGACAUCUUUUCCCUCCUCCCCACCAAAGACGGUGCCCGCACGCAGGUCCUCUCCCAAAAUCCCCAAACAACCCUCUCCAAUCUCCCAUGGUGCAGGGCAGCAAGGAGACCGCCGCCAAGUGCGCGAAGCACUCCGGCACUGGCGAGGACCAGCUCGGCGCGCUCUCCGAUGAUGUCUUCGUCCUCAUCCUCCUCCGCCUCCGCACCCCUGAGGACGCCCGGACCAGCGUCCUCUCCCGCCACUGGCAUCGUGUCUGAGCACUCCUCCCGGAGCUCUGCUUCCUCUUCGCCCCAGAUCCCCACCGGAUCUGCGACGUCCUCGAGGCCUACAAGGCGGCCCUCCGGUACCUCGAGACCCGUGACGCGGCCCUCAACUCCGUGGCGACCUGGCUCCAUGCCGCCACGCGCCACCUCUCUGGUCGCCUCUUCUGUUGGACCUCCCAGGACCUCUCAGGUGCACACACGCACCCAAACGCUCAAGCAAAGAAGCAGAGGAAGGAAGAAGAUGAACAGUAGUAUGAACUCAUUGUUGAUGGUGACGAACACCCGCAGCGCACACGCACUGGAGUUUUUCUUGCUGUGUUUACAAACGAGCAGUACAUAAGGUUUUAUAGUUGGGCAGACGUCGGUAGAACGAACUCAACGCUGCCCUUACUCUACCGAUUGAUCCGCAUGCUCCGGCCGUGCGCACAACGCACACCAACACGCUCGAUGCGGCUGCCUCAAGCAGAUCGCAACAGUCCCUACUGCAUGCAGCUCCUCCAUGCUACAUACGCGGCAAGCUGCAGACAGUGGCAACUCGACAGUUGCGGCGCUCACCACCGCGACCGGACGCAGUGAGCUGCUAGAGCCAUCAUCGUCGCCAAGGUCGAUACACUGCUUCUUUGGCCCAAGGGACGACAUCUUCGAUCACCUUUGCUCUUAAUACCACCUGUUGGACCUCCCAGUCGCACACACGCACCCUAAUGCUCAAGAACAGAAGCAGCGGAAGGAAGAAGAUGAACAGUAGCACGAACUCACUAUUGUUGGCGAUGAACGCCGUGUCCUUGCCGCAGUGCCCGUGUUUAAGGUCCACGCAUUUGUGCAAUGUGAACAGGAAUGUCCUAAAGGCCAUACAGUACACAUUUGCACAGUAUAUUCCAUGGAAGAUAGAUAGGAGGCCCCUAAACUUGCAAUGCAAGUGAAGAAAUGAAUAUGGUUCGUUCGUGUUUAUAAGUAGCAAAUGAGCAUCUGACAUCUUGUGGCUUGAAAUUUGGUUGCAUGGAAUAAACUGAAACUUGAAAUUUGGCUUGUAGCAAAUGUCUCAUGCAUCCAAAUAAAACCAUCACUACGGGAGCAAAGUCCUAAAAACACUCAGCAAAUCCUUUACUGAGUGUAACACUCGGCAAACGACAUUCGGUAAAGUUUCCACUGGCAAAGCGUUGUUUGCCGAGUGUCCUCUGAGAUCGUUGGGGGAAAAGAUCAUUGGACAGCUUGCCGAAGUGUCCUCCGAGAAUAAGAAAUGGGCCAAAAUAAAAACUGGGCCACAAACAUGUGCAGAAGCCCAACUUUUUUAAUACAUAUACUUCGUGAGCGCACGCGGCAGGCGCCUGCCCUAUCUCCACUCCACCUGCCGCGCCGCCGCCAUCGCCAUGGGGGUGGUCACGAGAGCCAGGAAGAAGAGGAAGCUGGAAGAAGAACAGGAGUUCGUCGACGACUUUAUCAGCGGCCUCCCCGACGGCGUCCUCGGCGACAUCGUCACGCUCCUCCCCACCAGGGACGGCGCCCGCACGCAGGUCCUCUCCUCCCGGUGGCGGCACAUAUGGCGCUCCGCUCCCCUCAACCUCGACCUCCAAAAGCCAUUGCGGCACACCCCCGCCAGAGACUUCUCCCGCGUCCUCUCCUCGCACCCCGGCCCCGGCCGCCGCUUCACUAUCGACAUGCGCUACGUGCUGAGCAGAGACUCCGCUCCCCUCGAGCUUGAAGCCUGGCUCCGGUGCCCCGCCAUGGACAGCCUCCAGGAGCUCGAGUUCCACCUCGGCCGUCCGUUUGAAUUUCCGCCGCUGCUACCCGCAUCACUACGCCGCUUCUCGUGCACCCUUCGCGUCGCCAGCUUCGGCGCCUGCAGUUUCCCGGACGGGAAUGCCAACGCGCUCCACCUGCCGCUUCUCAACCAGCUGAGCCUUGUGAGUGUCAGAAUCUCAGAGACCUCUCUUCAUGCAUUGCUCGCCGGCUGCUCUGUCCUUGAGAGCUUGCUGCUAGAAGACACCAAUGGCUUCCCUCGAGUCCAGAUCAUGUCCACUAGCCUCAGAAGCAUCGGUGUGUGUUCUCCUUGGGGAGACGACAGGUUGACGCAGCUCAUCAUCGAGGAUGCUCCAUCUCUGGAAAGAUUACUAAUUUUCGGAGGCAGGGAGAUGGACAUCUCGGUAAUAUCUGCGCCAAGGUUGCAUAUUCUGGGGGAACUGCAGGGCAGAGGCCAAAUGCUUCGAUUUGGCGCCACGGCUCUUCAGGUAUUGGGGCAUCAUUAUUCUCACCUUCAUUAUGAUGGAUACAUGUCCUAUAAUUCGCCUGAUCAAGAUGUGUGUAAAUUAUAUGCUUAAUUUCACUCAGGGAUCGACCGUUGCUAGCUUGACGACGGUGGUGCCAAGUGUUAGGGCUCUAGCUUUAUCUCAUAUGACACCUUGUUUGGAUGUGGCUAUUAACUUGAUAAAGUGCUUUCCCCUCUUGGAGAAGUUGCACGUGGAGGUGACUCUCUGAACCAACUAGAGUGUGCAUUUGCGAUUUUUAAUUUUGGCGCUUAUUAGUAUUAUGUCGAAAGCUAGGCUGACCAAUUUUAUGUUGGGUUUGCUUUUCCAGAUAACACACGAUCGGGAGGAAAAUACAUCAUCUGAUAAGUACCAGGAACCUAUCGGUACUCUUGACAUCCGUCUGAGAAAGAUCGUGCUAGCAUACCUUAAUGAUAGGGAGCCGGAUAUUGAAUUUGCCAAGUUCUUUGUAAUGAAUGCAAGCAUGCUGGAGUCAAUGACGCUUGAGUUUAUUGGAAGUGACGCGUGGAUUAGAAGACAACGUAGGCUGCUCCAGGUCGAAAAGAGGGCUUCGAAGGGUGCACGAUUUGAUUUUGUAUCUCGUAAUAGAUCAUUUAGUCUUCCUCGUGCCAAGCAAGUACAUGAAAUGUUAAUACUCGACCCCUUUCAAAGGGUUCGUCGGUAGGUCUGGUAACACCAACGACAGAUAUUUGGUUUCCAUUGCUUGACAUUUGUUAUCUCUUUUCGUGGAAUAUUGUAAUCUGUCAUCCGAUUUGGUUGCUAUAUGUUUUGUUUUUAACGGAGAAGAGCUCUUGAGAUGCCCAUUCUUCUUUUCCACUUGGUCGUCAUUGGGAUGAUUGCAACGACCAAAUAAUAUUAGAGUGAGGUGUUAAAAUUUACUACCUCCGUAUCGAUUUAUUUGACGUUGCCUAGUUCAAAAAUAAACCAAGCAACGUCGAAUUAAUUAUAUGAGUUGGAGGGAGUAUUUUGUACUAUUCAGCUAUCUAUCACUGGUAGAGAACUCGGUAUUAGUUCUGGUUGGUAGGAUGCAAAUCUCCCGAAAAUCCAUCCGGGAUAAACUAACCAGGACAAGGGGGGUGUCUUUUGUCCCGGGUCACUCAACCGGGACUAAAGACCCCUUUUUAUCCCGGUUGGUAAUACCAAUCGGGAUAAAAUAGAUCACCAUGCCAGGCGCUGAAAAAAAAAAGAAAUCACGCCACAAGUUACACGCGAAAUAUGCGUGUGCGCGCUGCGUGGGAUUCGAACCCACAACCUCCAGCCUCGCGCGAAGCUUCCUUGCCAUCCCACCUACACAACACAUCUGACUAUAUAGGGGAUGCAAUCCUUUUGUAUUAACUCGUGGGGGACCCUUUUAUCCCGGUUGGAAACACCAACCGGGAUAAAAGAGGGGUCUUUUAUCCCGGUUGGUAUUACAAACCUAGAUAAAAGGGUUCGAGGGAUUUAGUCCUCUUUCAGCUACCCCGUUGGGGACCCUUUUAUCCUGGUUUGAAACACCAACCGGGAUAAAAGACCCCCCUUUUAUCCCGGUUGGUAUUACAAACCGGGAUAAAAGACCCCCUUCCCCUUUUAUCCCAGUUUGAAACACCAACCAGGAUAAAAGACUCUUUUAUCCCGGUUGGUAUUACAAACCGGGAUAAAAGAGUCUUUUAUCCCGGUUGGUAUUACAAACCGGGAUAAAAGCUCUCGACCCUUUUAUCCCGGUUGGUGUUACCAACCGGGAUAAAAGGGCGAGUCUUUUAUCCCAGUUGGUGUUUCAAACUGGGAUAAAAGGCCUCUCAGGGUCUUUUUUUUCCACUAGCCUUUGCAACCGGGAUAAAAGGUCGCGGUUGGUGAGCCCCCCACCAAUGACCGAGCUUUAGUCCCGGUUGGUGAACCUUUUAUCCCGGGCCAACUUUAAACCGGGACAAAAUGGGGCGCAUGGAAGGUGAGUUCUCUACUAGUGUAUGAAUUGUAGCAAACCAUGGAUUACCAUAGUUUUUCCGGUUUACGUAUAACAGUUUAUUUGAAAUAUUAAAAGCAUACAUCGUUUCAAACUUAUACAUUAUCUCUAUACAUUUAGAAAAGUAUGACUAGAGCAUGCUUAAAGGAAGUACAUAGACUGUUCAUGGCUGAUAUUUAUUUAUCACCGUAAGAUCAAGUAUAGCUGAUAACUGUUGAAUUGAUCAUCAUCUUCAGGAAUAGCAGGCUACAAUUACUUUUGGCAUGCAAACUUUGCCAAAAAGAAAAUAGAGUGCAUAUAUUGGCAACAAAAUUUGACACCUCUCGUAUGGGUGAUCAUGUGAUUGAGCAAUGUUGUGUUUUGAAUAUUUAAUUUGACCGAUUAAUUGAUCCAUGAAGAUGGUGAUCGGCCAGUCAAGGGUUUCGGUCAUCGUCUGGCAACACAUUGAGGGAACUAUAUCAGAGCAUGCAGCAAUAUAUGGUGCUAGUAUAGUUCUAAUUGCGAAUGAAAAGAGAGAGCGCUAAGGCGGCCCCCCGCCAGUGACCACCCGGUCCCGGCGUCCACCCCUCCCGACGGUGAGCUUCCCCUCCCCCUCCCCUGCUCGUCUCCAUGGAUAUAUCCAAUGUGGAUCUCCGUCCAGGGCUCUCUUUCUCCAACAAGGUACGGUCCCUCUUGGGAGCUCGGGUUUCUGCUCGCUCUUCCUCUGCUUCUUCGUGCUUCUGGCUCUUGGCUUCCUUCUCUCGAUCAAAGAUCAAGCUUUCUGAAAGUAAUGUGGCCUUUCUUCUCCAAUCGGUUCUUGGAGGAUCCUCGGAUCUCUUCCAAGUUUCUGAGGUGGAUGCUUGGAUCUUCAAGUUCUGCGUCUCCUGCAAAGAAGUUGGGCUUCUCAUUUAUCAGAUGGGUUCUUCUCAAUGUGAUUUUUUCAAAGUGGAUUUCAACCUGUUCAAUGAUCGAGGUUUGCACUUCGCCAAAUUGGUUAUAGCCAAUGCUCAAGGAGCUCACUUUCCAUGGAUUUCGGUUUCUUCGAGGAAGUCUCCUGUGCUUUUAACUGGGGCCAACUCUCUGCCUCUUGGUCGAUCCAAGUUUCGCCGCUGCUCAUCACCCUUACAGAAGCUUCAUGAUGGUUGUUCUUCAGUCGUGGAUGUCUCUGAUAAUCGUCGAACCCGGAGCAAGGUUCUUGAUGGGCGUGCCCGGACUCAUGAACAGAGAACACAGAAAUUUCAAAUUUCAAAUCAGACCUCUCGUGGCAUUAAUUUGGACCUUAAUCUAGGCGCAAUGAGUCAGUCUUUUAAGUCUGUCUUAAUGGAUAAGCCGGGUUUCCCGAAAUUGGUUCCAUCGGUUCAAAGUUGGGGAGUGAAGCUGGGCCGGAACCAGUGCUCCAGAUGUCUCUCUCACGCCCACUCCAGAGGCUCCUGCUUGAGGCCCAUUCGCUGCGGAUCUUGUUUCCGUCUGGGCCACUUUGCGGCAUCUUGCAGAUUCCACCCACGCUUCCCUGGGCUCUCCAAAGAUACAGCCUCUUUCCAACCACCAUGCCUGGAUAACUGGUCUUCCUUUCCGGUGCACACCUGGUUCCAGAAUUCAACCCCUAUGACUGGUGGGUCCUCUAAUGCCCAGGAGGUGGCAGUUGGCACUUUUCAAGAUUUGGGUCUUUCUCUGUUGAGUCUACCGGCAGCUGCUCCUAAGGAAACUAUUUUUUGGAAACGUCCCUUCAGUGUCGCGGUUCCAGAGGGAGUCCCUUCGUCUUCCUCCCCGGCCUCGGAGCCCACGCAAAAAGCUCCGCCGCCUCCGCCGUCUUUUGUAAACAGUGCACCCUCCUCCAGCCAUUCCCCCCAGCCUCACCUCCAAAGCUUCUCCGAAGAGAACCCCUCGUCUUCCUUUGGACCAUCGCUUGAGCUGGCCGACCUUCAAGAAGCCUUCAUGGCCUACAGGUUCGUUAAUCCCGCACCCUUCAUGCCAAGGGGAUGUCAGCGUCAGAUUGUGGGCUUCCGUAAGCCAAUGUCUAGGGUGGUUCUCGGUGGAGCGAGGCGGAAUCAAAGUGAUGUAGCCAUUGCAAAGAUUGAACCUCUCCCACAGCUACAGGUAUCUUUUCAGUCCAUACGGGAGCUUCUUGAUGAUUUUCUGCGAAAUCAUAAGGGGCUUACUAUUCAUUCCAUUCAACCCUGCCCGUAUGGUCAAGCGUAUGUUCGAUUCCACUUUGUGCAUGAAAAGGAUUUUCUUAUUGGGGGCGGUCAACAUCAGUAUGGGCAAUACAGAAUAACCUUUUCUGAUCAUAAUCGGGGUUGGAAUAACAGACUCACCACCAUGAACUGUGAGGCUUGGGUUAUGCUUCUAGGCCUCAAUAUCGAUUACUGGACAAAAUCUGACAUUGAAAAAGCAGUGGCAGUCUUUGGAAGAUUGUUAGUUUGGGAGGAGGACCCGAAUAACCUGGCCCGGGUCAUUGUUAAAGUCCGAGUAGUGGAUUUAACUGAGAUCCCCUGGUUCCUGGUCUGCUCAGAAGGAGAGGAUUUUGAAGGUAAUUCAUGGACGGUGCAAUGUGAAAUUUUACAAUACAGGUUAUUGGGAGUGGGACCUGAAGAUGAGAACCAACCCCCUGAUGAAGUUGAUCCGCUCUUGUUCGACUUCUUUGGAUAUGGCCAACCAUCCAAUGCUGGGAACCAUAAUGUACCCGGUGCAAUGCCUGUGCAAGCCCCGGCUCAACAAUGGGGUCUCUGGCCUGAGGGGCCUCAAGGACAAAAUGAUGCCCCGUUCAUUGGGCCCCAGCUGCCACCAGAUGUGCCUAUUGUGCAAGGUCUCCCAGCCAAUCAGGAACAACAAGUCCCACCCCAGGAAGAUAAUCUUGAUGCUUUGGUUCAGGAGGUUCACCCUAAUGGUCUUCAAUUUGAUUUAAAUAUGGCACUGGAUGAUGACCUAGGUGGCAUUGACAAUCUAAUUCAAGCAGCAGCUAAUCAGGGUGCUGAUGAUCACAUGGAGGAUAACAUGCAGAUUAUUGAUGGAACUGACUCCUCAGGGAGUGAAGGCCACCCUCCACAUAAUUUUAAUAUUGAACCCCCUCAAGUUGAUGUUUUCAUCCCCCAAGAUAAUGGUCAGCCACUGCACAUGGUUCAGGAGGAAAUUAAUGAGAACGAGCUCCUGGAUGGUAAUCAAGAUCAAGAUCAAGCCCUGGACCAGGGGCCUCAAAACUUUAACAUGCAGCUGGGCUUUGUCCAAACUCUUGGGCCUUGUCGAGAUCCUGUCUUCUCCCAGUUCCAGAAUGCUAAACAGCUUCAAACCACUCAAACACCUGCAGACCUCUACAAUCUCUGGGCGAAAUACCUUCCACCAGGCAAGACAGACUCCCAGGUGAAUGUCCCCCUGUCUUGGUCUCACUUUUUUAUGGCCCAACUCCUGAAUCCCAUGAGCUUUGCCUGGGCCAAAAGCUUCUUGUCUUCACCAGCUAUGUCUUUCCUUUACUCUGAGCCGGCUUUAAAAGUCAGCCUACCUAAUGUAUGUCCAAAUGAGAUGUCUCCUGACUGUCCUUCCAAGGAUUCUUCUAAUCAGAAUAUGGGGUUCAAAUCCAAGGGCAUUAUUUUUGAAGGAAAUCUGCAUAGUGACAUUGCCAGCUCCUCAACCAUCCCUUUCGCUCCUGAUGUCUUGGAACAAAACUCUCCUGACCAUGAUGUUUUCAGCCAUGAGCCCACAAAGUCACCUUCCACACCUCUAGAAAAGAUCAUUCAAAAGGUCUCUGCUACCUCUGGUCCUUGGUCCAAGGCCCUGCUCAAGAAGGCACAUCACAUGAAUGAUCUAGACAAUAUUGACUUGGGCUGCACAGUUAAUGAUGAGGAGCUUCGUAGGAGUAGUAGGAACUCCAGUCACAACCAGGGAUACAAAAGCUCUAGCUGUAAAAACAAAAACUGCAUUGGUUGUUCAGCAGCCCCUCCUGCCUUAUCAAGGGAAACUAUCAGAAACCUGGGUGAAUCAUUCUGUAAGGUGGAAGCCUCCAAGCUAACAUCUGAUGUUCUGGUCAAGAAGAAGGGCACAGCUCCGGUUGCAAGGAAGCUAGUCAAGAAGAAGUCUGCUGCAGAUGCUGAAGAUGCACAGGAGCCCCCAAGAAGUAACAAGAAGAAGCCUAAGAAGCAGUAAUUCUGGAGGGAAUCGGUGGCAUCCUUCUCUGCACCUGACCUGUUUUGCCAGAAACUUUAUUUUGUUAUAUGUCUCUCUUAUUUUGGUUAUGUUUGAUGUCUGUGACUGCACCCAGAUAUUUUGCCUACCUCGGUUUAUUCAGAAUUGGUUCAGGCAUUGUCUGCUUGAUGCACGGCAGCCCCCCUUACAUAAUCUUUUAUGAAUCACUCUGUGAAAACAAGAGUUUGGAAUGUUAUGUGUUGGAAUGUCAGGGGUAUUAAUUCUGACAAGAAAUGGUUUUCAAUUAGAGACAAAAUAAUUGACAGCAACUGUGAUGUCAUAUGCCUGCAAGAAACUAAGAGAGAACAUCUUGAUAGCAACUAUAUUAGAAAAUUCUGCCCCCGUGCCUUUGAUAAAUUUGAAUACCGGCCCUCUGUGGGUGCUUCAGGAGGCAUUGCAAUCAUAUGGAAAUCAAGACUUUUCGAUGGGGAAUUGGUUUUUACUAAUGAGUAUGCAUUAUCAGUGAAAUUUUUAUCCACAAUGUCUGAUAAUGAAUGGAUUCUCACAAAUGUCUACGGCCCUUGUUUGUUGGAAAGGAAGCAAGACUUCAUUAACUGGCUUAAACACGUACAGAUGCCUGAUGAUAUUGACUGGUUGAUCUUAGGAGACUUUAAUCUAAUGAGAAGCCCAACAGAUAGAAAUAAACCAGGAGGCAAUGUUACAGACAUGCUCUUAUUCAAUGAAGCUAUUAGUUGUCUUGGCCUUAUUGAGAUUCCACUCAAGUCAAAAAAAUUCACUUGGUCAAACAAGCAACAAUCACCCCUGCUGGAAAGACUAGAUUGGUUUUUUGUCACCCCUUCCUGGGCUUCCUCAUACCCAAAUACCUUUGCCUACCCUCUUGUGAUGGAAACUUCAGACCACACGCCAUGCAUCAUAACCUUUGGUACAGAUAUUCCGAAAGGAAAAGUUUUUCGUUUUGAGAACCACUGGCUACAACAUGAUCAGAUUAUGGAUAUUAUCAAACACGGAUGGUCGGUCCCUAUACAGGAAACAGAUAAAGCUAAGGUUAUUACCGCCAAGUUCAAAAACCUCAGAAGGGUGCUCAAAGCAUGGCAAGCUCAGUUAUCCAGUCUGAAAACAGUCAUCUCCAAUGUGAAACUCACUCUAUCCUUCUUGGAACGAAUAGAGGAGUGUAGAGACCUGCUCCUAAUUGAAUGGAAUUUCAAAGAUAUUUUACAGCAGCACUUACAAUCCCUCCUAAAACAGCAAAACACAUACUGAAAACAACGUGGAGUUCUUAAGUGGGUAAAAUUUGGAGAUGAAUCUACAAAGUUUUUUCAUGUCAAUGCAACAAUUAAGCAUAAAAAGAACUUUAUUAGAUCCAUUGAAGACUCUGAUGGUAUCCCCCAAACCAGCCACAGGCAUAAGGUAUCAAUUCUCUGGGCGGCCUACAAGGAAAGAUUGGGGUCUUCCAAUCCUCAACCAAUGGAGUUUGAUCUAUCUCAGCUAAUGCACAUAGAUGAUAAUUUAUCCAGCCUGGAAGCACCUUUCUCCACAGAGGAAAUUGAUGCAGUCAUCACCUCUCUGCCAGGUGACAAGUCCCCAGGACCUGAUGGUUUCAACACUGAUUUUAUCAAAAAGGCAUGGCCUAUCAUUAAGCAAGACUUCUAUGCUCUCUGCCAAUCCUUCCAUGAAACAAAUCUAUACCUGCAAAGUAUCAAUGGCUCAUACAUUACUUUAAUUGCCAAAGUAGAGGGAGCUGCCACUGUGUCAGACUACAGGCCCAUAUCUCUGCUAAAUAACUCAGUCAAGUUGAUCACCAAAUUACUUGCAAACAGACUACAAGGGGUCAUAACAAGGCUAGUGCACACCAAUCAAUAUGGAUUUAUCAAAACAAGAACCAUACAGGAUUGCCUUGCCUGGGCUUUUGAAUAUAUCCACUUAUGCCAUAAGUCAAAAAAAGAAAUUGUCAUUCUGAAAUUAGACUUUGAGAAAGCUUUUGACCGCAUUGAGCAUAAUGCAAUGCUGGACAUUAUGAAGCAUAAAGGUUUUGGAUCACGAUGGAUCGCAUGGAUGCAACAAAUCUUUGCUUCAGGGACCUCCUCUAUUUUACUGAAUGGAGUUCCAGGAAAAAGAUUUUCCUGCAAAAGAGGAGUUAGGCAAGGUGACCCUCUAUCCCCUCUCCUUUUUGUUCUUGGGGCAGAUCUGUUACAGUCGAUUCUCAACAAUGCGAAGGAACAGGGACAUCUCCAUUUACCAAUUCAAUUUAAUCAUAAUCAGGACUUUCCAAUCAUACAAUAUGCUGAUGACACUCUUAUCAUCAUGGAAGGAUGCCCUUUGCAACUGCUUCACCUGAAAAACCUUUUACAGUCCUUUGCUACCUCAACUGGGCUUAAGGUAAACUUCAACAAAUCCAUGAUGGUGCCAAUCAACAUCUCAGAGGAAAGGAUACAACAGUUAGCUCAGAUCCUUGAUUGCACAGUAGGGAAAAUGCCCUUCACAUACUUAGGACUACCACUGGGUUUGACAAAGCCAAAAUUUGAGGAAUUUCUCCCUAUGGUGAGUCGAUGUGAAAUAAGAUUACUGUCUACUUCAAAUCUCCUCUCUGAAGCGGGGAGAUUACAGCUAACCAACUCAAUUUUCUCUGCCUUGCCGAUGUUUCAUAUGAGUACCCUGCUGCUACCUAAAUCAGUCUAUAAACAAGUGGAUAAGUAUAGAAAACACUGCUUUUGGAGAGGCUCGGAUAUCAACAACAGGAAACCACCUAAAGCUGCAUGGGACAUGGUAACUUUACCAAAAAAGGAAGGUGGACUAGGGGUCCUGAAUCUACAGACACAGAAUGAGGCUCUGUUACUCAAAUUCUUGCAUAAAUUUUACAAUAAAGAAGAUAUCCCGUGGGUUCAUCUAAUAUGGGAAAAAUACUAUGGAAAUGGUAAACUGCCAGGCGCUGCUUCUAAAGGAUCCUUUUGGUGGCGGGAUAUCAUCAAACUCUUGGACAAAUUCAAAGGUUUAGCCUCAGUGUCUGUGAAGGACGGCAGUACAUGUCUUUUAUGGCAUGAUCUAUGGAAUAAUAAGGUGCCAGCACAAGUGUAUCCUCACCUAUUCUCCUUUACUCGGGACAAAUGCCUAUCUCUGAAGAGAGCUUAUUCGAUCACAGACUUACAACAUCUCUUCUUUCUGCCCUUGACACCACAAGCCUAUGAUCAAUUGAUUAAUCUGGCUGAAGACCUAGAAAGCCUAGAGCUCUCGCCUGAUUCAGACUAUUGGACAUACAUCUGAGGUAAUGCUCUUUUCUCUUCAUCAAAGGCAUAUAAGGCUCUCAUUGGGCAUAGAAGCACCCACCCAGUUUUUAAUUGGCUAUGGAAAUCCCGGUGUCAAAAGAAACACAAAGUCUUCUUUUGGUUGGUUUUGAAAGAUAGACUUAGUACACGGGAUAUCAUGCGGCGCAAACAUAUGGUUAUGCCUUCUUACAAUUGUGUCCUGUGCUCUCACAACAAAACUGAGACUCUGUUUCAUCUCCUGCUUGAAUGCCCCUUUGCUCAAGAAUGUUGGAUCCAUCUAGGCAUUUUCGCCGACUUACAACUAGACCCUUAUUCCAUUUUGACCUCCUUCAAAAUGCAGCUUCAGGUUCCUUUCUUCAUGGAAAUAAUCAUAAUUAUGAGCUGGUGCAUAUGGAUGACAAGAAAUAAUUUAAUCUUCAGAGGUAUACCACCGACAAUGCAAGGGGCCAUCUUGAGGUUUAAAUCUACUUAUUCAUUAGUCCUACAUAGAGUUAAAGAGGCCUCCAAACAAUCAAUGGUUGAAUGGCUAGAGCUUAUGUUGUAAUCCUCAUGAUUUUCUUUUUAUCUUUUUUUGUUUCUUAGAUUCGAACUGGUUUGCUCUUUGUAAUCCUUCUACUUCUUUUCUCUUUAAGUAAUAUAUAACCAGCAGGGCUAAAGCCCUCCUGUUUCCAUCAAAAAAACACAUUGACAUGGCGGCCGUCGUCAACGUGUGAUUGGGCCAGAAAUUAGAGCUGCGGUGGGCAAAAAAAAAUGAUUGGGCCAGAAAAGCAUUCGCAGAAGCCGAACUACAUCAGUGUACUUCGCGGGAGCGGCCGUCUUUCUUCCCCACCUGCCAAGCCGCGCCGCCAGCGCCAUGGGGGUGACCACGAGAGCCAAGAAGAGGAGGCUGGAGGAAGAACAAGAGCUCAUCCACCGCAUCAGCCGCCUCCCGGACGGCGUCCUUGGCAACAUCUUUUCCCUCCUCCCCACCAAAGACGGUGCCCGCACGCAGGUCCUCUCCUCCCGGUGGCGCCACAGCUGGCGCUCCGCUCCCCUCAACGUCGGCGUUGUCAUCUACGAGGACGACCCAACAAUUCCUCUCGACGGCAUCUCCCGCAUCCUCUCCUUGCACCCAGGUCCCGGCCGCCGCUUCUCUAUCCGCUCCGACAGCUGGGCCAUGGCAUGGCUGGCUCCGGUUUCCCUACGUCAACAACAUCCAGGAGCUCGAGAUCCACUUCCACUGUUGGAAUUAGAGGCAUUUUGCGAUUAAUUUUAAUCCGAAAUAUAGAAAAAUAUGACAGUAAGGAUAGCAUAAAUAGGAACUUGAUCUAUUGUAUUUGCAAUGAACAUAAAGCAUGCAAUAGAUACUAUGAAACGCAAGAACUGAACCAGGACGUUCAUAAGGGAGUACCCUGAGGCGGGGCUAGUUCCGGAGAAAUCAGAUACGCCAUUACCCAACAUCAUUAGUUGAGUUUGUUCGAAGUAGGUGAUUAGAGGUUGAUGCUGUGCAGGUGAACGCAGUGCAUUUGCGCCUUCAGGAAGUAAAUGUGCACAGCAAGCAGUCGCGCAGAUGCGCUCCCCAAAAGCUUGAUCACCCUAAUACUCCUCGGGUGCAGAGUCUCUGGCAAAGGGCGCAGCUUCGAAGGUCUUCUCUUCCAGCGAAAUCCGUGCACACAGAUCACCGGAACGGAGACAGCAAAAAUGUAGCGCAACAAUGGAGGAAAGCUCUGGUGGUUUGUGUUUUCGUGUACGAAAGAAGGAGAAGUAGCACCUCUCUUGUAGGCACCAGAAGAGCCUUGGAUGCCCAGGUUAAUGCAGCAAUCAAAUGGUCAGUUUCUAGUAACUGCCAGCCAUUAGCAGUCGUCAGUUACUAGUCAUUUGUUAUCAACUAUUCAAUCAUCAAUUACUAGUCACUAAAUGUGUGUCCGUUACUUUUCAUCAACUAUGAUCAAAAAUUGCAAAACCUGACCAAGCCCACACAUCACAUCAUGUCCAGUCAUGUCACGUCGCGUCUCGGCUCGGCUCGGCACGGCACGGCUUGGUGAUGAGAGCGAGCGCGCGCGUGUGUGGCAUCCUGCUAUCCCUCCCUCAACUUGUCAACAUGUGCAACACGGCUCCACCUUAUAGGUUGGUUAUAGAUCCUCUCAACUUCCAAGUUGGUUUUAUUCUAUUUGUAACUACCACCACUAAUGGGCCUUGGGAUAUAUUUGAUCAAUUAAAUAAUGGGCCAAAAACCCAAUUAUGCUAACAAUCCCCACCAAAUUCCAAGGCUCAUUUGGGAAUUUGCUCCAUUGCUGUUGGAUAUACCAGUGUUUCGAUGGAGACAUGAAUAAGGUUGAACAUCCACCUAGAACAUAAGCUACAUUUAUCCACAACUGAACAAUGGACUAUACCUUGAAUUGUCAGUUUUGUGCAAGCAAGUUUCACUUAAGUCCUUUACCGAUACUAGGCUGCAAAAUGCAUCUCCUCUUGUUGAAGCAUGUAAGUCUUACUUUUGGGCCUUUCAUGAGUCUCUAGAGAUUACCCAAUCUCAUAGACUGUGACUAACAAUCAAACUCAUAUAGGUGUGUUCCUCUAAAGAUGUUUCUGCAGAUUAACAUCUUUGCUUAGGCCACUCGGAUCAUAUUAAGGUGUUUACCAACCUGCCAUGCAAAUUUAGAUAAGAUUGCAUCUCCAACGGAGUGGGUUCCUACAAUAGUACUCCCCUUCUCAGUUAGUCAAAUAGCUUGUUUCACCAUUCUAGUUCACAGGAUCUCCGAUCAAAUAGAAUAGGUUACCACUAUGACUUAACUCUCAUGUGGGUCUCAUUCCCAUCUCCCUCGAUGCCUCGUCUAUCACAUUUUGUGAAAGACCUUUCGUGAAUUGAUCUACCAGAUUUUUAGCUGUUUGGACAUAGUCCAGUGCUACCACUCCGGAGUUUCUCAUCUUUCUGACAGACUUCAGCCGCCUCUUCACAUGUCUUGAUGACUUCAUAUUAUCCUUAGAACUGUUCACCUUGGCAAUCACUAUUUGAUUAUCACAGUUCAUUAGAAUAGCUGGUAUCAGUUUCCCAACCACUGGCAAAUCCGACAAAAGAUCACGAAGCCAUUCAGCCUCAACUGUGGUGGUAUCCAGUGCUAUGAGUUAUGCUUCCAUUGUUGACCUCGUUAAGAUGGUUUGCUUGCAAGACUUCCAAGAAACAGCACCACCUCCAAGCAUGAACACAUAUCCACUUGUGGCUUUUAUCUCAUCAGCAUCUAAUAUCCAGUUUGAGUCACUAUAGCCUUCCAGUACCCUAGGAUACCCAGCAUAAUGAAUUCCAUAACUCGUUGUGCCUAUUAGAUAGCGCAUUACUCUCUCAAGAGCAUGGCAGUGAUCAUCUCCAGGAUUUGAGACAAAUCUGCUGAGUUUGCUCACAGCAAAUGAGAUGGCAGGCCUCAUAGCGCUAGCUAGAUACAUUAGCGAGCCAAUGAUUUGAAAAUAUCUCAAUUGAUCCCUUGCGAUUCUACGGUUUUUCCGCAAUAUCACACUGGAAUUGUAAGGCGUGGGAGCAGGCUUGCAGUCACUAUAACCAAAGCAACUCAAGAUCUUCUCCACAUAAUGGGAUUGCAAAAGUGUAAUCCCACCAUUACCUUCUCUCAGGUUCAAAAUUAGAUCAGCCACUCCCAUAUCUUUCAUCUCAAAACUUUGAGACAAAAAUCUCUUAACCUCCUCAAUCACAUUGAGAUUGGUAUCAAAGAUCAAUAUGUCAUCAAUAUACAAACACAAGAUCACUCCUUUUCCCCCACCAAAAUGGUAGAUACGCACUUGUCGGCUUCAUUCACAACAAAGCCGGCUGACUUGAGAGUCUUGUCAAACUUCUCAUGCCAUUGCUUAGGAGCCUGUUUCAGUCCAUACAAAGAUUUUAACAACUUGUGCACCUUUCCUUCAUGACCUUCUACUACAUAACCAUCAGGCUGAUCCAUAUAAAUUUCCUCAUCUAACUCUCCAUUAAGGAAGGCUGUCUUAACAUCCAUCUGAUGGAUGAGAAGCCCUUGUGAGGUAGCUAAGGAUAGUAGUACUCGAAUCGUGGUCAAUCUAGCAAGUGGUGAGUAAGUAUCAAAAUAAUCUUCGCCUUCUUUCUGGGUGUAACGCUUGGCCACAAGUCUUGUCUUGUACUUUUCAAUAGUACCAUCAGGUCUAAACUUUUUCUUAAACACCCACUUACAUCCUACAGGUUUGCACCCGUAUGGACGAUCAACAAGCUCCCAAGUCCCAUUAGAUAUUAUGGAAUCCAUCUCACUUUUGAUUGCUUCCUUCCAAUAGUCAGCAUCAGGAGAUCCAUAAGCCUCAGCAAUAGUUCUAGGAGUGUCAUCUGCAAGGUACACAACGUAGUAUCACCAAAAGAAUUUGCAGUCCUUCAUCUUUUACUCUUUCGAGUCCUUUCAUUGUCAUCCUUCUCAUGAUUCUCCUCAAGUGGUUGUUCAAAGUGUACUACUGUAUCAUUACAUUCAGGGGAAUUAACAGAUUCAUAACUAGAGUUGCUAGAUGUUUCAUUCAUAGGAAAAAUAUUCUCAAAAAAUGUGGCAUCUCUGGACUCCAUGAUUGUACCAACAUGCAUGUCCGGUACUCUAGAUUUAAUUAUCAAGAAUCUAUAUCCAAUACUAUGAAAACCAAAGCCUAGAAAGACACAAUCAACUGUUUUCGGUUCGAGCUUGUGCUUCUUAGCAAUUGGUGCAUUAACCUUUGCCAAGCAACCCCAAGUACGCAAGUAUGAGAGUGUUAGUCUUUUAUUUUUCCAUUCCUUGAAUGGUGUUUUCUCUUUGUUUUUCAUAGGAACUCUGUUAAGAGUAUGACAGGCAGUCAACAUGGCUUCACCCCAUCAUUCCCAAGAAAGUCUAGCUGCUUCUAACAUGGUGUUAACCAUCUCAGUUAGAGUACGGUUCUUCCUUUCAGCCACUCCAUUUGACUCAGGAGAAUAAGGUGGUGUUUUUUCAUGAAUAAUGCCAUGUUCCUCACAGAACAAAUUGAACUCAUUUGAAAAGUACUCUCCACCUCGAUCCGAUCUAACACGUUUUAUCUUCCUCUCAAGUUGAUUUUCAACUCCAGCCUUAUAGAUCUUGAAAAACUUAAAUGCCUCAUCUUUCGAUUUAAGCAAAUACACAUAGCAAUAUCUAGUAGAAUCAUCUAUCAAAGUCAUGAAAUAUCUCUUUUCACCUUUAGUCAACACACUAUUUAUUUCGCUGAAGUCCGAAUGAAUUAAUUCUAAUGGUAACAAAGUCCUCACCUCAGCAUCCUUGUGAGGCUUGCAGGGUUGCUUAGAUUGCACACACACUUGACAUUUAGUAAUUUUUACCAAAGUGAAUUUCGAAAUUAAACUCAAAUUAGCUAGCCACAACAUACAAUCAAAAUUAACAUGACAAAAUCGUGAAUGCCAAACAUUUGACUCAUCGUCAUUACAUACAUGAUUCACAAAUUUAUUACAAGAGUCUGAUAAUGAUAAAUGGAACAAACCAUCACAAUCAUAUCCUUUACCAACAAAGGAGCCAACCUUAGAAACAACACAUUUGUUCAAUUCAAACACCAACUUAAAAUCAUCCUUACAAAGAAGGGAUCCGCUAACAAGAUUUUAAUUUAUUGAGGUGACAUGCUGCACAUUCUUCAGCCGCACGGUCUUUCCCGAAGUAAACUUCAGAUCGACCAUACCAAUACCACGAACAGCAACACGUGAGUUGUUCCCUAUCAACACAGAUCCAAUCCCUGUGACCUGGUAAGAGGAAAACAAAGAAAUAUCAGCACACACAUGUAUAUUAGCACCGGUGUCAAUCCACCAAUUUGGUAAAUGACUAACUGAAAGAACAAAAGUACGAUUACCAUACCCUGAUGUUCCCUUCUCAGCAUCACUAAUAACAAUAUUAGCAAACUUCUUCUGCCCGUGUUGUUGCUUGUCCUUGCGGUCCUUGCAGUCCUUGGCCCAAUGGUCAGAACCAUCGCACACAAAGCACUUUCCCUUGUUGUUCUUCUUUUUCUUAAAGUUGGUAGUCUGAGUAGACUUGUGUUGAGACUCAAUUUUCGCUUUUCCCUUAUUCUUGUGGGAUUGGAAGUACCUUUUCUGCACCAUAUGAGCGAUAGAACCUCCCUCAUUGCUACGCGCACGUGAAUCCUUUGCUCUCGCCUUUUCUUCAACAUCAAGAGUGCCGAUAAGACCGGCUAUGGUGAACUCAUGUCUCUUAUGUUUCAGAGUAGUAGCAAAGUUCCUCCAUGAAGGAGGCAAUUUGACAAUGAUACCACCGGCCAUAAAUUUAUCCAGCAUCUCACACCUAACAUUCACAAGAUCCUUUGCAAGAGCUUGUAACUCAUGAGCCUGUUCAACUACAGAACUGUCAUCAACCAUCUUGUAGUCGUAGAACUGCUCUAUGAUGUACAACUCGCUCCCUGCAUCGGAUACCCCAAAAUUUGCCUGGAGUGCAUCCCACAUUGCCUUGCCAGAGGGAAGCUACAUAUAUGAAUCGAUCAAGUUCUUAGCAAGAACACUGAUCCUAGCCCCUUUGAACAAAUUGUUGUCAGUAGACAUGUAUACACUAUCCUCCGUGGAGGUGUGCGGUCCCACAGGACGCUCAUGGGUAAUGAACAACACGUUCAUAGCCGUGAGCCACAACUCAAGUCUGCCAACCCAUCUCUUGUAAUUCGUUCCAUCAAAUACAUUCGGUUUCAAUUGCGCAGCAAAGCCGACUACCGAAAAAGCCCUAUCAAGUUUUUGGAUUGUUGGAAUUAGAGGCAUUUUGCGGUUAGUUUUAAUCUGAAAUAUAGAAUAAAACAUGACAGUAAAGAUAGCAUAAAUAGGAACUUGAUCUAUUGUAUUUGCAAUGAACAUAAAGCAUGCAAUAGAUACUAUGAAACGCAAGAACUGAACCAGGACGUUCAUAAGGGAGUACCCUGAGGCGGGGUUAGUUCUGGAGGAACCAGAUGCACCAUUACCCAACAUCGUUAGUUGAGCUUGUUUGAAGUAGUUGAUCAGAGGUUGAUGCCGUGCAGGUGAUCGCAGUGCAGUUGCACCUUUAGGAAGUAGAUGUGCACAGCGAGCAUACGCGCAGAUGCGCUUGCUAAAAACUUGAUCGCCCUUCUACUCCUCGGGUGCAGAGUCUCUGGCAAAGGGCGCAGCUUCGGAGGCCUGCAAAAAUGCAGCGUAGUAGUGGGGGAAAGCUCUGGUGGUUUGUAUGUUCGUGUACGAAAGAAUGAGAGGUAGCACCUCUUUUGUAGGCACCAAAAGACCCUUGGAUGCCCAGGUUAAUGCAACAAUCAUAUGGUCAGUUUGUGGUAACUGCCAGCAAUUAGCAGUCGUCAGUUACUGGUCAUUUGUUAUCAACUAUUCAAUCAUCAGUUACUAGUCAUGAACCCCACACAUCACAUCACAUCCGGUCGCGUCGUGGCUCAGCGAGGUGUGGCCAUGACCUGCUGCUCCUGGGGUCGCUGCUGCUGCCGGCGUCGCUGCACCGCUUCUCGUCCACCCUCGCUGCCGCCAGCUUCGACACCUGCGUCUUCCCGUCGGAUUGUGGAAACAUUGCCAUGCCGCUUCUCAAGCAGCUGACCCUUCUCCAUGUCAUGAUCUCGGAGACCUCCCUGCAUGCCUGGCUCGCCGGCUGCCCUGUCCUGGAGAGCUUGCUGCUGCUUGACAACGAAGGCUGCCCUCGAGUAAAGAUCAUCACGUCCCUUAGCCUCAGGAGCGUCGGUGUGGGUUCUAGAUGGAGAGAGGGAGGCCUCCGGUUCGAACAGCUCGACGUCGAGGAUGCCUCAUGCCUGGGAAGAUUGUGCAUUCCUAUUAUUUUGCCACUUACGACUGUUAUACUAUAUCUAUGGUUGUUCUAGAGCUAGCUAGGUUGACCAUGCAAUGCAUUGGCUGAUUCACACCAUUUUCAUGCUUGCUUUGCUUUUUCAGACAACACAUACAUGUUGGGGAGGAAAAUGAACCAUAUGAUGAAUAUUGGAAACUUACUGAUGAUGGUACCCUUAACACAUUCGGCUGAGAAAAAUUGUGCUACCAUACUAUCAGGACAGCAACUUGCAUGUUAACUUCGCCAAGUUCUUUGUGAGAAAUGCGGGCGUGCUGGAGUCGAUGAGGUUUGAUUUUGUAUCUCAUGUUGGGUCAUUUAGUCUUCUGCCUGAGGAGCAAGUGCAUGAUCUGUCAAUACUGGACCCCUUUCAAAGGACUCCUUAGUAGGCCUGAUAACACCAAUCAGAGACAUUUUGGUCAGUUUUUCAGACAAGGUUUAGUCAGUUUUCAGUACCUUGACAUUUGUUAUCUCUUUUAUUUCUCGGAAUAUAUACUUAAUUUGUCAUCUGAUUUGGUGAUAUUUUUCGUUUUAAACGGAGAGGAGCUCUUGAGAUGCCCAUUGUUCUUUUCCACCUGGUUGUCAUUGGAAUGAUUGCAACUUGUACGCUGUAUAGUCCAUUCAGUUUUCUUGAAUCACAAUUGCCAAUGUUCAGUCCAGCAAUGUUCAGAAUUCAGAGCUUGUUUGUUCUUGAGGAAUCUGCUUCCAGGUAUACACUGAAAAAUGAAGUUAUGUCUUGCUUUCACGUCGACUGUGAUAUGAGCAGAAGCAGAACAGGUGGAAUGGCAUAUUCCCGUAUUCCUUAUUUCAGAACAACUGCAAUGUUGCAAUCCCUUGGUCUCAAAACUUUUUUUUCUAGAAUACGCAGGAGAGCUGCGUAUCUUUGUAUUAAGAAGAAAGAUCGUUUGAAACGUUACAAUGCGGGCCAACCGGGCAGACGCACACGGUCUGAACAACACUAUUGUAUGGGUAGAAAACAUACUGCAAUCUGAUAGUUUCCUAGUCUCCUCUCUUUAAUGCCAUUCAACAGGAUCAUUUAACCUUACGAGUUAAUGUCUAGUGCCAGUGCUAAGGAAUAUCAAAAUGCCAGCAGAUCCUUGAAAAAUUUAUAAUCCAUCAUCAUACUAUGUUUUCAAUUAGUUCAUGUUUUAUUUUUUCACUCCUGAACCUCUGAAAGUCCUUUCCACCUUCAUGAGGUUUUACAUUCUCGAAGCUGUUAGAUUGUUGAAGCUACAACUUGUUGGCCCCUGCUGUUGAGUGGAAAUUUGAUUCCAGAACCUGCUGGUUUUACUUAAAAAAAUGUUUUCCCCCUACAGAAUUUGGAGCAGCUUUUACAAUUCAGAGACCAAGAGGUGGUGCUUCAAGUGCUUCUCAGUCGAAGAGGAAAUUGGUUAGUAGGAAUGGAAAAUAGAAUGAGCGAGCAUUUGAAACUGAAACACUACAAACCACUACAUUGUUCCCGCCUGAGUUUAGUUUGGUUCAACAUCUUGUGCCUUGAAAUUUGGUUGCAUAAAGCUGAAACCUGCUGACUUCUGUUGAUAUCACACAAUCUGGUAAGCAUCCAAACACAUCUGUCAUUUCUGAAUCAACAAUGCAUUGGGGAAAAGAUCAUGGGACAGCUUCAGCCUGAGAGGUCCUUACCCACAGGCAAACCACAAGCAGAAAUAAAAAUUACUGACAUCACCAUCAAAGAAUAGCAAGUUCAGAUUCUGAGCUUUUGGCUACAACAAAAACACUCUGUCACCUAUCAUCUUGAUUUCAUCAGCUAUAUAAGUAGAAUGAUUUAUUCUACGAAACAUACAGGUAGUAUAUAGGAUGAAUCGACCAUGUAUCAUCUACCUGAGCUGCGUCCGGUUCCACGGCCCGUGCGCGCUCGGCGACGCCAUGUCCUCACCACGGUGCCCGUGCCUGCAGAGGCUCACCGUCGACGACUCCCGUGGACUGGGCGAUCUCACCAUCAACUCGGUGUCGCUGCUGCAAAUGGAGCUCAGGAACCUGCGCGGGUUGUGGCAGGUCACUGUUGUGGCGCCGGCGCUCACAGAGCUAACUGUGAUAUACUGCUUUCGCAACGAUGACACUCAACCGGUUGCAAACAUCUCAGCCCCUCAGCUGGUGAGCCUCGAGUGGAAAGAUGCGUAUGAUCCAAGCUCCGUCCAUCUUGGCAAGAUGGCACAUCUCCGAUGGCUGGGCACCUUUUAUCUUGUAUAUGGACAAGAUGGCCUUAGUCACAAUCACUCUUGUUUAACGCUCUUGCAGCGCUUUGAGGCCAUUGAAACCCUUUUUCUCACACUGGCAUAUAUGCGGGUGAGAUUCUCUUAUCUGAAAUUAUGCCAUCGUAGUAUCAUACUGAUAUGUCAUUGUAACAUCUUUGAUUACCUGGGUACAGUUUGAAAUUGGAUAGCAAGAUCCGUCCAUUUUUCUGUGACAUGCCCACCAAGAAUGGUCCUAGGACCUAGGCUACCACACUGUAGAAUUCGCUCAGCCAUGCAUAUGAUUAUUCUUCGUUUAAAAAAACUUUACAUUGAAGCAAAUGCCCUAAAUAAAUGGAUGUACCAUUUCAACUGUUUUCUGAAUGCGAUAUAUAUGUAGAGUUAUAUAUAUAGUUGUCCUCGUGGUGGUGGUAUUCAUGUUGAAAUAUUCUCACUUGUUUUGCUUUGCGACGUUGCUGAGCACACUCAAUUAUCCUUCUUUUCCAAUAUAUCUUGGCGAUACAUGAGAUUUGUAGCAUUUUCUAGACAACUAGUGCACAGUUUUUUGUGGCUUGCAAUGGCUAGGUUUUGUAUAAGAAACCCAAAGUGAGCUUGAUAGCUGACAACACCAAUUUUCUGCUUGCUCACAACAAUAGGCAGCCUGCGACAAUCACUUGAAGUAGUGAUAUGUUUCUUUCUCUUUUUAACUUUCGUAUAUGACUUAUUCUUGUACUGUCUAUGGACAUGCAGGAGAUAGAGAACUACCCAUACUUGAUGGAGGACAUGACGGUGCUCCCUGACAUUACAUUUUUGUGUCUGGUUGUGAUUGCAAGUGGACAUGCCUUUGGGGCCAGCUCAUUCCAUGCUCUCAGACUGUGUACUGGUAUAAGAAGACUGACGCUGCUAUUUGCUGCUCCUAGUGGCUUGGAGGUAAAGCUGUCCUUUUCAACAGGGCAAAAGCUAUCCCUUGUUUAUCUAAUAUUCCUUCUAGUCACAAAAAAGAAGUGGCGUUUGGGGGUUUUGCAUUUCCCCUUCUUUUUUUUUUGCCAUGCUAAGGUGUAUCUGUGGUAACUAUGUGGCCCAUUUAUCUCCUAAUAAUUAAAAAUUAAUCUAUAAUUUUAACUGAGUGAUAUACUAUUUGGAAUGUAAAUAGUUGUUAUUUUAGUUGUUGUCAGCCUGUUUGAAGUAUGUGGCAGUGUCAGAAAUUUGACUGUGUUGUUGAAUGGCAGUUUGACAGUUCAGUGUUGGUAAUAUAAAUAGUUGAGAGAUAAUAAUAUGGCAGUGGACAAAGUUGAAUUAGUCGUUUCUUUAGAAGUUUAGGUAUAUUUUUUCUUUAAAAAAUAAUCUUUCCUUACUUCCAUUGACAACGUAUGCCCUAAGGUUAACUCAAAAUUUUCUUGAAUUUGGACUACUGAUUGCAUGUUAUGGUGGUUUGUGGGAAUAUUGUGAUUUUAUAAGAGAAAAUAUGCCCUAGUUGAUGAUAUAUUGACAUAUCUCAAAAGUAUCAAGGAAUCUGUCAAAUUAAUAUUUCUCUGUUUUUGCCAGUCAUGAUCAAUUGAUCUUAUUAACUUGAUAUACUCCUUGUGUCAGGCACAAACUGUAUUGCCCAUCAGGUUGUAUCUGUCAUCAGCCAGCAGAGUGGGAAACUGAGGGACUCUCAUUGAAUCAUCUUGAAGAAGUUGAAAUCCGUCACCUGAGAGGAUCUGAACAUGAAGUUGCUUUUGUAACGCGGUUAUACAGUUGGGCGACAGUGCUAAAACAGAUUAAAGUAACUUUCUACUAUUCGAUCCCUGAAAUCAAGGCCAAGGAAUUGUAUCAGAUGUUUUGGAGCUUCUCUAGGCCAGGAAUGCGAAUGACAUUUUACAUCUAUCAAAAAUUUAGUAUGGUAGUAUAUGUGCCUGAAGACUAGUGCACCAGGUUGGUGAACUGCACUGCGUGUGAAAUGCUAGCAGAUCUUUAUUUUGUUAAUAUAUCCAGUGAUUAUGUGCUCCUGUUUGCUGUUGACAUUUUACAAACAUAAACAAUCUCAUGAUAAUUUAGAGGACAGAUAACAUAUUUCCACAAAUGUAAAAUGCAAAAUCUGACCUGUUUUGUACACAGAUAAGCCUGUGGACCCCUGAUUUUUUUGGACAAAUGAAUAAUCAAUGAUACAGCGAAAAUAUGAUUACAUGGAAGCAGCAAAAGCAACAGAGCUGCACCUAAUUCCUAUUGGCCGAAAAAUUGGGAACUUACAGUUUUACAUACAGCUAGACCUAUUUCUAUGUUACAGAAAAAAUGCCAUCAACAAUUUCUGGAGAUAAUUUACAUCCGUGCUUUCACGGAUCUCUCAUACAAAAAACCCUGGUAAACUGUACAAAUUCAUAUCGUUAUGUAUCCUUCCAAAAAUGGUUAGUUAAGAUAAGAAGCUGCAUCAAGCGUCCUGCAGGUGAAACGCCAUAGAAGCUCCAUCUCCGGGCUGUUAGCCGAGUCCUUCUGGAUUGCAGUGCUCCCUGAGCAGUCAGCACCUUAACUGCACAGGAUUCCGCAAGCCACUUUUAGACUGGAACUGCUACUGAUAGAAAUGGCACUCUAAAUGGCAUGCAGCAUCAUCCACGAUUAGAACAGAACUUCCUUCCCGUUAGGCCUUGGCAAUGGACUAGGCUGAGGGUUUGCACUUGGAAAAUGCAUGGUGUUCACAAAAUUUGCCGUUGAACCAGGAUUGUUGCCGAAACCUAAAGGCCGAGGCGAUAAGUUUUGAGUAGCUUCCUGGAUUGUUAGUGGAGCCAAUCGAAAUGUUGAUUCAGAAGACCUGGCAGCUCUGCUUGGUUCACUGGCAACAAAAAGAACUUGUUAAGAUCUAGUGAUGAAAAACUAGCAGUUUUUUUAACCACGACAGCACAACGAUAAUUCAAAGGGAACUACUCACAUAUUGGUAUUUUUUCCUUUCAUGCUCGAGUCACUCUUCGAGGUUGGUUUGUUGUCUCUUAAACUGUGAGCAAUAUUCUGUAAUACAACAGUGGCAUUAUAUGUAUGCCAUUCUCAGGUUUAUUUUACCCCUCAUUGGUCAUGCAAGAAAAAAAAAGGUACCUACAUUGACUUUAAUCCCUGCAAAUGAAUGUAUGGAGCCAUGUUUGUUGUAGUGACUUGAAUUGCGGAUGAAUGGAUGAUCCAACAGCUCGCUUGCAGUUGGCCUCUCUGCUGGAUUCCUCUUGAAACAGCAUUGCAGAAAUUCUUUGCCCUCAAGGGACAAAUUUUCUGGAAUUGGUGGGUCCUUAUGUAAAACCUUAAACAUCGCGGCAGGCUGUAGGACAAAAAGGGGUAAAACUUUAGAAUCAAAGUUUGCUGUUAAUACCAAGAAAACCAGUGACAAAUAAAAACACACAAGGUUGUAGUGAGCGAGGUUAAGAGGUGACUAGUGACUCUAGCCACAGUAUGCUUGUCUCACCUUUCUAUGCCUUUAUGUUAUCUGGAACCCUACUUUGAAAUUUCUCUAUAACAGCAUAAUCAGACUAUCUAGACCCAGUUUCUUCAGGCAUGAAAACAAAAACUUUAUCACGCUGGCUUUUUCUGUAUAGAAUGCAAGGCAUCAUUGACAUGAUAGUUUCACACAUUCUUGAUGUUUUGAGCAAUCAGAUGGCCUCAUCUGUUAUGCAAACAUAUAUAGGACUAUUAGCAUAGCGAGCAUGUAACUUAAAUACUACCUCCAUACCAAAAAUUUUGGUUGGCCAAGGAUCCCGAUCACUAUGGGGCAAAUACUGUAAGUCUGUAACGAGAGGAGCUCAGAUGCCACAGCUGAAGGACAGAACCUUAGGAGAAAGAUUUGCAUAAACUUUUUGGGAAUAAAGAAAAAAAUUAUCCUGCAUAAUAGAAAUAUCCAUAUGCCCUUCUCAAAGUAAAGAGUGUCCUAAUAACUUGGUCUAAUAGAUAGAAUGCAGUGCAACAUGAAGUAAAUAAUCUUUUUGAAAACUAAUCUUAUUGAUGGACAUCACGUGAAGGGUAACAGUACCACAGCAGCCUGCAUAUCACAGGGGAAGUGCUCCAUUUCAAGUGAGCUUAACCACACUAGGAAGGCUUAAGCCAUGCAAUGCAUGCUGUAGAAUUUACUGUAAAUACAAGCAUGCUUCAAGUCAUUACCCCUUCAAGAUCACUCCAAGGAGGCUUUCCAUCAAACAUUUCUAUAAUGGUGCAGCCAAGACUCCAUAUAUCAACAGCGACAUCAUAGCCUACAUCUUUCAAUAGUGUAGCCUGAACCAUCUGAAGAAGAAACAAAAUUUCGUCAACACAACACUACAGCUAAAUUUAUAUAGUCACAACCAUGUUAACUAACUUUGGUAUGAAAAUUAAAACAUGAAGUGGCAAAAUAGCGUAACAGGCUCAUUUGUGACAAGACAAAUUGACUUUUGAGGGGGGGAAGUGAUGUUGUUUUAUUUUGUAUGUCUGUCGCUGCCUGCCUAACUGAUUGCAAAUCUUAAUUCAUUUCGUACAAAAUGAAGAAAAACUCCCUACCUCAUCAUCUUAAGAUUUGUUACUUAAGUUGCACACACUGACUUUAAGCAGCCAAUGCAAUAGGCUGUGGGAGUGUGGACUCCCACUGUACUUUGCAGUUUCAGUAAGUACAGAACUUAAAAAAAAAACAGUGGGCUUACUUAUUGUAUCAUGCAACAUUACAACUCUAUAAAGAUCAAAGGCAUUUUUUGUACAUGUUUUGCAUAGAAAACUUGGUACUUGGUCACAUGAGAAGUUGGUAGUAAUACAAGGAAUAUCGAGAAUACCUCUGGUGCCAUCCAGUAUGGAGUUCCCUUCAGUGAAAGAUUUGGAGCUGCGGUACUUAGCUGAUAAAAGGACAAAAUACUGUCAACAGUGCCACAUGAAAAAUGUUACUGAACUCCAUAUGAUGCUACUCACAUGUUUGGCCAUUCCAAAGUCAGCCAAUUUGACUACACCUUGAACAUCAACUAGUAGAUUUGCUCCUUUAAUAUCCCUGCAAGUGUAGAUUUUUAUUUACCUUUUACAAGCGUGCAUAGCAGCCAAAACAAUUCUGAGAAGUUCACUCAAUGUUACUCUAUUGAAAGCUUGAUUAGUUUGAGGUUGCUCAACAUCGCUACAUGUUGUCUUAAACACUUCAACAAAGUUCCUAUCUUUAUGUACUUCCAGGAGUAAAAAAAAACAAUUUGGGAUCAUAGUUCCUCCAUCUCCAAUCCUAUAUGUUCAAAUGACCGGAGAAAUGACAAGGUCUCAUGAUACACAAUACAUAGUUGAUCUCAGAUGCAAUAAACAAUUUUCGUACAUCAGACAGAACAUACUGACAUGAACUAAAGGAGGCAGUUAGAGUAUGAACAUUCAUGUGAGAAAGUUUCAAAAAAAGGGGGGGGAUUUUUUUAAGGAAAGUUUCUCCUAAAGAAGUUUUAUGUGGGAAAAUCUAAAAUAGCAAAAGUUUACUGAAAGCUCCCAAGCAGGCAGAAGAAGCAGGAAGAAAGCCACGAGUUAACACAACAGUUGACCUGGCAUUAAAAGAAAUUGCAUUUGAACAAUGACAGAGAUUUGCACACCUAUGCAUAAUCUUUUGGCCAUGCAAAAAUGCUAGACCCCUUAGGAUAUGGCGGGUGAAGUUCCGAACAACUGAUUCUGUCAUUGCUCCAUAAUGUUGUUUGACAUACUUAUUAAUUGAACCCGGAUGAACGUAUUCCAGGUAAAUGUAAAAACGUUCUUCAAUCUGCAAGACUCCACAAAGAUUACAUGAUGAACUAACAAGCAGAGUUACUUAAUUCAGAUUACAAUUGGGAACUUACAAUGUCACUCCCAUAAUACUGCACUAUGUUUUCAUGCUUAAAUUGGCUUAAGAACUUUAUUUCCUGAAACAUAUGAAAGUAUGUCAGCAAAGGCUACUGUAAAACUUGCAUGUAGAUCAUUAGUCAUUACAGUGGAGGAAAAGGGGAUUUCACUAAACAACUAUUACAAAUUAUAAGGAGAAUUAAGAUGACACUCUCACAUACUCCCUCCAUCCCAAAUUACUAUUCGUUUUGGUUUUUCUAGAUACAUACAUUUUGAUAUGCACCUAGAUAUGUAUAUUAUGUCUAUAUACAUAGAAAAACUUAUAUAUCUAGAAAAGCCAAAACGAAUAGUAUUGGGACGGAGGGAGUAGAUGGUAUAACUGGAGUUGUCUAGAUAUACCAUACAGAUGCUGCAGGUAAUAUUUAAAAGACACAAUAUACUCAAGCAGCUAGAGGCUUUUCUUGGCAUAAAGAAAACACUCAACAGGAACAAUAACAUAGAAAACUAUUCAGAUAGGGAACAAAAGGUGCGUAUAAAAAAUUAAAUAUUACUCAUUUCUGCAAACGAAAAGUACGUAUAUUAUGAAAGAUAUACUGUCAAAUUCUAGUAACCUGCUCUAACUGCUUCAAGGACUCAGCAGAUUUAGCAUCAUCAGGAAUUAUGUUGACUUCUUUCAUUGCACAGAGAGCUCCAGUGUGCCUGCAAGUAAAUGGCAGUAACAACCUUCAGAAGUUCAGAGUUUAACGUGGCGUGCUAGCUGCAGUGAUAUACCAAAUACACUUCCAUACCUAUUGGUAGCUUCAUACACACAGCCAAAUGUGCCACUACCUAGAAGCUUUCCUUUUUGCCACUGACCAGCCACUGAGGGCAUUUCGACUUUUGGAGCAGGCUGAUUGCUGAAACCUGUUUGCAUUGGGCUUAAAGCACCAGGAGGGAGUGGUAAUGGGUGAAAGCUGACAUUCCCAUUUCCUUCAUUGCGUGGAACAUUGUUUUCCGGGUACAAUUUAUCAUUGCGUGGAACAUUGUUAUCUGGGUACAAUUUAGAGUGCAUAGGUGACGGAGGGGCACUGGUAUUCCUUGGAAUAAGAAUAGGACUUCUCAAUGGACUAGAGAAAGAAGAUACGUCUGGAACCCCUGCAUAUUUUUCAGGUGAAGUUCGAGGGGAUGAAGCCCCCAUAAAAUCUGUAGAUUGGAUAGAUGGAGCGGACCAUGCUAGGUGUCCUUGAGCAGGUGCCACAGUAGAUGAGAAGUCAGCAUAGCUCAAUUUUCGAGGACUGCACGCAGGACUUGAAAAGCCACUGCUUGGAGCACUUUUAGCAGGAAUGUUCAAUCGAAAGUCCAUAAUUUCUGCUGAACUCUUAUCCUGGAACUUCUCACGGAAUGCAUUCUUGUGGUGACUAAAGGUAGCCCGCUUUGUUCCAUUUGGUAGUAAUUCAUUUUGCUCAGGAAACUUUUGUACAGUCUGGCUUGUGAACCUAUAACCGCAAAACUCGUAAGGAUCAGGGAAUAACUCAAAAGUAUUGAAAAAAAAUAGCUUCUGCUGAGCUCAAGUAUAUAUAGCAAUUAUGAAAAAAAGGUGCAGGUUAUACAUGAAAAGGAAAAGGAUUAGCCAGAAAAGGGGCAAUCAGGUGAUGCUGUGCUAUUUUUCAUCUGUCUAGUGGCUCUGUGUACAACUGAGCUAAAUCAAUUUAUAGAAACCUCAAACACCAUCACAAAUGCUCUUUCCAAACUUCUGUCCAGGACAGAUGGAAUGUGGGGCCAGAGGAUGGAUGUUUGUUUUGAGCAAUUGUCAAGGUGCUGUCAAUCCUGUUGAAAGUUCAGUUCAAGCAAACAUUCUAGUACGGAGACAUUUCUGAUCCCCUGUUCCUACAUUUCCACAACACAAUAAAUGCUAACAUCCCCGAAUAAUCAUAAAAGCCCCCUUUCUUAACUACUGAAAGCAACAUUUCCUCCUGAUGGUUGCAACCAAUCAAUCUGAUGUCUUGAGUAUAUUUGCUAAUUCGUGCAGAAACUUCGCUAUAUUACUACCAUGGUAAAAUGCCAGAUGCAAAUUGAUUGCAAAUGCAGCACCUUCCCACAAUGUUAAACUGGGAAACAAUUGCAAUUGCCCAUAAACAACAAUCUCUGAGCAACAAUCAAUCAAUUCAGACCAAAUUGGGCAAAAAUAAAGGAGAGACGGACUCUGAAGAAAGGGAAUCGACACGCACUUGGGCGCGUACGUGGCCCUCUCGCCCCACCCAUCUGCGACCCCGGCGGGCGGGUCCUGCGCCUCCAGGUCGACGGGCCUCGGCGACGGCAGCGGCAGCGGGUGCAGCACGGGCGAGGAGGCGGACCUGGGCGGCUGCGCGACGGCCUCCCUGGUGCUGGAGGACCUGGAGACCGGGGUGGAUGCCGGGAUCCCGACGGCCUCGGAUGCGCGGCCCCUCUGCAGCGGGGGCGAGGAGGAUGCCCUGCGGUCGGCCUCGACGACGACGACGAGGUCCCCGAGCGCGACGUCGAUGCCGCCGACGUGGCGCAGCUUCCGCUGGCGCGUGAGCUUGGGCGGCGCGGCGAGGAGGUCCCUCUCGGCCUCCCCGCCGCCGCCGCGCCUCCCGCCGGGCUGGGCCCGCGAGGUGGACGCCCGCGCGGGGGAGGCCGGCGUGGAGGCCGGGAGCACGGAGGAGCGGUGGAACGCGGACUUGGAGCGCUUCCACCACGACGGCAUCGUCACGCGGGGAGGCGGGGAUGAGGAGGGGGAGAACGCGGGAGGAGGAGGAGGAGGAGGAGGAGGAAGGGACGAAACCCUAGCCGCCGUGCGCGUAGGGUUAAUGGCAUUGGAGGCGGGGGCGGGAGCCGAGGAGGGGGCGGACGGCGACGGCGACGGCGGCGACGACGACCUCCUCCUCCAUUCGGGCGGCUGGGUGGCGCCUUUUCUUCUUUUCUUAAUAUAUUUUUUAUUAUUAUUAUCUUUUUUGUCGUUUUGGGAGGCGGUCGUUGGUUUCGCGGGGUUCCGUUAGGAUCGCUGACAUUUCCCUCCCGCGGGGGGGGGGGGGGGGGGGGGGGGGGGGGGGGGGGUGCUCACGCGGCGUGCCGAAAGAAAGUCCAACCAGUCAAACACUUACGUUCAUUCCUUCCUUCCUUUGGUCUUAAAUAAUUCGGCCUUCACUCCCUGUCGCGUUCGCACGUCUUUGCAGUUUUUUUUUAAAAAAAAGGAUUAAAAAGCCUACUAUUCAUUCAAAAUACGCCAGCUUCGAAACGAAUAAGGGCGUAUUUGCUUCGAAUUCAAACUGUGUCAAACCUAGUUUGACUUUCUAGGAUGUUGGUCUGUUUCCGCUAUUUUCAGUUGUGCGUAGCGUAUUGUGUUUGUGGGCCAUUUGUGAAGAGGUCCACGGCGGCCACUUUUUUCUUAGCAGGCUUUUGGGAGACGACGGGCAAUGGGCCAACUGAAACUUGCAGGUCCAGCAUGGAAUUGUUAGCAGGCAGGCUUCUACUGGGCCGAACGUAGCACCUGAGCCCAAAAUCAGCUUAUUGGCCGCAAUGCAGGAUGGAUGGAUGGAUGGAUGGUGCCGCGGCGGCGAGUCGUCGUUGUCGACGGCGAGCUGCGAGGGAAUCUGCUCGCCGUGUAGAGAUUCGUAGCCGAAUCCAUCCACUGUGGCAGAUGGAUACACGCCACGCGCUGCGCUGUCGCCGCCACGAGCUGCGAGGACGAAGUGGGCGUUGUCGCCGCCACGUGAAGUGGGGCCGGCCCAUUCUCCUUCCUCCCCCAGAGCCGGAGAUAAAAUGGAUGGUCACUGAACAAGGUGAUAGAAUGGGAGCUGGUUGGGGGAUCAUUCAUGGCCGGGUCGCUGCUGGCUGGCUGGCUGGAUUCUAGCGAUUGGGUUGGAUGUCCACGUCGCCGGAGAUUGCAUCGGGGGGCCAUCCAGCUCCAGAACGUGAACAAUGCCUGGCGAUGCCCUACUUGCUGGUCCCAUCUAUCUGCUAUCCAAUCGCAAGAAAACCCAAAAAAAAAAAGAAGAAUUGGAAGCAUCAGAACCAGAGUGAAAAGAAUCCAUCGCUCCUCCCAGUUGCAGCCUGCAAGAGCGACCGCUGGGUGCGACGCGGCCGUUCAGGUGUCCCGCGAUUUGGCCGUCAGUGCUCGAUAGCACUCUCAUUGUUGCAGCUAGCGCACGCUCUGUUAUUGGUGCUUCUUGCACCAAAUCGUCCUGUGAUUCUUCUGGUAUUUGAUUCUUGUGUCCAUUUUUUACGGCGAAAGCUACUCAUCUUUGUUUGGUGCAGAUCGGACAGGUUCUUACUGAAGCUACCUUAUCUCUGCAUCUGAGUCUACUACCAAAACUGGCUCUAUUCUCGGUCAGCUCGAUCUGUGGCGCUUGGCUGCUUGCAGUUGCAGCUACAGUUGUAGGCUCAUCAGGCUAGCAAUGGCAAGGCAGCUGGAUGAGAAGAAAGAUUGUGCCUGGUGCAGUCCAGAACAGAGACACUGGCCAGGCCUGCCGCCGGGGACCAUAAGACUUCACCAGAGACAAAGGCAAAUAUCUUCUUGUACCUGAACAGUACAGUGCAGCAACUGUUCACCAGGACACAUGAAGAUCUGGUGGCGAUCACUUUUCAGGCCCGCAAAAGCCAGAUAAAAAGGGGCCUCCGGAUCAAAAGCCAAAAGGGAGGGAGGUCUGAAAACAGUAGCGCCUCCCUUUCAGUUACUCCCCCACUUGCGCAGUUGCAGGCAGCACAAGGCGAAACGGCUCCUUUUCUCUCAUCUUCAGACUUGAGGGUUCAGGCCAGGGCCACUGACUGCCCCUCUUCUGGGGCUACUUCGUUCUUGGUGAUAUUGCAGGCAAAGUCAGCAGGCUCUGGGAAACAUUACACUAAAAAACCUGUGUGUUUCGUUGCUCAUUUUUGCCAGCUCUUUUAGAGUCGUUUUCAGUUCGAUGCCACACGAGAGGGAUGAACAUGGAUGCUAAACCGGUUAAAUGCAGGAUGAAUGCAACGAGCCUGCUGCUUGUUCCUUAAGUACCACCUUCCCACUUGCUCACCACAACAAUACAUUUUAUCUCGUUAGUCACUCACUCAUCAAGAAAGUAAAGUCGUUUCAAAGAUACGCAUCUCCGAAAGGAUACCUAAAUGGAUGAAGAAACCAGGAAAUGCUAAUAUAACAACAAAGGUCGUGCUCACACGUGUCACGACCAGGCAAUUAACAAGCGCGGUUUAACCACUAAACUAUUUUUAUUCUGAAAUUGGUGUGUGGUUUAUUUUUUUUUUAAUUUCAUUUAUAGUACUACUAGGGGAGGGAGAUCAGAUUCGAGAAGCAUAUAAAAGGAAAAUGUGCCAAGCUUGGUCAAAGAGCCGGACUUUCUUGAUCAGAUAAACUAGGCACGGCGCGAUUCAUCGUCGUCGUCAUCUUCCUCCUCCGAUAUGAAUAUAAAUUCGCUGGCCCUCGAUCGAAUCUCCACAAGAUAUUCCCAUGAUUCUAGGCCGCAAAAUUCUAGAUUAUCGCCUUGUCGCUGUGCAGAAUCUUCGCAUAGAGAUCAUCUGAUUAACAAUGGCGCGAGGCGCCCGGGUCAACACAACCAUCCGAAAUUCCAAAGAGAGAAUGACUCAAAUGGUUUCUAAAGGCCAGUUCAAGCUGGUGAUGGGACCAAAAUAGUGCACAAGAGGCAUUUGUGUCUGGGAACGUCCGGAGCAUGUGCCCCAAGGGUAGCCUCCAACACGGAAGCUAGGAUUCCGAUUCUGGGGGCCGGGCAGCUGGGGGCCAAUCAGCAACCAGUGCCAAGUAGACCUUAAUUUAAGUUUUAACCCAGUAGCCCUCUUAAGAUUACGUAUUCACUGACAAGUGCCUAAUUGCAGGGGCGGACGAAACCAAACAAUUUGGAUGCGGUGCAAAUAAAAUACUACCGAAUUUACUCCACACCCUCCUCCGUUUUUAAAAGGGCUUGAUUAAAUCUUUUUGAGUAUUUGUCGGUGUUUUUCCUUGAUUAAAUAAAAGAAAAUGAGGGGGGCAAAUUUCUGGGACGUGAAAAAACAAAUCGAUAUCCAGUACUCUCUGUCCUUUUUUAUCAUAUCAAUGCGAUGGAAAAACUGCCAACAGGUUACCAGAAUACGAUGGGCGUGGACAUGCAUGAGUCGAUGUGGAAUCUCUCUACUCAAGUUGCAAAUUUCCACAAAGUGUGCCACAAAAUGGGGGGCAUAAUUAGGUCCUGGAACAAAAUGUGCAAGAGUGAUAACAUUAAACUAAUCAUGAUCAAAGCCAUGGCUGUCAAGGAGAAGCUUCUCCUCUCCUCCUCAUCUCGUUGGAAGAGUGGCACAAUUGUGGAACACGACACAUGCCGGAGGGCAAUCAGGACAAAACGAGGAGAGAGAGAGAGAAAGAAAGAAAGACAAAUAAAGGAGAGAGAGAGAGAUUAGUACAAGUCUUACUGGAUACAAUCUUGGCGCCUGGCCACGUGGAGGGGUCAGAUACUCGAAGAUACCUCUGCCUCCUCGAGGCGCCGAGGAGCCGUCUGAAUUCCAUGUGAAGCUCGUUAACCUGACCCUGAUGGCCCAGCACAACCUGUGAUCGUACAACGUUGCUGUGCAGCAGCUGCCAACUACCACGCCCUGGACUGGCAGCUAGCAUCCAUGCAGAAUAUUCCUUGGAUUCUAUUUUAUAUAUUUUUUGGGUCCCUUGUGAACAAGGAUGAUUCACCGGCGAUAAAUAUUCGGAUAGCUGUACUCUGACUUGCUCCGUCCUCUCUGCAGUUGAGUCACUGACGUGUGGGUCCGAACGUAUAUAUCAGUGAGGGUAGUAUAUCAGGCAAUCUCGUCUUGGAUAUUCCGGAACACCUUUGGUUAGGUGUGCCUCAAUUAUUUGGUUGAUAUUGUAGCGCCGAGCCAUGUUUCUCCAUCAAGAAUUAAAAGCCAGUCGACGUGCAAUCAACGUCGCCCUGAACGAGAAAAAGGAACUCCUUGGCAAGUUCUUGGCUCGAAGGAUGUGCAAGCGGUACACCGAUAAAUUUUGUACAAUUCCCCAUGUUUUGAAAAAUAAUGAAUGAAGAAUUUGGAUUCCACCUGCAGAGAUUUUAAGGAUCAUAAUAUUGAAACUACAAUUUUAUUUAUAUUCUUUGAUGUAUAAAAAAAACUCAAUAACUUAUUGGUCACAACCCGCCACUUAUUAAGUCCAAGUUUUAUUCGCCUCAAAUUUAGGUGUGCAUACAAUCUUUAAGUAUACAUAAACGUACAUCACUUUAACAUAGAUAAUGUGCUUCCAUGGACUAUAGUUUAUUGUCUAUAUCAGGAUUGGAAUAAAAACAGUUGAGUGGCGACAUGCUUGCAACGGAAGAUCUGAUCAAUUCGGUGUCAAUAAUUGCAAACAAAUCAUACAUGUUUGUCUCUUUGGCUCAUAACCAUGAGCGCAUCAUGUGGAAUACUUGAAAGAAGAGAGCGAGAGAGAGAGGGCCGGGAUCGAAUCCUGUACUGCACUAGCAAGAAAGGGACCAACCAGUGCAGCCCAGGGGUUGCCAUCACCACAAAGCAGGGCAUCAAAACCACUGGCUAGUCCUCUCAUCCAUGCAUCACUGCAAUUGGCAUCACAGAAAGGUGCUUUUUUUACUAAUUAGUGGGAAUCUAAUUCACCACUAAUCUAAUGGUGUGCUGCUUUUGCUUUCCUGCUCCCUGUGGGCACAGUCCACACAUGCUGCAUAUAUGCAGUGUGUCCUUGAUGGUGGCUUUCUCCUAGCAGAUGGCCUCCUUUUGGGUGGUGGGAUGGGAGAGAUUCCUCAGCAAGUGCACACAUCCAAAUUCUAAAGUGUUGAUAUCCUCUGGCAUCUUUGCUUGCCUUAGAAUUCACCACUUUGAAAGGUGGCAAAAGAUACCAUCAUGUUGUUCACGAUUCUCUCUUUUGGUUGGGGGGCACCCAAAAUGCACAUUGGGUCAAUAUGGUUUUUUUUAAUUCAUAUAUAGUAGUGUUUUUUUUGUAGUGCCUUGCAAUUUCUUUACUUUUUUUCCUGAACAAGUUUUGCAACAUCUAUUUUUUUAUGGGAAUGCAUAGAUUCUUAAAUAAUUGAUUGACUUCAAGACUAGGAUAAUAAAUAAAUAAAUUUUUGAAUCGCGCGGAUAAUCGAGGCCUUUGGAACGUAGAGCAUGCUGAGACGUUCAUGUCUUUGUUAGACCUUCCUCCGCACAUAGAACUUCUUAAUUAAAACCGCUUGUAGUAUUUUUCCUCGCCGUUUUUUUACCAAGAUUGUGGUCUUUCUAUUUUGGUAAAUUAAACAACAAUAUAUGUGCAUUUGGCAUGCUAAAUUAAUGUAGUAAUGAGCUAAGCAUGCACGAACCUGGGACUGGGAUUUUAUAAAGUUUUGUCAAGCAAUCUUCUUAAUUCUUCUCUGAGCUCACAUAUAUAAUCCCAUUGUUUUGCAUGAAAAAAUAUUUCUUUUUACUAGAAGAUGGCAUGCAUGCAUGCAUAUGACCUCAGAGUAGGCACGUCCUCAUUUAUGAGAAAUGUCCACAUCCUAGGGUGAGUGGAUAAGGGAGGGCACGUCCCAUGAUUGGACUCCCUGCACCUUCUCUCUCAUUCUUACCUAUCUCAAGAAGCUAGUAUGAAGGAGUGAGGCCUUGUUUACUUGGCCAAAUUGGAAGGUGCCAAAAUACCUGUGCUCGCACUGUAGCACACUGUAGCGUUUCAUUUGUGUUUGUGAAUUAUUGUCCAAACAUUGAGUAAUUAGGCUCAAAAGAUUCGUCUCGCAAAGUGCAACAAAACUGUGCAAUUAGUUUUUAAUUUCAUCUACAUUUAGUACUCCAUGCAUGUACCGCAAGUUUGAUGUGAUGGGAAAUCUUCUUUUUGCAUAGUGCCAAAGUUGGGAGUUGGGAGUAAAGUAAACAAGGGCUGACAUGCCCACCGUCACUUUAGGAAAGGAAAGAAGACUAUUCUCCGUAGCUGUGUUGAUACAAAAUCUAGACCACAGGACUCUGCGUCAACAACACAUGAGAAUCAGGAGAUCUGUUUAACUCCAUUACAGACUCCAAAUCAGCUCCCGUAGGUGCGCGGCGUGACACUCAAUUUGACAUACAAUUGACAAGGGAAACGUAAAAUUCAUGAGCCGAUAGGCAGCGAAGCCUUCGAGCUCAUAGGUAGGUGUUCUUUAAAUAUACACCGUUAAGAUAUGUUCAAUAUAAUCAUGCGGUGUAAAUAAACAGAAGCAUUAAUGGCAUGUGCCAUCGACUAUAUGAGCCGACAAACUAAGAAAAAGCAUUGUAACACAACAGACAUAAAAGGGAGCCCUUGUUAACCACGCGCUUAUCAGAUAAGCUGACAGAUCUAGCCAAUGUCUUGAUAAGUGUAUUGAACUCAGACAAGGUAACACGAAUGAGAGGGUAUUGUCAACAAUCUACUAACUUAAAAGAUUAGAACAUAGCAACAAGGACCAGCCGAUGCUGACUGUACGCAAGCCAGAUACAUUAACAAAUCUUAAUUAAUAUCUUGAGAAGUGUAUUGAACUUAGAUAAGGCAACACGAAUGAGAGGGCAUAACCUCGACCUGACAAUAUAAAAUACUAGAGCACAAUCACCAAAUACAUCUUGCCUACCGCUUGCAAACCAAUUAAGUAACAAAAUCUAAUCGAUGUCAUGACCGUGUAAUUGAACUUAGACAAGGUAACACGGUGAGGGGGCACUAACUCAGAAAUAAAAUAGUGCUGCGAAGUGAGCAUAUCUCAAAGCUGAUAUUGGUUCCUCAGAGUGAAACCUACCCACAUGUCAAGUUUUCAGCUCAGCACGAGCUCCCACAUUAUCAUGGAUUUUUUUCCAGAACUAGACGAUACUGUUACAGUGGUAGACGACGUGUCCGUUGACAGGCAAACGCCAACAAAAAUAAAAUAAAAUAAAAUAAAUAUUGCUAGCGCAUGAUGUGGUGGCGUCAAAAACUAAUAAUCUAGGUUUUGGUGAAGAGAGAGGGAGGGAUGGUGCGGAUAGGGAGGAGGCUACCAAAUUGUUGUCAGCGAAGCACCAAAGGGAGACGGGGACGUGAUGCGUUAUUGCACAUCCUGGAUGGGAUGGCAGGACGCGGAGAACACUGCGUGAGUAGAGAAGAGAAGAGGCCACUGGCCGCUGCGGCCGCGAUGCGGCGCACCGCGCCGGCCUGGGGGGACCCCUGCUGCCGCCGCGUCACCCUCCGCCUCGGCGUCCACGUUGUCGUCGCCCCAUUGCUGGGCCCACGCCAGGGAAUCUUCUCCUCGAGCGAGCGCACCAUGCCAUACCAUUAGGCCUUCUCCAACGGGAAAGCCGGCCAGCUAGCUCAUAGCACGAUGUGGCGUUUCCAUGUCACCACAAGAAAGAGCUCGUCCACCCAUCGGUCUAUCGUUUUGCACGCGUCUCGAGUUGCUGUAGGACCCACGUGUAAGCAAUUUUUACUCCAAUCUACUCCCGCAAGCUGCAACAUCUUCGUCCUCUCGCACGGAGGUGCUCGUCGCCGCCGCCUCACGCGCUUGGGCCGGCGCCCCGUCGCCUAGUGCUUCGCCGGCCGCCCUCGGUGCUGCGACCUCGCGCCGUGCGGGCCAGCAGCUGCUUCGCCAGAAGCCCGCAACGGCCGUCGCGCCGGCCGCCGGCGUGGGUUCUACGCUCCGCCGGCAGGUAGGUAGCGAGCAGCCGAGCAGGAGGCCCUGGUCCACUCCUUCAGGCAGCCAUGGGAGAGCGAGAAGGAGCAAUGGGGCCCAGGAGCAUCUCGGGGCACGUGAAUAAGCUUAUCUCCUAUAAUAGUCCUAUUCCCACGCUAGCAUUGGAGUUUUGUCCCUUUGCAUGCAUCCCCACUCCUGCACGUGUCGACACGCUGCGACGCUGGCACUACCCCUCCUACACAUCGUCGCCUGGGCUGCUCCAUGCUUGGUGAGCAUAGCAAAAUGUUACUGGACGGUAACAGUCUCGGUAGUUUGUAGCUAGAUUGUUAUUUUACAAUCUACGUAAGAGACUUGUUUGUUCCUGCUUCCGAAUUAUAAACAAUUUACAUACUCCAUCCGUUCAAAAUUGUAGAUUAUUUUUAAUUUUUCUAUAUAUAUAUAUUUUACCUAAACAUACACUAUAUCUAGAUGUAUAAUAAUAUCUAUAAAUCUAAAAAAAAUAAAAAAAUAAAACAUAUUAUGUAUAUAAAACCACCCUUAUUCCCUAUCAACAAGAUGGCGAGAGAUGGCCACCUGUCUUGGUAUUAAGAAAAAGCAAUACCCCCUGGUUCAACCCGUGUAAUAACGUGGGGAUGUGGAUCUUGACGUGUAAUUAACACCGUACUAAGCCGGAACUUUUGGCCGCCAUGACAGCAAUACCCUGCCUUAUAGAUAAGAUAUAAAAUAUUUCGUGUAGCAACAGAAGAAGGGAGAACGACAACGGCGUGUACGGACCCAACAUGGAUGCAGUGCAUCCGUAGUUGCUCCAUUGCAUUAUGUGUUUAAUUUUCAGCCGCUCAAACCUUUGACAAACCAAAAGCCAGCUGAAAAGUUGAAACGGCUGAUUUGUUGUGAGAGGAAAACACUAUUUGAUGGCUGAUAAGCCGACUGCACCGAUGAAAUGUCUCGCACGCCCCUGCUACGGAGUACUGUACAUGCAUGCUUUUGUACGACGUCCUGUGUACUAGCGACUACUGUAGUACCUCCGAUCCAUAGGGAAGAAAGAAUCUGUACGAGUACGGCCGGGCAGAGUUGACAAAAUGUAUAAUAUAAUAAAAAAAACCAAAGAGAUCUUAUCGCAUCGUACGACGUUGGAUCAUUUAUUCAAUUCGCAACAAACUGUGUAGGCUGCCUAGAUACAUGCAUGCAUGCACGCGCAUCCUCAGCGCGACAAUGCGUACAUGCAUGCAUGCCACAUGCUAUUAAAUACUACUAGGUCUUGCAAACGUAUGUAUAAAAAUAGCCCAUACAUAUACCACGAUGAAUGCAUGAAUCGAGCGCAGCUGAGCUGGUAAGAUUACUUAGGCUGAAAUUGGAAAAUUUGUCCAUCCAAAGUUCAAAAUCUCAACUUGGCACGUAUUUUUUCUAAAUUUAUUCUAAAAUUUAACCGAACUUAUUCUUCCAGUGACGUGCGAGAAUGUGCCUGACGUUAGCGAGGUGCCUUUCCACGAAUGCAUCACUAGCUACAACUACGAGUUAUUUUCUUGUGAAAUUUACCUGAUGGAUUUCUUAUCUACAAAUUUCCUCGAUUUUGCCUCCGCGGCAGAUCGGAGGACUGUGCCGUGAAGGUGGGUAGUUCCAUCUUGGAUGAAGGUGGCCUGUUCGCUUCAGCUUAUUCAGCCGGCUUAUCAGCUACCAAACAGUAUUUUCCUCUCACAACAAAUCAGCCGUUUCAGCUUUUUAGCCGGCUUAUAAGCUGAAGCGAACAGGCCCAUAGUUUUUAUUGUAGUAUAAUAUAUGUAGUUUCCCUCGAGCAAUAAUAGGUUUAUCUUUGACCUCUUGCAUUUCACUCUACUUUUGCGGUGUGCGAAAUGGAACGUGACCAGAAGUGAUUUGGGUAGCCAGUAGCUAGGUCGGUACGUGGCGAACCGGGUGCGCGUGAGGUGUCCGUUCGGAACGUGACGAGAAUGCCCCCGCGUUCUCCACCGAAACCACAGGAUUGCCAUGGAACGGGAAUCUUUCUCUACUCGUCGCAUAGGUCCAAGAAAGCAUCUCAUAAUACAUGGUCCGCACCGCACCUAGAGAAUAUUUCCAUUAUUCUCCCUCUCUCUCUCUCUCUCACUCACCAUCAAGAAAGAAAAUAAACAAAAUUCUUCCUCUCUCUCUCUCUCACCAUCAAGAAAGAAAACAAAGAAAUUAAACAAAAUUUGCUGGAAAUUUGAGUGUUGGAUUCAAGGUGGAGUGAGCGAGCAUCGGAAUCUGAAUCAGCAGCCGUCCAAAUUCGCACGGCAUAUCCCCCAGGAAUCCAACUUUAUUUUAUUUGGCCCUUUGCACUGUCGCUUUGCUGGUGGAGGAGCACCGCAGGAUUGGACAGCUGGGGGUUCCUCUCCCUUCCUCCCUCCCUUUUGUUUUACCCGGCCGGUUUUUAAUUUUAUCCACUCUUUUUCAUACUUUCCCAAAGAGCAAAUCAGAUGCUGCUGAAGAAGAAGAAAAAAAUGCAGAUUUCAUUUCUGUGAUUUUGUCAGUAGAACAAGUAGAGUCAUCUUGAAAGUUGCAUGGAUUAAAAGUUGACUGUCCUGCAAUAACAUGCAUAAUGUGCUUUUCUGAUCACCAGAAAUGGUAGCACAGCAAGUAGUGGGGGGUGACACCAGCUAUCCCUAUAGAGAGCAAAGAUGGACCCAAUUUCUUGGUAAUUCCCUAACAAAAACAUAUCUUGUACAAGGGAUAUUCCAUCCCCGUAUGCAUAUGCCAUAUUGAAAUGAUGUCACUACCACAAUAAAGACAAUGUGAAGAGGCCAAUUCCUAUCUUCAAAGGGGCAUCCUAUGGUAUCCUAUAUCUCUUUUUGUGUGUGAUGAAGCUUCUUUUAACCAUCAUGCAUGCUGUCAUGGAAAACCUCCUUUGCUUGUAGAAAAUAACAGGUAUAUUCCGUUCACGUGACCAAAUUUGUGUGAUGUUUGCAAUGAAUGUUGAUCGCGCUCUAGUGUCACCGUGGGUCGAGAUUUGAGCCAAUCCUAUAAAAGUUUAGGCCCAACAUGGCUCACCAGGAUGUUCAUAGUGCAAAAAAAGAAAAGAUCAAAGAACUAGCGAAUACAAAGUUAGUGUUUUGGGAAAAAAAAAGAUCAAAGAACUAUGAGUAUUUUCAAACAAAUCUAUAUGUCUUUCAUAAAAUGAGGUAUAUAUUUACUAAGGCCACUUUUCAUGAGAGAUCUAGUCGCAUCAAUCGAAAAUUAGCAACGGAGACAACUACAAAGUUUUCAAAUAAGAGUACGAGCGUCACAUUUCCCGUGUGAGUUGAAGCCAAUGCUUAUUCUGUGGUGUGUAAAAUGGAACGGCCUUUUACAGAAUUUAUGCAAAAAUGAUACCUUCCAAAAGUUAGACCCCAGUACAUAGUUCAGAAUUUUAAGUAACUCUUUAAAGUGAAUAACACUCUAAAUUUACAAAAGAUGUGACCAAUCUAAAUAGGCUAGAGGCAUGAGGCUUCUCUACAAAAUCUUGGCCAAAUCUUUAUCAUUUACACCAAUAGGAGUAGAUACAUAAAUCUAAGUGAAAAAUACACAAAGAUAAAGGGCUUGGAUGUAAAUGCACGAAUGGACGUGAAAACUCGUCCUUGCGGAUUCGCAGAUUCUACCACUCCCAUCUUCAGUUUUUUCCUUCUCCGCUGGGGGCUCUAUAAAUGGAGCUCACCUUCCCCCACCCUCCUUCCCUUCCCAUCCGCCUCAUCACAGCUCCCCCUUCCACCAGCGUAGAUUCAACCCAAUCAAUCCAUUUCCGAUGGGGCUCGACGUCUUGGAGAUCGGGAUGGGCUCCGAUUUGAGCCUGGAUCUGAGGUACUUCGCCUCCAAGGCCGUCAGGCAGGCCAGGGACGCGCCGGCGUCCGACGUGGACGCCUGCAUCCGCCGCCUCGAGGAGGAGCGGGGCAAGAUCGAGAUGUUCCGGCGCGAGCUCCCGCUCUGCGCGCGCCUCCUCGCCGAAGGUGAGCAAAUCUUUUCUUUCUUUUUCCAUGAUUUUUUUUUGUUCGUGUGCCUUUCCUAUUUGGGGGCGGUUUUAUUUACGCGGCGGCGUGUGCGCAGUGAUUGAUGUCAUGAAGGCGGAGGCGGGGAAGAAGGCGAGGAGCGAUCGCAAGGCCGCGGCGGAGGAGGACGGCGCCGCCGGGGACAAGAGCAAGUGGAUGAGCACGGCGCAGCUCUGGACCGGCGAUUCCGGCCGGGAGGAUGAUUCGGAAUCAGAGGUACGAUCUGGGUGCUUGCUCAUCGUCGAUUCGUGAAUUCUUGGCGCGCCGGUGGCCUAGAACUCGGAGCUUUGCGAUCGCAGAAGCAAGACAAGGGGAGGAGCUCGCCGGAGGCCAAGUCUGGCGGCGGCGGCGCUUUCGUGCCGUUCAAGGCCGUGGGCUCCGGCGCGCCGGCGUUCGCGCCGCUGUGCCUGAGAGUGGACGACAAGGCCGCGGACGCUGGGAUGCCGGAUCUGUCCCUGCUGUCGCCGCCGGCGAUCAAGAGCGCUCCGGCUCCCGCCGGCGCCGCCGAGGAGAGCCGCCGCCAGGUCGUGGGGUUCGCGCAGGCAGCGGCGAGGGCGGUCGCCAUGGCGCCGUCUGCGCCUUCUCUGACCCUCCAGCCUCAACCGCAGCAGACAGCUCAGCAGCAGCAGCAGCAAGCGAGGAAGGCCAGGCGCACAUGGUCGCCGGACCUUCACCGCCAGUUCGUGGCAGCCUUGAACCAACUCGGUGGGCCCCAAGGUGAGCGUUUUUCACAAGAUUGUUGCGAUUUUUGUGGGCUACGUUUCCUAAUUCCUUGUGAUAGAAGCAAGCGCAAACAUGAAAUUAAUGAAUUCCAUUUCCAUGGCAUGACUGCAGUUGCCACUCCGAAGCAAAUCAGGGAGCUGAUGAAGGUGGAUGGUCUGACAAACGAUGAGGUGAAAAGCCAUCUUCAGGUGAGCAAUUCAUCACAACCUUUCAGUCCACCUGAAGAACAUUCACUCAAUUCUUGCUGCUGUGAUUUGUGAGGAUACUAUACUAACUUGGAUUCUGUGAUGUUGAUUGUUCAGAAAUACCGGCUGCACAACCGAAGGGCGCCUGGAUCCGCCGUUGUAAGCCAGCCAAUUGUGCUUGUGGGAGGUCUGUGGAUCCCCCAGGAGCAAAGCAGCUCACAGUCUGGAUCUCCCCAGGGUCCUCUCCACUUCUCAACCUCAGGCCUCGCCGUCUCAUCAGCGGCCACCGUCAGCUGCGAGGAGGAAGAUGGCCGGUCCGAGAGCUAUGGCUGGAAAUGAUGAAUAGGCAGUUGCAUCAUCAGUGUUCAGAGAUAGACGGUUCGCAAAGGAAGUGUUCAGAGAUAGACUUUGGCGGAUGGCGAUGCCGCCAAUUGCAGCUUCAGGAGGGAGCCAUGGGGAGACUGUAGUGUAGUUUAUCUGUAUACAACAAAUACAGGGGAGAUCGUCGGGCCUUGAGCGCUCGAGAUGAAACUGAUGAUGGUGCGUCGGGUCGGGUUUGUACAUCGGCAAAGAGAUGAUACUAGUUACAGUUUUGCGGCUUGUUAAUCCAUGUUCCGGGCAGAGCUACAAUUUUCGCCCCGAGAAGAGUUUUACCUACCUAUAGAAUCCGUUUGUCGAUUAUACCAUCUUCUCAUCUUUCUGUUGAAUAAAAUGUUUUUGCUGUUGUUCAUGGAAUGAACGAACAGUUGUUAAAGAUGAAUUGUUGCAAGAACAUGCAUGUGCCCAAUUUCUGGUUGUUCUUGUAUGUUCUUUUUCGGGUUUUAUUACUUUUGUAUAAUGUGGUUUCCAGAUGCAUACUUAUCAUUCAGCAGGGCCCAUUCAGAGAUGUCAGGAAAAAAGGAAAAAGAUCUUGGUGAUAUAUUCCAGCAUUGAAUGGAGACUUUGGAUGCUGUCCUUUUUUCUUGGAACUUGAUGGAGGUGUGGUACUUGCUGGCAUCCUGAUGAACCAAGUAACCAACCAACAGGGCAGGCUGUUCCCCAUCAUCAAGAUUCAAGAAGCUGUUGUUAUCUGCAACAGACUCAAGCUCAUCUGUUGAGCUGAACACACUCACCUCCCUUGUCAGGCAAAGAAAGAAUGACACACCCCAAUAACAAGUAGGAGGAAUUAGUAAGAAGAAGAAGAAGAAGCCCUUCUUCCCCAACCGUCAUCCAGCAGAGUUUGUUGCAACCCCAGCCGGCACCAAGAAACUGAUCCGUUGCUCGCCGGAAGACCAGGCGUCGGCACGCCAAGAAUCCCUUCUCUUCAUCGUCGCCGUCGCGGUGGUGCUGAAGAAGAAGCUGCAUGCAAUGGCGGUUGCAUGCCGCCGGGGCUCUCCGGCGAUUAACAAUCGCAGCCGUCGCUGUCGUGGCCGGUCAGGCAAGUGGUGUCAUUAGCUAAUGUAAUCGCUGGGGGUCCGGUCCUGUCCUGUCCUGGCUUGCUCUUAUCCACAGCUGAGGCUGAGCUGACUAGCAGAGUAUAUUCUAGCUGCAGAGGCCCGCACGCCGCAUGCGUUUUCUUCUCGGUUCAACAUGCUGCUCGCCUUGACCUGCUCAGCGUUCCUCCCCAAUCAUAGCUUCAGUAUUCAAAAAUAAAAAUAAAAAUAAAAACAAAUCAUAGGUUCCUUGAGACAGAGAUUAGUCGCUGCUGACUGCGUGUGUUUUUUCCAAACUUGCAUACCUGUUCUUGGUCGGCCUUGGCGCAAAAUCAAAGAGGAGCAGAGACAAUUCUUGCAGUUUAAAAAGGAUUCAGGACCGGCUGUUGAUUCAUCCAGGAUUUAACUUUUUUUCAUUUCACAAAGUGUUUACACUUGGCUUGUUGUUCUAACCAAGCGACAGAGACGAUGGAUGGAAUCGGCAGCAGGAGAGGGAGGGCCCCAGUGCAGUGGGGAAUGGGUGGUGGUUGGAUCCGAUGAACGGUGGAUAUUCCGUUUCUUUUCUUUUCAGAAAGAUAUUCUGAAUAUUCGUCGCAUUUGGUUGCUGUCGCUCUCUCUGGCCUGUGAAUAUUCCUAACGAUCAGACGGGUGCUCUGAAUAUUCCUUUCCUUCUGCUUCCUUUUUCUUCUUGUUUUUUUUUUGGAAGAAAGAUGUGCAGAGAGGACGGCGGGCUGACUUGUUGUUUCUUUUUCACGGGCUGAGAUUGGAAUCCUUUGCUGACUGGCCUGUGAAAAGCUGGCCCACGUACGACUCAGGCCCAUAUACGUAGCUGUUACAGGCUGCCUGCCUGGCCCGAACAAACAUGCCAGGCCAGAGCCCAGAGGCAUCCAUUGUUCUGUAGCUUGCUUGCUCGCUCGCUGUCAGCUUGGCAACGUGCUGAUGAGAGUAUGAGAUGACGGUGCAGACACGAAAGAGACGCUUUGGGUUCAAAUGGGAGCCUACUCAAGGUAAAGGCACGUAGCAACGGAUAUACAUAGGGCCUGUUUGGCAAUCACGUGUUAAAGUUUAACACCCGUCACAUCGGAUGUUUGGAUGCUAAUUAGGAGUAUUAAAUAUAGGCUAAUUAUAAAACUAAUUGCACAGAUGGAGUGUAAUUCGCGAGACGACCUAAUUAGUUCAUAAUUUGAUAAUGUGGUGCUACAGUAACCAUUUGCUAAUGAUGGAUUAAUUAGGCUUAAUAGAUUUGUCUCGCGAAUUAGCACAGGGUUCUGCAAUUAGUUUUAUAAUUAGCUCAUGCUUAGUUCUCUUAAUUACCAUCCGAACAUCCGAUGUGACACUGUUAAAGUUUAACACCUCGUAUCCAAACACCCCAAUAGUCUGUUCGGCUGGAAUGGUAAGCCGGUUGAAAAGCUAAAACGUCUGAUUUGUUGUGAGAGGAAAACACUAUUUGGUAACUGAUAAGCCGGCUGAUAAGUUGAAGCGAAUGGGCCGACUGUUUGUCGGGAGAGGAUGCAUGCGUAAUCAUGAAUGCACCCUAACCCACGUCUGAUCGAUCAUUAGGCAGUAUGCAUGGCCACACGCAAAAUAGGGAUGCACAGCCAAGUCUGCCUACCCUACACUACUCCCUGCGCGUUUCCAUUUCGGCGCAUGUUUCCUGAAGGAAAAAGGGAUCGCCGACGGCCCACGCGGCAUUUCCUGAACCACCCAAAUGAAAAAGGGCAUGCAGCAGCUCCUGGAAGCGUGCGUGACAUACAGUACAGCGGUGGAUCUUGAGACCUGAGAACAUUGGAUUGGGAUCCCCGGCCGGCCGACACGGCUCAGCGCCCACAUGGUUUAGUCAACAGAUUAAAGUUGCUCCUGCUACCUACUACCCAGUGCCCACAGCAAGGAACUAACUGUUCAAUGCAAGUAGAGUAGUAUUCUUUUUUACCAAGGAAGUUUAAGUAGAGUAUUUUAUCUGUAUUUACCCUUCACCGUUCAUUGUGCAGCAGUACCUUAGUUUAAUCCACUGCAUAGUGUUAUGCCCCUACAAAUAUACUGCACCGGUAUAUUUGUGCUGCCUGCAAGUAGCACAUUAUUAACAAUACUUACUGAUCCUAGCAGUAGUAAAUUAGUAAUGAUAAACUAUAAAACACUAGUACUGUCCACCGGAUUAGCCACAUGCAAAUGUUUGCCUGCUGAGUGAGACCAUGUGCAGCCUGACCACGACCACUACGAGCUCAUGAACUGGUGAGCCACCGGUUUCAUGCCGUCAGGCACACAUCUUCCGUCAAUACCUAUCCAUCGUACAUAAUUGCAUUCAGGAACACUCCUGGAAUAGACAUUACUGUUCAUGUUAUCAAGAAGUAUUUAGAGUAAUUCUACGCUAUAUUAUUAAAUACACAAGAAUACACAAGAGUACGUAUAUAUAAUAUAAGUGUCUAAAAUCUCUUUUCUCGUGUUUGGGCCUCAAAGUUGGGGUGGGGGGCAUUGGCCCCUACUAGACUACUAGCCCCCUCUCCUCCUCAGCUUGGUUUCAAUCAUCCAAUCCCUCACAAAGUUACUAGCAUUUAGCUCAAAACAAAAAAAAAGAUGAAAACAUAAUAGUAAAGUUAAGCAUAUGUAUAUACGUAUAGAGAUCCAAAGUUCAUGCUAAUUCAUUGUGUUCCGCCAGAACCCGGUUUUAUCCCUCUCGUAGAAAGUUUUACUCUCUCAUAAAAAAAUGUUGCUCCACCUAAACAACCUUGUUUCGGUUGUAUAAAUUUUUGUCAACGGAACAAGUGUACUAACUUUUAUUCUCAUGACCUGUUUUAAGUGUACGAUUUUUUUUGUUCUUUCUCCUUUGUUCGAUGCACAAAUACUUUUGUUCCUAUUGAAUAAUCCUUGUUAUGAAGGCCAAAAGAAAAAGAAUAGUCUAAGGUGUUGCGCAAUGUGUAUUACUUAGUAUUUCCUUUUGUCAAAGAAGCCCUAAAAUCAAAAUUAAUCAUUACUGUUGACGACGAGACGCCCUCAAAUCUAGUGGCCCAACCUGCCCUAGCUCGAUCGAACACGGUGGCCCCAUCCGGUUUCACUAUUUUUGCACAAAAUGGGGCGUAUGAUACGGUGUUCAAGUCUAGACUUUUAAUCUGUGUUUCACUAUUUUUGCACAAAAUGGGGUGCUGCUGUGGGAAGAACAGUUCAGCAUUUAUCAGUAAUCUCUUCUUUACGAAGAAGAAUGGAAGAAAUAAUAAAAGGCUUACACGAUGCAACCAGUACAUAUAACGAAAAACCGUUUGUUCACUCCUUAGAUUACGUGUUAGGCCCAUGAAAAGGGCUUACUAGCACGGUGGACCGUGCAGCUUAAAUAAGGCGGCACACUUUUCCUUUAUGCCCGGCUUUAAUUAUUUCCUCUCCUUUUUCUUUUGAUGCUGUUUGUUGGACAAUCGAGUCCAUUGUCUUCCAAGCUAAGGUACACUUCCACAUAUGUGUGGAUUGCACCAUGGUUCCAGAACACUGUGUCGCACUACCUAGGAAAGGAGCAAACAAAACAUGAGAACAUGAAUACAAUCUUCAUCAUGAUAAUUUGACCUCACAAUACCUACAAAAUAGACCGCCUUGAAUAUGAAGAGCUAUAUAGGACGUUACCAAAGCAUUCUUUUUUCAAAAUAAUGAGUGAAGGGUGAAAAAAGAGACGAACUAGGUUAGAUUUUUUUUUAAACCUGUCCACUAGGGGUUCGAGUCCUUGAUCUGGCACUGGCGAUCGCAUUUUUCUGGAUUCAUUCCAGGAUUUAACCGGCACUAUUCUUUCAGUAGUAGUAGGUGACGUGCCCGUCGAUAGCAAGGUGUCAAUAAUGACUUCGUCAAUCUCGAGAUCUAACAGCUCAGUCCCUCAUAGGUAUAGGGUUAUGUGCGUGUAUUCAUAGAGUUAAGGGCUUUUGUUGGAUUCCAAUUGUUGCCGAACCAAAAUCAUGGCAAGCCAAAAUCUUGGUUUGCCAAAAUCAGGGCAUGUCAAAGUUGUGGUAAGAAAUUUAAAUACUUGCUUGGUUUAGUGCUAAAACAUGCCAACCAAUAUUUAUUUCUAUCAAGAAGUUUCUAGUGACAUGCCAUAAUAUUGGCUACAAACAUUGGUGUGCCAAUUUUUUUUACAAUGAACCAAUUUGUAGCCAAGUUUUUUAGGAUUGCCUUGAUUUUGGCUUGGCAAAUAUUCAAGCCCUAAGUGCGCACGUGUUUAUAUGAACGUAUGCAUAUGUACUGUUUGGAAAAAAAAAGAAAGGCAUCGUACUCCCCUACCUUUUAUUAUUUGAUGAAUGGGCAGGCUUAGUUAGGCAGUUACACUAACCCUAUUUACUCGGGGUUCAGACGUUGCUUGAAAACAGUAAACAUACGCACAUAAUAACGGUCAUUACUAAGUUCCUUCCGAAAAUGCCAUCACCCACUCAUAAAAAAGAAAUGGAGGAGAAGAUUGACAUGACGCUGACAUGCGGGCCCCAUGGGUGACGAGGUCACGACGCGCCGUGCAGCUAGGGCACAGGAUCCAGGAUGGAUGGGUAAUGGAUUCACGUGUUGGGUGAACCUCUCAAGUCUGUGCCUCGUCUCCUGUCGUCGCGUGUCAUGGUACCCUGUAAAGUGGCACCGGUAGUAGUUAGCCUCCGUCCAUUGUUUCGUCUGCUGUCAACUUUACAUGUAUGUACCCUGAAAGUGGAAUUUAGGCCAUGUUUAGUUACCCCAAAUUCCCAACUUUGGCACUAUGCAAAAAGAAGAUUCCCCAUCACAUCAAACUUGCGGUACAUGCAUAGAAUACUAAAUGUAGACGAAAUCAAAAAUUAAUUGCACAGUUUUGUUGUACUUUGCGAGACAAAUCUUUUGAGCCUAAUUAGUUGAUAUUUGGACAAUAAUUCACAAAUACAAACGAAAUGCUACAGUUGCGCAUUUAUGGCAAAAUGCUAAUUUUGCUACUCCUAAAUUGGGAACUAAACAAGGCCUUAACUCGUAAACUCUGCUCUCUCUCUGGAAUCAGCCUAGUAUGACAAUUAAAUAACAUACCACAUGGUAAGAUUAUUAGAAGGGGAGAGCAGAGAGCAGAGGGAGUUUUAUCAUAGUAUGCGAGAGAAGUUUCAUGACCGUAAAAUUCGACAGACGCAGUUAACAAAUUCUCAACCUUGAUAACUAUGCCAUGAAAUUGUGACACGAGUUGACGAACAUUUUCCAGAAGGAAAUCAAAUAAAUCACGUACAAAAGGGAAUUGAAUGCUGGAGACAGAGCGAGGCAGCACGGCGGGAGGGAACGGCGCGGAGACAGGCUGGCCCUGCCUGCCCUCCCCGUCCCCGCCUUUUCUCCGUCGCCGCCGCAGCUCGACGCGGAAUGGUGCUGACCCCCGCCGCUUUAUCGAUUUAAAUCUCGGCUCCUCCUUUCCUUCGUGUUCCCCGCGUAGCUUUGCUCUUGUUUAAUCCCUCGCGCAAGUCGCAGAGAGCAGAGAGCACCCCGGCCGCGAGAAAGAAGAAAGCUGCCGUCCCAGCUAGCUAUAAAAGCUCACUCUCUCUCUCCCCGCUUCACUCACUCCACCACCGCCGCACCCUGCCAUUCACUGCGGCCCCGUGUGUCCCCAGAUCUAGAGAUCCGCCGCCAUGGCGCCGGCCCUGGCGCUGCUGGUCCUGCUCGCCGUGGCCGUCUCCCUCGCCGGCGCCGACGACCCCUACCGCUACUACACCUGGACAGUCACCUACGGUCCCAUCACCCCGCUCGGCACCACCCAGCAGGUAUGCCACAUUGCCAUCUCUGUCUCCAUCCUCCAGCUCCAGCCAAUAUCCAUUACUCCCUGGUCCCUGCAAUGCCGAUGGCUGCCAAGAAAAAAAAGUUCCCUUCUUUUCCCCAAUCCAGUUUCAGGAUGCAGAGGGAGCUACUCUGUUUCGAUUUCACUGUAGCAUGUCGACUCACGAGCUGCCGUUGCUGUCGAACUCAACCAAUCGCAGGGCAUCCUGAUCAACGGCCAGUUCCCUGGCCCGCGCAUCGACUGCGUCACCAACGACAACCUCAUCGUCAACGUCGUCAACAACCUCGACGAGCCCUUCCUCCUCACCUGGAACGGCAUCAAGCAGCGCAAGAACUCGUGGCAGGACGGCGUGGCGGGGACCAACUGCGCCAUCCCGCCGGGGGCCAACUACACCUACAAGUUCCAGGCCAAGGACCAGAUCGGCACCUUCUUCUACUUCCCCUCCCUCGCCCUCCACCGCGCUGCCGGCGGCUUCGGUGCGCUCAACGUCUACCAGCGCCCCGCCAUCCCCGUCCCCUACCCACCCCCCGCCGGCGACUUCACCCUCCUCGUCGGGGACUGGUACGCCGCCGGGCACAAGCAGCUCCGCCAGGCGCUCGACGCCGGCGCCGCCGCCCUGCCGCCGCCCGACGGACUCCUCAUCAACGGCGCCCAGUCUGCAACCUUCGUCGGCGACCUCGGCAGGACGUACCUGUUCCGGGUCUCCAAUGUCGGGCUCAAGGCCUCCGUCAACGUGAGGAUCCAGGGCCACUCGCUCCGGCUGGCGGAGGUGGAGGGGACCCACCCCGUGCAGAACGCCUACGACUCCCUCGACGUCCACGCCGGCCAGUCGCUCGCGUUCCUCGUCACGCUCGACAAGCCGCCGCUCGACUACGCUGUCGUCGUGUCCACGCGCUUCGCCGCCGCGAACCUCACGGCGGUGGGGACGCUGCAUUACGCCGGCGCGACGGCCCGGGCGCCGGGCCCGCUCCCGCCGCCGCCGCCGGGGCAGUUCGACUGGUCCCUCAACCAGGCGCGGUCGUUCCGGUGGAACCUCACCGCCAGCGCGGCGCGGCCCAACCCGCAGGGCUCCUUCCACUACGGGACCAUCCCGACGUCGAGGACGCUGGUGCUGGCGAGCUCGUCGUCCGCCGUGCUCGCUGGCCGGCGGCGGUGCGCCGUGAACGGCGUGUCGUUCGUCGUCCCCGACACGCCGCUCAAGCUCGCCGACAACUAUAACAUCGCCAACGUCAUGGACUGGGACGGCGUUCCGGCGAGGCCCGUCGGCGGGGCGCCGCCGCGCGCCGGGACGCCCGUCGUCAGGCUCAACCUGCACGAGUUCGUGGAGGUGGUGUUCCAGAACACCGAGAACGAGAUGCAGUCGUGGCAUCUUGACGGAUACGACUUCUGGGUUGUAGGGUGAGCAUCUAGCCAUCGGCCAUCGCAGUAUGCAUGAAUGAAAUUGGCCCUGCUCUUCGUCACCUCUGAAGAACAUUUGCAAACGGAGACUCACUCACACUUGAUCAUUUCAGGUACGGCAAUGGCCAGUGGACUGAGAUGCAGCGGCAAACCUACAACUUGGUCGACGCGCAAGCAAGGCAUACAGUUCAGGUAUCUUAACUUGGAAGUAGAUUGCUCAAGAACAUGGCUCUGAAUCCUGAACACUGUAUCCGAUGAAACUGAACUGAACAUUGGCAAUUAUUUGUUGGCAUCAGGUGUAUCCGAACGGAUGGUCGGCGAUCCUGGUAUCGCUGGACAACCAGGGGAUGUGGAACCUGAGGUCGGCGAUCUGGGACCGGCAGUACCUCGGCCAGCAGCUCUACCUCAGGGUCUGGACGCCGGAGCAGAGCUUCGCUAACGAGUACAGCAUCCCGACCAAUGCCAUACUCUGCGGUAGAGCCGCCAGCUUGCCACACUGAUGACCAAGAUGCAGAGCAUACAUGGUCGAUUCAUCCUAUACUACCUGUAUGUUUCGUAGAAUAAAUCAUUCUACUUAUAUAGCUGAUGAAAUCAAGAUGAUAGGUGACAGAGUGUUUUGUUGUAGCCAAAAGCUCAGAAUCUGAACUUGCUAUUCUUUGAUGGUGAUGUCAGUAGUUUAUUUCUGCUUGUGGUUUGCCUGUGGGUAAGGACCUCUCAGGCUGAAGCUGUCCCAUGAUCUUUCCCCCAAUGCAUUGUUGAUUCAGAAAUGACAGAUAUGUUUGGAUGUUUAUCAGAUUGUGUGAUAUCAACAGAAGUCAGCAGGUUUCAGCUUUAUGCAACCAAAUUUCAAGGCACAAGAUGUUGAACCAAACUAAAUUCAGGCGGGAACAAUGUAGUGGUUUGUAGUGUUUCAGUUUCAAAUGCUCGCUCAUUCUAUUUUCCAUUCCUACUAACCAAUUUCCUCUUCGACUGAGAAGCACUUGAAGCACCACCUCUUGGUCUCUGAAUUGUAAAAGCUGCUCCAAAUUCUGUAGGGGGAAAAACAUUUUUUUAAGUAAAACCGGCAGGUUCUGGAAUCAAAUUUCCACUCAACAACAGGGGCCAACAAGUUGUAGCUUCAACAAUCUAACAGCUUCAAGAAUGUAAAACCUCAUGAAGGUGGAAAGGACUUUCAGAGGUUCAGGAGUGAAAAAUAGAACAUGAACUAGUUGAAAACAUAGUAUGAUGGUGGAUUAUAAUUUUUUCAAGGAUCUGCUGGCAUUUUGAUAUUCUUAAGCACUGGCACUAGGCAUUAACUUGUAAGGUUAAAUGAUCCUGUUGAAUGGCAUUAAAGAAAGGAGACUAGGAAACUACCAGAUUGCAAUAUGUUUUCUACCCAUACAAUAGUUUUGAGACCAAGGGAUUGCAACAUUGCAGUUGUUCUGAAAUAAGGAAUACGGGAAUAUGCCAUUCCACCUGUUCUGCUCUGCUCAUAUCACAGUCGACGCGAAAGCAAGACACAACUUCAGGUUUUAGUGUAUUAGAACCUGGAAGCAGAUUCCUUAAGAACAAACAAGCUCUGAAUUCUGAACAUUGCUGGACUGAACAUUGGCAAUUGUGAUUCAUCAGGUGUACCUGAAUGGAUUUUUGGCGAUCUUGGUGUUACUGGAAAACCGGGAGAUGUGGAAGCUGUGGUUGGCGAGCUAGGACCGGCAAUACCUUGGCCAGAAGCUCUACCUCAGGGUGUGGACGCCGGAGCAGAGCUUCUCCAACGAGUACGGCAUCCCGCUCAACGCCAUACUUUGCGGCAGAGCCGUUGAUGACAUCUCCUUGCCCCUCCUGGCCUCCUUUCUCUUUGGCUCAGCGGAGAUCUGGAAGGCUGGGGCUCUGCGCUUCCCGACCGGAUCGACCGGCGGCGGCGGCGGCGGAGGAUUCGUCGUCGGAGAGGGGAGAGCGAGAGAGAGGCGGCCAGCCAGGGGCACCUCGCAAAAUUUCCACCCGACAGGGGGCUAUGCGCAAAUAUUCGGAUCACGAUUAAUAAUCGCGAUCUAAUAUAGGGGGUUAAAUACAAAUAUUCGGAUCGCGAUUAAUAGUCACGAUCCAAAAUAGGGGUAAAUGAAAAAAUUAGGAUCGUGAUUAAUAGUCUCGAUCCAAAUAAGGGGGUAUUUAUAAAGUUUCUGGGUGGGGGAAAUAGCUUUCUGGCGAGCUCGCGCCGCCGCCGGCCGCCUCUGGUAGCCCUGCCGCUGAGCGUCUCGCGCCCACCCUCCACCAAAUCCAUACGCGCAUAGGCCCAUCACCCGUAGGAGAUGCUGCAGCGGCAUCGCCAGUGCGCCGCGAACGACGACAAGGGUCCAGGGAUCCAAGCGCAAUGACGGCCCGGGCUCCGGGCCUGUGCCACCACCGCAGCUGCCGGGGCAGUACGAAUGGUCUCUCAACCAGGCGCGGUCGUUCUGGUGGAACCUGACCGCUAGCGUGGCACGGCCCAACCCGUAGGGGGACCAUCCCGAAGUCGAGGACGCUGGUGCUGGUGAGCUCGUCGCCGACGGCUGUGCGCUGUGUAACACCCUAAAUUAAAGUUUGCAGUUAAUAAAAUUUGUUAGAAACUAAAUGCAUGUAUCUAAUGGGUUGUAUUUAAUUUUUUCUUAGGCAAUUCAAUUAUUUAAAAUAAAUCAAUGAAUUAUAGGAGUUCAUUAUUGCAUUCAUGCCGGUGCAUUGUUUUUGAUUGUUGAAUUCAAAUUUGUGUUUCAAUUCAUUUGUUUGAAUUUUUAAACAAUAGAAUACCUUUUCCUUUUCCCCUCCCUCUCUUCUCUCCCUUUCGACCCGCCUUCCUCUUUCCGACCCAGCCGCAGCACCAGCCCAGCAGGCUGGCCCAUCUCCGUCUCGGCCCAGCUCCCGCGCCGCCACGCACCUUGGGCCCGCAUGCCAAGGCUACGCCCCCGGGCUACAAAAGGCCGCCACCUCGAGCUUAGCUCGAGCGCAGCCUGUCACCCGUCGCCGUUGAUCUCCGCCGCUGUCGCCCUUCUGUCGACAAGGACACAGCCCGGAGCGCCGCAAAGGAGGUAAGGAGGCUGCCUUUGAAGUUCCCAUGCUCCCCCGUGUCUUCCUUCGCACGAACGAGCUCGCCAGAGACACGCGCCAAUGCGCCGCCUCGCGCCAUCGCUGCUCCAACCACCACGACAACCCCCUAGAUGUGUUCGACGUGUGCUUCGCUUCCUCCAAGGCUUGAUCCCGUCGCAAACCGCCCCCGGUCGCUUGAUUUAGAGCGAGUUUAGGUGAGUCGCCGCCGCCGCGUGCCGCUGCUCCGCUGCCCGCGUGCUGCCUGUCGUGUUACAGACGAUCGCAACCGCUCGAUCUCGAUCUGACGGUCCGGAUCAGAUCUGAACCGGGUCAAUAACGGUCAACCCCCAUGCAACGUCGUUCAUUUUGCUAAAGAGUCCCUAGGUUUUGUGGUGUUUGCACCCGAGGUCCAGCGCAGUUCAAAAGUAAUUAGAUCUAAAUCAUUUUUAUUCUGUUUUAACCCCUGGUCUUUUGUAAAAUAGUGCCCACCGUCCUAGCCUUGCUCUUUUGCACGUUAAACCUUCGGUUUAUAUGCGUAUUUAUGUUUUAGCCAUCGGUUUCUCGCAGCUUAGCCCCUGGAAGUUUAGUUUUCUUACUGAUAAGCUCCAACACCUUGUUUAGUUCAUAUCUUUAGCGUUUUAGGUUUGUUCUAAGAGAUUCUUCCGUCUAUGAGUUCGUCUUAAUGCAUAGAUUAGUCUUAUGACCUUUUUUCUCUGUUGUUACUGUUUGGUGUAUUGUUUUCUUAUUUUAUUCCCUUAUUUGCUUGUAUGUGCUCGUGUGAGGCGUAUAGAAGGACCGCAGUUCGAGGAAUUUGAAGGUCAAGCUUUGAAGACUUCGAGCAGCCGGAGCAAGUCCAGGAAGGCAAGUCGAGCCCUCGAUCACAACUUGACUAUCACACCCAGUUUUAAAGGAAAAAUCAAAUGACUAUCAUAUGUGUGCUAGGAUCAUAUUUCACACAUAUGAUGACUUCAGUAAAUAUCAAAUAUAGUGUUAUAACGUAAAGAGAGAGAAUUACAUAGAUUACGUAACCAGAAAUGAGAUAAAAAUCUCUAGUAUAUGCAGCGGAUCCCCAACAACUCCAUAGGCAGCUGACUGGGGGACUCGCCUAGAACUAUCCUCAAAGUUCUCUCGAUCUGAGCAGCAAUCCGGAUAUUGUAGAUGCAAUAUAAAAGAACACAAGCGUGAGCACAUGCCGUACUCAGCAAGAGAAAAGAAAAUAUGACAUGCAAGGCUUUAUAUGGUGGAAGGCUGACAAGGUUAACUGCAAUUAGCACUUUUAGUUGGUCAAGUUUUAUUCCACAGCUAAUUACUAGCAAAUGUAAGUUUAUACCAUCGCACAAUUAAUAUAGAGCAUCGAUAUACCAAAAGCAUGAACAUAACAAAUAAUACAAGUUGUUUUAUCUUCAAGUGAAUUAAUCAUGUGACGGUCUAGGCCGCUCUUAACCGUGAGCACAACUGCUAUAAUAGUUUUUAGACACUUUGCAGAGAUUGUACAUCUUUACCCACAAGUCGCGUAAAAGUUCAGGAGAACUUUAGACCCAACCAUGUUGUGCAAAAGUAGGAACAAUACCACACUUUUGAGGUUUGAUUGCAUAGGGAUGCUACGAGGCCUUUACAAAGACUUCCCAGUGUGUUCUAGUGCACAAGGUUCCGUGAGUCAUGCCCCUCUUAUCACCAGUCCAGCACUAGAGUCCUCUCAUUAGUUAGCCAAGACCAGAGCCAUGUAAUUCUUGUGGUUGUACUAUUUUCCUGGGUGGUCGCUCCAUGUUCCGAUUAACCGAUAUGGUCUUGUAAUUAAUCAACAUAUAGGAACAUUGAGUAAAUAAUAAAACCAUGUUGUUUAUUUACCAACCCAUUUGAGCAAACUAAGAAUCAUCUACCAUGAUAUUUAAUUAAACAACCCAACUGGAAGGUAUGAUAAAAAAACUAGACAUCGUCCUUAAUAGGAACCCAUCAUGUUAAUGCAAGCGAUAAAUAAAUAUUGUGAAUCAAUUGCAUGUCAUUUAGGUAUAAACGGGAAUGAAAAAGGACACUUGCCUUCCUCAAAGCCUUGCUGCUGCUCAGAUUCUUCAAAGCCUUGAUGUUCAGAAAAUUCCUCAAACGACAAGUUCUCUACGCAUGACACAAGCACAUGCAAGAGAAAGCAUAAAGAAGAAAUAGUACACCAAACAUCACUAACAGUAAUGAAAAGUGGUACAAAACUAAUCUACACGUUAAGACCAACACGUGAGCAAAAGAAUCACUCAAAACGGAACUAAAACGUGAAAGAUACAAUCGAAACAAGAUGCAAGGGCUUAACUGCGAGAAAACUAAGCUUCCAGGGCUUGUCUGUGAACACUGAGGGUUUAAAUGUGUAAGAACUUAAAAGGUUGGAUUGGAUCGUGAGAUUAUCGGUUUCUUCGAGGUCCUAGCUACAAAACGGUCAUCUUCUUCAACCUCCAUCCGGUCCGAUUGAACUCGUGUGGCUGACGGGGAGCCUUGCCGGCGGCGGUGGUCAGGCCAAGGGGAAGGGGGCGCGCGGCUGCGGUGCUUUAAUUUGCGGUGGUGUGGUCGGCACUAGCACUAGGGUGCACAUGAGCGGCGGUAGGCGGCGCGUGUGGGCGCGCAUAGGUGCGGGCGAGGCAGGUGGCUAAAGGACGACGGUCUGCGUGGGCGCGCAGCGCAUGGGAGCUCAGCAUGGGGCCCGGGUGGCUCAAGGCCAGGCAAGCAGGAGCACAGGCGCUGUCGGCCAUGGCCGGCGACCAUGAACAACAACAGAGAGAAAGAAAGAGAACAAGGGAUCGCCGGGGACAACCACCAAUCUCGAGCAGGAGCAGCAAAAUGGAUCGAGGAUGACGAGACAAAUGCGUUGGUGUGCUCACCUUCGGUCGAGGACUGACAGUUUCGCCGAAUUUGCUCGCCGAAGUUUAACAGAUACGUAUGUUCGGUGUCGAACUGCGGGAGCUAGAGUUGUCGAAAUGAGAUGGAGUUUGCGGCAUUGGAAAGAUCACCGGAAAGUAUUUAUAGCCCUAGUCUGAGUCCGGAUUUAUUUUCCUCUUUUUCUAAUUUUGAGAAUUAAUUUCAGGUUUGAAAACAAUUCCAGAAAAUCCUGAAAUCAUAAUUGAAUCAUGAAAAAUACUCCAAAAGCUCUGAAAAAUUCAGAAAAAAUCCUGGAGAUGAUUUGGGACACGAGGAACCCAAAUAAAAUACUUGGACCUCCUGGAAAGACUUUUAGAACCAUCCAAAAAUUAGAUUAAGUUCCAAGAAAAUGAGAAUAAAUUCCAGAAAAGUAUGGAAAAUUCUCUGAGGAACCUAAUCAUCAUCUAAACGCAUUUUUAAAAUUUUUCACACUCAAGGAAUAAGAAAUGCAACCAGUAUGAAUACAACACACUUAAACCUAUGGUUCAUCAAGUCAAUUUUAGAAAAAGAUUUUAAUGCCUAAUAAAUUCACAGAGAAACCUUAAGGCCUUAAACGAACUCAAGCAAAUUCUAGAGAAAUUCUAAUUAUUUUUUUAUUAACUGCAAUAGAUGAAAAAUUAGGGUAUUACAUUGACCCUAUGCAACCUUUACUUUCAUGAUUUGUCCGACGCUCCUUUCUUGACCUAGCAUCGGAACAUCCAAUGGUCUAGGAUUUUUCCCUUCUCUUCUGGCAAUUGAUCCGACACUACUAAAAAAGUGGCCAUAGGAAUAUCCGAUGGUACUAAUUUUUCUACGUUGAAUACCGCUAUUUUCACACCAAAGAUACCAUCUCUAGAUUUUUUCUAUCAUUUGGAUGCUUCAAUAAUCAAUACCAUAGAACAACCCUAGAUAUCAUGGCUUGAUCACUUAAAUACCAUAGCUUGGAUACUCGAAUACCAUGACUUGGAUACUCGAAUACCAUAAUUUGGAUGUCAAGAAUACCAUCAUUUGGACCUUGCCAUGAUUUGGUUUGCAUUCUUGGGACCUAGAAAACCUACAAGGUACAUGCUAGACAAAGCAUUAGUCCCAAUGACUAUAUUGUCACUCAAUCACCAAAAUCACAAACUAUAGCUUAAUAAGACCAUGUUCGCUACAACAGCCUAACAAACAGAAACUACAGUUCGUGGAUGUGUGAAACUGAGAUAAAAUCAAGUGCAUACCAAUGGCAAUAAUAUACUUAACGGUGUCCCUGUUCUUGUGCUGGGUUUAGGCGUUGCUGUGCUUCCUUCACAAGAGAUAUGAAAGAUUCAAACGAUUUUCCGAGUCCUAUGUAUAAUGCAACCGUAAUCCAACGUUAUUCGUUCAUAUGUAAAAGGAGAAAAAUGGUCACAGCAAAAUUAGAAACGCACAACGUCCGUUUCCUGUGAUGGCGGUCGCUCUCGUCUUUCUCCUGGGCGACGGCUCUCACUCCAAACUCCAGCAAGCGGCUCAUGCCCUGGUCACCGCUCGGGAGGCGAAUCGUGCGCCCCCGGUCCUUUCUCUUUGGCCGAGCUCUGCGCAUGGGUGCUCUGCGCUUCCCAUCCCAUCCAGGACGACCGGCGGUGGCGACAGGCCGGAGGUUUAACCGGUGAGGGGAGAGACGACACAGAAGAGAGAUAGGCAGGGGCACUUUGUAAAACUCGCAUUCAUGACAGGGGUCUAUCCGUAAAUAAUCGGAUCGCGAUUAAUAGUAGCGAUAGGUAAAUUCAAAUAUUUGGAUCACGAUUAAUAACCACGAUUCAAAUGGGUCUAUCUAGAAAUUUUCUCCAUCUCUAAUUUGUAUCAGCCGAUUGCAUUUUGCCGGAUUGGUUUCUUUCUUUCUUUUACUGUCAAUUGUCAAAUACCAUCUGUUGCUCAGGAUGAAGCAUCUAUUACCAAAUAAGAAUAGACCAAUGUGCGAGUGCUAGGGCGCAUGGGAAAUUGGAGACAGCAGAUUGGAGUCGAUACAUUGGGAAACUCUAUUGUAGCAGUUAGCUACUUGUUUGCUGUCAGGUACAGAAUCCUGAACAAAUGGCCUCUGCUUGACUUCAGUAGUUCAGUUAGUCUCUGCUUCACCAGGGGAUGUGCUACCUGAAACACAUUCAGAGAUUAAAACAGGUGCACAAUCUCAGGGCAGGCUGCCAAUGAUCGUGUUCGCACAUUAAUUAGAAAUAACAAGAGUCAUGGAAAGAUAGAUUUAUCAAUUAUCAAAUGCAAAGCUGUUCGACGGAUAUAAUUUAGAUAAUGAAAAAAGAACAGUUCCAGCCUUUGCUUCUUUGGAGACAUAGCACAUGUACUUGUUGCAACUAGUUCAGUACGCAUACUGUUAUGGGAGCAUCACACAAACCGUGAUAUUAACAGAAAAAAUGAAUACAAAACUUAGAUAGCACGCGACUACAUUGUCAACAAGAAUUGUAGAUCCCAGUUCUGGAAUAAGAAUAAAAAUACAGGUUUUUUAUUUUGUCAAACAAAUAGCCCAGAAGACAAUCCAAGAUAAAUCUUUGAUAAAAACAAGGUAAUAUACUUAACGAUGUCCCCUUUGUCAGACAGAGAUAUCAAUUACCCUGUUCUUGUGCUGUCUUUAGGAGUUCUUGUGCUUCUUUCACUAGAGAAGCGAGAGACCUCGCUGGCUUGAUCACCUCACCAUCAUUCCCAGCAAAGAGCAUGCAGUUAUCAACCUCCGACAUGGUUCCCAAAGUCUCGGUCAGUGCUUCCUUGAAAUUAUGUUCAUUGAAACGUUGGAUGCAGCUGGGCUUGGCUUGAAUCAUAGCUAUCACCAUCUGGCAGGUAAGUUUCACUACUCUCAAACACUCAGACUCAGCCGUGCAUUGCUUGUUUGCUUCCAGUAUGUCUUUUAGCUUCUUCGCAAGUGCUGCAUCUUCUGGGGUGGAUCGAGCAAAAUCUUCUCUACUGAUCACAUUUUCGUUGCAUAUCACCACGGCGAGGGAUAACAUGGCUGCCAUAAACUUUCUUUCUUCUGUGGGCUGGUUUUCCUCAAAAUUUUCUGCUGCAUCUGCACUUGUUCCCAUUUUACUAGAUAAUAUUUGAUCGAGCACCUGUAACAAACAUAAUUUAAUGCAUAGGACCAGCAGUUUUGAUGCAACUCAUCUCUAGUGGAAAUUUUUGUACACUACAGAAUUAAGAGAAAUUAACUGACAUCUGAGAAUUGGUAAUAAGAUCCAACAUGAUGCAGAGGCAGAAGAAGCGAGAGUUGUUGUCAAUUUUUCUUUUGUUCUAAACAAAAAUAGGCAGAGGUAGCUAGUUACCUUGGUCAAUAGGUUGAUCACCUCUUGCUUGGAAAUUAUAUCAGCAACAUUAACAUCUCUUUCUCUUGCAGUGCUAACGCGAAGCAAUCUGGCCAGUGCUUCCCCUGCUUUUCCCCUCAUCAGUCUGGUGGCAUUUUCCCUGUCUGCUUGUUCCACUUGAACUACAGUAUUAUUGCUGGACGCUUCCUCAAGGAAGAUGCAUAGCAGGGCCUUGAGAAGCUUGUUAAACUCCAGCUUUUUGAAAGAAUCAUCAAAGGCUAACUCCGUCAGGAUCUCCAGGGCUUGUCCAUGCAGUUCUUGGGCAGCUCCGCUGUCAUUCUCCAAAGUAGCCAUCAGAUUGCUGACAGCUUCUGUGGUACUCGCAAGUUCCUGGCGCAGCCUUGUGGCGCCAUCCCCAUGGCAGGCAAGUAUCCUGCUUAACGCUGUGAGUGACUUGCUUAGCAUUCGAACAACCAUUGUGUCCUCCCGCACAGUGUUGAGAAAGUCAGGGCUGCUCAUUGGUGAUGUGAUCUUAGAGAGCAGCCUUGGGUGUUUGCUUAUCUCUGCACAGUUCUCUUCGCCCUGUGUGAGCCCCUCGAGAAUCAGCAGGCCUUGAGAAACCAUCCCUCUGGCUCCUCCAGAUUCAUGUUCAGUUUGGUCCUUGAUCUGCAGUACUGUGUCAGCAGCUUGUGGCUCACAAGAUUGCUUAUUACAGCUUUCAAGUAGGGAACAGAUGCAUUGCAGUGUACCCGGGAAGUGAGCUAUAUUGAGGUCACUGGCAAGGUGUGCUACAAUCCUUGCGGCACGCUCUCUGUUCUCGACGUUAUCAGCUGUGCCUCUCAGACCAAUCAUGCCGAUCAGAUUCUGAACCGAGAUCCUGGAAGACAGUAGCUUUUGUCUUACAGACUUAUCCUCACUGAACAACUGGUCUAACACCCUUGCUCCCCAUAGAUGGUCGUCAUCCCCAGAUGCAGACUGGAGCUUCUCUACACCGUAUGCGAUCAAGUUCCAAUUGUCAGGAAGCUCCCCGUCCUUCCUGAACUUCCUAGCUGUUUCUGAAUAGUAGAGGGAAACGAUUUCUUUACGCCUUUCUUCAAGCCCACAGUGUUUUUCCGUUCGUGAUUGCAAUCUACCCUUCACACUGAAAAUGACUAUGUAGUAGGAGGCGAAUAAACUCUGGAACAGAAUUAGGCCAUAGAAGAUGUCCAGUGCGGCGUACAGUUUUGAUCUGUUGCCAAUAUCUCCACCCACAUCGUCGUAAUCUCGUCGUACAAGACGCCACACUGCGACCCCCAGGUUCACAAAUGGCGAAAGAACAUACAGAAAGGUAAAACACACGAUAAAAAUCCACUUCAGUACUUGCACCACACGCAGCACGAUUACAACCUUAUGCGCCUCGAACCAUUUCUGUUGCCGGAGAGUAUCAAUGAUGUAAUCCUCUUCCCAAUAAAUCCCUUUACUGAGCUCGCUGUUACUAAUUUCCGCCAUCCUGCGUAAUAUGUUGGAAAAGCUAAGGUUGUCUUUGUCCAUCGAUAUGACCAUUAAAAUUCAGGAUAUGGUGUCACACAGAAUUGGGACUUAGCUGCUUGCGGCAGUCACUCCAUGGCUAAUUACAAGACAUUUUUUUUCUCUUUAGGAGUUGGAAGAGGUAGACACUCUAGCGGGACAGCCACAAUAUAGUUCAAGAACCGUUACUAUGCAUUUUGGAAGUUUCGGGAUCACGAUAAGAAUGCGGAACAAGGUUAAGAACUGCUGGUAAUAUUUACUCUAGUUCCUUUUUAACAAAAAUAUCGACUAUGAACACAGCCGCUUCCUGUACAACUACCGGGAGUAGGUUAAGGGUUAGUUAUAUAACUUUAAAGGCCAUUUUGGUCCAUCUUACUUUAAACUUAUCUUACACCAAAAAGAAGAGACAACAAUGGAUAUGCAAACAGUUAAACUAGCAAGGUCGAGACCAAAGCAGGUUACUUAAUUUUCCCUUAGACGCAACAUAUGGCCGAUGUUUUAUCAUUGUCUUUAUAUAUUUUUGGUUUACAAGAAUAUUUUUUUCACAUGCAUACUUUGUCUAAAAACAUGAAGGCCAUAUGCUAAGUGUCGGGAUAGAUCCCCAUUACCCGCAAGGAAGGAAGAAGACGGACUCCAACUAAGAUUCUGUAAUCCAACUACAAAUAAAACCAUGUAAUACUACUAGGACUCCUCCUUGUAACCGACUAGUUAUCCCGAUCCCUGGAGUAUAUAAAGGAGGGCAGGGUACCUAGAUCGGCAGAACCACAACAGAGGACCAAAUCCUCAAUACCAAACAACACCCAAGUACAUGGCGCAAUAUACAACACCCUAAAUAGGAUGUAGGGUAUUACGCUACACUGGCAGCCCGAACCUGUAUAAAUCCGUGUCUUGUGUCCUCAUUUUUAUCAUCAAGUUCCAAGUCCGACGAUUCCCCACCAACCAAUCUACUACCUCGGGAUACCCCUCGAUAGGUUGCCGGGUAUAAAACACCGACAUCUGGCGCGUCAGGUUGGGGUGAUCGUUGAGAUCAUCGGGCAAGCUUGAAGGACCUCAUCUUCAAAAUCAAUCUACUCGACGAGAAGCAAGUCGCCGAGUUCCAAUUCGAAGCGGAUACGGAAAGCUUGUGGGAGAUCAUCGGUUGUCGGCUUGUCUACAUGCAAAAAGCUGCAGCACUGGUCGCACUGCUAUAGCUGGUCAUCCUCCGUGGCUCUGUGCGUCGCUCAAGGCUGAUGAUCCGCUACUGAUCCACACCUGUGAGAAGGAAAAAUCCUGGCAAAAUUAUUUUUCCAUCUUCGAGUUGAAGUCACCGACGAUGCAUCUUAAGCUAAUUGCUUCUAGCUGCCAAAUCCUAUACUAAAGCAAUGAAGGCCAAUCAAUAUUCCAUCUAUUGCUCGUGCGCAAAUCGAGGAAACUACCAGCUCGAUUACUCUCCGUGCAAGGCUACUUUUCAGGGUUUCAGUACACGUACCAGGAAGGCCACUAGGAGAUCUGUUCCUCUUCACUACAUGUACUCAAGAAAUGCACGUGGGACUUCAGAAUGCAUGACUACGCUAGCUUCACAAGAGCGCUCAAUGACACAAUAGUGACUACCUAAAACUUCUCGUCUCGACUACAAACUAGUCGAGGGUGGGUUCCACGUGAUCAACAACUAGUCGGAAUCGACUCCGACUAGUCGGUUUCAUCAACAACCGCCGCGGCUUCAUGACGACCACCACGGGUUCGUCGAUAAUCGUCCACGAAUCAAGCUAAGUCACUUUUUUAAUUAUUUCAUAUAUUUUUUCGGGCUUGUUUUCCACAUGAUGGGCAACGUGCUGAGUACUUAUUUGUGUACGCCUCUCAAUGGGAAUUAGCCACCAAAGCCACACUUUGCCGAUUAUUCCUGGGGUAUAUUGACCGACCGCCACGGGCUUGGUACAUCAAAUUACGGAGGCUAUGGCCACGGGUUUGGCGCACAGAGUGCUGGAGGCUUGCAGCGGCUACACCCUAAGAAGGCACAAAUCCUAUAUGCGAACACACGCUCUUCUCGCUAAAAGGUAGAAAAGUCUCAUCGACUACUUUAUGCAAUCAUGCUCUCUUUUUGUUGCAAUGUCGACUACUUAUUUUUGUUGUCUCCUAUUAGUGGCCACUAAUCUCCUCGAGCAGAACAUGUCUCAAUUCGUGAAAGCCUCGAAUCUUCUGUCAUACCUAAAUGUUAGGACGCGUACACGAGAGAAAGAUCUCAGAUGUGUAGCAGCAGUGACAGUACGCGUACACGAGAUAAAGAUCUCACACGUAGUGACAAUAGCUAAACAGGAGCUAAGUGCCAAAUAACUACUUGACGUGGCUCCUUCAGCUCAUCAGGCGUAUAAGCUCGGGGGCUGGACGCUGCAAAACUACUCAGAUGACGAUUGGCGUGAAGACUAAAGCUCGCUAGACCCUUGAAUUGGUUAUUUAAUCAUUCCAGGACUCGAGGGCUGAUAAGCUACACCCUGUCGGGGAUAGAUCCCCAGUACCCGCAAGCAAGGAAGAAGACAGACUCCUACUAGGAUUCCUAUAUAAUCCUACUAGGACUCAUACCAUGUACUCCUACUAGGAUUCCUUGUAACCGACUAGUAAUCUCACCACCUGGAGUAUAUAAAAGAGGGCAGGGGUCCCUAGAUAAGUAGGCCAAGACCUCAAAGAAAUACAACAGAGGAGCAAAUCCUCAACACCAAACAACACCCAAGCGCAGGAUGCAAUAUACAAUACCCCAAACAUGAAGUAAGGUAUUACGCUACUCUGGCAGCCCGAACCUGUAUAAAUCUGUGUCUUGUGUCCUCGCUUUUACAAUCAAGUUCCAGGUCCGGCAAUCUUCCACCAACCAAUCUACUAUCUCGGGAUACCCCUCGGUAGGUUGCCAGGUAUAAACACCGACAUCUGGCAUGCCAGGUAGGGGUGAUCGUCGAGAUCAUUGGGCAAGCUUGAAGGACCUCAUUAUCAAGAUCAAUCUACUCAGCACGGUAUGAUCAUUGUUACGUGCUGAGCAUUCUCAACUCAACAAUUUUUGAGUGCAAGUGCAAGACAAAGUUCAAGACCGAAUUGAUUUCCAGUGUUGCACUAGAUGAUCAUCUGAAGACGUGUUGAAUUAAUCACGCAGCCAGAUUGUUAUCACGGGAGCACAGGAGGACCAAGGCUCAUGGAUAAAGAUGGAGGCAGUCGGAUUCGACUUCAAGAUGAAAGUUCCCAUUUAUAUGGCUUGUACGAGCUUCUGGGCAAUCUGUGAUUAGGACAAGGAAACACCUGCUAUCGGAUUACAAGGCGGAGGAAGACCACCAGCAUCAGAGUUCGAAGGUGAGUCGUAAUCAUCCGUCGAUCCCAUCUACGAAAAAAUACUACACUAUGCAGCUGUCGACAGGUGGAGGGACUUGUAAAUCUGUAAGGAAUCAGUGCUCGUAGCUUAAGAGGGGGAGGGGGUGAAUUAGGCAACUUAAAAAUUUAACCUAUGGCUUCCACUACUUUGCACAUAAGUAAACUAGAUCAUUCUAUCCUAGAAGUGCAUUCUAUGGUUGAUCCAAUGUAAAACCCUCAUCCCAAAACAAGUUUUGCAACCUAUAGCUAACCCUAUCAAGUUACUAUUCUAGGAAAGUAAAGGCACACAAGUUGCAAGUAUGAAAUGCGGAAACGUAAGAGGUUAGGAUGAGGGGAAGCAAACUAUUGACACAAUGAUUUAUCCCGUGGUAUCGGUAGGCACUAAGCAACCACUAGUCCAUGUUGUUGAAGCACUCAAACAAGAGUAAUGCUUCCCGCUCACCAAGUCUCUGCCAAAGUGCCCAUUGACUUGCCGAAAAGGCUCGGCCACUAAGGCUCACACCAAGUCCCUCGGUCACCUUGGUACCAUCUCCACUAAGGAGCUUCUCCACGAAGGGAGGGGGUCUCCACGUCCCCUGCACAAGGUCAUCGACGCCGCUCCAUACCAAGCUGGAGGGUUGAAGACUUUUCGGCGAGCCACCAAGGCUCCAAGGCACUGGCACACCUCUUGUACAGCGGUAGUUCUCUCUAGAACCUGAUCACAAGGUUGGCACACCUUGCACUCACUCCUCUCUAGGCCUAUCCGACAUUGGAAACAUCUAGGAAAAUAGGCGUGAUUGGGUUCAAAAACCGGCCUGGCCGGUUUGAGUUCUAAAAUAGGCACUCGUUUCGGUGCUGUUAGUGCAGGUUUGAUUUGAAAUUUUCCAUCGGAUGCUUUGACGUAACAAUAAAAAUUACCAAGUGCAAUAUCAGCUAUCACAGUUUGUAACAUGAAAAAAUAAUAUGUAAAAAUGACUACAUUGUUCGACUCUGGGAUAUAAAAUUCUCGCCACAACGUGAACACUAUGUUUCAUGCAACAUUCACUAUGAAACAUAUAGAAACAAUAGUUGCAACAUGUACGCUUAACUAUUGCAAUAUAUGUGGAGCCGUUCGAUUUUUUAAGAUUGCGAACGUAUACUUGAUUUCGAGUGAAGCUGGCGCCAAGUUUGCCCGCCGGCUCUCGAUUUCAUGAUCCGCCGCGGCCAAAUUCGUGCACAGGUACUCUAUUUUUAUUGGCGCUCGAUUUUGACUUUUGAGGUCCACUAGUGCCGUUCCGCUGACACCACCUCGCUAUCCUGCUCAGGCCGUCUUCUCUCCCUUCCUCUCUGGUCUCUCAGUCUCUCACUUGCAUAUGGGGUUUUGGUGAUCUAUCUGUCUCUCAUCGAUCAGUCGACCGAGGGGCCAUUAGAGUGAAAAUUUGACAUUAACGGCGACACAAGUUUUGACGGACGCAACGGCAAUGGCAGGCAUACAUAGAAGGAAAAUGAAGAAUUUGAAUGGCAGGUUCACUUAUAAGGAAAGCUAAUGUAGUACCUGAAUGACAUGAGGAAGCUGAGUGCAGUGAGGACCCAGAACUCCUUGAGCAGGAGAUCGUCGAUGAAGCCUCCGAGGAGCACGACGGUGGACCACAGCAACGCCAGGAAUCCCAGAGCGCUUACAAUGUUCCCCGUGGCGGUCCGAAGCCUCACGUAGCGAUUGAUCAUCAGCACCUCCGGCCUUUCCAUGGUUCCUUAAUUUUUGUCAAAACUCUGAAAGAAAUUAAACGAACGUUUGCAAUAAUGGAGGAGGCCGAUGUCUGGUUUGCCUUUGGCAAUGGGAUUUGCCAGCGUGUGGUCACUGCUCAUGCUGCCCGAGUAAUGGGUAGCUUGACCGCUCCAUUUCUGGGUCGCGUUAGUUCAGCAGAUGCUGUCACAACAUGCACAUGAAGAGGGAGCACAAGUGGUAAUAGCUUCCAACCAAAUUAAGUUUUGGAUGCAAUAAACAAAUACUCCAGCCGGCGGAUUGUUUUUAACAAAUCAUGUUAUUUAAUGAAAGUUUCCAACCGGUACACGUACAGACAUACGCAAGAAGGUGUUUUUUUUCAAAUAUAAUAAAUAGAUAGACAAACUAGUAAUAACAAAUGCAACAGCCGGCGGAUUGUUUUUUAAUAGACACAACAAAAGACACAUACAGACAUACGCAAGACGGUGUUUUUUCCCCAAAUAUAAUAAACAGAUAGACAAACUAGUAAUAACAAAUAAUCCAGCCCGCGGAUUGUUUUUUUUAACGAAAUCAGCAGGAAGCUCCUACCUAUUUUUUUAUAUUUUUUAUUUUAAAACCGUUUAAUUCAUUCCCACAGGAAGUUGAACCCGAACCUGUUGGGUUCUACUCCAGUGCUCUAACCACUUGGCUAGAGGUUCGAUUGUUAUCUAUGAAUAGGACUAAUGUGCUAAUUAAUUAAGCAAGCUUCAUUGGUGCUUUGACAAGAGUCUAUCAUAUCUAGUUAAUAACCAAUCACAUCUUGUAUCAUCCAAAACAAUCUUUAAACUACUACCUUCGGUCAACCUCCCGAAAACCCCCACCCUACACGGUAGACACCGUCACGAUCCCUCCUAUUAGCGCAGGUAGUUUAAAGGCACGAACACAGAUAAACAUGUCUAGCUAUCAUGAAGGAUCGACAUACUAGAUCUAAUAACAAUGAUUACACCAAGCAAGCUAGAUAGUCUAAUCCGGAACUAGACUAGGAACAAGCAUAUCCAUGAUAGACAGAAAGCAUAGAAGGAGGCAUUGAGUUACUAACAGAUCGGAUGAUACGAAGAACAUUGCUUACAUAAUAGAUGUAUUUAGACCAUCACCUCCAAGUACAUACCAUCGAUGAUCUACUACUACUCCUGAACUCCACCAUGGCACAACCACACAGGGAGGCCAUGGCAGCUAGGGUUUGGCCUAAGCCAUCUCCUCGAUAACUCCGAAGACUUGCGGCGGCCGUCAGCUCACACUGGUGAAUGCCCUAGGUUUCAUCGAGUUUUGGUGGAUGGAUGUGCGUGCCGAUGGAGAAUUAGCAUAUUUAUAGCCUGAAGAUGCCGUGGGGGCAAAAGGCACCUCAAACCGACCCAGAAAAGGGCAGGCCGAUCGGCCUACCCCCGACAGGCCUCUAAUGCCCGAGCGCUUCAUACAAAAGUUGUAGAACUUUUUGAGGCAUGCAAUUUUCCCUGUAAAUUCGCUCCAAUCGAAGUUCAGAUGAUGAAGAUAUGACCCGUGCAAAGUUGAGCUCCUCCUGCGGGCCUGCAGUUCAAUGUUCAUGUUUGGGCCUUCCAAUAUACAAAGUCCAAGCCCAAAUCCAACUUAUAGAAAAACCCUUCAUUUAUGUCGUAUUUCCUACCAUUUUCCAAUGUAGUACAAAAUACAACACAUAUGCGAAUAUGAGAUUAUUUCAAGUGCUAAAUGGCGGGUUAAUUAGUAUAAGAUUUAGUCUAGAAACACCACUCAAAUAGCACGAAAAAGGUGGCAAUAACUAGCGGCAACACGGCACUUAAGGGAAGACUAAAUUUUUAAUGUCAUGGAAGGGAAUAUGAUGAUAUUUAAUGACAUACAUGGAGUUGACUCUUUGCAAAUGGGCACGCUUGGUCAGCUGUGAUGCUGAGCUGAAUAUGUAUGCAUUAUAUAUGUCAUCAUGUUGCAUUGUACAUGAAUGAGGCUUUUGCAUUGCAUGUGGAACUAGUCUCUUUAUCCUCGAACAAUAAAAUGAGUACAUUGCAUAUUGGAAUUUGAUGGCAUUAAGUUUAUGUUGAAAAUAUUUGUUUGAUGGCGACGUUAUAUUUGAAAAUGUUUGAAAAUGAUGUAACAAUAAUGACAUGAUUACUAAUUCGAAACAAUAGUGAUUUUCCAGUUUUAGCAUGUCAUCAUAGAAAUAUUGUAACAUGAAGCUUCUCAUUAUUAGAACACCGAACAUGUAAGGAACUGUAUUAUCCUAUGCUUAACGAGGGACAUCCACCUACCAUGGAUGUACAUCUUCAAAAGAUUAUGGUAAAAAGAACACCAAACAAUGAGACGUACAUUUGAUGGUUAAGAACUCUGGCAUGGGUUGACGCAAGGGAGACUUGCAUCCUGCAUGGGUUUUCUUUGUUGUUGGGCUUAGAACGAAUGAAGGAGACCUUGCAUUGGAGUUUGGAGGUGGUUGACCCGCGCCCAUUGGUGGUGAUGGACGGUGGCCAGGGCGUGGGUAGCCACGGGUGGUCGUGGUGUGGAGCUAUCAUCCAAGAGGUAGCAGCGCUGGCUUCAAAUUAAGAAGGUGAAGAGGACUCGAACCUUUUGAUCAGGGAAUGAAACUGUGCUGUAGGUGGGGAUGCUUAUGACAUGCUGCCUCCUGGACCAUGAGGUUGUCGACGACGAAAUGCGUCAAAGGUGAGUAUAGUUUGUACAGAAAUCCUCAAUUUCUUUGCCCCAGCAGAUCGAUUCAUCAAAUGCAAAUCUGUUCAAUGAUGGACGUAUUUUUCUUGCUGAAUAUACUGUACAUCACUACUUAGACAGCACAUGACUAUAUUGUCAACGAGAAUUGGAAAUCUUAGUUCUGAAACAAGAGUAAAAACACACGUUUAUUCUCUCACACUCACACAAAUAGGCCCAGAAGAUGAUUUAUAGAUAAAGUACGUCCUUGAUACAAACACGUGCAUAUCGUGCUCUUCGUCACCUCUGAAGAACAUUUGCAAACGGAGACUCACUCACACUUGAUCAUUUCAGGUACGGCAAUGGCCAGUGGACUGAGAUGCAGCGGCAAACCUACAACUUGGUCGACGCGCAAGCAAGGCAUAUAGUUCAGGUAUCCUAACUUGGAAGUAGAUUGCUCAAGAACAUGGCUCUGAAUCCUGAACACUGUAUCCGAUGAAACUGAACUGAACAUUGGCAAUUAUUUGUUGGCAUCAGGUGUAUCCGAACGGAUGGUCGGCGAUCCUGGUGUCGCUGGACAACCAGGGGAUGUGGAACCUGAGGUCGGCGAUCUGGGACCGGCAGUACCUCGGCCAGCAGCUCUACCUCAGGGUCUGGACGCCGGAGCAGAGCUUCGCUAACGAGUACAGCAUCCCGACCAAUGCCAUACUCUGCGGUAGAGCCGCCGGCUUGCCGCACUGAUGACCAAGAUGCAGAGCAUACAUGGUCGAUUCAUCCUAUACUACCUGCAUAUUUCGUAGAAUAAAUCGUUCUACUUAUAUAGCUGAUGAAAUCAAAAUGAUAGGUGACAGAGUGUUUUGUUGUAGCCAAAAGCUCAGAAUCUGAACUUGCUAUUCUUUGAUGGUGAUGUCAGUAAUUUUUAUUUCUGCUUGUGGUUUGCCUGUGGGUAAGGAAGGACCUCUCAGGCUGAAGCUGUCCCAUGAUCUUUUCUCCAAUGCAUUGUUGAUUCAGAAAUGACAGAUGUGUUUGGAUGUUUACCAGAUUGUGUGAUGUCAGCAGGUUUCAGCUUUAUGCAACCAAAUUUCAAGGCACAAGAUGUUGAACCAAACUAAAUUCAGGCGGGAACAAUGUAGUGGUUUGUAGUGUUUCAGUUUGAAAUGCUCGCUCAUUCUAGUUUCCAUUCCUGCUAACCAAUUUCCUCUUCGACUGAGAAGCACUUGAAGCAACCAUCUCUUGGUCUCUGAAUUGUAAAAGCUGCUCCGAAUUCUGUAGGGGGCAAAAAUCAUUUUUUUAAGUAAAACCAGCAGGUUCUGGAAUCAAAUUUCCACUCAACAACUGGGGCCAACAAGUUGUAGCUUCAACAAUCUAACAGCUUCAAGAAUGUAAAACCUCGUGAAGGUGGAAAGGACUUUCAGAGGUUCAGGAGUGAAAAAUUAAAACAUGAACUAGUUUGAAACAUAGUAUGAUGAUGGAUUAUAAAUUUUUUCAAGGAUCUGCUGGCAUUUUGUUAUUCUUAAGCACUGGCACUAGGCAUUAACUUGUAAGGUUAAAUGAUUGUUGAAUGGCAUUAAAGAGAGGAGACUAGGGAACUACCAGAUCGCAGUAUGUUUUCUACCCAGGGGCGGUUCUAGGGCCCGGGCUGCCUGGACUGCAGCUCGGGGUGAGCCCAUGUUGCCCCUUUAACAUAUGUGGUGUUUAGCCUAGGUCCAGGAGGUAAGAUCAGACUGUUUUAGGUGUGAAUCAGCAGCUCAGCCCGGGGGGAUCCGCCCCUGUUUCUAUCCAUACAAUAGUUUUGAGAACAGGGAUUGCAACAUUGCAGUUGUUCUGAAAUAAGGAAUACGGGAAUAAAUUCAACCUGUUCUGCUCUGCUCAUAUCGCCGUGGACGCGAAAGCAAGACAUAACUUCAGGUUUCAGUGUAUUAUUACCUGGAAGCAGAUUCCUCAAGAACAAACAAGCUCUGAGCACAACACACGGCCAACAAGUUGUAGCUUCAACAAUCUAACAGCUUCAAGAAUGUAAAACCUCAUGAAGGUGGAAAGGACUUUCAGAGGUUCAGGAGUGAUUUUUAAAAAAUGAAUCGGGUAGGAGAGCUGCCGAUUAUAUUAAUAAAGAAGAUGAAGUUCAGGUUGGACGAAAAUAAAAAAAGAAAAAAAAUGACGCAGGCACCGAUAGGUUGGAUUGAGUCCUCAACGCAUGCCGUACCAUGCCCUCACACGCAACUCAACUAUACAACACAUCGGCCGCUUGAAUUGGGACAUCAACCAUCGCCGAACUCCACUCCUUACAACACCUUGACGAUAGAACCGAAGCCUUACCAUAUGCGCAUAGGCCCAUCGCCCGUAGGAGAUGCUGCAGCGGCAUCGCCAGUGCGCCGCGAACAACGACGAGGGUCCAGGGAUCCAAGCGCAGGGAUGGCUCGGGCUCCGGGCCUGUGCUGCCACCGCAGCCGCCGGGGCAGCACGAAUGGUCUCUCAACCAGGCGUGGUCAAGUCGAGGAUGCUGGUGCUGGCAAGUGGUGAGCUCGUCGCCGGUGGCUGUGCACGGUGUAACACCCUAAUUUUCAAAGUUUGCAGUUAAUAAAAUUAACAAAAUUAAAUGCAUGUGUCUAAGGAUUUAAGGGUUGUAUUUAAAUUUUUCUUAGGCAAUUAAAUAUUUUUUAAAAUAAAUUAAUGAAUCAUAGGAGUUCAUUAUUGCAUUCAUGCUGGUGCAUUGUUUUUUGUUGUUGAAUUCAAAUUUGUGUUUGAAUUUAUUUGUUUGAAUCUUUUAAACAAUUGGAAACCUUUUCCUUUUCCCCUCCUUCUAUUUUCACCCUUUCGGCCCACCUUCCUCUUUCCGGCCCAGCCGCAGCACCAGCGCAGCGCCAGCAGCAGCCGAGUAGGCUGGCCCAUCUCCGCCUCGGCUGAGCUCCCACACUGCUCCUCCACUUCUUCCGCAGACGGUCGGGACCUGCUUGUCAUCCCCCUCCUCCCGCUAUCUCCACGCCGGACCCGAGCACGAGUCCAAGCCGGACUGCGCUGCCUCGCACCUUGGGCCCACACGCCAAGGCCGCGCCCCAGCUAUAAAAGGCCACCGCCUCGAGCUCUAGCGCAGCCUGCAACUCGAGCCCGAGCACAGCACACGCCCGUCGCCAUUGAUCUCCUCCGCCGUUUGUCGUUGUCAGGACUUAGACUAGUAAAUUUCUUUUAUGCGCGUAAAGCUUCGGAUGGUGGCGUGGGAGACACAGGGUUUAGACUGGUUCGGGCAAGGAAGAGUCCUACGUCCAGUAUCGGGAGCUGCUCGUGUUGCCCACGCGGGGUCUGUAGUAGGGGUUACAGGAGGACGAGAGAGAGGGAGCUGAUCCCGAGUCUCUUGGGUGUGCAUUGAUGCUCUAGAGUGUGAAUGUGUUCUGUUGGCUUAGAGAGAGCGAGUCCCUUGUCUCAGGUCCCUCGGUUCUCCUUUUAUAGUGCAAGGAGGCCACCGGGGUUACAAGUGAGACCGGGUGUGAGGAGAAAAAAGAGAUAAGCUAAGUCAAGUGAGGUACAACACAAGGGGAGGGACCAAGUCCCUAGGCCGUCGGCGUCCUCUCCGGCCUUCGGCUCCUGCUGGCGCGUCCGCCGGAAGAGGGCGACCGCCGUCGAGUCCUGUCAACGGUCUCCUCGGUGGAUGUCGCCACCAGGCGUGAUGAUGGUAUUUCGUCGUGGCACCUGUGUCCGUUGGGGAAGGCGGCUGAUCCUGCCAUCUUGCCGAUGGCCCGCGGAAGGCGGACGUCGCGUCCUUGUCGCCGGACGCGCCGGGAGCGAGAACGGGCGCGGCUUCCUCCUGCUCCGAGCGGCGCAGGCCAUGAGGGCCCUGUAGCGAAUCGGAGGAAGCCGCAGCCACUGUAGCCUAUACCGCGCGGCCGCGCAUGGGUACUUGUGGCGGGUUGCGUUGGGGGCACGGACGCCUUUCUGCGUGUCAGAACUGCGGCACAUUUAUGGCGAGAUCGACAUGGGGACCCAUGAGAUCCGCGCCCGAGGUGGAUACUUGUCUGGUGGGCCCAGGUGAGUCUGACCCCCUGUGCCCUGAGUCGGGCGAGGCGGAGUCUUGCAGUGGGGGGUCGGGCGCUCCCGACCCCAGGCCUGCGGGUCGGGCGAGGCGGAGUUUGGUCUUCAAGGGGUCGGGGACGUCCGACCCCGGGACACUAGGUCGGGCAAGGCGAAGCAUGGCUCUCUCCUCCCGUGUUGGGCCGACGGCAGUCUUUAUCGCCCUAGGUGGGCUUGGGCCUUUAUGUUUUGUUGUUUUCAUGGGCUUUAGGAGGUCGUUAAUAUUUCCCCCCAACACCGUCGCCCUUCCGUCGAUAAGGACACAGCUUGGAGCGCUGCAAAGGAGGUGAGGAGGCCACCUGUGAAGUUCCCAUGCUCCCCCGUGUCUUCCUUCACGUGAACGAGCUCGCUGGAGACACGCGCCGCCGCAACGCCUCACGCCGUUGCCGCUCCAACCACCACGACAACCCCCUAGAUGUGUUCGCCGUGCACUUCGCUUCCUCCAGGGCUUGAUCCCUCGCAAACCACGCCCGGAUGCUCGAUUUCAAGCGAGUUCCACCGCGCGCCGCCGCUCUACCGCUCGCGUGCUGCCCGUCGAGUCCCUGACGGUCCGGAUUAGAUCUGACCUAUGUCAAUACCAAUCAACCCCCGCACCACGCCGUUCAUUUUGCUAAAGAGGCCCUUUGUGGUUUUUGCACCCGAGGUCCAGCGCAGUUCAAAAUUAAUUAGAUCUAGGUCCUUUUUCUUUUGUUUUAGCCCCUGGUCUUUUGUAAAAUAGUGCCCACCGUCCUAGCCUUGCUCUUUUGCGCGUUAAACCUUUGGUUUAUAUGCGUAUUUAUGUUUUAGCCAUCGGUUUCCCAUAGCUUAGCCCCUGAAAGUUUAGUUUUCUUACAUAUAAGCUCCUACACCUUGUUUAGUUCAUAUCUUUAGCGUUUGUGGUCCGUUUUAAGAGAUUCUUGCAUCUACGAGUUCAUCUUAACCCAUAAAUUAGUUUUAUGACCUUGUUUUUCUCUGUUGUUACUGUUUGGUGUAUUUUUUUCUUAUUUUAUUCCCUUAUUUGCUUGUAUGUGCUCAUGUGAUGCCUAUAGAAGGACCGCAGUUCGAGGAAUUCGAAGGUCAAGCUUUGAGGACUUCGAGAGCUGGAGCAAGUCCAGGAAGGCAAGUCGUGCCCUUGAUCACAACUUGACCCUAUGCAACCUUUACUUUCAUGCUUUGUCCAACGCUGCUUUCUUGACCUAGCAUCGGAACAUCCGAUGUGUAACGACCCUGGUCAAAUCAUUCGAGUUAAUCUUAAUCCGAGUCCCAAAUUCCUCUGUCUCAGCUCUUCCCGAGCAGGAGUGCUCCACUCCAGUUCCCGGUCCCGACCCCUGAAGACCCCAACCCACCCCGCCAGUUCCUUCUAAGUCUCAAUAACAGUGUCCCUUUCAAUCUUGGGCAGAGGAGAAACCGAGACUGACGGGUCAACCCGCAAUCUUUUCCCCGGAUCUCCCGAGGCAGACACACUCGAGCGGCCUGCACCGCUUCAGAGCUCCCCCGCUGCGUGGCUCAACUUCUCCGACACCCGCCGCUUCACCCAGUCGCCGGCCACGACAGGAUGGAUUCUCGCGCCCUCCUCCCCAAUCGCAGCGGAAGCCCCUCUGCAACCCUUUCUGCAGCGCCUCGUCUCACUCGCGCCCUCGCCGGCCGCGCCUUGGUGCUCCGUCGCCGCUGUGGCAGAGAUUUGCCGCCUGCUGCGUCAAAACCACCUCGCGGCUCGCGCCCAUCAUCAUCUCACCGGAUCCCCGGCUGCAAGGCCCGAUGCCUUCCGGCUUUUCCGCCGCCUCUCCACAGUCGCGCCACCCACGAACUCGCUAUGCGACGAUUCCUCCAUCGCCAACCCCGACUCCAGCCGCGACAGUUCCUUAUCCGCCUUGCUAGAACUCUGCCCGGCAAACCGCUGUUUCGCGCUCGCCCACGCAGCCGUAGCCCGCCUGUCUUUUCACCUGUUGCAACCUCGCUUGUAGCGCCGUUCUUCCUGUCACACCAAUCAGAUCCGCCACUCGAAGACGCCCGCCUCCGCCAAAAUCUCAGCCCCGGCAAAACCGCGCCUGCGCCGCCUUGUCUCCCGUGCCCAAUAGCCGAGGACGCUAUCUCCGAAGUCCUGUUCCACCGCCCAUCGCUGCUCAAUCACCGCCAUAGCAGCGCACUCCAUCCUUUUCUUCCAGUCUUCGUGCUACUCCAACUCUCUCUCUCUCUUCCGCGCAGCUAUAAAAGGGAAUGCCAGAGUCUUACUGGAGUUCCCUUCGCCAUCGUUGCCUCGCCGCCUUGUUCCUCUAUUUCGUGCUCGAGUGCCGCCACCUAAGUUCUUGAGAAACUCUCAUCUCCGCUCAACACCCGCCCCUCCAAAUCCACCCAGCCGCCUGCUCCUUCGCGCUGUGCUAGAGCUUCCUUGUUGCUCACAAGAAGCUCCGCCACCGCCGAAGCACCGCCGGACAUCACCGCCACCCAAGCCUUAGUGCUUAAGACCUUCUGCCCAAGUCUACUCUUUCCCGACCCCAAAGCUUCACCUAUAAACCGAAGGUAAGCUGCCGACCCCUCACCGGUUCGCCCGACCCUAUCUGUUCACCCGACCCCUUUUCCGUCUCGCCCGACCCUGUCUGUUAGCCGACCCUUAUCUGCCUCGCCCGAGGACUCGGCUGUAUCCUUUCCUUGACCCGAGGGUACCUGUGUAAAAGAGCGGGGACUUCUCUACGUUAAGUCUGAGGACCCCCAGCACAGCUAUUCCUCUAGUUUAAGGGUCAGAUCAUAAGUUUCUUCCCAUCCAACCCUUUUAUCUUGCUCUCCACCAACUAAAGUAAACUUCCCCACCUUUUCUGUAGCCUUGCUGCAAGUGUCCGAGCUUAACUGCAAGUGUUGUUGAAAUAACCGUCUAAACACUAACUCCUGCAUUGCAUUCGUGUAGAGUUGCACCUCGCUGACGACGUCUACGAGCUACACUCGAUUCCAGAAGACGGAGCUGUAGCUGAGCUACCAGUUCCAGAAGCCGAAGUCGCCCAGCUGAAGACCAGUUCUCCUCCCCUCCGCUUGAAGGCAAGCCCCGAAGCAUGAACCCCAAAGUUUCCCAAACUUGCGCAUGCCUUCUUUCCCAUGUUUGUGCAUUUACGUAUAGGAGUUGUUUGCAACCUUAGAUGCAUGACAUAGUUCCUUUGAUCUGAACACAAGUUUGUUGGGCCGAGUAGUUGCUAUGCUUAAAUAGGAAGCGGUAAAAGUCGAGUGAUUUCCUGUCACUUGCGAGUUAUAGGAGUUGGUUGUUCUCCUUCUGUUACAACUAUAAGGACGAUGGACGGGGCAAGGUUUUGGUUAACUCUUUUGGUGGUCGAUUGAUCGCCCCGUCUGUCUAUAAAAUCUGUUAAGGUCCGACAGUGGUGGUGUUCGUGAUCAAGUGUUUGAAAGUACUAAUCUCAUACCUAGUAUGGGAUGGGGAAGCCUAGUACCUGAUUGAACUAGGGCGUUGCUUAUACCCCUGCUGUCCCUGGAACGAGGUUCCCAUGGUGCAUCAUGUGGGUGCAAGUGCAGUCGCAGUACGGUAGAGGCCGGGACUGUGGAGCAUUGCAUGCCAAGGGAAGUUUGGACCUGACACGUGCCUGGGAAUUGAUAGGGAUGGCCGACACAGGAAGCGACCCUGGUGGUGUGCGGAUGUCGUGAGAUUAGGUUCGCCAUGCAUGGUUAAGAAACUCGAAUCGAUUCGUCUGCCUCUCACAGUUUGAGACUGCUUGAUCGCUAUGCUACACUGAGUAAUGAAAGAGUUUGAUGAUGACAUGGUCUUGAUGAUGAGCUCAUAUACAUAAAGUUGGGUCUAUGUUUGCUUAGAGUAAGAUGCCAACGUAGACUGGUUAAUGAACUUAGAAUUGAGCUAAAACUUGAAAGCAAGGAUCUAACAUAGUCGCUUUUGGCAAAUAAACCCCUCAGCCAAAGAGCCUUGCAUGUCUAGACGUAGUGGAGUAGUUUUACCACCGGUCGGCUAAGUCUUGUUGAGUUUAGCAGCUCAGCCUUGUUUGUGGCUCUCUUUUCAGGUGAAGUCGCAGCUCCUGAGUUUGCUCCUGUUGGCACUUGGCCGCCCCAGCUCCCUCCGGGUUUGACGGUUGAGUGGGAUCCCUCCUCGGACGGCGAGGAAAGGGAUCAUUGAUGUCCUGAUCGGCCUCAUCAGGGACAUCCGACCCCGGCGCUAGGUUCCGCUAUUUUACCUCUUCACUGCUUUUUGAAUCUUGUAAAACUCUGACUUUCGUUUUGAUGUUGAACUAAAUUGUCAAACUGGUUUAACUCAGUGGAUCUGUUGUAUUCUCUGGAACCACUCACCUUCGUGUGAGUUUUGCUAACUUGGUCUUGUUAAGUGGUUAAAUCGGAUGAAAUCCGACGGCACUUCGAGUUAACUUGACUAAGGCAUGAGUGUCGCGUGUUAGGCGACUUAACUGUGCUUUAAUCAAGGUAAUCCAAGGUGGUUCCGCCACACGAUGGUCUAGGAUUUUUCCCUUCUCUUCUGGCAAUUGCUCCGACGCUACUAAAAAAGUGGCCAUCGGAACAUCCGAUGUCUCUGGAUUUUCUCUAUCAUUUGGAUGCUUCAAUACUAUAGAAUAAGCCUAGAUAUCAUGGCUUGAUCACUUAAAUACCAUAGCUUGGAUACUCGAAUAUCAAGAUUUGGAUGUCAAGAAUACCAUCAUUUGGACCUUGCCAUGAUUUGGUUUGCAUUCUUGAACCUAGAAAAUCUAUAAGGUACAAGCUAGACAAAGCAUUAGUCCCAAUAACUAUGUUGUCACUCAAUCACCAAAAUCACAAACUAUGGCUUAAUGAGGCCAUGUUCGCUACAACAGCCUAAUAAACAGAAACUACAGUUUGUGGAUGUCUGAAACUGAGAUAAAAUCAAGUGCAUAUCAAUGGCAAUAAUAUACUUAACGGUGUCCCUGUUCUUGUGCUGGGUUUAGGCGUUGCUGUGCUUCCUUCACAAGAGAUAUGAAAGAUUCAAAUGAUUUUCCAAGUGCUAUGUAUAAUGCAACCCUAAUUACGCACAACGUUCGUUUCCUGUGACGACGGUCGCUCUUGUCUUCCUCUUGGGCGACGACUGUCACUCCAAACUCUGGCGAGCGGCUCUUGCCCUGGUCGCCGCUCGGGAGGCGAUUCGUGCGGCCCCGGUCCUUUCCCUUUGGCUGACCUCUGCGCGAUCGGUGCUCUGCGCUUCUCAUCCAGGACGACCGGCGGUGGCGACAGGAGGUUUAACUGGUGAGGGGAGAGACGACACAUAAGAGAGAUAGGCAGGGGCACUUUGUAAAACUUUUUUUCGAGGGUCAGGGGGGGGGGGCGAAAUGCCCCCACCUGAUUCAUUCAAAACAUGGGCCUUUGGUAGGCCAAACAGGGCUUUUAUGCAAGAAAGGAAGGGUUUUGGGAAGAAGGUUCUAAACAACCAUUGUUCUUCUACAUGGAGUUGAAAAGGGAACACCAGUACUCGGCUAGCCGCCGCUCUCCUUGCGGAAGUUUGUGACUCCAUAGGCGAGUUUCAUCCCGUCAUGAAGCCCAGAACCUUACCUGCAACGCGGUGAAGCGCCCGAAGAACACAUCAUUACGAUGCUUCCACAGAUUCCAGGCAAUCAGGAUGACAAAGCUGAAGAAAUGCAGAGCAGGUACUGUUGUCGGACGGUGAACAGUCCAAAGGUUUUGAACUGAAGCACCAGCUGCGUCGAUUCCCAUCGAGCUCCACACCUGAGUUGCGAAGGGGCAUGAGAAGAUGAUAUGGUUGCAAUCCUCUACCACUCCACAAAGCUCGCAUGCCGGGCUGUCCACGAUGCUCUUCCUGAAGAGGUUAGCUCGGCAAUUGAUCCUUUCCUAUACCAGGAGCCAGAUGAAGAACUGAACUCUAGGAGGGGCGCGCUUUUGCCAGACAAACUUGGCAAAGGGGCAUGGAGGGGAGCCUGUCGCUGCCAAAAUGUUGUUGUAUGCGACACCAGAGUGCAGAUUACCGUCAGAAAUCAAGCUACUAUGCCGCCUGUCUUCCCCCUCCCGUAGUCUGACUUGGGCAAGCAGUUCAGUCAAUUGGGCCAGUUCUUCCCGUGCUAAGUGCGUCAGACGCGGCACCAGAUGACUGCUCAGGCCGUUUCUUAUUACCUGUGCAAUAGAAACAUCUGCCUUCACGACAUGUGAGUAGAGCAGGGGGAAGAGAAGUUCCAGACGACCGGCAGAAGCCAUUGAUCAUGCCAGAAGCUCGUAGUCUCGCCAUUGUAUACUUCUGAAGCUGUGACAGCCCGAUACAGGGGGAGUAAACUCUGCAAGCCUGCCCAGUGCACUCCUUCCACUUCCCCGUUCAAGGUUACAACGUUAAUUUGCCCAUGCGCCCAAAGCGCCCAUGAGGACCCCUCUGACCGGUAGAGACGAUGCACCAGGUUGAGAAGCAGGCUUUGGUUUUUUGCAUUCAAAUCUUUUAUACCAAGUCCUCCUUGUUCUUUUGGUUGGCAGGCUCGCUCCCAUGCUACUAAGCAUUGUGCGCCGCUCACACUGUCCUCUCCAGACCAUAAGAAGCAUCGACGAUGACGGUUUAAAGCUUCAGUUACCCUAGGAGGGAGGAGCAGCACAGACAUAGCAUAGGUCAAUUGACUGUCCAUGGCAACGUUGAUCAGGACUGCUCUCCCCAUCGGAUUCAGUAAACAGGCUCUCCAUCCACUCAGUUGACGAUCAGCCCGUGCAAUCAAUGGACUGAAAGCAGCUAGAUUUAGUUUCUCAUGGGAUAAAGGAAGCCCCAGGUAUGUUUGUGGAAAGGAUCCAAUCUGGCAGUUUAGAACAGUUUGCAUUCUUGCUGUCAGCGUGCAGUCCACAGCCAUAGGAACCAUCGUGCUCUUGUGGUAGUUGAUGUGUAAACCAGUGAAGGAGGAGAAAUUGUCCAGGAUCUGCUUCAAGUCUUGAACCUCCUCGUAGUCAGCUCGAAGGAGGAGCAGUGUAUCAUCUGCGUAUUGAAGGACCGGGCAUGGUUAAUCUUGGGCCGCUGGGUGAUGCACUCUUGUAUCAGCUCUGAUCAUCUGUUGGAGCACAUCUGCAACUAGGAGGAACAAGUAUGGCGAGAGAGGGUCCCCUUGGCGAAGGCCCCGUUUGCAGCUGAACCAGGGACCCGGCGCACCAUUGACCAGUACGGCGAGCCUUGAACUCUGAAGCAUGUCAGUGACCCACCUAUUCCAGGACGCAGGGAAGCCUCUAGCGCUGAGAAUACCGUUGAGGCUAUUCCAGUUGACUGAAUCAAAAGCCUUAGCGAAGUCGAGUUUCAGAACAAUUGUUGGCAGCUUACGACGAUGGCAGCACUGGAUCAGUUCCGCUGCAUAUACAAAGUUUUCUGAGAUGGAGCAUCCCUUAAUGAAACCUGUCUAGUCCAGGUCAAUGAGCUUGGGAAUUUGUAGUUGGAGACGGGAGGUGAGCAUCUUUGACAUGAUCUUCAAGGAACAAUUUUGCAAACAGGUCGGCCGAUAAUCUCCUGGUGUCGCUGCUGCAGAGGCUUUUGGGAUCAUAAUAACGUAUGAUCAAUUCAAUCGCUCCAACUCAGCUUCACCGUCUUGGAACGCCUGGGCCAGUCGCAUUACUGCCAGAGCGAGAGUGUUCUAGGAUAGUAGGAUGCCGCGUAGAACGACGGGCCGAAGCCGUCUGGCCCGGGCGAGCUGUGCUUGUUCAUGGCGCGGACCGCCGCUCGUGCUUCUUGCUCGGUGAACGGUGCAGUGAGUGGCGCGGCAUCGACGCGCUCUAGACCGGCGUAGAGCGCGGCAACGUCGACCGCGUUCUGGUCCACCGUACGUUCGUCGAGCAGCUCACGAAGGUGGUUCAUCAGGGCUGUUGUCUUCUCUUGAUGCGAGCUGAGUAGAGUACCAUCCACAGUCGGAGCACGUAUGUUGUUCCGGCGCAGGCGCUGGGUAGCUUGCGCAUGGAAGAAUUUCGUGUUCGCAUCGCCUUCCUUCAGAGCGCGGUGCUUGGCGCGUUGCUUCCAGUAGGCAGCUCGUUCUCGCAGUGACAGGUUUAGCCGAUCCUAACAGACCCGCCGCAGCUUUUGCUCUCCUGCAGAGAGAAGCCGGUGUUCCUAGAGCACAUCAAACAUAUAUAUAACGAAUUUGCAAUUGGAAGGGAGGGAAGGGUUUGCACGCCUGCGUCGUGCCCAGACCUUCGACGCGCACCGAACUGCCUUCAAUCCGCAUGCCACGCUCGCCGUCGCAUUGUGCUGUGGGUUAUCAGACCAGACCGGCAGAAUGGUGGUUAGGAAGUCUGAGUGUUUGAUCCAAGCGUUCUCGAAACGGAAGACAUUUGGUUUGGGGAUCGCAGUGGACAUGUGCAGUUGGAUUGGAGUGUGAUCUGAUGUAGGUUUUGGUAAGGAGAAGAGGGACGUAGAAGGGAAGGUAGUGCUCAUAUGGUUAUUGAAGAACACACGAUCCAGUCGUGCAAGCGUCGGGGAGCUUAUGUGGUUUGACCAGUGAACAGAUGAUCAAGCAGUGGGAGGUCAAUAAGCCCAAGGUGAUCUAUGGUCUCAUUGAACGCUGCGCACACAGAUGUGUGAACAAUGCCAUUGCUGUUAUCGGUGUCCUCUUGGUAAGGUUAAAAUCCCCAGCUAAAACCCAAUCCCCCGGGAUGUGGCGAGCCAACUCACGCAGAUCGUCCAGGAAGGGGGGGAGUCGCGGUGAUCAGUAGGAGCAUAGACAUUGCACGUUGUAUCAUCAAGAUGACACAAGUCAACUCAUGACAAGCUCACCCUAGGAACGAUACACGUAUCGAAAGCAAAGCUCAAAGUGAUCCGAAAGCGUGCAUGACAUGGCGGAAGCAGAACAUAAAGUGAUUCCAACAAAUUUGCACAAACGAGAUUAAGCAUGGUUACUACUAACAAAUUUCUCACGUAAACAUGCAAGGGAAAAAGAUUAUUUUAAGUGCUAAGCAUGAUUAGCAAAGAGAAAUCAAAAAGUAGCGCAAUUAAUCACUAAUUGGCUAACUAACAGCAAGGAUUAAAAAGUAAACUACCUUAAAUAAUGGAGAAAAAGAAAACAACCUCACUGCUUGUACGCAUGACCUGCUGCUCACCUGGACUUGCUCUAUUGGGCUGCGUGCUCCUGCUGCUUCCUGCAGGCCCACCUGGGUGCUGGUGCGUGAGCCAAGCCAACGCUACUGGGCCGCACGCCUGCUGGGCUUCUCGGCAGCUAGCUGGGCCGCUACACUCGCGCCUGGUCAGCUGCUUGCUCCUCGCUUGCGCUGCGCCUGCAGCCUGCUCACCCCGACGCCCUGAAGCCUGUGGAUGAACAGAGACAAGGAAUAGGAAGAACAAAGAACUCGAAACUUCAACUCUAAAAUCCUCACUCAAAACUCCACGAAUCGAGACGAAACUUGAGCCAAAGAGGCACAGCCCUAAAGGCUAAUAGAUCCAUAGAAAAGAUCACAAAAAAAGCUCAAGUUUUCAUCGCGGAUUUGGAGAAAAACUGAAACCCUACUCGAGAAACACGAUUUGGGAAAACUUAAAAUUCAAGCCGGAUUCGUGAGGGAUUUGGAGGGGGAUCGUAUCAAAGAUGCUCCCUAAGAUCCUAGCAACAAUUCCCUUCAACCAAUCUCACGAGAUUCGGGCUCAAACAUGAUGAACGAAAAUUCCCCAAAAAUAGCUCCAAAAAUAGGGAAAAAGAAAAACGCUCGGGAAACUAAGAUUUAGCACGAUUUGAGACAACAAACAAAACUAAAUCACGAGAACAUCUUCUAUACAAGAUGAGGACUAGCCUCCUCCCUUCAUCCACCCACUAAAGAUAAAGAAAUCAAGAGAAAAGAGUAAUCACUCUCUAAUCUCCCUCUCUCCCCUCACUUUAAGCACAUGACUAGCCUCUAAGUAAAUAGAUAAUGAGUUGCUAAGCAAAAAGGUGUUGAAAUAACCAGCCCCCAUCUCUAUUUAUAGUCCAGGAUGAAAGACUAUACUACUCCUACAGCUACAACUAAGAUAACUACCCACGCAGGGGUAUUUUGGUCCAAGUUUUUAUCCGCGCAUCGGAUGGACACGCCGCCUUCACGACUUUGCUUCACCUUGACGCAAGCUUCGCGAUGACGCCACGUGCCUCCUUCUCGAAGCUCCGGCCGCACCGGGCUCGCCCCCGGUUUUGAGGCCCAAACUAGGAAACCUGCCUGCGCGGUGGUUUUGAGGCCCAAACCACCCAAACCGUCCAUCUUUGCUUGGCCGCCACGCGACCUCCUCGAUGUCGACGCGUGUCCGGCCUCCACCAAGCCUCCCGCUCGACUCAACUGACGCCGUCUCCAUCCUGUCAUGUCCUCUCGCCAUUCCGUGCACCAUGUGGACCGCCCAUGACUUCGCCCGGACUCCUCGGGUCCAUCGGUUCAAGCCUACUCGCAUUCAUCCUUCACCGCCCUUGGUCCAUCGGCACGAACCUUUCGCUUGACCUUCACCGUACGCCGUCGACCAUCACGUCGCAUCCUACACCUGCACAUCACAAGCCAAGAGCAACAUCAAUCUAACACAACGUUGUCAAUCACUCAUCAUCCAGGGUGACCACCAUUGAUCCUCACAUUCCAGGAUAACAAAGAAAAGGAGACGGUUCCAGUACACAUAGGGGUACAAGCUGACACCAGAACAACACAAGUUGAAGGAAGAAACGAAACAAGCACAAGCGGGGGACACACGACGCACUAGGGAGGAGGAGCACAACACAACGGCAGGUAGAGGCAUACUACUGCUAGCGAAGGACAAAGUAGUACACCCUCGGGUCAUCCUGAGUUCAAGCAUUGGUGCUGUCGAGCACCGAGUCGAGCUAACGACCGGUGGCCGUCGUGAUGUCAAGAACAUCAUCCAAGGUUUUGACAGUGCCUUCACCAUGUCCCACAACCUCAGCCAGCUUCACCAGGUCCAAGCCCUUGAUUGGUUUGCUAGUUUUGGUCAACAUGUUCUUCUUGUUAACAAGAUUUUGGACCGCGGUGGAGCAGAGCGCAAGGCUGUUUUGGAGAGGUUUGAGCUGGGACGCUUUGGCGGUUGCAUCCACGAACUUCCCAGUUUCUUUCACGGCGAGGCGCGUGCUGUGGCGCGUUCCAAAUUUGGGCACCACACGGCACCCGCGUGGUGCUAAAGCCGCUUGGGGCACAUUGGCAGCAGCAAAGCAAGCAGCUGGCGGAGCUUCAGUAGCUGUUAACAUGGAGGGCGGGGCGGCAGACACAGGAGAGUUUGGCGGUGUUGGCGGGGUUUCGGUAGCAGGUGCCGAGGGGUGCCAUGUGAGGAGCAGAGCAGGCUGUGCACGGCGGACCCCGGCUGCGUUCGUGGGUGCUCGCGGCAGGUGGAUGAGGAUUGGCAGCGCAGGUAGAGGGGGAAGUGGGAAAGCGUUAAUGAAACCAUAGCAGAGGAUGGAUGUGCCGAGGAAAGGGGCAGGGUGGAGCAGUGCAGGCACAGAGCCAGCUGGAGAGGUUGGCGCGCGGGGGGGGGGGGGGGGGGGGGGGGGGGGGGGGGGGCGGGGCGGCGGGGCUGGGGGGGCCUCUGUUGAUCCGGCUGUGCAGCAGGCUGAUGAGGUGGCGCAUGCGGAGCUGGCGGUGGAGGAGGGUUGAAGGUGUUCAGGGUGUGGGCGGGGCCGGGUGGUGGUGGCGGCGCUGGACCAAAGAAGGGGAUCAGAUCCCCCGCUUCGUCUAGAUGCUGAUCACGCCGCCAGAACGACAGGGCGCCAAGGCGGAGCACGACGCCGUUCCUGCCUGCUUGGUGUGUGAACACCAAGGCGACUGGGGAGGUGUGGGUGUUGGAGCUCGAUCACCGCGCGCAUGCACGAGCGAUCGAAACCCGGGAUGCAGAACGGGUCGAUUUCAACCACAGAACCAACGCACCGGAGGAUGUUCUUCACUUGCCUCGCCGACCAGUGCUCCUCAGGGAGGUUCCAGAUCGCGACAUGGGUGAGCCACGUUGGAUCGCGCACGAAACGAUCAUCCGUCUCUUCCACUCGCUCCAGCUUGACCGUUGCUCCAUUCAGGUGUAUGGGUUGCGCCGCAACAGCAACUUCACACACGGCAGCAGACCCGAAGUGGAGCAACGCCACGCCGUGAGAGGACGGAAGGAGUUGGAAGCGGAGGUGUGGUGCCGCGACAUGGAGGGCAGCGUGGAUGAGAGGGGAAGGGUUGAAGGCCGCCUCUGGCGGCGCGAUCUCGACGAAGGCAAACCGGGCAGCAUGUUCCCAGUCACCUUCGUCCACCCACACCUCGAAGUAGUCUGGACCGUUGGCGAGAACGUCGCGCUCAACGGACUCCUUACUCAGGUCAUCCUCUAGCUGCUCGUCCAGGCGUCGCUGUCCGAGCCUGGCAGAACGCCGCGGCGCGGCGCCCGUGGUGUUCCAUCCACCUGUCGUGCAGCCACCACCGGCGAGUGCGCGGGGGGUGGCGAACGCCUUGGACUGGCAGACGGUGACCGUCCAUAGCUGGCAGAGGUAGCGGACAGUGGGCGCCUCGGGGACCGGCCACCAACCAUACAGAUGUCACGGGCUUUUGGUAUGGAAGGAGCGGUGCGACGCGGUCGAGAAGCCGGGCUGCUGCACAUCGCACGCUUACCCUUGUCCGCAGGUUCGCCGUUCGCGGAAAAGGUCACCAAGGAAGUAAGGACCUUCCUCAGCGGCGUUGUCAGUGGGCGUGGGAAGCUGUUGGGCGCUAGCAGGCCCACGACUUGAAGAGGAAAGCAUCAGCAAGGGGUCGAACGCCGAGGUGAAACGUGGUAGGUCCAGAAAGGGUGGGGGUGGAAUUGGAGUGGAGGAUGGCGGAGGCGAGCUGCGGGGGCGGAACGGGAUGGCAUUGACCGGAACGCGUGAGGCAGGUAGGGGAAUGGUGGGGCGGCGACGCGGGUGCGGCGUAUGCUCGCGCGGGAACACCAUCGGACAAGCGUAGCCGCGGUGACCACUACCUCGACAGAGGCGACACUAGAUGGGGUCGCGACAGUCGCGCACAAGGUGAUCUCGCGCAAGGCAGCGAUGGCACCCAGAGUGCUGGAUAGAGAUGGGUUUUAGAUGGCGUCGUGGUGCUGGCCGCGGGGAAGCAGGAGUGCGAGCGGCUUGUAGGUAGGUUCGAGCAGGGGGGGCAGCAGUGGUAGUGAAUGCGGAAGCGACGUUGCCUUCACGCACGCCGCGUUCUGUCAUGUCUGCGCGGCGCCCGUCGUGUUGCGGGACGGGGAGCAAGCCCGGGUCAGCGGUAGGAGUAAAGUUCGAAUCUGGGGAGAUCUCCUGUUGCACUGUUGCUGCGUCGAGCUGACUUGCGCCCGAGUCCUGAGGGGAGUCAGGCGAGGGGACAGAACAGCUGCCUCGCGCCACACGCUUGUCAGGGCAGGAGCCAGCCGGUGGUUGAGGUGCAUUGAUCACGGCUUCUUCUUCCUUCAGCGUGGCUGCCAUUGCCAGGGCCGGAGCUUCAGCUUGUGCAGGCAAAACCUUUGCUCAUGGAACUCAAGAUGACCCUGGGGCCCGGGUGACAAGGAAAUUGACCACAUUCGGAUUGGUGAGCCUAGCGCGAAAGACACCCCUACCAAUAGAACGUGCUCGAACAAUGUGCGGUGGCGACAUGAUGAGAUAGGUCAGAACAGACGUGAUGUAGGAGGAGUUGAAGCAAGGGGCAAUGGAAGGGGGAGUGACCCAAAGGAAAGUAUUAGGGAUGGAGGGGAGAGCACCUGGGCAAGCAACGGAGUGCAGGUCUCGGAGGAGGAGUUCCUGCAGGCGAGCUCCAGGCCUGGCGAAACCCGCAGCAGCGGCGGCGACAGCAGCGGGCGCAGGAAGCAGUUCUGUGCGCGUUGUCGGUCCUGAGCGGCGCGGGCGUGGUAGCGGUGGGCGGCGUGGAUGCGGAGGCAGAGGUGGGUGGGUGGCGCCGGCGUCGGUGCACCAGAGCCGGAGGCCUUCACGUCGCGAGAAGCGGGCGACGCCAUCUUCGAGAUUGCCCCACAGAGUUCCCACUUUGUAAAACUCGCAUUCAUGACAGGGGUCUAUCCAUAAAUAAUCGGAUCGCGAUUAAUAGUAAUGAUCCAAAUCAGGAGGUAAAUUCAAAUAUUUGGAUCACGAUUAGUAGUCGCGAUUCAACUGGGUCUAUCUAGAAAUUUUCUCCAUUAUCGAGCUCUUUUACAGUACUACUACUUAGUAGUAUAUAGUAUAUAUAAGAUCUAAAUAUUCAUGAUUAUAGAUGAUUUAGUAAUUAGCCCAUUGCAUUUUGCCGAAUUGGUUUCUUUCUUUCUUCUACUGUCAAUUGUCAAAUGCCAUCCGUUGCUCAGGAUGAAGCAUCUAUUACCAAAUAAGAAUAGACCAAUGUGCGAGUGCUAGGGUGCAUGCAUGGGAAAUUGGAGACAAUAGAUUGGAGGCGAUACAUUGGGAAACUCUGUAUUGCAGCAGUCAGCUACUUGUUUGCUGUCAGGUACAGAAUCCUGAACAAAUGGCAUCUGCUUGACUUCAGUAGUUCAGUUAGUCUCUGCUUCACCAGGGGAUGUACUUUUUGCAACUAGUUCAGUACGCAGACUGAUAUGGGAGCAUCACACAAACCGUGAUAUUAACAGAAAAAAUGGGGUUACAAAUACAAAACUUAGAUAGCACGCGACUACAUUGUCAACAAGAAUUGUAGAUCCCAGUUCUGGAAUAAGAAUAAAAACACAGGUUUUUUAUUUUGUCAAACAAAUAGCCCAGAAGACGAUCCAAGAUAAAUCUUUGAUAAAAACAAGAUAAUAUACUUAACGAUGUCCCCUUUGUCAGACAGAGAUAUCAAUUACCCUGUUCUUGUGCUGUCUUUAGGAGUUCUUGUGCUUCUUUCACUAGAGAAGCGAGAGACCUCGCUGGCUUGAUCACCUCACCAUCAUUCCCAGCAAAGAGCAUGCAGUUAUCAACCUCCGACAUGGUUCCCAAAGUCUCGGUCAGUGCUUCCUUGAAAUUAUGUUCAUUGAAACGUUGGAUGCAGCUGGGCUUGGCUUGAAUCAUAGCUAUCACCAUCUGGCAGGUAAGUUUCACUACUCUAAAACACUCAGACUGAGCCGUGCGUUGCUUGUUUACUUCCAGUAUGUCUUUGAGCUUCUUCGCAAGUGCUGCAUCUUCAGGGGUGGAUCGAGCAAAAUCUUCUCUACUGAUAACAUUUUCGUUGCAUAUCACCACAGCGAGGGAUAACAUGGCUGCCAUAAACUUUCUUUCCUCGGAUUGCUCAGCUUCUUCUUUCCUCUUCGCAAGUGCUGCAUCUUCAGGGGUGGAUCGAGCAAAAUCUUCUCUACUGAUCACAUUUUCGUUGCAUAUCACCACGGCGAGGGAUAACAUGGCUGCCAUAAACUUUCUUUCUUCUGGGGGCUGGUUUUCCACAAAAUUUUCUGCUGCAUCUGCGUUGGUUCCCAUUUUACUAGAUAAUAUUUGAUCGAGCACCUGUAACAAACAUAAUUUAAUGCAAAGGAUCAGCAAUAUUGAUGCAGCUCAUCUCUAGUGGAAAUUUUUGUACGCUACAGAAUUAAGAGAAAUUAACUGACAUCUGAGAAUUGGGAAUAAGAUCCAACAUGAUGCAGAGGCAGAAGAAGCGAGAGUUGUCAAUUUUUCUUUUGUUCUAAACAAAAAUAGGCAGAGGUAGCUAGUUACCUUGGUCAAUAGGUUGAUCGCCUGUUGCUUGGAAAUUAUAACAUCUCUUUCUCUUGCAGUGCUAACGGGAAGAAAUCUGGCCAGUGCUUCCCCUGCUUUUCCCCUCAUCAGUCUGGUAGCAUUUUCCUCAAGGAAGAUGCAUAGCAGGGCCUUGAGAAGCUUGUUAAACUCCGGCUUUUUGAAAGAAUCAUCAAAGGCUAACUCCGUCAGGAUCUCCAGGGCUUGUCCAUGCAGUUCUUGGGCAGCUCCGCUGUCUGUCUCCAAAGUAGCCAUCAGAUUGCUGACAGCUUCUGUGGUACUCGCAAGUUCCUGGCGCAGCCUUGUGGCGCCAUCCCCAGGGCAGGCAAGUAUCCUGCUUAACACUGUGAGUGACUUGCUUAGCAUUCGAACAACCAUUGUGUCCUCCCGCACAUUGUUGAGAAAAUCAGGGCUGCUCAGUGGUGAUGUGAUCUUAGAGAUCAGCACUUGCUGUUUGCUUAUCUCUGUACAGUUUACUUUGUUUCGUGUCAGCCUCUCAAGGAUCAGCAGGCCUUGAGAAACCAGUUCUUUGGGUCCUCUAAAGGUAUAGGUAAAUCUCGACUCCUUCGUAGCUUUCUCAAGUUGUAUACGAAGCUUCGUGUAUUUCUUGACCCUUACAAGAUAAGUUGUUAGUAUUCUCUGGGUCUGGGCUAACCAGGCAGAUGAUGGACUAAGGACUUGUUCUUGUUCAUGGUCAGUUUGGUCUUGGAUCGGCACUGCCAUACGGGCAACAUCUUGACGCUGGGAUGUUUCCAAUGACCUACUCUGUUCAUCAGGAUUUUUCUCCGGCGACGGACAGGCCUCACAGAAUUGGUUACAGCUUUCAAGUAGGGAACAAAUGCAUUGUAGUGUACCUGGGAAGUGUGCUACGUGGAGAUCACUGGCAAGAUGUGCUAGAAUCCUUGUGGCGCGCUCUCUGUUCUCGAUGUUACCAGGUGUGCCGCUCCGACCAAUCAUGCUGAUCAAAUUCUGAAUAGAGCUCCUGGAAGAUAGUAGCUCCUGUCUUAGAGAUAUAUCCUUGGUAUCAAAGAGCUUGUCUAGAAGCCUUGCUCCCCAUAGGUGGUCAUCAUCCCCUGAUGCAGACUGGAGCAACCCAACAGCGUAUGUGAUCAAGUUCCAAUUGUCGGGCAGCUCCCCGUUCUCAAACUUCCUUGUUGUUUCCGAACUGUACAUCGCAAGUAGUGUGCACCAAUUCCAAUCCUCAUCCCCGCAUUGUUGUUUCGUCACUCCUACCACUUCCAAAACUGACAAAUAUAACAUUUGCUUAAGACUAGCCCAGUAUAUGACGACUAAGCUCUGGAACAGAACUAGAGCAUAGAAGAUGUCCAGUGCGGCGGCCAGUUUUGCUCUGUUGGCAGCAUCUCCGCCCGCAUCGCCACAAUCUCGUCGUACAAGAUGCCAAACGGAGACCCCCAGGCUCACAUAUGGCGUAACAUUUAUAGCCAAUGCUAGACACAGUAGCACAAUAAACUUGGGCAAAAACCCUAUACCCAGCACGAUUGUAUGAUAACAGGCCGAGCACGCGUUGGAGCGGAACCAUCCCAGACGCGCGAUUAAACCAAUGAUUUCGGCCUCUUCCUCAUAGAUCCCACUUAGAAACUCAUUAACAUUGUCCACCACCCUGUGUAAUAUGUUGGGUCAGCUAGUGGAUAAGCUUGGAUGCCGAUGGGUGAUGGAUAUAUGAAAGUAAAACUGAAAAUUCAUUCAACGGAGAAACAUCUAAUUUGACAAUUUGCUUCAGAAAUGAAAGUAACUCAGAAAUGUCGUAUCCCCUCAACUAUAUAUGGUUGGAGUCCGCUUCAGAAAACCGGUUGUUUAAGCUCCCUCAUAUAAUCAUGUAUGCAAACUAUAUAUGGUGGGGAGAGAUGGAGCUCCAGUGGCCAAUUCAACGCAAAACCAAGGGGUAUAUGGCUCGGUAUCGAGGGUGGAGGGGCGCAUGUGCGGUGAAUGCGAUUGGUAUUGUGGUUGAUUUCCAUUUCCGAAUUCCAGAUUAACCAUCCAAACAUCCGCAUUGGAGCUAGCCAACACCAAUUUCGAAUCCCGGACCUGAAUAUCGACAUCCAAAACGGAGCCUAAAGUUUAUUUAGGAUUGGCUCAUUUUUAGCCCACCUUUAGAGCAACUCCAAUAGAUUGAUUUCUACCUCUCCAUUUUACUCUCUUAUAAGGGAAUCCCCUUACAUAGUUUUAGAAUUUUAGGGACAAGUGCUGCAGUAGAUCCCCUCUCUCCUUUCCCCUUUAUUCCUUUAGAAUCCCCUUUCAUAGUUUUAGGAUUUUAGGGAGAAGUGCUACAGCAGAUCCUCUCUCCCCCUUUCCCCUUUAAUUUCCCUUGAGAUGUGGGCCCUACCUGUAAAACAAGUCAGUAUGUUUCUUCUUCCUUCCAUCGUCUCUCUCCUCCAAGCAAGCAGCAACACACCCUCAAGGGUCAAGAUUGGCUCGGCUGUUGGCAGGCAGGCCCGGCGGUGCAUCUCUUUCCUCCAAGCAAGCAGCAACAUGCCCUCGAGGGUCAAGGUCAGCUCGACCGUUUGCAGGCAGGUCUGGCAGCACAGCAGUCCCUCAUGCGUGUGCACGGUCACACGGGGAUGCCGAGCCACAAGGGAGGGGAAGGCACGAGGGAUGCCCCUCGGUAGGUUACCGGGUAUAAAACACCGACAUCUUGUGCGCCAAGUAGGGAUGAUCGUCAAGAUCAUCGAGCGAGCUUGAAGGACCUCAUCAUCAAGAUAAAUCUACUUGACAAGAAGCAAGUCACCGAGUUGGAGUUCCAAGUAGAACAAUCUACGCCGAGACAGAAAUCGUGCGCUCCGCUUUCCAGUCAAAGACCAAGUCGGUUUCCACCACAGGCUGCUGCAUACGGCUCGUCGAUCAAGGCAGAGUCAUGCAUGGAUUGAGAAGAUGUACGCAAGCACUGCUACCCCAACAUUCGGUCACAUCAAGUUGCCAACGACUACUUCGACUACUCGUCUAGGCUAGAAAACUAGUCGAGGAUGGACUACUUCGAGUACUCAUCUCGAGUAGAAAACUAGUCGAGGACGUUCUAGUUCGACUACUCGUCUCGACUAGAAAACUAGUUAAGAGCGGGUUUCCACGUGAUCAACAACUAGUUGGAAUCGACUCCAACUAGUUGGCUUCAUCAACAAUCGACACGGCUUCAUCGAAAAUCGUCCACGAAUCAAGCUAAGUCAGUUUUUCAUUAUUUUAUAUAAAUUUUCCAACUUGUUUUCUGCAUGCAGGGAAACACGCCGACUACUUAUUUAUAGAUGCCUCUCACUGGGAAUUACCUUCCAGAGCUACACUUUGUCAAUUAUUCCUAGGGCAUGUUGACCGAAAGCCACAUGCUUGGUACAUCGAAUUAUGGAGGCUCCAAUCACGGGUUUGGUGCACUGAGUUUUAGAGGCUUCGCCACGGGUUUGGUACAUCGAAUUAUGGAGGCAAUAGCCAUAGAUUUGAUGCAUUGAAUACUAUAGGCUCAUAACGGCUACACCCUAAGGAAGCACAAAUCCUAUGUGCACAACACGCGCUCUUCUCGUCAAAAGGUAGAAAAGUCUCAACAACUACUUUAAAUGCAAUCGCACUCUCUUUUUGUCGCAAUGCCGACUACUUAUUUUAAAUGUCUUCUCUUAGCGGUCGCCAAUAUCCUCGAGCAGAACACGCCUUAAUUCGUGAUAGCCUUAGAUCUUCUGUCAUGUAUAAAUGCUAGGAUACGAGGCAAAGGUCUCCAUAGCAGCAAUGCCAGUACGCGUACACGGGAUAAAGAUCUCACAUACGCAAUGUCAAUGGCUAAAUUGGGAAUGAGAGCCUAAACGUAAUAGGCUAACUAUUAAGGAAAAAUAUGGCCAAAAUAAGAGUAUGACACACAACAUUUACAUUAUAUUCAUCACUGAAUAAAUUUUAGUAGUUCCAAAUUCUACAAAUAUGCUACAUAAUGUGUGCAUUUUUUAAGGUCAAGUUUCAGCGAUGACUCUCUAGGAUGCUCAGUGUACCUAUAAAGGCUCCGCUAGCUCCCAGGCUCAGGGUGAAGCACCAAUUACUACUCGAAAUACCUCUAGUAGCUCCGCUAGCUCUCAAACUCGGGGGCUAAGCACCAAUAACUACUCGAUGUGGCUCCUACAGCUCACAUGGCGCAUAAACCCGAGGGCUCGACGCCGCAAAAUAACUCAUAUGAUGACUUUUGUGAAGACUAAAGACCCUCAGAUUGAUUAAUUAAUCAUUUCAAGUCUCGGGUGCUGAUAAGUUAUACCCAACAAUUAAUUUUUGCAAGAUGAAAGAAGAAGAUUCAAGAUUUUAUUGAUCAUCAACCUGAUUCUUCGAUUCAAUCUAAGGCUCGGGAACUACUCCAUAUGGAGUGCGACUUCUACCACCCUCCAUAUUACAUUCCAAAGAUGAAGAUUACACAAUCAAAACGAUCAAGGGCUUGAGCACACCAUAGCUUCAUGGCACCUUUAAAGAACUUUAAAGAUUCAGCCCGACAAAGUACUCGAAGAGCACCAAAACUACUCGACGAGGAUCUGAAAAGUAUUUGAAGGCUGCUACACUCGACUAUGAAGCACUCGGGGGCUUGUCAGGGAUAGAUCCCCAGUACCCGCAAGGAAGGAAGAAGGCAGAGUCCUACUAGAAUUCCUCCGCAAUUCUACUAGGACUCAUACCCUUUAAUCCUAUUAGGACUCCUACUUUAUAACCGAUUAGUAAUCCCGCCUCCUGGAGUAUAUAAAGGAGGGCAGGGGUAUCUAGAUCGGCAGCUGAGACCAAUAGAGCUUAGAUCAAUAGAGCUCAGACCAACAAAGCUCAGAACUAUCAUCAAUAGCCAAUAGUUAGGCUACGUAACACCCAAGUGCAGAGCACAAUAUACAACACCCCAAACAAAAUGUAGGGUAUUACGCAACUCUGACGAUCCAAAACUGUAUAAAUAUGUGUCUUGUGUCCUCGCUUUUACCUUCGAAUUCCAGAUCCGACGAUCCCCCACCCACCAAUCUACUACCUCGGGAUACCCCUCGGUAGGUUGCCGGGUAUAAAACACCGACACUAAGUGUGUUGCAUAUGAUGGUAGUGAAGGACUCCAUGUGGUGUGUUUUUGAAGCACGCGCUUGCUUGCGAAAAAGGGUACAACAAUAAAUAUAUAUUAGUGUGUUUUGCCACAUGGUACAUGUAUAGAUAAUCCUGGAUGACGUGGUUCAACCAAAUGGUUCACUUCUCUUAGUAGAAAUUAAUAUCAAGUGGGAUGGCUUCAUCCUAGAUGAGUUGGUACAGUUAAACCAACCAAAUGCACCAACCAAACACACCCUGGACCAAUCAUCGAAGCUUGAGAAUAUAGAGAUUGAGGAAGUUGAUAGUAUUAGCAGUUUAGCUCAAAGAUACGUUCGGGAUUAUAAGGCCCCGCCCUCUUCAGCUUUCAUAACAAACUGCGUGAUAAAAGAAAAAAUAUAGAAAUAUUGCUAGGAUGAAAAGAGAGGGUAAAGGAAAUUAGGUAACGUACGUAGGUGUUCCGAAUUAAGAAGAGAAAUCAAGUUAUACCUGCAUGCCAUCAGGAUGCUCAGUCCAGUGAGAAUCCAGAACUCCUUUAUCCGCAGGAUGCUGACGAAGCCGCCGAGGAGCACGACGGUGGACCACAGCAAGGCCAGGUUCCCUAGACCGCGUGCGAUGUUCGCUGUGGCCGUCAGAAGCCUCACGUAGCGAUUGAUCAUCUCUUCCGGCCGUCCUCGCUCUCUCAUGGUUUACCCUGCAGUUUCCUCAACUCUGAAAGCUUGCAAUGGAGGAGGCCGAUGGAUGGCUGUGGCUGGCCGUCCUGGAUCUUUGUAGGUCCAAUGCCGUCUCUGUCAGCACUUGUCCGGAGAGAACGACCUACCGAGCAGGCCGGGGUACAUGGGCGUGCAACCGGUACGAGGGAACAGGGCCCCACAAGUUUCAGGGGCCUCUCAAUUUUUUGGGCCUCUCAAUUUUUUUGCCAUCACCGAAGAAAAGUCGGCCACCUUCACGCGCCGCCCCGGCUGUCAGACGGCGACGCGAAAUCAAUACUGGAAAGCGUGACAGUUUGAGAGAGAGGGGGUGCUGGUCAAACUGCUCCCCACUUUGGCCUCAUCUCUUCACCGAGUCAUAAAUUUAGGCACCGAUAAAUUGUAUUAAGCCUAAUUAAUCUAUAAUUAGCACAUGUUUACUGUAGUAUUACAUGGGCUAAUCGUGAAGUAAUUAUUUUUUUUGAAAGCUAAUCGUGAAGUAAUUAGCUUUCCCUAGGAUGCAAAUUCCUAUUCAUUUUUAGUUAACUUUUCCACCAUGCUAUCUAUCAGUUUAACAAUUUGCCAGGUACAUAAUUUUGUUCCUUUGUUCCUCUUAUACUUUUGGGAUCCAAUUUAGUUUUGGUAGGUUCUUUUCCUACGCAUCUCGUUUGCAUGCAUAAGCCAAAUGUUUAAAUCUUAUGAUAAACUUCAAAAGACGAUGAUUUUCCUACCAGCUAGUCCAAUUUCUAAAUCUGGACACUAUGGGAAACAAGAUAUUUGCCACACUCGGCAAAAAAAGUGCAGAGUGCUUUGUGUCGAACACUCGGCAAAAUAUUUCGAAAAAAAUAAAAAAAAAUGUAGACACGCCGCCGCCUCCAGGCCACCGCCGCUGCCGCCAUGCCACUGCCCGCCGCCAUGCCGCCACCACCGCCACCUCCCCUCGAGCCGGAUCUGGCCGCCGCCAUGCCACUGCCACUACCGCCGCCAUGCCACCAUGCCGGAUCUGGCCGCUUGCCAUCGGAUCUCGUCCUCGCCCGGUCGCCAGCGGGAGAAGGAGGGGAGGGAGGAGGGAGGGGGUGGCAGGAUCUCGCCGGGGUCGCCGAGGAGGGAGGAGGGCGACGGGAUCUCGCUGGGGAGGGAGGGUGGAGGAGGGAGGGGCGGCGGGAUCUCGCCGGGGUCGCCGGGGAGGAAGGAGGGCGGUGGGAUCUCGCCGGGAAGGGAGGGUGGAGGAGGAAGGGGGCGGUGGGACCUUGCCCGCGGGGAGGGAGGAGGGAGGGAGGGGGAGGAGGGAGGGGCUGGCGCCGGCGGGGGCCUGGGGAGGGGGCGUCGGUGGGCGGGUGCGGGAGGAGGAGGGGUGAGGGAGGGUGCGGGGUGUAGGAGAAGGGGAAGGGAUGGGGAGGGGGGGUGCGUCGGUUAUAGGCCGGAUAGGGGGUUUACUUUUACACUCGGUAAACCCCCUUUGCCGAGGGUUUUUUUUGCCGAGUGUUUUUAGAGUAGCUCUCGACAAACAGGUUACUUGCCGAGUGCUCGAGAGAAUACACUCGACAAAUAUAAAAAUACUCGGCAAAUUUGAGGUUUCCGGUUGUGGGAGCAACAGUAAGGUCACUAAGACUGUACAUUGUGACUUAGAAGGCGUAAUUAGGCCAUAGAAGAUGUCCAGUGUGGCGUUCAGUUUUGAUCUAUUGCCAAUAUCUCCACCCGCAUCGCCAUAAUCUCGUCGUACAAGAUGCCACAUUGCGACCCCAGGUUCACAAAUGGUGAAAGAUUAUAGAGCAAGGCAAAACAAAUUGAAAAAAAACCACUUCAGUACUUGCACCACACGCAACACGAUUGCGAGGAAAAGCUAUUUGUCUGUCUAUCGAUAUGACCAUUAAGAUUCAGGAUAUUGUGUCACACAGAAUUGGGACUGAGCUGCUUACGGUAGCCACUCCAUGGCUAAUUACAAGACAUUUUUUUUUCUCUUUAGGAGUUGGAAGAGGUAGACACUCUAGCGGGACAGCCACAAUAUAGUUCAAGAACCGUUACUAUGCAUUUUGGAAGUUUCAGGAUCAGGAUGAGAAUGUGGGACAGGGUUAAGGACUGCAUGUAAAAUUUACUCUAGUUCCUUUUUAACAAAAAUACUGACUAUGACUGUAGCCAGCUCCUGUACAACUACCGGGAGUAUGCUAAGGGUUAGAUAUAUGUUGAGAUACGAGGUAGGUUACGAUAGCGCAAAAUAAAAAUUUUCUACCACGUAAAUCAGGAAAACUGCCGUAUAUGGAUCAUAGGAUUACCACUCGACGCACAGGUGCGAAAGAUGUAGAAUCGUGUCGGGGCAGCGAAGUCGAACACACGUAGUCAAUCACAUCGACGUCGAGCAGCUCCUCAGCAACUCGUCUACGUGCAGUGACGUCCUUCUCGUGCCGCGGCUCGCCAAGCUCGUCGUCGGCUUGUCAGGCUCUCGCGCGACGGCUUGUCCAAGUGCUGCAGAUGCAACACCUCCAAGGUAUCCACACGUGUAGGAAGGAAGCGUUGCAAGCCGGAAUGCUAGGUCCGCAAGUUGCAACGAGGUGAGGGCAUGGAGGCGCGGUGGCUGUUCGUGCGAAAGGGAUUCUAUCGUGUGUGUGUCAACCCUAAGCCACCCACCCCUCUAUUUAUAGGGGUCCCUAACGGGCCUCUAGGUCCGAGACCCAUUAGUACUUCUAAACCUGGUCCAAUUCAGAUCAUAUCCGAAUUGGACUUCCAGCCCCUUAAGUGUGUGACCCUAUAGGUUCGGAUACGCAUAGAUAUGGCCCGAGUACUCCUACUCGACCAAUAGUCGGUAGCAGCCUCUAGCAAGACCUGCCAACUCCUAUACACACAUGAAGAUCAUAUCAGACGAACCAUCACAACAUUAGAUACAUGCUAUUCCCUUUGCCUCACAAUAUUUGGUCUAGCUCCAAGCCGACCACUCUUUCUCGAUCUUGUGACUCGGAAUCCCUUUGUCGGUUAACUCUUAACCGACGCAGCAUGACCAUGUAUUUCUUGAUCCGAUCACUCGAGGGGCCCAGAGAUAUCUCUCACAAGUAGAGAGGAGCAAAUCCCAUCUUGACUGACCAUACCUCACAACAUGCUUCUUGACAAACCCGAAAGCUACCUUUAUAACUACCCUGUCAUGGUGUAGCGUUUGAUAGCCCCUAAGUAAGUCGAUCCACAUCUUGAGUACAUGCGACAAUCUCAGGUCUAAGGACAAAGCGUACAUGUUGUGUAAAGAGAGAACUAUGUAACUCGUGUUGGGUCAGUCGUAGCACAUGUCUCUACAUGUGCCUACAUUAUUAGUUUGACAUCUCCAUAUCCAUAACUUGUGAAACAUAGUCAUCAAUUAAUACAUGUACUAGUCUAAUAUUCAUGUGUGUCCUCACAUGAACUCCGACUAGGGACAACUUUAGAAUAACCAUACAAGUAAAGAGUUUCACAUAUAAUUCAUAUAAUUGCAAAUCAAUUCAAGUAGUCUUUAAUGGAUAUUCAAGGAACACAAUACAAAUCAUGGAUACAAUGGAAUAUCAUCAUCUCUAUGAUUGCCACUAGGGAAUAUCUCCAACAAUAUAUAACUUUAAAGGGCAUUUUGAUCCAUCUAAGUUUAAACUUAUCUCACUCCAAAAAGAAGAGACAAUAAUGGAUACACAAACAGUUAAACCAGCAAGGUCGAGACGCAACAUAUGGCUGAUGUUUUAUCAUUGUCUUUAUAUAUUUUUGGUUUACAAGAAUGUUUUUUUGACAUGCAUACUUUGUCUAAAAAACAUGAAGGCCAUAUGCUAGUGUCAGGAAUAGAUCCCAAGUACCCGCAAGGAAGGAAGAAGACAAACUCCAAUUAGCUGGUAGAGAACUCACCUUCCAUGCACUCCUUUUGUCCCGGUUUAAAGUUGGCCCGUGACUAAAGGGGCUUGAGUCCUGGGUCAAAUACCAAUCAUGAUUAAAGCCCCCCCUCUUUAGUUCCGGCCACCCGUGGGAGACCCUAUAGUCCCAGAUGAAAAAAUCAGCCACCCGUGGGGGACCCUUUAAGGGUCGAGGGCUUUAAUCCUGGGUGGUGUUCCUUUAGUCCCAGUUGGUCUGAGGGUCUAAGGACUAAAGGGUCUGAGGACUAAAGGGAUUAAAGGGGGUCUUUAGUCUCGGUUGGUAACACAAACACAAACUGGGAUAAAAGGGUCCACACAAGUUAAUACAAAAGGAUUGUAUCCCCUAUGUAGUCAGGUGUGCUGUGUAGUUAGGAUGGUAAGGAAGCUACGCGCGACGCUUGAGGUUGUGGGUUCGAAUCCCACGGACCGCGCACACAGAUAUUUCACGUGAAAAAUCACGUGACUUGUGAAUUGCGGCGUGUGGGGGUGGGGGUGGUGGCGGGGCCUUCGGGGAUUUCCUUUUUUUACAAAACCAUUUAGUCCCGGUUGGUUGAGUGACCCUGGACUAAAAAUCCCCCCUUUCAUCUCGAUUGCUUUGUCCCGAAUGCAUUUUCGGGAGAUUUGCUCCCAACCGGGAUUAAAGGUAAGUUUUCCACCAGUGUACAACAACUCAUACCAUGUAAUCCUACUAGGACUCCUCCUUGUAACCGACUAGUUAUCCCGCCCCUUGGAGUAUAUAAAGAAGGGUAGGGGUAACUAGAUCGGCAGAACCAUAACAGAGGACCAAAUCCUCAAUACCAAAUAACACCCAAGCGUUGGGCGCAAUAUACAAUACCCUAGGACAUAGGGUAUUACGCUACACUGGUGGCCCAAACCUGUAUAAAUCCGUAUCUUGUGUCCUCGCUUUUACCAUUAAGUUCCAGGUCCGGCGAUCCCCACCAACCAAUCUACUACCUCGGGAUAACCCUUGGUAUGUUGUCGGGUAUAAAACACGGACAUCUGACACACUAGGUAGGGAUGAUCGUCGAGAUACCGUCUCUGAAUUUUCUCUAUCAUUUGAAUGCUUCAAUACCAUAGAAUAAUCCUAGAUAUCAUAGCUUGAUCACUUAAAUACCAUAGCUUGAUACUCGAAUACCAUGACUUGGAUACUCGGAUACCAUGAUUUCGAUGUCAAGAAUACCAUCAAUUGGACUUUGCCAUGAUUUAGUUUGCAUUCUUGGGACCUAGAAAACCUACAAGGUACAUGCUAGAUAAAGCAUUAGUCCCAAUGACUAUAUUGUCACUUAAUCACCAAAAUCACAAGCUAUGGCUUAACGAGGCCACGUUUGCUACAACAGCUUAACAAACAGAAACUACAGUUCGUGGAUGUCCGAAACUGAGAUAAAAUCAAGUGCAUACCAAUGGCAAUAAUAUACUUAACGGUGUCCCUGUUCUUGUGCUGGGUUUAGGCGUUGCUGUGCUUCCUUCACAAGAGAUAUGAAAGAUUCAAACGAUUUUCCAAGUGCUAUGUAUAAUGCAACCGUUAUCCAACGUUAUUCGUUCAUACAUAAAAGGAGAAAAAUGGUCACCGCAAAAUUAGAAACGCACAAUGUCUGUUUCCUGUCACGGCGGUAGCUCUCGUCUUCCUCCUGGUCGACGGUUCGCACUCCAAACUCCUGCGAGUGGCUCAUGCCUUGGUCGCUGCUCUGGAGGCGAUUCGUGCGCCCCCGGUCCUUUCUCUUUGGCCAAGCUGGGAGGAGCGGAGAUCGGAGGAUGUGUGCUCUGCGCUUCCCAUCCAGGACGACCGGCGGUGGCGACCGGAAGGUUUAACCGGUGAGGGGAGAGACACGGAAGAGAGAUAGGCAGGGGCACUUUAUAAAACUCGCAUUCAUGACAGGGGUCUAUCCAUAAAUAAUCGCAUCGUGAUUAAUACCUGGGAUCCAAAUCAGGAGGUAAAUUCAAAUAUUUGGAUCACGAUUAAUAGUCACGAUUCAAAUGGGUCUAUCUAGAAAUUUUCUACAUCUCUAAUUUGUAUCAGCCCAUUGCAUUUCGCUGAAUUGGUUUCUUUCUUUCUUUUACUGUCAAUUGUCAAAUACCAUCUGUUGCUCAGGAUGAAGCAUCUAUUACCAAACUAGAAUAGACCAAUGUGCGCGGGGGCAGAUCCAGAACGGGGCGCAGCCCUAGGCUGAGCUGCUGAUUCACACCCAAAACAGUCUGAUCUUGCCUCCUGGGCCUCCUUUUGUUAGGCUAAACACCACAUAUGUGAAAGGGGUUACAUGGGCUCGCCUCGGGCUGCAUCCCGGGUCCUAGAUCCGCCUUAUGUGCGAGUGCUAGGGUGCAUGCGAAAUUGGAGACAAUAGAUUGGAGGCGAUACAUUGGGAUACUCUGUAUUGUGGCAGUUAGCUACUUGUUUGCUGUCAGGUACAGUAUCCUGAACAAAUGGCCUCUGCUUGACUUUAGUAGUUUAGUUAGUCUCUGCUUCACCAGGGGAUGUGGAACCUGAAACACACUCAGAGAUUAAAACAGGUGCACAAUCUCAGGGCAGGCUGCCAAUGAUCGUGUUCGCACAUUAAUUAGAAAUAACAAGAGUCCUGGAAACAUAAAUUUAUCAAUUAUCAAAUGCAAAGCUGUUUGACGGAUAUAAUUUAGAUAAUGAAAAAAAGAACAGUUCCAGCCUUUUCUUCUUUGGAAACAUAGCACAUGUACUUGUUGCAACUAGUUCAGUACGCAGACUGAUAUGGGAGCAUCACACAAACCGUGAUAUUAACAGAAAAAAUGGGGUUACAAAUACAAAACUUAGAUAGCACGCGACUACAUUGUCAACAAGAAUUGUAGAUCCCAGUUCUGGAAUAAGAAUAAAAAUACAGGUUUUUUAUUUUGUCAAACAAAUAGCCCAGAAGACGAUCCAAGAUAAAUCUUUGAUAAAAACAAGAUAAUAUACUUAACGAUGUCCCCUUUGUCAGACAGAGAUAUCAAUUACCCUGUUCUUGUGCUGUCUUUAGGAGUUCUUGUGCUUCUUUCACUAGAGAAGCGAGAGACCUCGCUGGCUUGAUCACCUCACCAUCAUUCCCAGCAAAGAGCAUGCAGUUAUCAACCUCCGACAUGGUUCCCAAAGUCUCGGUCAGUGCUUCCUUGAAAUUAUGUUCAUUGAAACGUUGGAUGCAGCUGGGCUUGGCUUGAAUCAUAGCUAUCACCAUCUGGCAGGUAAGUUUCACUACUCUAAAACACUCAGACUGAGCCGUGCGUUGCUUGUUUACUUCCAGUAUGUCUUUGAGCUUCUUCGCAAGUGCUGCAUCUUCAGGGGUGGAUCGAGCAAAAUCUUCUCUACUGAUAACAUUUUCGUUGCAUAUCACCACAGCGAGGGAUAACAUGGCUGCCAUAAACUUUCUUUCCUCGGAUUGCUCAGCUUCUUCUUUCCUCUUCGCAAGUGCUGCAUCUUCAGGGGUGGAUCGAGCAAAAUCUUCUCUACUGCUCACAUUUUCGUGGCAUAUCACCACGACGAGGGAUAACAUGGCUGCCAUAAACUUUCUUUCUUCUGGGGGCUGGUUUUCCACAAAAUUUUCUGCUGCAUCUGCGCUGGUUCCCAUUUUUUUUUGAAUGAAACAGGAGGGGCAAGCCCUACUGAAAUAUAUUAAAACAAGGUCCGAAAAAGUUACAGAGUAAGAAACACACAAAAAAACCAAACACGAAAGCUACAAGCAAGAGAGUAGCAAAGAAAAGAUUCAGAGGGAGUGGAUCCAAUCUAAACAUUCCUGACUUAAAACAGAAUUCAUCCUAUGUGAAGCCACCAAUGAGAGCUCAGACAAAAAUUUUGAUCGAGUUCCAGAAGUCGAAGGAUCGACAUUAUUAAAAGUCCAGUCAUUCCUUGUGGUCCAAAUACUCCAAGACAUGAGGAUGAUGACUUCCAUGGAGAAGGCGGUGUUUAACUGCCUUCUAAUCUGAUUGAAGAUGUGGACCGACGAUCUUGUGGAGACAAAAGAAAUCCCAAUCGAAUUCCAGCAGGCUUUAGCAAAAUUGCAUCGUAGAAAAAGAUGUGUUACCGUCUCCCUUUUUUGGCGGAUACACAUUUCGCAGACAUUAGAAUCCAAAUGCAUCCUUCUUCUUUGAAGGACAUCUUUUGUAUUUAACCUGUCGAUAAUCAGAAGCCAAAAGAAAACUUUGUGUUUUUUCUGACAUUUCGAUUUCCACAGCCAGCGAUGUAUUGGGUGUGUUUCCCUUUGUCCUGUUAAAGCCUUGUAUGCUUUCUUGACUGAGAAGGUUGAGGAUCCCCAGAUAUAAGACCAAGUGUCUGAAACAUUCUGUGAGACUGCAUUGUGCAUAAAAUCCUGAAGCAUAAGGAGUUCCGAAUGAGCUUCUGUAGAUAAAGGUAGGUGAAACAGAAAACCAAGAUCUGUCGUGUUUAUCGCUUUGUGAUACGAUAUAUUUUUGUUUCGGGCAAAGGAAAAGAGGUUAGGAAGCUCAGAUUGUAGAGAGUGAUCAUUCCACAGGUCUUGCCAAAGCAGCACAGUGCUUCCAUCCGCAACCCGAGCUGAAGCAAAACCCUUGAAUUUGUGUAGCAAUUUGACUAUAUCCUUCCACCAGAAGGAACCCUUUUUUUGAACACCCGGACGAGUACCAUUGCUGUACAACUUGUCCCAAAUCAAGUGAACCCAAGGCAGAUCAGCUUUUGAAAAAAAUUUGUGUAGGAACUUUAAUAACAGAGCCUCAUUCUGGGUAAUUAUAUUGAGCACCCCUAAACCCCCUUGACAUUUGGGUAGACAAACUAAAGGCCAAGCAGCUUUGGACGGUUUGGUAGAGGAUAGAUCUGAGCCUCUCCAGAGACAGUGUUUGCGGAAUUUGUCAAUCUGAUGUAUAACCCCUUUGGGGAGUUUCAAAGUGGCCAUCUGAAACAUAGCUGAAGAUGUUAAAACAGAGUUUACCAAUUGUAAUUUUCCUCCUUGUGAAAGCAUAGAUGAUAUUCCACCUAAUUUCCCUUCAAUUCUCUUGAUCAAAGGAAGAAAGUCUUGCAUCGACGGUUUAUGUAACCCCAGAGGUAACCCCAGAUAGGUGAAAGGGAAGGUUCCUGUCUGACAAUCUAGGAUACCAGCCAAGAGAUUAAGCUUGUCCUGCUGAGUGUUUAUGGGGACCAUCAUGGAUUUGUUGUAAUUAACUUUUAACCCAGUAGAUUCUGCAAAGAUAUCCAGAAGAUUUUUUAAGUGUAUUAACUGACUCGGAUCAGCCUCCAUGAAGAGCAAAGUGUCAUCAGCAUACUGAACAAUUGGGAAAUCCUCGCUGGCUCGCAAAGGGAUCGGGAGAGAAAGGUGUCCCUCCUCCUUAGACUUAUUAAUAAGAGAUUGGAGUAAAUCAGCAGCAAGCACAAACAGAAGAGGUGAUAAAGGGUCCCCCUGCCGUACCCCUCUCUUACAAUGGAAAGUUUUACCUGGAACACCAUUCAGAAGAACUGACGAUGUGCCUGAAUCAAGAAUGACCUUAAUCCAUCCAAUCCAUUUCUCCCCAAAACCUUUAUGUUUCAGAAUUUCUAGGAUGGCCUUAUGUUCAAUACGAUCAAAAGCCUUUUCAAAGUCCAAUUUGAGAAUGAUGAUGUCCUUCUUUGAAGAUUUGCAGCAGUGUAGGAAUUCAAGAGCCCAAGCUAAGCAGUCCUGAAUGGUCCUAGAUUUGAUAAAGCCAUAUUGAUUCUUGUGAAUGAGAUUGAUGAUGACCUUUUGUAGUCUCAACGCUAGGAUUUUUGUGAUGAGCUUUAUUGAUGAGUUUAGAAGGGAUAUUGGUCUGUAGUCACUCACAUGCAAAGGGCCAGCUUUUUUUGGGAUAAGUGUGAUAAAGGAUGAGUUGAUGCUACGCAUACAGACUUCCCCAUUAUGAAAGCCAUCACAUAAAGCAUAAAAAUCUUCGGCCAAUUCAUGCCAGCAUCGUUUAAGGAAUUCCCCAUUAAAACCAUCAGGGCCUGGAGAUUUAUUCGUGGGUAAAUCCUUGAUGAUAUUAUCAAUUUCUUCUUUAGCAAAAGCCACCUCUAAGUCUUGGAGUCCCUCUGAAGGAGAUAGGAUAAUACUCAGAUCCAAAUACAUGUGGCGGUAAUCUGACCUGCCCAUUCUAUUUUUGUAUUCCACCCAAAUUAGGUUUGCUUUAUCUUCAUGGGCUUUGACAUUCAUUCCGUUCUGAUCUUGUAGCGUCAAAAUGUGGUUAAUCUUGUUUUGAAUGGAAGCCUUUGCAUGAAAGAACCUUGUACUUUCAUCACCCAUUUUGGCCCAGUUGAUGGAACAUCUUUGCUGCCAAUAAGUUUUCUGUUGCUGUAAAAGAUUCUUUAGAUGAUUCAUAACAAUAUCCCUUAAGUUCCAUUCUUGCAGGGAUAGAUCUCUAGAUUCUUCUAGUAUAUCUAGAAAAAGGAUGACCUCCUUUGUGUGUUGAAUGGUUUUUGCCAGACUUGGCAACCCUGCUUUCCAUAUUCGAAGUUCUCUUCGCAACUUUUUGAAUUUUGCACCAACGAUUUGGGCUCUGUCAGAGUAUGAGACCGGAGAAGUCCAAACAUUAUGCAGAACAUCAUUGAAUUGCUCAUGAUGCAUCCAAUAGUUUUCAAAUCUGAAGACUUGAGACGAAGGCAUAAGAUUUGAGAUAGAAAUGACACAAGGGUUGUGAUCAGAGGAAUCUCUUGACAAAGUUGUUGCCCAUGUGUUUGGAUAGGCUGUAAUCCAGGCAGAGGAUGAGAAGAACCAAUCCAGCCUCUCUAGUAACGGAUUAGUCUGUUUAUUAGUCCAAGUGUAUUUUCCUCCUUUGAGCUGAAUUUCUGUGAGUCCUAACCUGCUGAUUGCUUCAUUGAACAUCAUCAUUUCUUGCGGAUGACCUCCAGGUUUAUUUCUGUCCGAAGAGCGUCUUAACAAGUUGAAAUCCCCUACCACUAGCCAUUUUUCAUCAUCCGGCAUCCUGAUUCUCUUGAACCAAUCCAGAAAUUCUAUUUUACCUUCUGGAGUGCAUGGCGCAUAAAUGUUGGUUAGAAUCCAUGUUUCCCCUGACAAAUUACACUGUAACUCCACUGAGUGAGCAAAAUUGUUUUGAAAGAUUGAUUGACCCUGAAACUUAUUAGCAUUCCAAACCAUAAUAGCUCCUCCUGAAUUGCCUAUAGAUGGUAUGAAAUCAAAAAGGGUGAAAGCAGGAGGACAUAAGUUCCUGAGAUACGAAUCAGAGAAAACCUCUCUUUUGGUCUCUUGCAAACAUAUGAUGUCUGCCUUCGAUUCCAUUAUUUUGCUUCUAAUCGCAUUCCAUCUAACCGAUGAAUUAAUACCUCUCACGUUCCAAGAAAGGAUAUUCCAUAAACGUUUACGAUUCAUAAUCAAACAAAAAGGCAAACUUCACUUCCAAGGGCCCUGUAUUCCAAAUGGGAUAGAACCCCAACCAAAAACCUUCUGUACCAAAAAGAAGAAACCAUGACAGCCCUUAAAAAACCCCCAAGCACUGAAGAAACACACAUGAGAACCAUAUAAACGAAACCAACAUUCCAGCAAAAGAUUUCCCUAGGCACCGACAGAUGAUAGUUUGAGACUGACAUAAGUAAAGGCUUGUGAAAGGACAAGUUCACUGACAGACAGGAAUUAAAGAAAGCAUCCUCCAUAGAACUUUCAGUUUUCAGAGUUCGGUCCUUGAGGCUUGUUCUUCUUGGCCUUCUUCUGUGUCUCCUGGGAUGAUGCAGAUCCUUUAGCUCCUAUCACCUUCAUGUGGUUGGACUUGGCUGACAAGCUAGCAGAAGAAAUCUUAGAUGAGCCCAUGCUGCAUACUUUUUCCCCCAGCCCCUGAAUGUGUGCUGAGGAUAGAGUGGGGGCUUUCGAGUGGCAGGCCAGGCAACUACUGUUUUGACAGGUCGCAGCACGAAAUCCUUCGUUUCUAGCCUUGAUUCUGCUACUCCUCCUGACAGAAGAUUCACAUUCCGGGGCCACCAAGCUCCCAAGCCUUGCCCUUGCUUUCUUUACUGAGGGUGUGCUAGUAGCCUUGUCCAUAAAGGAAGCUGUAGGAAUACCAUCUUCUUCUUCUUGACUUAUGCACGGCAGGGGACUGGUUCUGGGACAGACUGAUGGAAUGUUGAAGGCCAUCAUUGAUGAAUUUUCCACACAGCUGAGCAUGAAGUUCCAAGCAGAGGAGGCAAGAAAGUUUUUGGCCCAAUCAAAGUGCUGAGGUGACAGCAACAUAUUGAUGAAGAAGGAGGCCCAAUCUGCUGGGAUGUAAGUUACUUGUUCAGGACAGCCUGCUGGAGAAAAGUGCUGGGCCCAAAGCCGAAAGAGGUUGGGGUUCUGAAGAGCACCAGAAGUCUUUGGAUUUGGCUCCGCAGUGGAGGAGAGAGUUUCCGGCAGAACCACAUCUUUGAUGAACUUUUGUGCCAGCACUGGAUCCCUAUGCCACUGAGAGUCCGGUAACAGCACAAGAUUAACAUUAAUAUUUCCCAUGGGCUGGUCAAACGCUACCUGGUUAGCCGGUAUGGCCUAGUCUUGUUGGUUGUUGGCAGGCAGCCCAAGAACAAUCUCCGGCUGGAUCAAGGGUCCAUCUUGCAUGGCAGCCUGUUGUGCAUGAAUAUCCAUAUAUUGACCCAUUGGGUGGACUGGCUCCUGCUCAAGUGGCUGAUCAACUGGAUUAAAAGCAAUUGCCUGAGGGAUCCCUCCUGAGUAAACCACUAUUGGAAGGGGGUCCAUGCUCUGAUCAGAAGGACUCGAGGAAGGUGGUGGCGGUGAUAAAUUGAGAUUUAGGUCCAAGAUGACCUGAGGUUCCUCUUCUUCCUCAUGGAGUGCCUGGGCCUCCUCAAUAAGCAUGUCCAGGAGAACAUCCUCAUCCAUCCCAUCCUCUUCAUCCUCUUCUUCAUCUUGUUCAUCCUGUUCAAUAGCCAUAUUAUUCUGCUCUGGGUUGCCAUUUAAGUCUGGUAGCUGACCCCCAGGCCCCUCCAGAUCCAAAUUGUGGUUGUGUGGUUGGUUUUGUUGCUGUUGAACAUUUGGUUGAAAACCUGGAAAGAUGAAUUCCCCAUCUGGUCCUCCUGGUGGUAUGUCCUCAUCUUGCAAUUGGGCCCCCAGCAUGUUCUGUUGUAAGAUUUCACACUGAACUGUAUAAGAAACUCCCUCAAAGUCAUCUCCUUCUGACAGAAUUAGAUAAUGUGGAAUGUCCACAAGAUCCGUCACCCGAGCCUUUAUAAUGACCCUUGCCAAAACAUCAUCUUUCUGCCAGAGAAUCAUCCUACCAAACGAUCUGAUAGAAUCCUCGAUUUCGUGAGAAGAGCGGUUGUCAAUGGGAAAUCCAAUAAGCAUGAGCCAGCAUUCUCUGUUAAAGUUUACCCUACGGGCAUUGAGAGCACGAUUGUGUUGGACAAAGGUAAAACUAAGCCCAUUAUUGAAAAGGGGACUUCUAGCAAUGAGAGUAUCUCUAUCUGAAGGCCUCCCCAUUCUAACAAAAGCUUCUCCUCUACCAAAAGGGCUUCUUUGGAUAUCUCUAACUUCGAGACCCAAAUCAUGUACCAGAUAGUUGGAGAUCGCAUUCCUCAGGGGACCGAAAGGGAUCUCACCGGGGGGAAGGUUCCCAAGAGUGACGACUGCCAGGUCUUCAUUUCGUGGUAGCGCUCUUGGCACCACCACCCUUGUGAACUGCUGCCGACCUUGUACCAUCACCCUGUGAAAGCCAGCGAGCAUGAGGGGCUGGGGAUCAAUGUUGAGGAAGGCCAUUGUUUGGUCUUGGUUGGUUGCAGGUGGUUGAUGGAGAUCGGUGCUCGUGUCCGGUGGAAGGUACUGUUGCAAAGGGGGGAAGAAGGGCGAAGACGAAGCGGCAGGCAGGCCAGCGGUUGGGUUGCUGGUUGCGCUUCCAGAUACACGACCAUGAAGGGACAGCGCUAGAUCCUCGAGAUUGGCGAAGAUCCUUGGGCCGCUUGUGCCUGUAAGCCUUUCCUCCGGUGGGCCGUCCUUGAACCAAGUGGAUGUGCAAUCCAGAGGCCAGUCCGAAGCCUUGAUGCCUGGGGAAAACCCACCGCCGAAAGUAGAGCUGCAACACAUGAUGAACGCUUGGAGACUGUGAAAAGGCUUGCAGUCAUUAAGCGUGUGUCCCGCUCUUCUACAGUGCCAGCAAGAAAUCCUAUUUCUGCAAGCAGAUCUUCUGUGUCUUGGAGACAGGCAUCGGGAACAUAAGAGACUCCUGCCCAAGCGUGUAUUCUGGUCAUAAACCUUCUCGAGCGGGGGGCCACUAGAAUUCAAAAUCUUGCUGACCCGGUGCUCCGUCUUGCCUGCCUCCGCUCUGGAGGAGAGCCGAUCAAACACCGAUCUUCUCUUCUGUGGAGAGGAAGAAGAAGAACCCAAAAAGCCCACCCUCUGAUAAUUGUUGAUGAAUGCCAGCUUUUCCCCUAAAGGUGUGGCAUUAGCCCCUGUCAACUUUUGUGAUGAACCAGAGGAAGCUCUAACCACAUCAACAAACGAACGAGACCUCUCUGGAUGAAGACCCCUUCGAGAAGAUGAAAAACCAUAAGACUUCAUGGGUAUUUCCUGAUGAGUUGAAACUUUGGAGUUCGGAUGUUGCCCCAAAAGAGGACAUUUAGAAAGUGAUACUGCUUUUCCAUGUCUAGGCCGAGAGAGUUCCCAGUGAUAAGCAGGUCCAGAAAGUUUCCGAGCAAAAAGAGUAGCCUUAGAUAGCCCCGAAGCAUUGGAGAAAAAGAAACCCAGGUUGAACUCAUCACAAGAAAAAUCCUUGAGGUCUUCACAUAAGAAACCCACAUGUUUCGAAGCCACAAAAAACUUGAAGACUUGUUGAGAAAUUUGAGAGACCCGAAAACCAGAUGCCACACCUCCCAAAACAUUUUGCAGACAAGACGCGACUGAAAACGAGUCCAGCCUGAAAGAAUUCCUGCUAAACGCAGCUAGCAUGGCGAAGCCAGGACUUUGCGUCGACAGAGGGGAGACAUAGGAGUUGAGAAGGUCGCGGACUUUUGCUGCGAAGGCAAUCCCAUGACUCUGGACAAAGCAGAGAGAGGCCAUCAAAUCUUACCUGAGACUAGGCCGCAACGAGCAACUGGAUGAACAGGAGACCGGGAAGGAAGAAAGGGGUAAGGUGGUUAUCUGACAAGGCCGGAGGGGACCAUGCCGUAGGUGGUGGUUGCCGGUACCGGGGUGGUUGCCGGCGAGGAGGGGCGCCUCCUAGCGCGGGCUCCUCCCCUCAGUAGAUUGCCGGAUCUAAACACCGAGAGCUCUCCCAAUUGCUAUCCGGACAACCAGCGGGAGGCACCCCUGAGAGCUGGUUGUGAGCUUAGGGGUGCCGCUGGUUCCCAUUUUACUAGAUAAUAUUUGAUCGAGCACCUGUAACAAACAUAAUUUAAUGCAAAGGAUCAGCAAUAUUGAUGCAACUCAUCUCUAGUGGAAAUUUUUGUACGCUACAGAAUUAAGAGAAAUUAACUGACAUCUGAGAAUUGGGAAUAAGAUCCAACAUGAUGCAGAGGCAGAAGAAGCGAGAGUUGUCAAUUUUUCUUUUGUUCUAAACAAAAAUAGGCAGAGGUAGCUAGUUACCUUAGUCAAUAGGUUGAUCGCCUGUUGCUUGGAAAUUAUAACAUCUCUUUCUCUUGCAGUGCUAACGGGAAGCAAUCUGGCCAGUGCUUCCCCUGCUUUUCCCCUCAUCAGUCUGGUGGCAUUUUCCCUGUCUGCUUGUUCCACUUGAACUACAGUAUUAUUGCUGGGCGCUUCCUCAAGGAAGAUGCAUAGCAGGGCCUUGAGAAGCUUGUUAAUCUCCAGCUUUUUGAAAGAAUCAUCAAAGGCUAACUCUGUCAGGAUCUCCAGGGCUUGUCCAUGCAGUUCUUGGGCAGCUCCGCUGUCAGUCUCCAAAAUAGACAUCAGAUUGCUGACAUCUUCUGUGGUACUGGCAAGUUCCUGGCGCAGCCUUGUGGCGCCAUCCCCAGGGCAGGCAAGUAUCCUGCUUAACGCUGUGAGUGACUUGCUUAGCAUUCCAACAACCAUUGUGUCUGUGGCGGAACCACCUAAAUUAACUUGGCUAAAGCACACUUAAGUCGCCUAAACGCGAUCAUGUACUUUAAACAAGUCAACUUGGUCGUCCGUCGGAUUUCCUCCGAUAAAACCACGUAACGCAGGAUCGAGAAGGCAAAACUCACACGAUGGUGAGUGGUUACAGAGAUUACAACAGUCCACCCAGAUUAAACAAAGUGCAUCGAUUUAUUACAACAUAAAGUUCAGAAAUUCAAACAUAGUUUGUAGAGUGUUCAAGCAGCGGAAAUAAAACGCACGGAAACUAAACGUCGAUGCACGAUAUCAUGAAGAAGCCGAUCAUGACAUCACUGACCCCUGUCCUCGCCGUCCGAGGAGGGAUCCCACUCGACCGUCCAACCCGGAGGGAGCUGGGUAGACCAAGCAGAACUAGCAGCAAACUCAGAAACAUCAUCCUCACCUGAAAAGAGGUGCCACAAACAAGGCUGAGCAACUAUGCUCAACAAGACUUAACCGACCUGUGGUACUAAUCCACUAACACCUAGACAUGUAAGCUUUUUGGCUCUGGGUUUUGUUUUGCCAAAAGCGACUAGUGUAGGUCCUUACUUUCAACAUUUUAGCCACCAGUUCUACUGUUGUUUAUCAUUCUAAGUUUAGCAACUAUACUAAAUAAGCAUAGUUUUCCAAGCAAUUAAUAACAAGUAACAAUAUUAUAUCAUCAUCAUCUUUUAUUCUUACUCAGUGUAGCAUAGCGAUCAAGUAGUCCCACACUGUGAGAGGCAGACGAAUCGAUUCGAAUUUAUUAACCAUGCAUGGCGAACCUAAUCCCACGACAUCCGCGCACCACGAAGGGUUGCUUCACUUGUCAGCCGUCCCCAUCGAUCCCUAGGUACGUGUCAGGUCCAAACUUCCUUUGGCAUGCAAUGCUCCACAGUCCCGGUCUCUACCGUACUAUGACCGCCAUUGCACCCACAUGAUGCACCAUGGGAACGACGUUCCAAGGACAGCAGGGGUAUAAGCCACGUCCCAGUUCAAUCAGGUACUAGGCUUCCCCAUCCCAUACUAGGUAUGAGAUUAGUACUUUCAAACACUUGAUCACGAACACCAUCACCUUUCGACCUUAGUCCAAUUUCAAGUAGACAGACGGGGCAAACCACCGAGUACCAACAUAAGCCCAGCCCCGUCCAUCAUCCUUAUAGUUGCAAUGAAAAGAAAAUCAUUCAACUCCUAUAACUCGCGAGUGACAGGAAAUCACUCGACUUUUACCGAGUCCUAUUUAGCAUUGCAACUACUCGACUUCUUAUACUAGUGUUCAGAUCAAGGGGCACUAUAUUCAUGCAUCUAUGGUUUCAAUCAAUUCCUAUAAACGUAAAUGCAUAAUCAAAACAACCAAUAUAUUGCAAGUAUUUAAACAUAGGAAUUUAUGAUCCGGGGCUUGCCUUCACACUCGGAGUUAGCGAACUGGUCCUCGGCUUGCUCUAGCACGGGCUCGACUUCAGCGUGGUGUAGAUCCGCUACAGCUUCCUCUUCGGGCGUCGGGUGCAGCUCGUAUGUACCGUCGGCGAUGUUAACUUCUACAUGAAAUGCAGGUGCAAAUGAUUCAACAUGCAAAACCAAGAGUCUGAAAGGCAUUUCAUAUAUUAUUCCUUUUUAUCUUUCUCUAAAAAGGAAAGAGGUUUUCAUUAACUUUCAAACCAAGUCUCAUAAUUUUCCUGUGAACUACACCUCAUUCCUGAAUUAUUCCAAGUGGUUUCAUAUUUUUAUCAUCUCUGGAUUUAUCAUUAUGCAAAAAGAAAAAUCUACCCGUAGAUUUCAAUUAAUAAACUAAAACAGUAACUUAAAUGUCUAAGCUAGGCUCUAAACCAUUUUUCUAAGCUUUUAUUCUCUGAAACAAACACUUGAGAGUUGGAUUUACCUUUUUAGCAUUUUUCUGUGAUUUGCUAUGAUUUAAACUAGCUUAAACAAGGAUUAAAUCAUAUAACAUUAAUUAUAACAGAGACAUGUGUAAACUUAUUUUUAUACGAAACUACACAGAAUAUUGAGUCUAACAAAAUUUAUCUUGCAUUUUUAGCAUUUUUCUACACUUUUCUAUGCCUUUUUAAACUUUCAGCCUUUUUAGAUCUAGAAAAAAGAAAGAAAACCGAGGCAAUCUUCAAAUCUAGCCCUCCAGUCUAUGGGUUAAAUGCGUAGGGGCCCCUGGAUCUUGCGCCUACACCCCUGGACAAAAACCCACCUCAAACAUAAAUCCCACGAUUUUCCCCAUAACCCCCUGACUUUCUUUCUUCUUCCCCACAUAGAUCCCUCACGUACAAAAGGACAGCAACAUUCAGGCACGGCACAAAACAUGGCGCUGGAACUUGGGGGCCGGCCGCGACAGAGGGAAAGGAAGAGCACACGGCAGGGGGAAGAGGAGAGGGGCGGCGCCUUGGGCCAGGAGUGCUCACCAGCGACGCUGCGAUGAGGAGGGACGGCGUGCAGCAGUUCUCACGGCACAGGAAGGGGGCGGAUGGGGGCUCGUGUGGAGGGGGCUGCUCGGCAAGGGAGGGAGCCUGGGAAGGGGCAAAAUGGAAGCGGGACGACGAGGAGGCGCCGUGGCUGCAAGGAAUCGACCGGAGACUCGCUCACGGUGGUGGAUUUCGCCGGCAAAGUUUGAGCGUGGCGAGGUGCUGCGAGAGUGGGGAGGGGAGUACGGUGGGGCGGGCGAGCUAUUUAUAGCCGCGACGAGCUCGUGGGGCUGGCCGGUGGGUCGGAGGGGCGCUGGUACGCUGCUGCGGGGUGGACCGGCCACGGCGGGCACCAUUGGCGGAUAGGGGAGGCGACUUGGCGGGCGUGCUUGCAGGCGGGCACCGCAGGCGAAGCAGGCGUGCACGGGUGAACGGCUCCAUCAGGGCGCUGCAGGCGAGGCCGAGGAGCUGUGGCGUCUUGUCUCGGGCGUGCGUUGGCGGGCACGGCGGCGGUGGCGUGCCAGAGCGUCGCAGGGCGCGUGCGGAUAGAGCAGCGGCAGGGGGCAACUCGACGGGGCAGCGACGAGGAGCACGUGCCACGGGGCAGCCGGUGAGGGGAGCGCGGCGCACGCGUGCUCGGCGUGAGCUCUGGUGCGGGAUUUGCGGGAUCGGACGAUAGGGCAAUCUUCGAGCACGAUCUUCUCCAGAUUUUUGAACUGCACAACCCCUACUCCCUUUACAAAAGUUGUAGGCCUAGGAUCUAAGUUCAAUUCUUGUAAUUGUCUUGAUUUCAAAUUCGAAGCUGAAUUGAAGAUAAAACGCUUCAAAGUUUGGCAAAAUCCGAAACUUUCAGACUUGAACACUUCAGCCAUUUUUGACAGUGUUGACCAUUUUAGCUGCGUUUGACCUCGUUUUUGAAAACCUUCUGUGCAGAUUUUGGCCUAUGCUCAAAAAUCAAAGUUGUUAAGGACUCGUAGCACUAAAACUUUCAUAAAAGGUUUGUCAUGAGCAUACAUUCAAAAAUGUGAGAAAAAGGGCUCCAAAGUUCUGACUUUAUUUGAUCUGCACCUUUCGGCCCAGAUUUGUAAUUCGAUAUUUUGACCCUUUUCCGAUCAGUUUCAAGCAAAACGCUAAUUACAAAAGUUGUUAGAAUUUGUGAGCUAUACAACUCUUAGUUAGGCAUAUUUUUAAGUUCUUAAGACAAAAAUUGAGUUAUGGCUUAAACACAUGUUUAGCUCGUGAGGGGCAAAAGGGGUCAUUUUACUUGGGUGCAAGGCUGUUCAUUGGUUCCAUUAAGCUCUAAUGACUUCACUUAAGCUCAAAGAAGGUAAAUUUUGGCUCAUUUGCUACAACCUACCCCCCUUAAAGGAAUCUCGCCCCGAGAUUCGAGUGAAAGAAAAAGAACUAGUGUGGCUUGGGUAUCGUACCUCCCUGAUCGAAAAGAAAUCCGCGGAAGUGGGUAUUAAGAUACUCCUCCGUUUCCCAUGUGGCUUCGGCUUCUGUGUGAUGACUCCACUGAACUUUGAACAUCCUCAUUAUUUUGUUCCGGGUCUUCCUUUCCUUGCGAUCAACAAUCUUGAUUGGGUACUCCACAUAGGAAAGAUCCGGGUCUAUCGAUACCUCUUCUUGCUCAAUAAUUGCCGUGGGAACUCGUACACACUUCUUGAGCUGCGAUACGUGGAAUAUGUCGUGUAUAGCUGAAAGUCUGUUAGGGAGUUUAACUCUAUAUGCGACUGGUCCGCAUAUUUCCACGAUCUCAUAGGGACCAAUGUAUCGGGGAGCCAAUUUUCCUUUGAUCCCAAACCGUUGUACACCCUUAGUCGGUGAGACUCGGAGGUAUACAUGAUCACCAAUGUCAAACUGUAAGGGCCUUCUCCUUUUGUCAAAAUAGCUUUUCUAUCGUGACUGGGCGGCUUUAAGAUUUGCUUGAAUUAUUUUAACUUGCUCUUCGGCUUCAACUACUAGAUCAGGCCCAUAGGUUUGUCUUUCUCCUGUUUGUGACCAAUUUAAAGGUGUUCGACACCUUCGACCAUAUAGGGCUUCAAAUGGUGCCAUUUUCAAGCUAGCCUGGUAGCUAUUGUUAUAGGAAAAUUCCGCUAAUGGCAAACAUUUAUCCCAAUUCUUGUCAUAAUGUAUGACGCAAGCACGUAGCAUGUCUUCUAGAAUUUGAUUCACCCUUUCUGUUUGGCCAUCAGUCUGAGGGUGAUAUGUUGAGCUACGGAUUAGCUUAGUGCCAAGUGCGGACUGUAGUUGUUCCCAAAAGCGUGCGAUGAAUUGAACUCCUUGAUCAGAGAUGAUUGUCUUCGGCACACCAUGUAGGGACACAAUACGGUCAAGAUACAAUUCUGCAUAUUUCCGAGCGGUGUAGGUAGUGUGAACAGGAAGGAAAUGUGCCGUCUUGGUAAGACGGUCCACUAUAACCCAGAUAGAAUCAUGGCGCUGAGAAGUAACAGGUAAUCCCACAAUGAAAUCCAUGCUGAUAUCUUCCCAUUUCCAAGAUGGAAUAGGUAGCGGUUGCAAGGUACCUGCUACCUUCAAGUGGCUUGCCUUGAUACGUUGACAUGUGUCGCAUUCCGAGACAUAGCGUGCAAUUUCCGGUUUCAUUCCACUCCACCAAAAUGUUUGACGGAGGUCAUGAUACAUCUUAUUGCUGCCAGGAUGAAUCGAGAACUUGGAGAGAUGUGCUUCAUCCAGGAUUUGCUUCCUAAGGUCGGGGUUAGAUGGGACAACAAGUCGGUUCUCAUAGUACACUAUUCCCUUCUCAUCUUGUCGGAAAUGUUUAUACCCCUCAUCUCUCUGUGCAACUUUCUCCUUAAUUAGCUUUAUUUCCUCAUCUUCUAAUUGUAUCAGCCCAAUUUUGUCCUCUAAGGUAGAUUCAAUGGAAACAUGACCUAAGGUGCCAUGGGAAAUAAUUUCCAAACUAAGUUUUCCCAUCUCAUGACAUAUGGUUUCUGCGAAGUUAGUUGCCGACAAACAAUUGCAAUGGGCCUUGCGACUGAGAGCAUCGGCAACUACAUUUGCUUUGCCGGGGUGAUAAUGCACUUCCAGAUCAUAAUCCUUAAUUAAUUCCAACCACCUUCUCUGACGCAUGUUAAGAUCCGCUUGAGUAAAGAUAUACUUGAGGCUCUUGUGAUCAGUGUAGACAUUGCAGUGAGUGCCCAUAAGAUAGUGUCUCCACAUCUUCAAGGCAUGAAUCACGGCUGCCAAUUCCAGAUCAUGUGUCGGGUAAUUCAGCUCAUGCGGCCGUAACGCUCGUGAGGCAUAGGCAAUGGCUCGGUUGUCUUGCAUGAGAACACACCCAAGUCCAGUGCCGGAGGCGUCACAAUACACGUCAAACGGCUUAGUAGUGUCAGGUUGAGCUAGGACUGGGGCAGAGGUUAAAAGUCUUCUCAAGGUGUGGAAAGCUUCUUCACAUUUGUCACUCCAUGUGAAUUUGACUCCUUUCUUCAAUAACUCAGUCAUAGGCUUAGCUAUUUUUGAGAAAUCCGGAAUGAAUCGCCGAUAGUAGCCUGCUAGACCAAGAAAGCUUCGGAUUUGAUGAACCGAAGUGGGUGGCUUCCAGUCCAUGACCUCUUGCACUUUGCUGGGGUCGACUGCAAUGCCAUCUCGAGAAAUAGUGUGUCUCAAGAAUUUAACAUUCUCCAACCAGAACUCACACUUGGAGAACUUCGCGUACAACUGAUGAUCUCUCAAGCGUUGAAGAACAAUGCGAAGAUGCUCGGCAUGUUCCUUCUCAUUCUUCGAGUACACUAGGAUGUCAUCAAUGAAUACCACGAUGAAUUUGUCCAGCUCGGGCAUAAACACCGAAUUCAUGAGAUACAUGAAAUAAGCAGGUGCAUUAGUAAGCCCAAACGACAUAACUAGAUACUCGUAGAGUCCAUACCGUGUGGAGAAAGCCGUUUUGGGAAUGUCACACGGUCGGAUCUUGAUCUGAUGAUAGCCUGAGCGAAGGUCUAUCUUGGAGAAUACUCUAGCUCCAGCUAACUGAUCAAAUAGGACAUCAAUGCGGGGCAAUGGAUAUUUAUUCUUAAUCGUCACCGCAUUGAGAGGGCGGUAGUCCACACACAUGCGUAGACUCUCGUCCUUCUUCUUCACAAACAGUGCUGGACAACCCCAAGGUGACGUACUUGGGCGAAUGAAACCCUUUUCCAACAGUUCAUGUAAUUGGGUUUUCAGUUCUGCUAGCUCUGCGGGUGGCAUUCGAUACGGCCUCUUGGAUAUUGGUGCCGUGCCUGGUUGCAACUCAAUAGCAAACUCGAUAUCCCUGUCAGGUGGCAUGCCUGGCAGGUCAUCCGGGAAUACAUCUGGAUACUCACAAACAAUGGGGAUAUCUUCCAGUUGGGCCUCAACCAUGGGAUAAGCACAGGAGUUUAUGCACUCUCGGUGGGGUAAGUGGAUAGUGGAGGUGCCAUACAGUGGUGAGUCUAGGUGGACAGCUCGGGCGGAGAUAUCUAGCAUUACUCGGUGUCGAGUCAUCCAAUCCAUACCCAAGAUAAUAUCUAUUCCCUCUAGACCGAGAAUAAUAAGAUUUUCCUUAAAGAGGGUUCUUCCUAACUUGAUAGGUACAUUGAGGUUCAUUUGAUCUGAGGCUAUUUUCCCACCUGGGGUAGAGAUCAUAUACGACCCUUUGGUGUGACAGAACCUUAACCCACAUCUAGCACCAGUUUUACUUCCGAUGAAACUAUGAGAUGCUCCGGAAUCAAAUAAAAUCAAAACUGGUUGAUUAUGAAUAAGGAAUGUACCCGUCAUCACCGGUGCGCCUUCUGGGAGUUCUGCCACAUUGGUGAAGUUUAGCCUGCCAUGACGAACUUGUACUUUGGGCUUCUUUCCCUUGUUCACCAUUGCAUUGCUCUGGCCGGGGCGUUGAUUCUUGUUUCUGGGGCAGUCCUUGGCAAAGUGUCCCACGUUGCCGCAGGUGAAGCAGCGGUUACCAUUUGCAGGGCGCGGCGGCGGUGGAAGGUUGCGCUGAGGCGCCUGCGGCUGGAAACCGGGGAAAUGAGGUGCUGCCGGUGGUGGAGGGCGAGCAACCCAUCUCCCAGGCUGCGCGGGCCUGUGAGGUGCUGAAGGGGGAACCAUCCUGAAUUUCCGAGCAGGCGGGCUAGGUGAUAUCAUGGGAGCUUUCCGCUUCAGGUGAGCCUUGAGGGCCUUCAUGCAGUCUUCCUGGGAAAUGGCCAGAUUCACCAGCUCGUUGUAGGUAUCCACUUUGAUGGGGUUCAGCCUUUCCUUGAGUUCGAGACUCAAGCCCCUGCGGAACCGAUCCCGCUUCUUCUCAUCCGUAUCCGCGUGAUAGCUGGCAUAGCGGCAGAGGUCGUUGAAGGCCUGUGCGUAAUGCAGGACAUCGCGACUUCCCUGGGUGAGAGCCAGGAACUCAUUGAGCUUGCGCUCCAUUAGGCCCUCAGGGAUAUGAUGGCCUCUGAAAGCGGUCUUGAACUCGUCCCAGCUGACGAUGUGGUCAGCCGGCAGCAUGGCGUGGUAGUGGUCCCACCAGAGGCGGGCAGAACCACGCAGCUGCUGGGCUGCGAACCGUGCCUUGUUGUCAUCGGUGCAAGGCGUAGUGAGAAGCUCGAACUUGGAUUCCAUAAUGUGAAUCCAUGCAUCAGCAUCGAGAGGAUCCUCAGUCUUGUGGAAGAGCGGGGGCUGGGUCCCUAAGAAAUCCUCAUAACGAGCAAUCUGGGGCUGCUGAUGACCCCUUCCUCCCUGAGGCUGGUGUUGCUGCCCUUGGACGAUGUGUCGCAAGAGCUCUGUCUGUGCAGCCAAGAUCGCCUCUAGCGAAGGCGGGGGAGGCGGUGGUGGCGGAGGUGCUCGAUUAUCCUCGCUACCACUUGGGAUCGAGCUUAAGCGCGCAGUGCGCACCAUCUGCAAGAGGGUAUCUUUCCAUUAGUCACAUAAUUCGAAAGCUUGCUUAAAAACAAGGAAAAAUUAUGUGCAGGAUCAUAAACAUAAAUCUUGCGGAUCCUGAGAAAAACAACAAUAAGAUCCUUUUGUUGAGUAGGUGCAUAUCUCUUCUUCUGUAUGCACAUUGUUUCUCAUCUUUGGUCAGUAGUUAGCACAUUUCAUAUGCCACAACUUUUGUAUUACGCUCGCUGACCAAAACAUAAGAUAAAGAGAUCGAAAAGUGAGCUGAGUGAGUCGUUGUCCGGCUGUUUUUCAGCAAUCUGAGCGGUGAAGUUUUGGCUUCUAACACGAGUUUAACAGAUCGAAAGGAGCUGAAAUUUUACGAGCGGUUAGAACACAAGUUUUUGCACAACUUUGGUAUUUAAAUAUCAGUUCAAAAGUGAGUGGAGAUAGGGUUAAAACUGAGACCAAACAGCAACUAUAUUUCUGCCAAGUUUUCGGUUACAUCGCCAGUCAUGACAAAAGCAUGUCCAUGCAUACAUAACAAGUCUAUGGCAGCAAGAGUACUCAACUCGAGGCUAACCUAUUACAUCGCCAUCCAAAAUAUAGGUUGCCGAGGAGUAACAACAGAAGACCAACUCGCUACAACAAAAACCUAGAAGUCAUCUAAGUUGCCCACGGAGGAAGCGCUGUGCACCGGAGAAGGGGCGUCACCAACUCGGGGCGGAGACUGUACGCCCUCGAAGUCCAUGCUCGAGACACCCUCGAUCUCCUCGGGGUCUUCCUCCUCCUCCUCCUCCUCCUCCAUCGGGUCAUUCUCCCCCUGCUGCUCCUGCGCAUGGAUGGCAUUGAGCUCGGCGUGGUGCUCAUCCAAGUGCGCAUUAGCAACAAGCUAGCUCCGUCUCAACCUCUAGCUUCUCCUCUGCAAGCAAUACCAUAUCGUGCUCCAUAUCUGUCACCUCCUCCUCUAGCUCGGUGAUCCGGGUCUCCAUGUCAGAGAUCCGUAUACCCCUCUGGAUGAGCUGGUACGACUGUUCCACCAAAUCUUUCUUGGUGGUAUUGAGAUGCUCCUGGGUGUCCACAGCUAUCCGAGCCAAGACAGCCAUAGCUCUCCCCUGGAGCUCGACCAGUCGGUACAACGCAUUCAUACAACGUGUUGCGGUGGAGAGGGUGACCUGCGGGUGUGAGGUGACCAACACCUCCAUGUUGUUCACCCUAUCAAGCCAGUCUGCGUCCAGCCUGUCCCUAGCGGGGAACAAGCCAAUCGGAUCCAAAAGGACCUCGAAAGGGUGUAGUCUGCAGAACUGAGUGAGGGCCUGCAGGGCAACGGACUCCCAAGUAUCCUCGAGGGUAUGACCAUAUGUCGAAACCUCAAGCUGGGGCCACUGUGGCUGCACUGGGGGUGGAGGUACGACCACAUGCACGCUGCACCUUUGCACCCCGUGCUCCAGGUACUCGCGUCCCGCGUAAAGAGGCGGCGACUGGUACCCAAACCACCUCAAGGUGUCCCACAAGAUAGCGGGAAAACCCUCGAAGUGUAGGCACGUGGAGUGGGAGGUGCCAUCCGUGCCACGUAUCACGUGCCCAGGAGCGGCCAUCUGGAACCAAGGAGUGAUAAAAGAAACGUGAGAUUAAAACUCAGGAUGAAAACAGAUUCUGGUAGGCUAGAGAAAAAGGUCAUAACUCAACAAGUACUCAUCCAAAAAUUCCCAAAUUUUACCAACAUUCCCUUCUGAUAAUUGGUAACAAGUUUGGUAUUCAUAAGUGGAGUGAAAACAGAUCCUAACAGGGUGAUAUACUCAGAUCUUUGGCAGGUGGCACAUGCUGGAAUUUUCAGGGACAGUGUGGCAAUAAACUGAGCAUAACUCCCAAACCAGAGAUAUAAAUAAGCUGAAUAUUUACCACAAGGUUCUUCAAACAGUUCUCUACAGCUUUUCUUAAGCAGUGCCUAGCAGAAAAUGUCCUUAAGGGAGUCGAAACAGGAAGACUAUAACAGGUGCACAAACUGUAUUUCCAGGAAAUAAGGAGUUACAAAUUUUUUUGUCAUUGCUCGCAAAUCCUUUGGGAGAAUUUACCAAAUUUUACCAGUGGCAUAAUAAAACAUUUUUACACACUUUUCUUAUAUAAAGUUUCUGUAGAUAACACAUGGAAAAAAAAACCCAAAAGAUUUUGAUAAGACACCAUGCUGAAAAGGGCAGCUAGAAAAUCCUUAACGUGGAAAAAAAAACUUAAAACACAUGAGCAAGGUCGAUUUAAUGGUUCGGUUUCACGGAUUUUAGUUCAUGAUGCAUGCACGACCUACAUCGUCCUCUCAACCAAAAUAAUUGCCAAAAAUUGGACUUACGUGAUUAGUGCCGGUGGCAAGGCAACAAUUACAUCGCUCCCUAUAGUAUCUAGUCGGGUUUCUAAUAUCGUUUUCCUACACGAACGUGGUUAGUGUACCUGCAGAAAAACACAAUACCACAUGAACCUUUCGUGCCAACACUCACGAAAGCAUCCCCAUUCAUUACCAUUCACUAUAGAAAUGGCACCCAUGCGUUUAACGCUGCAUGGACAGCGCAACAACCGUGGAAAUAGGCCCCUUUGAAUAGGACCAUAUAACCCUUCGCAUACUCGUGAUGCGGAAUCAUGCGCACGUAUCAUAAACAUGGGCGAACAACCGUGAUGAUAGGCUCGUUGGAAUCGAACCAUACCACCCUUCGCAUGAAUCAUCAUACGGAACCUUACGCACGUAUAAUAAACGUGGGUGAAAACAACCGCGAUGAUAGGUUCUUUGGAAUAGAACUUCCUAUCACCCCUCGCAUACUCACGAUGCGGAACUCUGCGCACGUAUAAUACACGUGGGCGAAAGUGCUGGAAGUUAGUAAAAUAACCAAUAGCUAAUAGCCACCUUAAAUAACCCAAAAAUUCCCCUAGGGCUUCUCGUACUAAGUUCAUCCUUAACGAUCGUACGAAAUUUUCAAACUAAUUUCUUGCAAGUUUUAUUUUAGAAAAGGUAUUUAAAGUCUGUUGUUUUCUCUGUCAUGCUUUCAAGCUCUGAUACCAGCUGUGGCGGAACCACCUAAAUUAACUUGGCUAAAGCACACUUAAGUCGCCUAAACGCGAUCAUGUACUUUAAACAAGUCAACUUGGUCAUCCGUCGGAUUUCCUCCGAUAAAACCACGUAACGCAGGAUCGAGAAGGCAAAACUCACACGAUGGUGAGUGGUUACAGAGAUUACAACAGUCCACCCAGAUUAAACAAAGUGCAUCGAUUUAUUACAACAUAAAGUUCAGAAAUUCAAACAUAGUUUGUAGAGUGUUCAAGCAGCGGAAAUAAAACGCACGGAAACUAAACGUCGAUGCACGAUAUCAUGAAGAAGCCGAUCAUGACAUCACUGACCCCUGUCCUCGCCGUCCGAGGAGGGAUCCCACUCGACCGUCCAACCCGGAGGGAGCUGGGUAGACCAAGCAGAACUAGCAGCGAACUCAGAAACAUCAUCCUCACCUGAAAAGAGGUGCCACAAACAAGGCUGAGCAACUAUGCUCAACAAGACUUAACCGACCUGUGGUACUAAUCCACUAACACCUAGACAUGUAAGCUUUUUGGCUCUGGGUUUUGUUUUGCCAAAAGCGACUAGUGUAGGUCCUUACUUUCAACAUUUUAGCCACCAGUUCUACUGUUGUUUAUCAUUCUAAGUUUAGCAACUAUACUAAAUAAGCAUAGUUUUCCAAGCAAUUAAUAACAAGUAACAAUAUUAUAUCAUCAUCAUCUUUCAUUCUUACUCAGUGUAGCAUAGCGAUCAAGUAGUCCCACACUGUGAGAGGCAGACGAAUCGAUUCGAAUUUAUUAACCAUGCAUGGCGAACCUAAUCCCACGACAUCCGCGCACCACGAAGGGUUGCUUCACUUGUCAGCCGUCCCCAUCGAUCCCUAGGUACGUGUCAGGUCCAAACUUCCUUUGGCAUGCAAUGCUCCACAGUCCCGGUCUCUACCGUACUAUGACCGCCAUUGCACCCACAUGAUGCACCAUGGGAACGACGUUCCAAGGACAGCAGGGGUAUAAGCCACGUCCCAGUUCAAUCAGGUACUAGGCUUCCCCAUCCCAUACUAGGUAUGAGAUUAGUACUUUCAAACACUUGAUCACGAACACCAUCACCUUUCGACCUUAGUCCAAUUUCAAGUAGACAGACGGGGCAAACCACCGAGUACCAACAUAAGCCCAGCCCCGUCCAUCAUCCUUAUAGUUGCAAUGAAAAGAAAAUCAUUCAACUCCUAUAACUCGCGAGUGACAGGAAAUCACUCGACUUUUACCGAGUCCUAUUUAGCAUUGCAACUACUCGACUUCUUAUACUAGUGUUCAGAUCAAGGGGCACUAUAUUCAUGCAUCUAUGGUUUCAAUCAAUUCCUAUAAACGUAAAUGCAUAAUCAAAACAACCAAUAUAUUGCAAGUAUUUAAACAUAGGAAUUUAUGAUCCGGGGCUUGCCUUCACACUCGGAGUUAGCGAACUGGUCCUCGGCUUGCUCUAGCACGGGCUCGACUUCGGCGUGGUGUAGAUCCGCUACAGCUUCCUCUUCGGGCGUCGGGUGCAGCUCGUAUGUACCGUCGGCGAUGUUAACUUCUACAUGAAAUGCAGGUGCAAAUGAUUCAACAUGCAAAACCAAGAGUCUGAAAGGCAUUUCAUAUAUUAUUCCUUUUUAUCUUUCUCUAAAAAGGAAAGAGGUUUUCAUUAACUUUCAAACCAAGUCUCAUAAUUUUCCUGUGAACUACACCUCAUUCCUGAAUUAUUCCAAGUGGUUUCAUAUUUUUAUCAUCUCUGGAUUUAUCAUUAUGCAAAAAGAAAAAUCUACCCGUAGAUUUCAAUUAAUAAACUAAAACAGUAACUUAAAUGUCUAAGCUAGGCUCUAAACCAUUUUCUAAGCUUUUAUUCUCUGAAACAAACACUUGAGAGUUGGAUUUACCUUUUUAGCAUUUUUCUGUGAUUUGCUAUGAUUUAAACUAGCUUAAAGAAGGAUUAAAUCAUAUAACAUUAAUUAUAACAGAGACAUGUGUAAACUUAUUUUUAUACGAAACUAAACAGAAUAUUGAGUCUAACAAAAUUUAUCUUGCAUUUUUAGCAUUUUUCUACACUUUUCUAUGCCUUUUUAAACUUUCAGCCUUUUUAGAUCUAGAAAAAAAAAGAAAACCGAGGCAAUCUUCAAAUCUAGCCCUCCAGUCUAUGGGUUAAAUGCGUAGGGGCCCCUGGAUCUUGCGCCUACACCCCUGGACAAAAACCCACCUCAAACAUAAAUCCCACGAUUUUCCCCAUAACCCCCUGACUUUCUUUCUUCUUCCCCACAUAGAUCCCUCACGUACAAAAGCACAGCAACAUUCAGGCACGGCACAAAACAUGGCGCUGGAACUUGGGGGCCGGCCGCGACAGAGGGAAAGGAAGAGCACACGGCAGGGGGAAGAGGAGAGGGGCGGCGCCUUGGGCCAGGAGUGCUCACCAGCGACGCUGCGAUGAGGAGGGACGGCGUGCAGCAGUUCUCACGGCACAGGAAGGGGGCGGAUGGGGGCUCGUGUGGAGGGGGCUGCUCGGCAAGGGAGGGAGCCUGGGAAGGGGCAAAAUGGAAGCGGGACGACGAGGAGGCGCCGUGGCUGCAAGGAAUCGACCGGAGACUCGCUCACGGUGGUGGAUUUCGCCGGCAAAGUUUGAGCGUGGCGAGGUGCUGCGAGAGUGGGGAGGGGAGUACGGUGGGGCGGGCGAGCUAUUUAUAGCCGCGACGAGCUCGUGGGGCUGGCCGGUGGGUCGGAGGGGCGCUGGUACGCUGCUGCGGGGUGGACCGGCCACGGCGGGCACCAUUGGCGGAUAGGGGAGGCGACUUGGCGGGCGUGCUUGCAGGCGGGCGCCGCAGGCGAAGCAGGCGUGCACGGGUGAACGGCUCCAUCAGGGCGCUGCAGGCGAGGCCGAGGAGCUGUGGCGUCUUGUCUCGGGCGUGCGUUGGCGGGCACGGCGGCGGUGGCGUGCCAGAGCGUCGCAGGGCGCGUGCGGAUAGAGCAGCGGCAGGGGGCAACUCGACGGGGCAGCGACGAGGAGCACGUGCCACGGGGCAGCCGGUGAGGGGAGCGCGGCGCACGCGUGCUCGGCGUGAGCUCUGGUGCGGGAUUUGCGGGAUCGGACGAUAGGGCAAUCUUCGAGCGCGAUCUUCUCCAGAUUUUUGAACUGCACAACCCCUACUCCCUUUACAAAAGUUGUAGGCCUAGGAUCUAAGUUCAAUUCUUGUAAUUGUCUUGAUUUCAAAUUCGAAGCUGAAUUGAAGAUAAAACGCUUCAAAGUUUGGCAAAAUCCGAAACUUUCAGACUUGAACACUUCAGCCAUUUUUGACAGUGUUGACCAUUUUAGCUGCGUUUGACCUCGUUUUUGAAAACCUUCUGUGCAGAUUUUGGCCUAUGCUCAAAAAUCAAAGUUGUUAACGACUCGUAGCACUAAAACUUUCAUAAAAGGUUUGUCAUGAGCAUACAUUCAAAAAUGUGAGAAAAAGGGCUCCAAAGUUCUGACUUUAUUUGAUCUGCACCUUUCGGCCCAGAUUUGUAAUUCGAUAUUUUGACCCUUUUCCGAUCAGUUUCAAGCAAAACGCUAAUUACAAAAGUUGUUAGAAUUUGUGAGUUAUACAACUCUUAGUUAGGCAUAUUUUUAAGUUCUUAAGACAAAAAUUGAGUUAUGGCUUAAACACAUGUUUAGCUCGUGAGGGGCAAAAGGGGUCAUUUUACUUGGGUGCAAGGCUGUUCAUUGGUUCCAUUAAGCUCUAAUGACUUCACUUAAGCUCAAAGAAGGUAAAUUUUGGCUCAUUUGCUACAGUGUCCUCCCGCAAAUUGUUGAGAAAGUCAGGGCUGCUCGGUGGUGAUGUGAUCUUAGAGAGCAGCCUUGGGUGUUUGCUUAUCUCUGCACAGUUCUCUUGGUCCUGUGUGAGCCCCUCGAGAAUCAGCAGGCCUUGAGAAACCAGUUCUUUGGGUCCUCUAAAGUUAUAAGUAAAUCUCGACUCCUUUAUAAAGAGGAUGGUAGUAUUCUCUUUAUUAAAAAGUGAAGAUGGUAGUAUUCUCUUGAGUAACUUGGCAGGUGAUGGACAAAAGACUUGUUCUUUUUCAUGGUCAGUUUGGUCUUGGAUCGGCACUGCCAUAGCAUCUUGACGCUAGGAUGUUUCCAAUGACCUACUCUGUUCAUCAGGAUUUUUCUCCGGCGACGGACAGGCCUCACAGAAUUGGUUACAGCUUUCAAGUAGGGAACAAAUGCAUUGUAGUGUACCUGGGAAGUGUGCUACGUCGAGAUCACUGGCAAGAUGUGCUAGAAUCCUUGCGGCGCGCUCUCUGUUCUCGAUGUUACCAGCUGUGCUGCUCCGACCAAUCAUGCCGAUCAAAUUCUGAAUAGAGCUCCUGGAAGAUAGUAUCUCCUGUCUUACAGAUAUAAUAUCCUUGGUAUCAAAGAGCUUGUCUAGAAGCCUUGCCCCCCAUAGGUGGUCAUCAUCCCUUGAUGCAGACUGGAGCAACCCAACACCGUAGGUGAUCAAGUUCCAAUUGUCCGGCAGCUCCCCGUCCUUCUUAAACUUCCUUGUUGUUUCUGAACGGUACAUCGCAACUAGUGGGCUCCAACUCCGAUCCUCAUCCCCGCAUUGUUGUUUCAUCACUCGUUCCACGAGCAAAACUGACGAAUCUAACAAUGCUUCAACAGUAGCAAAGUGUAUGAAUCCUAAGGUCUGGAACAGAACUAGAGCAUAGAAGAUGUCCAGUGCGGCGGCCAGUUUUGCUCUGUUGGCAGCAUCUCCGCCCGCAUCGCCAUAAUCUCGUUGUACAAGACGCCAAACGCAGACCCCCAGGCUCACAUGUGGCGAAAAACCUACGGCCAAUGCUGAAAGGCACAGCAGAAUAGACUUGGGCAAGAGCACUGCACCCAGCAUUUUUGUAUGAAACGAGGCGUCGAUCGGGUUGGAGCGGAACCAUCCCAGACGCGCGAUUAAACGAAUGAUUUUGACCUCUUCCAUAUAGAUCCCACUUUGAAACUCCUGAUAAUUGUCCACCACCCUGUGUAAUAUGUUGGGUCAGCUAGUGGAUAAGAUUGGAUGCCGACGGUAGGCCCGUGGCCGAAGCUGGUCUGCGGGCUGGCCACGGUCAGCGUUACGACCAAGGUGGGUCAAAGCAGUGCGCCCGGGGCGGGAAGGGAUAUCGGAAGGGUGGUGAUGCGGUGUGCGUGUUCUAGGCGGAGGGCGCUCGUUAUCGUCGUACUAUUUAAGUGGUGUUUCUAAACUAAAUCUUAUACUAAUCUGCCAUUUGGAAUCUGAAAUAACCCCAUAUUCGCAUAUGUGUUGUGUUUUCGAUCAUAUUGCAAAAUCACAAGAAAUACGACAUAAAUGAAGGGUUUUUGUAUAAGAUUAGAUUUGGAUCUGAACUUUGAAUAUUGAAAGACAAAAUCGGGAAUAUUGGACUGUAGGCCUGGAGGAGGAGCUGAAUUUGCACGUGUCAUAUCUUCCUCGUCCGAAUACCGAUUGGGACGAAUUUACAGAGAAAAUUGCAUGCCUCGAAAAGAUCUACAACUUUCUUAUGAAGCGCUCAGGCAUUCGAGGCCUACAGAGAGCAGGUCGAUCGGCCCCGAUCGACGUGCCCUUCUUCCCACAGCACCUCUGGACUAUAAAUAUCCCAAUUCUCCGUCGGAACGCGCAUCCAUCCACCAGAACUUGACGAAACAUACGGCAUUCACCAGAAGGAGCUGAAGGCCACCGCAAGCCUUCGGAGUUGUCUAGGAGAUGGCUUAGACCAAACCCUAGCCGCCAUGGCCUUCCUGCGCGGUUGUGCCAUGGUGGAGUUCAGGAGUAGUAGUAGAUCAUAGAUAGUAUGUACUUGGAGGUGAUGAUCUAAAUACAUCUAUUAUGUGAGUAAUGUUCUUCAUGUCAUCUGACUCUUUUAAUGCUUUCUAUCUGUCAUGGAUAUGCUUGUUCCUAGUCUAGUUCCGAAUUAGACUAUCUAGCAUGCUUUGUAUAAUUAUGGUGAUUAGAUCUAGUAUGUUGACCCUUAAUGAUAGUUAGACAUGUUCAUCUGUGUUCGUACCCUUAAACUGCCUGCACCGUUAAGGGGUAUCAUGAUGGGGUCUGCUUCCUUGUAGGGUGGGGGAUUUUCGGGAGGUUGACCAGAGCUAGUAGUCUAAAGAUUGCUUUGGACGAGAUGCAUGAUGUGCUUGCCAGUUGGCUAGAACUACAACUAUAAGAUGAUAGGUUGUUACUAUCCUAGGUGGUGGCAUAUCAUAUAUGAGGACCCAUGGUGGUCACUCUUGGAUGAUGAGUGAUUGACAACGUUGUGUUGGUUUGAUGUUGCUCUUGGCUUGUGAUGUGCAGGUGUAGGAUGCAACGUGGCGGUCGACGGCGUGCGGUGAAGGUCAAGCGAAAGGUUCAUGCCGAUGGACCGAGGGCGGUGAAGGAUGAACGCGAGUAGGCUUGGACCGAUGGACCUGAGGAGUCCGGGCGAAGUCAUGUGCGGUCCACAUGGUGCACGGAAUGGCGAGAGGACAUGACGGGGUGGAGACGGCGUCGAUCGAGUCGAGCGGGAGGCUUGGCGGAGGCCGGACACGCGUCGACAUCGAGAAGGUUGCGUAGCGGCCAAGCGAAGAUGGACGGUUUGGGUGGUUUGGGCCUCAAAAUCACCGCGCAGGCAGGUUUCCUGGUUUAGGCCUCAAAACCGGGGGUGAGCCGGGUGCGGCCGGAGCUUUGAGAAGAAGGGCACGUGGCAUCAUCGCGAAGCUUGCGUCGAGGUGAAGCAAAGUUGUGAAGGCGGCGUGUCUGUCCGAUGCGCGGAUAAAAACUUGGACCAAAGUACCCCUGCGUGGGUAGUUAUCCUAGUUGUAGCUGUAGGGGUAGUAUUGUCUUUCGUCCUAGACUAUAAAUAGGGAUGCGGGGCUGGUUAUUUCAGCACCUCUUUGCUUAGCAACUCAUUAUCUUUUGGCUUAGAGGCUAGUCAUGUGCUUAAAGUGAGAGGAGAGAGGGAGAUUAGAGAGUGAUUACUCUUUUCUCUUGAUUUCUUCAUCUUUAGUGGAUGGAUGAAGGGAGGAGGCUAGUCCUCAUCUUGUAUAGAAGAUAUUCUUGUGAUUUAGCUUUGUUUGUUGUCUCCAAUCGUGCUAAAUCUUUGAUUCCCGAACGUUUUUCUUUAUCCCUAUUUUCGGAGCUAUUUUUGGGGAUUUUUCGUUUAUCAUGUUUGAGCCCGAAUCUCGUGGUUUUGGUUGAAGAGAAAUGUUGCUACGACCUUAGGGAGCAUCUUUGAUAUGAUCCCCCUUCAAAUCCCACAUGGAUUCAGCCGGAUUUUGAAUUUCUCCCAAAUCGUGUUCUUCGCGUAGGGUUUCGGUUUUUCUCCAAAUUCACAAUAUAUUUGAGCGUUUUGAGAUCUUUCUCAUGGAUCUAUUAGCCCUUGGGGUUGCGCAUAUGUGGCUCAAGUUUCGUCUCGAUUUAUGGAGUAUUGAGGGCAGAUUUUUGAAUUAAAGUUCGAGCCAAGUUCUCGGUGCCUUCUGUUUUCUUUCUGUUCUUCAGUUUGAGCAGCAGGCGAGAGGCUCGUGGCGGCGCACGUCUGCACCAGAGCAGCAGGCCAGCGAGUUGCGCAGCAGGCCGGGCAGGCCGCGCCACAGGCCAGCUCGUUACAUGGGCCGGAACAGCUCUGGUGGCCCAAGCUGCAGCAGCAGGUGCUCGCGGGUCAGGCUUUCAGCAGUUCCAGGCAAGCACGCGCAGUCCAUCAGGCCGGCCUACACGUGAGGUAAGCUGCAGGGCAAGCUAGCUGGUCCAGCACGUGUACUAGGAAAUGAGCAGGUUGUGAUAGAACAGUGAGCUUGUCUUCGGUCCUUUGUUAAUUCCUUGCAUUUUCUAGUUAUUCUCUGUUAAGUCGAUCUCUGUUAAGUUGAUUAGUCUUUUAAUUAGUAUUGUCUCCUGUGCUAAUCAUGCUUAGUUUAUUUAGUCAAUUGCUAAUCCUUCCAUGCCUACUUAAGUAAGUGGUUAGUAGUAUUCUUGUUUUGUCUCAUCUGUGCAAACUUGAUAGAAUCGAUUCAUGCUAUAUUUCCGCUGUGAUUUGUGCGUCUCUUAUCGUUCCUAGGGUGAGCUAGUCACGAGUUGACUUGCGUCAUCUUGACGAUUGAACGCAUGGUGUACUUUGGGGUUGCGUUUGGGACAUAGGCUUUGUUUUCGUUAAGAAUUUUUAUAGGCUCCCAUUCACCCCCCCUCUGGUCGCCCUUUCGGUCCUUCAAUAUAUAUCUGUGGAUGUGAUCUACCCUUAUUCAAACCAUUAAUCUUAUAUCUAGUUUGCCAUUAUAUGCAAUAAGUGCUUCAUGUUAGGAUCGCUCCGUUAGAUUAGAUGAAAAAUUCUAGUAAGUUCGCUGCUGAUCCACGGAUUGAUAAACCUUGGACGAAUACUCUAAGGAAAAAACUAAGAUGAUCUGUGCGCUUGUGGUUCACAAACUAGCACGUUAACUGCCGCCAAUAGAGAGGCGGCACAGAUCUGGUGGUUAGGAACAAUCGCGAGUUGGAGAUCGGGUGGCUUGAGGGAAAGAGGAAGAAUGGAAGAGGAAAGGGGAGAGGAGGUUUUCCCCUUUCUAAAGGGGAGUGAGAAAGAAGAAAGGGAAAGGGGCUGAGAGUCGGAAGGGAGUCUGUUAGAGCACGUUUUCCCCUCUCAAUCCUCUUUGUGGCUGAAAAGUGGAAUGGGAAUAUGUUGGAGUUGCUCUUAACCCCUCCUGUUUGGAUCAUUAGGGCUAAUUUUAGCUAAUAAAAUUUAGCCUCCGAUACAAACAGGACCUAAGUGUAUUGCAUAUGAUGGUGGUGCAGGACUCCAUGUGGUGCGUUUUCAAAGCACGUGCUUGCUUGCGAAAAAGGGUACAACACAAAAUAUUAGUGUAUUUGUUACGUGCACCACAUGGUUUCAACCAAAUUUGUUGAACUAUAUGGUUCACUUGUCUUAGUAGAAAAUAAUAUCAAGUGGGAUGGUUUCAUCCUGAAUGAGUUGGUACAGUUAAACCAACCAAAUAACACAUGCAACCAAACACACCCUGUACCAACCAUCGAAGCUUGAGAAUAUAGAGAGAUUGAGGGAGUUGAUAGUAUUAGCAGUUUAGCUCAAAGAUAAGUUUGGGAUUAUAUAAGGCUCGGCCCUCUUCAGUUUUCAUAACAAACUGCGUGAUAAAAGAAAAAAUAUAGAAAUAUUGGAUGAAAAGAGAGGGUAUGUAAAGGAAAUUAGAUAACGUACGCACGUGUUCCGAAUUAAGAAGAGAAAUCAAGUUAUACCUGCAUGCCAUCAGGAAGCUCAGUCCUGUGAGAACCCAGAACUCCUUUAGCCGCAGGAUGCUGACGAAGCCGCCGAGGAGCACGACGGUGGACCACAACAAGGCCAGGGUCCCUAGACCGCGUGUGAUGUUCGCUGUGGCCGCCAGAAGCCUCACGUAGCGAUUGAUCAUCUCUUCUGGCCGUCCUGGCUCUCUCAUGGUUUACCCUGCAGUUUCCCUCAACUCUGAAAUUAAGCUUGCAAUGGAGGAGGCCGAUGGAUGGCUGUGGCUGGUUUAUGUCGCUGGCCGUCCUGGAUCAUUUGUAGGUUCGAUGCCGCCUCUGCCAGCAUGCAAAGAAGCAUUCGUACGUGGAGGACGCCAAGAGCAUUCGCGGAAGACACUUGUCCGGACGACAGAGACACCAAAAGAGAACCUACCGAGCAGGCCCGGGCACCGUCACGCGGUACCUUCACGCGCCGCCCCGGCUGCCACACGGCGACACUGCGCUGGUAUCCACACGCUAUCGACACUGCGCUGGUAUCCACACGCUAUCGAGAGAAAGGUCCACUGUGCUUUCAAAUUUUUCUCUCAAGCCUUAACUUCUGAAAACGAUCUCGACGAUGACACGGCCGACCCAGAGCAGCUGCCGUCAUUACCUUCGCCGGCGCUCCCUCCGUCUGAAAACGAUCCUUUGGCUCUCGAGGAAGCCGUCGUGUUAUCGAGGAAGCUGCUAGCUCCUGCCAGUGUUCGGAUAGAUGAGAAAUUGGAGGCAAUGGCUUGGGAAUCUCAGUUACCUAUCCAUUACCAUAUCAGUGUAGCUACUUGUUUUGAUGUCGGAAACAAUGUCAGAUGCUCUUUUAAGUUACUUAUGAUUCAUAACACAGAGACAAGAAAAGUUAGUAAAGCUAGUAAUAAUAUUAUCAGAGUGAAGAGCAUAUGCGAAUUGAGAAAGUAGAAAAAAUAAAAUGAUUGGUACUGGUAGUAUUUAUUAAGAAAUAACAUUGGUUGAAACAGGCCCAAAGGUCAGGAACAUAUGCAGGGGCUAUGAAAAUUGUCUAUUUCACUGGACUGACCUUUUGCAUGACUUAAAUGAGACUCUUUUUUGAAAUGGUAAAAAAUGCGUGACACAUUUUAUUUUGAAAGAGUUGUUGAUAUGUCAUUGAAUCCUUGGCUGAGGCACUUCACUCCUUUCUGCAGAUCAUAUGGAUCAAGCCGUCACAGUUGGCUGGCAGCUCUGCAAGAACUGGCAGCUCAUUCCAUACCUCUUGGCUCUAAUUGGCCUUUGCAUCCACGAUCGUCGAGAAGGUAGGGGUUGCCCUCGUAGCCCUGGGAACAGGUGCACCGGUACCCGACGCCGUUGGUGGAGUUGACACAGUCGCUGUUGGCGCUCCGGCACAUGUAGCCCGUCUUGUUGCGCUUGGCGGCGUCGCAGUUGGCGACGUUCCGGAUGGCCCAGUCGAGCACGACGGGCACGGCGAAGUGGUCCGUCCGGUUGAACUCCGGGCGGCCACGGUAUGUGUUCUCGACCCACCCGUCCUCCGCCACGAACGCGUACCGGCAAGCCGUCGUGUUUUCGAAGGUUAAUUAGGCUUAAUAGGUUAGUCAAAUCAUGGACUAAUUAGGUUUAAUAGAUUCGUCUCGCAAAUUAGACUCCAUCUAUAUAAUUAGUUUUGUAAUUAGUCUAUGUUUAAUACUCCUAAUUAGUAUCCAAACAUUCGAUGCGACAGGUGCUAAACUUUAGCACGGGUAUCAAACACCCCCCUAAAGUCACGCACUGCACGCUUGUCACCUCGGGUUGCAACCAUCAUGGGUCCCUGCACUGCACUCUUUUACAUUUUUUUUUGUUUUUCCUGCAGCACAGGACACAUUCAAUUAAUUCCUGCCUGGUGGUGAGGAUAGGAUUGGGAGGGACAUGGCGUAUCAGCUGUCAACCUUGAUCUGGACACAACAACCCUCGAUCCACCUCCGUUCAUGUACCAUGGAGCGAGCCAUGGUGAGCUCCGGCGACGUCCUCACAAAGCUGGCCGAGCUGCUCCAUGAGAAGUACAAGCUUGCCAAGGGGGUUCGCAAGGAUAUCGAGUUCCUCAGGUCAGAGCUCGGCGUCAUGAAUGACCUGCUUUAUGUGAUGGCAGACAUCGAGGAGCUCGACGCCCUCCUCAACAAGGGGUGACGCCCUCAACAUGUAGAUCCAGCUGAUGGUUUCCAUAUAUCUAGUUAGAAUUCGCUCUUUCAAAAUGGACUGCAGUAUACUAAAACAUGGCAUAUUGAUUCAGUAAUUUUCAUACAUCUUGAACUUAUAAUUACAGUUUAUGGACCUGAAGGAUAUAACUAUAUAUAUUCCCCUUUGUUUCUUAACUUUCCCUUUUUCAUGUCUAGGUUUUAAGCCGCAGCUCCUGUUGCUGCUAAUGUUCCCGGAGGGGCCUCUGCUUUGGCCUUGCCGUCUUUAGCGAGUUGAGUCCUUUGGUCCUCUUUUCUUCAUUUGUCUUCCAUCUCUGUCAGGUUAGAUGUUGCGCCAUUAUAUAUUGAGAUGAGUCCCACGUAUUGCUAGCAUUGAUGUUGUCCCUGCCUCCCUAUUGUAAGAUUUUAUUUUCUGAUUUCACCCAUCUGUCUUUGAAUACAUAUUGGUUUCCUCUGACAUUUUAUUUGCCCUUUUUGUCAGUUUUUUUUUCAGUUGUUGCCUUGCUAGUAUAGUUAGUUUAUUUCCCCUUGAACUUCUGACAACACAUGCAUGCAUUAUAAUUCGCCAGUGUUUGGAAACAUGUGGUCAUAUUUCCGGUGCUUCUCGGAUGCAUCACAGAUCGGACUUCUUCUAUGCUUUCCCAACUAAAUAAAAUAAGUUCAUUCCAACUUUAAAGUUGGCUCGGGAAAAAGGUUCACCAAGCAGGACUAAAGUUCGGUCACUGGUGGGGGGCUUAUCAACCGGGACCUUUUAUCCCGUUGCAAAGGCUAGUGGAAAAAAAGUCCUGAGAGGCCUUUUAUCCCAGUUUGAAACACCAACCGGAAUAAAAAACUUCCCCAUUUUAUCCCGGUUGGUGUUACCAACCGGGAUAAAAGGAUCGUUUGUAAUACCAAUCAUGAUAAAAUGGGAUCUUUUAUCCCAGUUGGUGUUUCAAACCGAGAUAAAAGGGUCCCCACGGGAUGGCUGAAAGAGGACUAAAUCCCUCGAACCCUUUUAUCCCGGUUUGUAAUACCAACCGGGAUAAAAGGGGGUCUUUUAUUCCGGUUUCUGCUUGGUGUUUCCAACCGGGAUAAAAGGGUCCCUCACGAGUUAAUACAAAAGGAUUGCAUCCCUUAUAUAGUCAGAUGUGCUGUGUAGGUGGGAUGGCAAGGAAGCUACGCGCGAGGCUGAAGGUCGUGGGUUCAAAUCUCACACACCGCGCACGCACGAAGAUUUGCUCCCUACUAAUCGGGACUAAAGACGACUUUUCUACUGUAGUGUAGUUUGUUGGAAAGCUGUUGCAGCAAUAUGGUUAUCUCAAGAGAUACUGAUCGAGAAAAAGUAAUUCUAAAUUGAACAAAUCCUAUGGCACGGCAAUCAACAGCCAAUAAAAUAUGUUAUUUAGUUGGCCAUAGGUCAUCAAUGGAACCAUCUUAAUUAGUGUCCACAGCUCCCAUGCAUGUGCGAUCAACGGCUCCAUAUUUUGCACCCAAUCCAAUGCUCCAAACUUUUUAUUAUCUCUUACAUCCCAUAUCUUCAAAGCUGAGCAGCAGCUUAAUCAACUUACUUAUUUCCAACAUGCAGAUAUAUAGUAUGUAACAAUUAUUUUCCAAGGAAGCCCCUACUGUAGUUAGUUAGUAAAUAAAUAAAUAUGAAAAGAAAAGAGCUAAACAAAGUCUGAGAGAGCCAAGGUCUCUCCAGAAGAAAAGCUGUAGGUAGGCUUCCUUGGAAAAAUCUAUUAUCCAAUUUUGGAAUAACUCACAUAGAACAAUGUAGUUUCAUUAGGAGAUACGUAAACAUGCAUCUACGAAAGGUAAUCUUUGAAGCAAGUACCAGUAUUAAACCAGCAGCACCUAAAAUGUGGCUACUAAAAAAACAGCCAUGUUGUGCCAAAACAAAAAUGGAACGGCGAUGUGCUUUUGGUCACUUAUUUAUUAGAAUAUUUAGGUUUUAGACAAAUAAACAUUUAAUUAAGUUAAUAACCGCAUCCAAACUAAGGUUCACAUUGGUCAAAGCUAAAACCUUCACACUGCACACCACCGUCGUCAGGGUAACAAUGCUUGAUCCCUGAGUUAAGCACAGAAUUAACAUCAUGAUCACGCAAAGGGACUUUGGAUUGCUCAUGAAGGUGGAAGUUAGAAUGAUGCUGGUACCUGAAAAGUUGUGGUGCCAAACUGGAGCCUGGAGGAUAUGCUAGAAAGCUUCCCCAAAAUUUUCAAUUUCGGCGCAGAUAUUACCGAGAUGUCCAUCUCCCUGCCUUUGAAAAUUAGUAAUCUUUCUAGAGAUGGGGCAUCCUCGAUGAUGAGCUACCUCAACCUGUCGUCUCCCCAAAGAGAACACACACCGAUGCUUCUGAGGCUGUGGACAUGAUCUGGACUCGAGGGAAGCCAUUGGUGUCUUUUAGCAGCAAGCUCUCAAGGACAGAGCAGCCCGCGAGCAAGGCAUGAAGAGAGGUCUCUGAGAUUCUGACACUCACAAGGCUCAGCUGGUUGAGAAGCUGGUUGAGCUCUCUGCUAGCAAUAUUGCUGUUUCCACAAUCCGGGAAGACGCAUCCUUCGAAGCUGGCGACGGCGAGGGUGGAGGAGAAGCGGAGCACCGAUGGCGGCAGUGGCAGCGGCUGAGUCCCCCCGUGCAAUAGGUUACUGUCGAAGAGGAUCUCCAGCUUCCGGAGGCCGUCGAUGGUGGGGGACCGGAGCCAGCCGUCGAGGGUCGCAGCGGCGCCGGGCCCGUGGCUGCAGUUACGGAGGAUGAUGUGCAAGCGGCGGCCGGGGCCCGGGUGCGCGGAGAGGGCACUGGAGAUGGCGCUGGCGGUGUUGCGCCGCAAUGGCUCGGGGAGGUCGAGGUUGAGGGGAGCGGAGCGCCAUAUGUGCCGCCACCGGGAGGAGAGGACCUGCGUGCGGGCGCCGUCCCUGGUGGGGAGGAGCGUGACAAUGUCGCCGAGGACGCCGUCCGGGAGGCGGCUGAUGCGGUCGACGAGCUCUUGUUCUUCCUCCGGCCUCCUCUUCUUGGCUCUCGUGAUCACCCCCAUGGCGAUGGCGGCGCGACGCGGCAGGUGGGGAGAAGUGGAGAUCGGGAAGAAAGACGCGGGCCCUCCCGCGAAGUACAUUGAAGUAGUUGGGCUUCUGCGCAUGUUUUUUUUUAACCAACCGCAGCUCUAAUUUCUGGCCCAAUCACAGCCGCGUCAAUGUGUUGCCAGACGAUGACCAAAACCCAUACGAGAGGUGUCAAAUUUAGUUGCCAAUAUAUGCACUCUAUUCCUGAAGAUGGUGAUAAAUAAGGUGCUCUUUGGCACGGCUUAUUUCGACUUUGGCUUCAUCUAUUUCACGUAAAUCGAGACACUGUAGCGUGAAGCUGUUUUGUAAGUCGGGACUAAAAUGAACUAGAAGCCGGGUGAAGCCAGUUUUUUUUAGCUUCACCGGCUUUGGCUUCACCGGUGAAGCCGUUUUGGGAUGAACCGUGCCAAAGGGGGCCUAAAUAUCAGCCAUGUACAGUCUAUGUCUAGUCAUACUUUUCUAAAUGUAUAGAGAUAAUGUAUAAGUUUGAAAUGAUGGAUGCUUUUAAUAUUUCAAAUAAACUGUUAUAAGUAAACUGGAGAAACUAUGGUAAUCCACGGUUUGUUACAAUUCAUAGAUAGCUGAAUAAUACAAAAUACUCCCUCCAAUUCAUAUAAUUAAUUCGACGUUGCUUAGUUUAUUUUUGAACUAGCCAACGUCAAAUAAAUCGAUACGGAGGUAGUAAAUCUUAACACCUCGCUCUAAUAUCAUAUGGUCGUCGCAAUCAUCCCAGUGACAACCAGGUGGAAAAGAAGAAUGGGCAUCUCAAGAGCUCUUUUCCGUUAAAACCGAAACAUAUUGCAACCAAAUCGGAUGACAAAUUACAAUAUUCCAUGAAAAGAGAUAACAAAUGUCAAGCAUUGGAAACCAAAUAUCUUUCGUUGGUGUUACCAGACCUACUGACGAACCCUUGAAAGGGGUCGAGUAUUGACAACUCAUGAACUUGCAUGGCACGAGGAAGACUAAAUGAUUCACUACGAGAUACAAAAUCAAAUCGUGCACCCCUCGAAGCCCUCUUUUCGACCUGGAGCAGCCUACGUUGUCUUCUAAUCCACCUGUCACUUCCAAGAAACUCAAGCGUCAUUGACUCCAGCACGCUUGCACUACCGGAAAGCUAAAACUUGCCGAGUGUUUUUUCUUUGCUGAGUGUUUUUUUUCGAACACUCGGCAAACAAGCUCUUCGCCGAGUGCCAAGCUAAAAACACUCGGCAAAGAAAAAACACUCGGCAAAUCGAAUCUUUGCCGAGUGUCACGAAAAAAACACUCGGCAAACCCAUCUCUUUGCCGAGUGUUUCCGAGUGUAAAAAAAACACUCGGCAAAGAGGGGGCUUUGCCGAGUGUCAAAAAAGACACUCGGCAAAGAGGGGGGUUUGCCGAGUGUUUUUUUUGACACUCGGCAAACAAAUAAUUUUUUCCCUCUUUUCACCUUGAAAUUUUUUCUACUCCCCACAUACAACAUGUGGUACUUCAUAUAUAAUUUGGUAUAUUUUUGGAUUUGUUUGCUAUAUUUAAUUAAUUAAUUGCAUUUUAAGGGAAUUUUUGGUAUAAGUCAAAUUUGAACUGCAAGGGAUUCAAAUUAUAGAAUAAAAUGCGUAGAAAAAUGAUAUUUAUGUUAUUUAGCCCAGUUUGAGUCUUUACCCAUGAAAUGAAAAGAAAUUUCAAACAUCUUGUUCAGGAAACAUAACCGCAGACAUGUGAUCGAAUGAUUUUUAAAUUCUAAAAAAGGCAAACGAAGUCGGAAAAUCAUGAGAUUUGUCAUGGUGUGGUGAUAUCAUACGUGGAGGUUGUGGUAAAAAAUUGAGAAGGUUUUGCACAUUUUGUCACGUGCGAUGUUUACAAACCGAAGCAUCUCCGAAGAAGAAUAGUAGCGUUGAGAAGAAUUUGUUGGGGGGAAAUAUUAACGACCCCCUAAUACGCUGCUUAAAGAAACAAACAUGAAGGCCUAGGCUCACCAAAGCGUGAUCAAGUCUCCGCCUCGCCCGACCCAGGCGUCAGGAUUGGGAGCGCCCGACCUCCCUCCGCAAGGCCUCCGCCUCGCCCGACCGUAACCCCAGGGUCGGGAGCGCCCGACCCUGUACCACGAAAGUUCCGCCUCGCCCGACCCCGAGCGAAGGAGUCGGGCACGCUGAGGGCCACGGGGUCAGAAUCCCCCUCGGAUACGAUCCGCAUAAACAAGACAAAUCCUGUGGGUCCCCCCGUCGGCCUCACCAUAAAUGCGCCGCAGAGUUGGCAGAGCGCAGGGCGACCGCGCCCCUCACGCCACCCAGCGCAAGUACCCGUGCACGACCGUCCUGUGCGAGCUACAGUACCGGAGGCCGGCUCCUGUUCGUCGCAGGGUACUCAUGACCUGCGGCGACCGGAGCAAAGGAGGGAGCGGCCUCGUCCUCGGGUCCCGCACGCCCUCGGGCCUCGCGCAAACGGCAGCACAUGUGUGAAGCUCCCCCUCUCUACAAGCCACCGCCGGAGCAGCAGUAUCCACCGUCCUCCCUAACGGACGGCGGCAUAACGACGAAACCGCCUCAUCAUGAUCUAACCUGGUACCUACGAACAUCGAAGUAGCUACCUGCGGAGAGCUGCAACACUUGGCAUCCGGCGACCUCCCCUUCCGGCAUGCACGACGGCACGCGUUUAGGGUCGGCAGGACGCCGGGCGCCAAGGACCUCUCCCCUCCUUCCUGCCAGACCUUUUUACCAUCUUACUCUUUACCUUUCACUCGGUCCCAAUUGUAACUCCGGCCGGCCCCUUGCGAUAUAAAAGGAGGAACCUAGAGCCGGAGAGGGGGAUCGGAAUCCAGAUCUAAGAGACCAGCUUCUCCCCCCAGUACACCAUAGGACAUCAACACUCCUCCUAAGAACACGAAAACCGAAGAGACCUGGAACCAGUCCCUCUCUCGCCCAUCUGUAACCCCCUACUACAGAACCCCCGCGC
rnacentral:lncRNA from 1 species